rnacentral:lncRNA from 1 species
CAAGUACCAAAGUUCAUUCAUAACAAUUUCAUUGUAAUCCGUGACGUCUGCUCCAUCUUUAUGCCAGAAUACUUCUUCUAAUUCAUCAUUACCUAUUAUCCAUAUGUACUUCAGUUUUUGAAGACUUGGAGCUACGCUGAUAUGAAAUAGAUGCUUUAGUUUGGGGCAAUAACCGACAGAGAUCUCUGUGAGUUUUGGGAAACAUAGGGGUUGGAGAUGAUCCUCAUCAAUGAUUUGCUCUAAUUCCAAGCAGUUAUCAAUAACCAGCUUCUCCAAUUGCAACAGAUUUCGAGCAAGUGUUGAUGAGAAGAGACGUCUCAGCAUAGUGCACCCGUCCACUCUUAAAUAGGUAAGACUUUGCAGGCUAAAAUUAUGCGUAGGACCUUCGUGAUAUAAUACUUGCAGUUCUCGAAGGUUUUCCAAUUGCAACCUCUUCAAACAUGGGAAUAGUUUGUUUUCUUGUCCCUCGGCGAUAAUAGCUUCCAAUUGAAAUACCACCUGUACUCCAAUUUCCAUAAUACCCAAAUAUUCCAAAUUUUUUAAUCCGUGCUUCAACAGUGCUGGAAUUGUGUCACUCAAAUGGGAACAAUUGUCCACAUCUAGAGUAUUUAAGUUCUGAGACAAAUAAAUAAAUAACUUGAUGCAAUUAAAAUUUAUUAGCAGCUACGAUUAUCACAUGAUAACACCGCAAAAAUAUCAUAAUACAUAUGUAAACUAAUAAAAUAAUUAAAAAAUAAUGGAUUUAAAAAAAAGAAAUUAGUUAAAAGAGAUCAUGUGAAGUGAUAUAAAUGUGACAGUAGAUUGUUUUAGAAAAAAAUAUUAUUCUAUUAAUUUAUAUGGCUUGAUCAACUAUUUAAUUGAAUCAGAAGUAUUUGCAUCAAUUCUUUCUAAACCAAAAUGAGAUAUGACUUUUAUUUGAAGAAUGGUUUUAAGCCCUAUAAUAAAGAAAUUUCCCUAAGAUAUCGGAGCAUUAUUGUUAUCACCGCCACAUCCACCACCACCAUCAUCAUCUCCAUAGGAUCAAAUAAUUAAUGGCUGAUCAUAAAAUUUAUUGCUAAACUACCAUUUUCAGUAAAAUUAAAGGAAAAGAGAAAAAAACAUAAAUACAAAUAAACAUACCUUUUCAAGAUACUGCAAAUUGGCUUCAAGUUCAGUACUGUUGACGGUCAAGUUGGGACAGUAAUGAAGCUGUAACUCUUCCAAUGCUGGCCAAAUUGAACAAUAAUUUUCUGAACAGAAGCUGGUGAGUUCUGAGAGAUUAUCAAGUGUUAAUUCUCUCAACAAAGGGAGGGCGAGCAUCGUAUUUCCAUCUCCGACACUUAUUUCCCCUUCAUUAUGAUCAAACUUUGCUUCGACAAUAUAUUCCAGUCUCUCGCAUCCACUUACAUUGAGACUUUUAAGCUGCUCCAAACUUCUAGCUUGUGACAACGUGAAGAUAUAUGUCAACUUGUUGCAGCCAUGCACAUUCAAUUUUGUAAGAGUUUGGAGACUGAUCACAUGUUGGGCGGGCGCCUUCCAUAUCCACUUCAGUUCUGGUAAGUCCCACAUAGAUAACUCUGCUAAUCUUGAGAGACUCUUUCCAUGCGGCGACUUAGAGGCUUCCAUUAUGCAUUCUAAAUCUUCGCAAUCGCGGACAUCAAGACAAGUCAACUCAUUUAAGCCCCUUUCAUCUAUGCUUGGCACGAUAUUAUGACAACCUAUUAACCCCCUCAAACAAAGAAAUUCCAGAUUUUGAUACAAUGCUGAAAAAAUAACGAGCGAGGUCGAAGUUUCAAUCUACGAAGUUCAUCCGACAAUUCUUCAGGAAUUUCAAUGGGAGAAUCCUCGAGAUAAAGAAGUUCAAGUCUCUUCAACUUUCCAAGAAAAGACGCGUCACUCACAUCACAUCGAAUCAACUGCAGAACUCGGAGGUUUUUGUCGAGGAAUCGAAGCGAUUUUAGUGAAAUGACUCCACCUAUUAUAGUAACAACUUUCAAUGCUGGCAUCCCUUUAAAAAAAUGUUCUGGAAUUUGCAAUUCAUAAUUAUAUACGGUGUUCACCAAUCGCAGAAUAUGAAGGUUAGGGCAUAUCAAACCACUAGGAAGCUCUUCUUCUUUUUUAUCUACGACCAAAGACAGUCCCCUACACUGUUCCAGGCCUUCUUCCACCGCCCGUUCCACCAUUUCGAUGCCAGUUAUACUAAAAAAUCUCUCCUCUUCCUCCUCCUUCUUUUUGCUUAUCCAUAUGGCUACAUCACGGACUACGUCAUGAAUUUUCACAGAUCUGUCAUUGCCAGUGUCUAACAGCAAUGAAGAAGCUUUGAGCUCUUUCAUCGUUCCACUCAGUAGGCUCCUGACUUUUUCAAUUGACUCAGCUCGAUACCAUCUCAACCCCACUGCAUAUCCAACCAAAUCAUCCAAAUAUAUCUCAUAAUCCUCUGGAAACAAAGAACACAACAAGAAGCACGACCUGGAAUCCUCACCAUUCAAAUAAUCGUAACUAAAUUUGAGACAAUGGUAAACGUCUUGGUCCUCCUUGCCAAUUCCUUCUAUUGUAUUGAGUUUUGAAUCUUGUAGUUUAUCUAGAGCUAGGUUCCACUCAUCAAAUCCUUUAGCUCUUAGUGCACUUCCAACAGCUUUAAUAGCUAAAGGCAGCCCCUUACAUUCAUUAGCAACCUGUUCUGAAACACCAAUCAAGGUUGAAUCAGCAACAUCAAUGCCAGCAAGCUUUCUUAGUAAAGCCAAUCCUUCUUCUCGCUUUAGAACACCUAGUUGAAUCUGCGGGUCACAACGCAUGCGAUCACAAACUGGCUGCAGGCGAGUGGUUAGAAGGAUUUUGCAACAAUUGUCUCCAUCACCAACAGGAAUACCUACUGUCUUCAAGUCGAGUUCAUUCCAGACAUCGUCAAGUAUUAUGAGUAUCUUGCUGCUUUUACUCUCAGAAAACAUCAAGCGCAAUCGGUCUGCUCUCUCUUUUUCAUCUUUCUCAUUUAGUGCCCAGCCUAACGACUUUGCUAGCUCACCUUGAACCUUUAUUAUAUCUGGAUCCUGAGACACAGUGGCUAUCCCCACCUCAUCGAAAAUCUUUUCUUGCCGAAGUUGAUUGCCCACAAAGUUUGCCAAAGUCGUCUUUCCGACACCACCGAUACCAUACAAUCCCACCAUCUUCGUGCUAUCUCUUUUCAGUUCUUCAAUAAUCUGAUUGCAAGUCGAUUCUGUAGUCUCGAAAGACAUAAAAUGUCUUGGUAUAUGCAAUUCUUUGUCUGAUGGUAGAGGUUUAGGAAGGGCAACUGAGCUGAAUUUGCUGCAUUUCUUUUGUAUAUCGGACAACUUGCUAGUCUUCUUUGAUGCUUUUCUACCUAGCCAAUAUCGCCAACCCCAAUUAGGACACCAUCCAUUAAGACAACUCUUCUUUUCAUCUAUCUUUGCUUUCAAAUUUCGAACGUCGGCCAUUUCUUUGUCUACAUCCUCAAGCCAUGUCUUGACAUCUUCCUCGACUUCUAUAGCACGGUGUAUUUGUCGUUCUUGUUCUACUCUUUUAUUGAUGCCAUCUUGUGCCUCCUUCAAAUUAGUUUCUUGAUCCUCAAGUUCUUUAAUAACGCUGUUGAAACAGAGCAGAUAACGAGCUUGGUUUAUGGUUGCAUCCACCAACAACUCUCCAAGCCUUGAUGCAACACCUGACAAAAGUUCCAUGCUAUUUAUCUGCAAUUAAUAAAGUUGAUCUCAGUAAGCUAUAAGCAAAACAAUGAGGCUUGAUCACAAGAUCGAACGAGAAAGUUUAAUUACCUUUUUCUAUUCUGUGAAUGCACGUUUAUUGACACUAGCUUUGACCAGUAAGAGCAAAAUGCAAACGCCGAGCUUUAAGUGGCCAUUAGCUGCAAAACAAAAGAGAGGAAAUAAGGUAAUUUAUUAUUAUUAUUAUUAUUAUUAUUUUUAAGGACGGAUAAAGGUUAGCUAGCUUGCAGACAAAUUUACUAAACUCAAGACAAACCUAAGAGUUUUCCUAAUUUGUUCAAACAUGGAAUAAGCGUUUCACAACAGUAUAUCCAUAAAGGCCCCAGCGAACGUAAUAUGUGCUGGACUAUAUUGAAAUUAGAUUAUUUUAGAAAAUUUUAAAUAAAAAAUAUCAAACAACAAAGAAAUCUAAUAGAAUCUGGAUAAACAGCAUGGGAGAAUAUGGUAAAAUUGAUAAACUUGGUUCAAAAAUUACAAUUCUUUUUGAGAUUUGAACCAACGAUUUUGACUAAGGUCUCCUAAGCCACAAAGCAUAACUCUUACUACUAAAUUACGCGCAUUUUGUUACAUUUAAAUGUGGUCAUAUUCUUUUUAUUAUCUUUUUUUAGAAGGGACUCAUGGUAUACUUAAAAGAAAUAAUAAUGAUUUAGAUGGGGCUGAAGCCCACUCAUGAAAAAAUUUAAAGGUUUUCAAGAUAAUAACCGAUUAUUUUCCACCCAAUAUUCUAAUAGAAUGGUGCCAGAAUUCUCAAAUAAUAUCUUAAUAUUAUUUAACUGGUUGGCACCCACCUAUUGGAUGAUUAAUUUAAUAAUUUGUUACAUUAUUUAAUACUCCAUCUCACUAUCUAGUGAUGUAAAUGGUGGAGAAGGAUCGUCUCCUAGACUUUUUUCUCUCACUAAUCUCUUAGUGAAAUAAGUGGCCGAAAUUGAAUUUUAAUUUUUGAUAUUGACAAUUAAAUUGGCUUGUUUCACAUUAUUAACAAUUAAGCCAAUUUUUUUUUUCUCCUUUUUUCAAUUAGAUUUGGAAGGCUAUAAGAGAGUAGGAGAGAAAAAACACUAGAAGGAGAUCUUAAUCCAUAAAUAGUACCUUAUUUGGGAUGGUAAAGAUUGAGAUAAAUUUCCUCUUAGUCUCUAAAAUUUUGGCCUAUGCGCAGCCAUAAUUUUAGUAUUUUUAAAAAGAAUGGGAUUAUUUACAUUCUAAAAUCUAUUUUGAAUACUCUUUUACUCAACACACUCAUUCAAUAAAUAAAUUUUAAAAAAUAAUUUUUACUUUACACACUAUUUCGAGAGUCAAAACUAUCCUUCAUUAGGACCAUUUCAUUAACUAAUUAUUUUCUAUUGACACCCAUAAAAUAUUCAUCAUUCUUGAACCAUGUGGCGUUAAUUAAUGAUUCCGAAGCAUUAUCAAGAUUCAAGAUUUAUGUUGAAAUUCUUUCAUCUGACAUUUGAACCCAGCCACUAGCUAUAUACAUAUAUACUUUCAAAUGCAGCUCUGGGAAUAUUUUGUGACUGAUUUUAUAAAGUGUUUUAGUUACAUUAAUGCAGUGAAACAAUAAAGAGUACGUGGCUUGCUGAUUUCCAAAUCAAGUUGGGGGAAAAAACAGAGCAUUUUUCUUUUAUAAUGGAUUAGAUUAGACGAUGAAGGACAAAUUAUUCGCGAUUAUUAGUACUUUUGUGUGUGUUAAGAGUAAUAAUAUUAUUUUAAAUUAUAUUAAUGCCUUUCGUAGUGAAUUCAAUUAGGGUUAUUUUAGUAAUAUAAAUUUUCAUUAAAAUUAAAGUGUCCAAAUUAUAAUUUAGAUUUUUCAAAUGUAAAAUAAUAUUUUUUUAUCUGAUAUAAAUUAAAAUUCAAACAAAUGUAUCAUGCAACAAAUGAAAAGUAAAGAAUAUUAAUUAGGUUUUAAUAGAAACAAAUAUAAAUAGAUGUUUUGAGUAGUUAUUUUUUGUUAUUUUAUGCUAUUGGUAGUUUGUGGAUUAAAUAAUUUGUAUAAGGAUAAAUGGGGGUUUGUAUAAUUUAGACGAAGAUAAUCUCCAAAAUAAGCUUAUAUGUCGAAUUAAAAAGUGUUAUAUAAGUAGUAAUUGUAUUUGCAUCAAAAUUUUUAAUAAAAUUUAUUUAGAAAUUGGCCAAUUGGGUUUUAUGAAGAAAAUAGAGGGGCAAGUAAUUAUGUAACAAGUAAUUUGUAGGUUGUGGUACUUCUCCAUACUUUAAAUCACUUUUAUCUAAUCAAUUGAUAAAUAUUUUUUGGGCACCAACAAAAUGAAAAGAAAAGUUUAAAAAUAAUUCUGAAAUUAAAAACGUUAGGUAUUGCCUAUAAGCUAUACAAUUUUACCUUUUCUUCUACACAAUUAGUAUUAGAAAUAAAAGUAGUUUCAAAAUAAAUGUAAUUAGGAGGUAAUAUUAUCUCAACAAUACCUUAUAGGGAAAAAGACAUCUACAUCCUAAAGUUUGGAGAAAUGGUCGUAAAGACCCUAGGUUUUCAGAAAGGGAUAUCAAGACCCUUUUUUUAUCGUAAUACCCUUUAAAUAUAGUAAUUAGAAAAUUGACUUUAAGAAUUUUUAAUUGACAAAUUUAAUAUAAAUAAUAUAAUCUAUCUAGUAGAUUAAUAAUAUUAACAAUAAAAAUAAUAUUAAAAUUUAAAUUCUUAUAUUUAUUUUAAUAAUAUAUUUUUUUUUUUAUAAAGAUUUUAAAUAAAUCCUUGGGUUAAAUAGGUUUUCCAGUUAACAAAAUAUACCCCUAUUAAUAAUAUUGAAAUUACUUUCUACAUAAUAUUUAAAAUAAUUAUAAUUUAUUUAUUUUAAUAUUAUGUUUCUAUUUAUUAAAAAUUACUUUAUUAGAGUAAAUUUUUAUUAAUUAAAGCUUUAAAAUCAAUUUUCUAAUUACUAAAUUAAAAGGGUAUUAUGGUAAAAAAGGGUCUUUCCUUUUUGAAAACUUAGGGUUUUUGCGACCAUCUCCGCAAACUUUGGAGUAUAGGUGUCCUUUUCCCUACUUCAUAUAAAGAUAUUCCAUAAGGUCUUAUAAUAACUUAUAUUAUAUGAAUUUAAUUAAAAGAUCAUUAAUACUUAAAUAAUAAUAAUUAUAGAAGACAUUGUAAUAAAUUAUUUGAUAUAUAUUAUUAAUGAUACUAUAUAUAUGUGUAUAUAACUACAUGAUGGCUUGGAUAUAUAUUGUUUAGUGGUAAUAAAUUUUUUUAAAAAAAUUUAAACUAAUGAUUUCAUGUAAUUCAAUGGUGGAUGAUUUAAAAUCAUAAAAUAUUGUUUUGACUUUCAAUAUCAACCGUUAGACUGUGAGAAAUUAAUUGCUCAAUAUUUUGUGUUAAAUUUUUGAAUUAAAAUAUCCCAAACCAUUUGUUUUACUUAAAAUACAAAAAAUAUAUAAAGAAAUUUUCUCAUUAAUUUUCAUAUUUUUAUUAGAGAUAAUAUUUUAUGUAUCGUCACCAUUAAUUGCCAUCAUUAAAGUAGUGACUCUUAGUAAUAUAAAAUUUUAUAAUUAGUUAAUUGCAAUCAAAGGAUAUCAAUAAAAUAAUAUUUUAUGAUUCAUAAAUUAAAGCUAAUUAAGAAUAUAUGUUUGUUUUAACUUUUAUGAAAUCAACUAAGUGAUAUUAGAAAAUAAAAUGAAAAUAAACUAGUGAAACUUAAAUUUUAUAAGGUUUGAAUAAUUUUCUACCAUGUAAGAAUAUUAAUUGUGACAUAAACCAUAGUUUCAUGGUAUAUGUAUGCCGAAUGGGGUAACAAAUAAUAUAUACUUCACGAUCAUGAUAGUAUAUAAAGUAGUGGAUAUUUUAAUAUAUAACAUAAAAUUCUUUAAGACAUAGGUGGUCAAUUAUAUAUUUUUUAGGACAUAGACAAUCUCAAUCAAGAGUUUAUUGAUGUGAAUAGAUGGCAUUCACUUAAAUGUAUACACUUAAUUGUGUUGUUUAUUGGUAUUAGAUAUUCACUUAAAUGUAUAUACUUAAUUGUGUUGUUUAUUGGUAUUACAUGUAACAAAAUUUUAUAUUAAAUUUUGAAGUUUUAUAUUGUUGUUUCUAUUGAAUUUAUAAAUACAAUAAAAUUAUGGCCAUCAACAAUCACAACCAACUGCCACCAACAAUUAGAUUCUCAUAUCCGUUGACGACAAUUUUUUAUACUAUUGGAACUCCAAUCUUUGAAGCUACACAAUAGUUAAAGUACCAACAUCACUAGAACUUCCGUUCAUUGUAGAUCUAUAGUCAAAGUUUCGAAUCUUAAAAAUUUGACAGCAGAUUUAUGUCAAAUGAAAGCUUGUUACCAGUGAUUCUUAUACAAUUAUGUUGUUAUAGUAAUAAGGAUUCUAGUGGUACUAAAAUGCACUCCAUUAGACAUAAAGAUCCGACGACUAGUGGCGACAACAACUAUCAUUAGUGACUUGGAGGUAAUUGCCAUUAAUAAAUUAUUUUUAACUUAAUAAUUAAUACAAACAAAUAAAAAAGUAAUUUAAUGAAAAUUAAUGUAAUAAAUAAUUGAAUUAAAAAAAUUAAAACCUAAAUUCUCGACCAUUUAUCCGUAUGUUUCGAAUCCAACGUUCAAAAUUGGAAUAAAACAUAGUAUAGCCAUUGGAAGUAAAACAAACAUUAAAGAGACUAGGAAAAAAUAUCUCAUACCUUCUAUAAUGAUACAUCCUCAAUCACUGCAGAAAGCUCCAAUUAAAAAGUCGCACAAGUUCGGAGAAAAUUACCUAACAACACAAAUAAACAUCAAAUCAAAGCAACAUAGGAUCCAGCUAAUUAACAUCAUAAGUAAGUCCUUGUUCUCAGUCAAAUCUUGCAUUCUUAGGAUAAAAAAAAAAUUGAAAGAAUAACGGUAACUGGAAAGUUUGACGACAUAAAGAUCUAGCUAAAUUUUAAGAAGCAAAAGUAAAUAAUGAAAGCUCAAUAAAAGAUCAUCAGCAUUAACAUACCGAAAUGAGAGCAGCUCACAGAACUGGUAAUUUCCAAGAACAGGAAAAAUAAGUGAGCUGAUAUUGAGGACAACUAAAGUAGUCAUGGAGUAAUUUGCUAUUGAGGACACCUAAAAUAAGAAAAUUAAUUAACAUUGCUCUAUACACCAUUUCAAUAAUUUGACUAUUAAAAAAAAAAUCUAUCUAGAUCACGAUUUCUCAAAAUGAUGCUUUUUCUAAUUAAAUAAAUCAAAAUGCUUGCUUCUUUCUUUUUCAGAAAAGAAAAAGUGGCAAUGGCAUCAAUUUUUUGCUAGAUUAUUAUCACCAAAAGCACAAGCAAGGAAUAAGGAUACUCUCUGAAACCAACCAUAUAAAGAGUAGAAAUAUUUGUUGGAGUGUAAGGUAGAAGUAAGUGGUCAAUUGUAAAUAAGUCUUUCUUUUUUCUUUGUUGUUUUUUCAUUUUUUGAAUGUGAACUAAAUAAAUUUAAGGGUGAAGCUAUUACACCUUGAAAACUAUGACUGAACACCCAUUUUUUUAAUUAAAUUUUUAUUACUAAAAUAACCAUGGAGUAAUUUGCUUCUAAGGAAAACUAGAAUAAUAACAUGAAUAAUGAUUGCUCUAUACACCCUUUUAUACGUCUAUCUUCUUCUUAAUUUCAUAAUUUGGCUGUCAAAAAGUAAUCUAUCUAGAUCACGAUUUCUCAAAAUGAUGCUUUUUAUAUCUAAAUAAAUGAAAAUGCUUGUUUCUUUCUUUCUCGAAAAGAAAAAGUGGCAAUGGCAUCAAUUUUUGCUUGCAAGCACAGCAAGUAAUCAGUAUACUCUCGGAAACUAACCAUAUUAAGAGUAGAAAUAUAUUGGGUUAUCACGAAGUAAGUUAGAAAUCAAUUAUAAAUGGUCUUUUUUUUUUUUUUUAAUGUGAACUAUAUAAAUUUAAGGUGAGGUUAUUUACACUUUGAAAAACAUUCUAAAAACCAUUAUUUCAUUAAAUUUUUUAUUAUUAAAGGUCCGUUUGCUGCCCCAAACGCUCUCUAAAAUAGCCAUGGAGUAAUUUCUUACUGAGGAAAACUAGAAUAAUAAAAUCAAUUAUCAUUCUGCCAUGACCCCGUUUCUAGAUGUAUCUUCUUCUUGAUUUGGUAACUUGGCUGUCAAAAAGAAAUCUAUCUAGAUCCCGAUUCCUCAAAAUGAUGCUUUUUCGGAUGAAAUAAAUGAAAUUGAACCUACAAUCUGUCACAAACACGUUAUAAUGAGCCUAAUGAAAAGCAGUAUGAGAAAUUUUGCUUCCAUGUUGUUUCUUCCAUAUGUAAAGGUAGUAAAAAGAAAUUUAAGUCCUAGAAACAAAUGGAUGAAGAAUUAUCAAUAAUUAAAAAUUAAAAAAAAAAACAGAGUUAUUAAAGAAUCACAGUUCCACCAAAAAUUAAGAGUUAUUUUAUUUGGUGGUUUCCUUAUCCCGAAGCAUUACUUGUAAAUAUGUGCUAACAAGUAAUAAUUAAGAAAGUUAAGGCCAAUCAUUUAGAAGGGAGAAAAAUGGAAACAUCCGGAAUAUUGUUAUGUGUUUUCAGUGCGUAUCUACCAAUCAAUAAUGAAAAAUUAAAUACGCAUGUGACGAAAAUUUAAUAAAGAGAACUGGACGUGACAAAAUUUUUAUUAUUCUAUCUUUUUCUCCUCUGAAACUUCCUUAAUUUGGUUGGGAAUUGCUUUGUCUUAGGCAGUGGAUCUGUUAUAAAUACCCUAUGCUAAAGUUAAUAUUUUGAUUGAAGAAAAAAAUAGAGGCGAAAAAUUUUAUUAAAGUAUAACAGAAUUUGAUAAAUUUAGAAUUGAGGAGAGAAAAUGAGUCUAAAUUCGAAAAUUUUGGCACUAUUUACAUAUCAUUAUUUGGGCAAAAAUUUAUUUCUCUGCUUUCAUAUGAUUUGGUCUUUUAUUGUUACGGUGCCAAUUUUUUAUUUAAAGAUGUAAGAUGGUGGUACUAUAGCUUAGAUUUUCCGUAAUUACUAUAUGGUAAGUACAAAAUAAAAUACUAGUUUAAAAUAUAAAAAUGAAAAACUAUUUUUAUAACCAAUAUUUAAUUAAAUACACUUGAAACUCUAUUUUUUCUUAAUAAAAAAAAUUCUAAUUUAUUUUCUCAAUUUAUCUAAACAACUUUACCUAAUCAAGCUAAAUCUACAUAUAACCCUAAACCUUAAUUUAUAAACACCCAAUCAAUCCAAUUGUUAAAUCCGAUUUCAUAAUUAAAAAAGUUAAAUUCUAUUUUAUUAUUUAUGGUGCAAAGUAAAAAAUGCCCUUGAAGUUAAGGGUAAAAUUGAUAUUUUAUUUAAAUUUGGGAAAUUAUCAUUCGUAUACCCUAUAUUUGCUCUGUUAUAAAAAAUACUACAACACUUUGAGGGUGUAUCAAUCGUCCACCCUAAGUUGACAAAAUGUAUCAACCGACCACUAAACCGUUAAUUGUCGUUUGAAAGUUAACGGAAUUACAGUGAAUUGACGAUUUUACCCUUGAAAAUUAUCACUUGUAUACCCUUAAAUUAUCACUUGUAUCAUAUGAAAAGACCAGAUUACCCUUCUGACGUUAUCAUAUUUAAACGGCAACUAACGGUUCGGUGGUCGGUUGAUACAUUUUGUCAACUUAGGGUGGACGAUUGAUACACCCUCAAAGUGUUGUAGUAUUCUUGAUAAUGAAGUAAACUAAGGGUAUACAAAUGAUAAUUUCCCUUUAAAUUUUGUUAAUAUUCUAAUAAUGUUAAUGUCUUAGUGGUUAAUAAAAUCACAAAGUCAAACUUUUGUAGUAUUUUUUAUAAUAAGGUAAAGAUAUAUGUUUGAUAAUUUUCCUACGUCUUUUUACGUUAAAUUGAGUCUCAAGGGAAAAAUGGUUAAUUUGCUAUAAUUCUGUCAGUUUUCUAAUGGAAGAUAAUGAUAUAAUGAAUAAAUAAUACAUAUUCUUAAAUUAGUAUAGAUGAAUGAUACAACUUGAAAAUAUUGUAGUAUUCUUAAUAGUAGAGAAAUUUAAAAGUGGAUGGUUGAUAAUUUAAUGAAGUAACUACAGAAUUUUCCUUUCAAAUAUAUUUUUUAAAAUAUAUGAUGAGUAAAAAUCAUUUUACAGAAUGAUCUUUCAAAUGCACAUUCCACAAGCCAAAAAGAAAGGGUAGCGAACAACCCUUGUUGAAAUGGCACCCCGGCUUUUGCAGCGUACCCAAGUGCAGCCACCACCCCAGAAUCUGGUACUACAAUCACAACAUCACACUCAACAGGAGCCUCGGUAGCAAGUACUUCCCCAAAAUGAUACCUCGACUCGUAAGACCUUCCAAAAACAACAGAAUUAGGCAAAGCAAAAUAAAUAUGCUCAAAGAUGCACUGCUUAGGUUCAGGGUGAGGCAUCAAACAAAGUGAUUGAACCCCAUCUUUAUCCACCAUCAAAACUUCACCGGGAUAUACCUCUCUCUCGUAUGUGGCCUCAAUCAAAUCAAGUGCGCAAGUUUCUGAUGCAAAAACCACAGCACCGUUACUCCUCCUACCCAUCACCAACGGCCUAAACCCAUACGGGUCACGAACCGCAACAAGCUUAUCCUCAGUAACAAACACCAUUGAAUAAGCACCCUCAAGCUUCUCACAAGCAUCCACAAUCCUCAAAAAGAACGGCUUAGCUUUCGAUAUCGCAAUCAAAUGGAGAACAAUCUCAGUAUCAGAACUAGUAUAAAAAAUGGAUUCAUUAUCCUCGAGCUUAGCCCUCAAAGUAUUAUAAUUACCUAAAUUCCCAUUAUGUGCAACACCAACAGAACCAAACCUGUACCCAGCAACAAAAGGCUGCACAUUCUUAAGCAUAGAACUACCCGCAGUCGAAUAUCUAACAUGACCAAUGGCCAUAUCACCCGGCAAUUGAUCAAGUUUAGACUGAUUAAACACAUCAGAGACUAAACUGUUGAUGCGAGAUUCUGGUUGUCCUCGUUCUACGACCAGGGUCUCUGCUCGAUCAACUUCACCACGACCAGGAUCUCUCCUCGUAAAGCUUCUUCUCCAGAGGUUCCUGCGCACACAGACAAGUCAGAGUACGCCGGUUAUUUUCCCGGCGCAAACCCUCCGACGCUCAAGUCAGAUAUGAAGGUUCGGGGAACACUUGCCACAGAUCUUAUGGCUUUUGGGUAGUUUUCUCUUCUUUAGAAUUUCUUUAUCUCUCUUCUAAUGUCAAAAUUGCUAACCCUUUUACCUUCGUUGGCUACCUUUUUAUAGGCUUCCUCUGAAUCCCAGUUUUCCGCAGUCUACGUCCGUUAUCCUCCCACCUCUCGAACGUGGAUUCCCCAUUUCCGUAGUCGUGGGUGGUUGCGUGGCCUUCGUGCCUAGAUUCUCGGGCUGGAGAGCAUGCCUUGCCAACUGUCGUUGACCGGGCCUCCUCGAAUCAACCCUUAGCAAGAAUACAGCAGGAAUGGCUUUAUGCUUCUUACAAGAAAUUGGCCUCGCGGAUGACGUGCUCGUGGAUGAGCAGGAUAUUCCUGCCCCUGCUCCCCUGCUACUUGGCUCUUACAGGACACACCUGCUCGCCGACUUCUGCCACCAAACAUCUGCUCAUCACGUCUGGUCUCGUCGGAGUAUUUCCCUCAAACACCGGUCCCCCAGUUUCUGGUGUUGGGUAAUGUAAUGGACCAGCAGUAGAAACUUAGCGGUUCUUGGUCGCGUGGGACUGAAAAAGGCUGCCAAGAGUCAUAUCGCAUUUAAUUGCGGACGAGGUGAUGUGGCAGAAAUCUGCCCCUCUAUUCGAAUUUCCAACCAACGGUUACGAGGCCCUUGGGAUUUGGUGCCGUUAAAUGCUGGCAACCCAAGAGUCCGUCCCCAUUAGGAAACCUAAAUCCUUUCAAACAGCAAAUUCGUCAUUCCCUCCGUCUCCGUCCCUGUCUCUCCGGCAAAGAAGUUCCAGCAUAAAGGCCUCCAUCUCUGUCUUUCACCGACUGAACCAUUACUUCAUGUAUUUCUUCUAUCUCCUUGGUCUCGGAUAGUUGUAGAUAAUUUCUGUUCUCUUUUGUUUGGGUAGUAGUUGGUGGUGGUGUUGUGGUUAGAGUUUAGGGAAUGUCGAAAGCUAAAGAGAAGGUCAUUGAAGUUGACGACGAUGAGUUAGACUUCCUGCCUAGUCUGCUCACUGAUCCUGCUUUUGACCCCGGGAUCCCCUUAGAGCCCAUUAGAUCUAGUGUCGGCACUAGCGCUAGGAGGAUGUCUCCCCAAACGACCUCCUCGAGCAGAGAUAGUGAUGAAGAGGGGUCUUCCGGCUCGGAGAACACCCUGAGUGAGGGCCGAGGAGAUGAUUCUGGCGAGGUGUCCCCAUCAGGAGCGUCGCGACCAGAAGGGCGGAGUACAAUAGGAGGUAGAGCCCUAUCGCGGGAUUACGCUAUUGAUUACAUGACAUGCACAACCACGUUUGAUGAGCUCAAUGACCUCCGGCUUAGGUAUAGUAUUCCUGGUGAAAUCCCUCUUAAGGUCCCAGGAAAGAAGGAUACUCCUAGCCGGCCUCCUAGGGGAUACGUUACCCUGUAUCUGGAUAGGUUUAAGUAUGGGCUGAGGUGUCCCGUGCAACCUUACUUUGCCCGGAUACUUAGCGGGCUGAAUCUAUCUCCUGGUCAGCUGAACCCAAAUGGUUGGAGAGUACUUUAUGGUCUGUUUAUAUUGUGGGACAGAUGUUGCCAGAGCGAGCCCACAGUUGAUGAGGUGAAGCACUUGUACCAGCUAAAGAGCAGCCCCAAAGAUGCCGGCUGGUACUACUUUCAAUCUAGUACCAAGACCAGGAAACCCAUAACCGACCUCCCUACUGGUGGUGGUGGGAAUUGGAAGAGGAAAUUCUUUUUUGCUGGGGGUCCUUGGGGUUAAGUUGCACAAAUAGACGGGAAGGAUUAUCGCGUCCCACCCCGUUUCACGGUCCCAGGUUGCCUGCUCGCUUUAGGUGUCUUGUGUCCGUAAUUGUGCUCGCUUUGUUGGUUUGUCUCUAACCAAGUGUCUAUUUGUGUUGUAGUUUCUUGGGGUGUUCAUUUCUCGCUCAAACCUGGCCAACUCAAACGGGUCGAGGCUGUGCUAGCCAAUUCCUGCUCGAGCCGGGAGCUGAUAACUACAUACAACUUGCUCGAGUCUCGCUUAAUACUCCCUGGUCAUAAGAUGGAGGACGCUGUGAUUGGGGCUCUGAACAGGAAACGUUCUCGACCUCAAACCACGAAGAGGGACCAGAAUAAGGACGCCCCUACUGCAAAGCGGGCCAACAUCGUGCAGCAGGUCUCUCCCUUGAAGACUUUACCUCCUGCUCCUGCCAAAGUCGGGGAAACUAGUGGAGGAGCAGCCACCGAUCCUGCUUCUUCUUCUCCUCAUGUCGGGCCUCGAUCUCGCUUACCUGACAGCCGAGCAGAACACUUGGUCCCCUAUCUCAAUGAGUUAUCUAAACUCGUGAGCAAGAAGGACCUGGAGGACUUUGAUGGCUGCACUCUGGGCGAGCUGGUGCGAGCCAUGCAGUAUAGCGCUUUCCAUCUCAGCUGCAUGACCACCUACUAUAAGGCCAAGGUCGGCCGUUAUGACAGGAAGAUGAAGGAGGACAUUCAGUUAGCGAUGACCAGAGCUGACGGCGCCGAGAAGAAAGCAGGAGCGCUGAAUGUCGAGAACCUGAAGCUGAUAGAGCAAGAAUCUCUUGCUCAAGCGAAAGCCAUUACCCUCGAGGAGGAGCUGACCAAGGUCAAAGAGGAUCUUCAAAGGCAGAAGGCUAUGUAUGAGGCUCAGCUCGAAUCUCUCCGUGAUUCCCACCGGGUUCAGGUCGAGAACUUAGAGAAGGAGGCUGACAACCAGUACGACCAGGGACUUCGGCAUUCCUAUCGUUGCAUCAUGGCCGUCCUCGGGAAGCAACACCCUGAUCUGAAGAUGGAUGACCUUGCAGCUGGUGUUGCUCAACAUAUGGACGAGGAGGCGGCCAAGGAAGACGCUGAAGGGGUAGAGCCGAUCGUGAUUGAGGAGGAAAACUCUCCUUCUCGUGCAGAACCUGCUGGUGUUGGCGAGGCGAGCACCCCCCGGACGCAACUGGUGAUACCCCCUGCACCUGAGGAGGUCCAGCCGACUGAUGCUGCUCGGCUUACUGAUCCACCAUCUUAUUGAUAUAUUUCUUGUAUUGUAAUGCACAAUGUUUGUGAAGAUUAUCUCCUCUGUUAAUUAUUAACAAAUUAAUAAAGAUGUUUUUGAUUACUUUCUUGUGUUGUAAUCAUGAGUUAUUUUUCGUUUGAGAAUCUGCUCGUCUUUGUCUGGUCGAGCAGGUUCUGGCUUGGCACAUGGUUUUGCCACAUGCCUUUGAAAAUUCUUCAAUGCUUGGGAUUCUGCUCGCCUUCGCAUGGUCGAGCAGAUCCUGGCAUGCUUGGCUUCUGGUCUCGCCAAAAGACAGGCUUUCAGACUUGGUGAGCUUUUGCAUGCCUUUGAUUCUGCAAUGAUUGGGAGUCUGCUCGCCUUCUCGUGGUCGAGCAGAUCCUGGCACGCAUGGCAUCUGGUCUCGCCAUAAACAGGCUUUGAGACUUGAUAAGCCUUUGCAUGCCUUUAAUAAUUUCUUGAAUGCUUUGGAGUCUGCUCGCCUUCUUGUGGUCAAACAUAUCCUGGCACGCUUGGCUUCUGUCGCAUGCCUUCAAUUCUUCAAGGAUUGAGAUUUCGCUCGCCUUCUCGUGGUCGAGCAGAUCCUGGCACGGUUGGCUGCUGUCUCGCCAUAAAACAGGCUUUGAGACUUGCCGAGCCUUUGCAUGCCUUUGAUUCUUCAAGGAUUGGGAUUCUGCUCGCCUUCUCGGGGUCGAACAGAUCCUAGCACGCUUGGCUUCUGUCUCGCCAUAAAAUAGGCUUUGAGACUUGCUGAGCCUUUGCAUGCCUUCAAUUCUUCAAGGAUUGGGAUUCUGCUCGCCUUCUCGUGGUCGAGCAGAUCCUGGCACGCUUGGCUUCUGUCUCGCCAUAAAACAAGCUUUGAGACUUGCUGAGCCUUUGCAUGCCUUUGAUUCUUCAAGGAUUGGGAUUCUGCUCGCCAUCUCGUGGUCGAGCAUAUCCUGGCACGCUUGGCUUCUGUCUCGCCAUAAAACAGGCUUUGAGACUUGCCGAGCUUUUGCAUGCCUUUGAUUCUUCAAGGAUUGGGAUUCUGCUCGCCUUCUCGUGGUCGAGCAGAUCCUGGCACGCAUGGCAUCUGGUCUCGCCAUAAACAGGCUUUGAUACUUGAUGAGCCUUUGCAUGCCUUUGAUAAUUUCUUGAAUGCUUUGGAGUCUGCUCGCCUUCUUGUGGUCAAACAUAUCCUGGCACGCUUGGCUUCUGUCGCAUGCCUUCAAUUCUUCAAGGAUUGGGAUUUCGCUCGCCUUCUCGUGGUCGAGCAUAUCCUGGCAUGGUUGGCUGCUGUCUCGCCAUAAAACAGGCUUUGAGACUUGCCGAGCCUUUGCAUGCAUUUGAUUCUUCAAGGAUUGGGAUUCUGCUCGCCUUCUCGUGGUCGAGCAGAUCCUGGCACGCUUGGCUUCUGUCUCGCCAUAAAACAGGCUUUAAGACUUGUUGAGCCUUUGCAUGCCUUUGAUUCUUCAAGGAUUGGGAUUCGGCUCGCCUUCUCGUGGUCGAGCAGAUCCUGGCACGCUUGGCUUCUGUCUUGCCAUAAAACAGGCUUUGAGACUUGAUGAGCCUUUGCAUGCCUUUGAUAAUUUCUUGAAUCCUUUGGAGUCUGCUUGCCUUCUCGUGGUCGAGCAUAUCCUAGCACGCUUGGCUUCUGUCUCGCCAUAAAACAGGCUUUGAGACUUGAUGAGCCUUUGCAUGCCUUUGAUAAUUUCUUGAAUGCUUUGGAGUCUGCUCGCCUUCUCGUGGUCGAGCAUAUCUUGGCACGCUUGGCUUCUGUCUCGCCAUAAAACAGGCUUUGAGACUUGCUGAGCCUUUGCAUGCCUUCAAUUCUUCAAGGAUUUGGAUUCUGCUCGCCUUCUCGUGGUCGAGCAGAUCCUGGCACGCUUGGCUUCUGUCUCGUCAUAAAACAGGCUUUGAGACUUGCCGAGCCUUUGCAUGCCUUUGAUUCUUCAAGGAUUGGGAUUCUGCUCGCCUUCUCGUGGUCGAGCAGAUCCUGGCACGCUUGGCUUCUGUCUCGCCAUAAAACAGGCUUUGAGACUUGCCGAGCCUUUGCAUGCCUUUGAUUCUUCAAGGAUUGGGAUUCUGCUCGCCUUCUCGUGGUCGAGCAGAUCCUGGCACGCUUGGCUUCUGUCUCGCCAUAAAACAGGCUUUGAGACUUGCCGAGCCUUUGCAUGCCUUUGAUUCUUCAAGGAUUGGGAUUCUGCUCGCCUUCUCGUGGUCGAGCAGAUCCUGGCACGCUUGGCUUCUGUCUCGCCAUAAAACAGGCUUUGAGACUUGCUGAGCCUUUGCAUGCCGUUGAUUGUUCAAGGAUUGGGAUUCGGCUCGCCUUCUCGUGGUGGAGCAGAUCCUGGCACGCUUGGCUUCUGUCUCGUCAUAAAACAGGCUUUGAGACUUGAUGAGCCUUUGCAUGCCUUUGAUAAUUUCUUGAAUGCUUUUGAGUCUGCUUGCCUUCUCGUGGUCGAGCAUAUCCUGGCACGCUUGGCUUCUGUCUCGCCAUAAAACAGGCUUUGAGACUUGCCGAGCCUUUGCAUGCCUUUGAUUCUUCAAGGAUUGGGAUUCUGCUCGCCUUCUCGUGGUCGAGCAGAUCCUGGCACGCUUGGCUUCUGUCUCGCCAUAAAACAGGCUUUGAGACUUGCUGAGCCUUUGCAUGCCGUUGAUUGUUCAAGGAUUGGGAUUCGGCUCGCCUUCUCGUGGUCGAGCAGAUCCUGGCACGCUUGGCUUCUGUCUCGCCAUAAAACAGGCUUUGAGACUUGCUGAGCCUUUGCAUGCCUUCAAUUCUUCAAGGAUUGGGAUUCUGCUCGCCUUCUCGUGGUCGAGCAGAUCCUGGCACGCUUGGCUUCUGUCUCGCCAUAAAACAGGCUUUGAGACUUGCUGAGCCUUUGCAUGCCUUUGAUAAUUUCUUGAAUGCUUUGGAGUCUGCUCGCCUUCUUGUGGUCAAACAUAUCCUGGCAAGCUUGGCUUCUGUCGCAUGGCUACAAUUCUUCCAGGAUUGGGAUUUCGCUCGCCUUCUCGUGGUCGAGCAGAUCCUGGCAUGGUUGGCUGCUGUCUCGCCAUAAAACAGGCUUUGAGACUUGCCGAGCCUUUGCAUGCCUUUGAUUCUUCAAGGAUUGGGAUUCUGCUCGCCUUCUCGUGGUCGAGCAGAUCCUGGCACGCUUGGCUUCUGUGUUGCCAUAAAAUAGGCUUUGAGACUUGCUGAGCCUUUGCAUGCCUUUGAUUCUUCAAGGAUUGGGAUUCUGCUCGCCUUCUCGUGGUCGAGCAGAUCCUGGCAUGGUUGGCUGCUGUCUCGCCAUAAAACAGGCUUUGAGACUUGCCGAGCCUUUGCAUGCCUUUGAUUGUCCCAUCGCCAUAAAACAGGCUUUGAGACUUGAUGAGCCUUUGCAUGCCUUUGAUAAUUUCUUGAAUGCUUUGGAGUCUGCUUGCCUUCUCGUGGUCGAGCAUAUCCUGGCACGCUUGGCUUCUGUCUCGCCAUAAAACAGGCUUUGAGACUUGCUGAGCCUUUGCUUGCCUUCAAUUCUUCAAGGAUUGGGAUUCUGCUCGGCUUCUCGUGGUCGAGCAGAUCCUGGCACGCUUGGCUUCUGUCUCGCCAUAAAACAGGCUUUGAGACUUGCUGAGCCUUUGCAUGCCUUCAAUUCUUCAAGGAUUGGGAUUCUGCUCGCCUUCUCGUGGUCGAGCAGAUCCUGGCACGCUUGGCUUCUGUCUCGCCAUAAAACAGGCUUUGAGACUUGCUGAGCCUUUGCAUGCCUUUGAUUCUUCAAGGAUUGGGAUUCUGCUCGCCUUCUCGUGGUCGAGCAGAUCCUGGCACGCUUAGCUUCUGUCUCGCCAUAAAACAGGCUUUGAGACAUGCCGAGCCUUUGCAUGCCUUUGAUUCUUCAAGGAUUGGGAUUCUGCUCGCCUUCUCGUGGUCGAGCAGAUCCUGGCACGCUUGGCUUCUGUCUCGCCAUAAAACAGGCUUUGAGACUUGCUGAGCCUUUGCAUGCUUUGAUUCUUCAAGGAUUGGGAUUCGGCUCGCCUUCUCGUGGUCGAGCAGAUCCUGGCACGCUUGGCUUCUGUCUUGCCAUAAAACAGGCUUUGAGACUUGAUGAGCCUUUGCAUGCCUUUGAUAAUUUCUUGAAUGCUUUGGAGUCUGCUGGCCUUCUCGUGGUCGAGCAUAUCCUGGCACGCUUGGCUUCUGUCUCGCCAUAAAACAGGCUUUGAGACUUGCUGAGCCUUUGCAUGCCUUCAAUUCUUCAAGGAUUGGGAUUCUGCUCGCCUUCUCGUGGUCGAGCAGAUCCUGGCACGAUUGGCUUCUGUCUUGCCAUAAAACAGGCUUUGAGACUUGAUGAGCCUUUGCAUGGCUUUGAUAAUUUCUUGAAUGCUUUGGAGUCUGCUUGCCUUCUCGUGGUCGAGCAUAUCCUGGCACGCUUGGCUUCUGUCUCGCCAUAAAACAGGCUUUGAGACUUGCUGAGCCUUUGCAUGCCUUCAAUUCUUCACGGAUUGGGAUUCUGCUCGCCUUCUCGUGGUCGAGCAGAUCCUGGCACGCUUGGCUUCUGUCUCGCCAUAAAACAGGCUUUGAGACUUGCUGAGCCUUUGCAUGCCUUUGAUUCUUCAAGGAUUGGGAUUCUGCUCGCCUUUUCGUGGUCGAGCAGAUCCUGGCACGCUUGGCUUCUGACUCGCCAUAAAACAGGCUUUGAGACUUGCCGAGCCUUUGCAUGCCUUUGAUUCUUCAAGGAUUGGGAUUCUGCUCGCCUUCUCGUGGUCGAGCAGAUCCUGGCACGCUUGGCUUCUGUCUCGCUAUAAAACAGGCUUUGAGACUUGCUGAGCCUUUGCAUGCCGUUGAUUGUUCAAGGAUUGGGAUUCGGCUCGCCUUCUCAUGGUGGAGCAGAUUCUGGCACGCUUGGCUUCUGUCUCGUCAUAAAACAGGCUUUGAGACUUGAUGACCCUUUGCAUGCCUUUGAUAAUUUCUUGAAUGCUUUGGAGUCUGCUUGCCUUCUCGUGGUCGAGCAUAUCCUGGCACGCUUGGCUUCUGUCUCGCCAUAAAACAGGCUUUGAGACUUGCCGAGCCUUUGCAUGCCUUUGAUUCUUCAAGGAUUGGGAUUCUGCUCGCCUUCUCGUGGUCGAACAGAUCCUAGCACGCUUGGCUUCUGUCUCGCCAUAAAACAGGCUUUGAGACUUGCCGAGCCUUUGCAUGCCUUUGAUUCUUCAAGGAUUGGGAUUCUGCUCGCCUUCUCGUGGUCGAACAGAUCCUAGCACGCUUGGCUUCUGUCUCGCCAUAAAACAGGCUUUGAGACUUGUUGAGCCUUUGCAUGCCUUUGAUUCUUCAAGGAUUGGGAUUCGGCUCGCCUUCUCGUGGUCGAGCAGAUCUUGGCACGCUUGGCUUCUGUCUCGCCAUAAAACAGGCUUUGAGACUUGAUGAGCCUUUGCAUGCCUUUGAUAAUUUCUUGAAUGCUUUGGAGUCUGCUGGCCUUCUCGUGGUCGAGCAUAUCCUGGCACGCUUGGGUUCUGUCUCGCCAUAAAACAGGCUUUGAGACUUGCUGAGCCUUUGCAUGCCUUUGAUUCUUCAACGAUUGGGAUUCGGCUCGCCUUCUCGUGGUCGAGCAGAUCCUGGCACGCUUGGCUUCUGUCUUGCCAUAAAACAGGCUUUGAGACUUGAUGAGCCUUUGCAUGCCUUUGAUAAUUUCUUGAAUGCUUUGGAGUCUGCUGGCCUUCUCGUGGUCGAGCAUAUCCUGGCACGCUUGGCUUCUGUCUCGCCAUAAAACAGGCUUGAGACUUGCUGAGCCUUUGCAUGCCUUCAAUUCUUCAAGGAUUGGGAUUCUGCUCGCCUUCUCGUGGUCGAGCAGAUCCUGGCACGAUUGGCUUCUGUCUUGCCAUAAAAACAGGCUUGAAGACUUGAUGAGCCUUUGCAUGCCUUUGAUAAUUUCUUGAAUGCUUUGGAGUCUGCUUGCCUUCUCGUGGUCGAGCAUAUCCUGGCACGCUUGGCUUCUGUCUCGCCAUAAAACAGGCUUUGAGACUUGAUGAGCCUUUUGCAUGCCUUUGAUAAUUUCUUGAAUGCUUUGGAGUCUGCUUGCCUUCUCGUGGUCGAGCAUAUCCUGGCACGCUUGGCUUCUGUCUCGCCAUAAAAUAGGCUUUGAGACUUGCUGAGCCUUUGCAUGCCUUUGAUUCUUCAAGGAUUGGGAUUCUGCUCGCCUUCUCGUGGUCGAGCAGAUCCUGGCACGCUUGGCUUCUGUCUCGCCAUAAAACAGGCUUUGAGACUUGCCGAGCCUUUGCAUGCCUUUGAUUCUUCAAGGAUUGGGAUUCUGCUCGCCUUCUCGUGGUCGAGCAGAUCCUGGCACGCUGGCUUCUGUCUCGCCAUAAAACAGGCUUGAGACUUGCUGAGCCUUUGCAUGCCUUUGAUUCUUCAAGGAUUGGGAUUCGGCUCGCCUUCUCGUGGUCGAGCAGAUCCUGGCACGCUUGGCUUCUGUCUCGCCAUAAAACAGGCUUUGAGACUUGAUGAGCCUUUGCAUGCCUUUGAUAAUUUCUUGAAUGCUUUGGAGUCUGCUCGCCUUCUUGUGGUCGANNNNNNNNNNNNNNNNNNNNNNNNNNNNNNNNNNNNNNNNNNNNNNNNNNNNNNNNNNNNNNNNNNNNNNNNNNNNNNNNNNNNNNNNNNNNNNNNNNNNNNNNNNNNNNNNNNNNNNNNNNNNNNNNNNNNNNNNNNNNNNNNNNNNNNNNNNNNNNNNNNNNNNNNNNNNNNNNNNNNNNNNNGCUCGCCUUCUCGUGGUCGAGCAGAUCCUGGCACGCUUGGCUUCUGUCUCGCCAUUAAAAGGCUUGAGACAGCCUUUGCAUGCUUUUGCCUUUGGAUCGAGCUCCUGCACGCUUGCUUCUGUCGCCAUAAAACAGGCUUUGAGACUUGCUGAGCCUUUGCAUGCCUUCAAUUCUUCAGGAUUGGAUUCUGCUCGCCUUCUCGUUGGUCAGCAGAUCCUGGCACGCUUGGUUCUGUCUCGCCAUAAAAGGCUUUGAGACUUGCUGAGCCUUUGCAUGCCCUUUGAUUCUUCAAGGAUUGGGAUUCUGCUCGCCUUCUCGUGGUCGAGCAAGAUUCCUGGCACGCUUGAGCUCUGUCUCGCCAUAAAACAGGCUUUGAGACUUGCUGAGCCUUUGCAUGCCUUUCGAUUCUUCAAGGAUUGGGAUUCUGCUCGCCUUCUCGUGGUCGAGCAGAUCCUGGCACGCUUGGCUUCUGUCUCGCCAUAAAACAGGCUUGAGACUUGCUGAGCCUUUGCAUGCCUUGAUUGUUCAAGGAUUGGGAUUCGCUCGCCUUCUCGUGGUCGAGCAGAUCCUGGCACGCUUGCUUCUGUCUGCCAUAAAACAGGCUUUGAGACUUGAUGAGCCUUUGCAUGCCUUUGAUAUUCUUGAAUGCUUUGGAGUCUGCUGCCUUCUCGUGGUCGAGCAUAUCCUGGCACGCUUGGCUUCUGUCUCGCCAUAAAACAGGCUUUGAGACUUGCUGAGCCUUUGCAUGCCGUUGAUUCGUUCAAGGAUUGGGAUUCGGCUCGCCUUCUCGUGGUCGAGCAGAUCCUGGCACGCUUGGCUUCUGUCUCGCCAUAAAACAGGCUUUGAGACUUGAUGAGCCUUUGCAUGCCUUUGAUAAUUUCUUGAAUGCUUUGGAGUCUGCUUGCCUUCUCGUGGUCGAGCAUAUCCUGGCACGCUUGGCUUCUGUCUCGCCAUAAAACAGGCUUUGAGACUUGCUGAGCCUUUGCAUGCCUUUAUUCUUCAAGGAUUGGGAUUCUGCUCGCCUUCUCGUGGUCGAGCAGAUCCUGGCACGCUUGGCUUCUGUCUCGCCAUAAAACAGGCUUUGAGACUUGAUGAGCCUUUGCAUGCCUUUGAUUCUUCAAGGAUUGGGAUCUGCUCGCCUUCUCGUGGUCGAGCAGAUCCUGGCACGCUUGGCUUCUGUCUCGCCAUAAAACAGGCUUUGAGACUUGCUGAGCCUUUGCAUGCCUUUGAUUCUUCAAGGAUUGGGAUUCUGCUCGCCUUCUCGUGGUCGAGCAGAUCCUGGCACGCUUGGCUUCUGUCUCGCCAUAAAACAGGCUUUGAGACUUGCUGAGCCUUUGCAUGCCUUUGAUUCUUCAAGGAUUGGGAUUCUGCUCGCCUUCUCGUGGUCGAGCAGAUCCUGGCACGCUUGGCUUCUGUCUCGCCAUAAAACAGGCUUUUGAGACUUGCUGAGCCUUUGCAUGCCUUUGAUUCUUCAAGGAUUGGGAUUCUGCUCGCCUUCUCGUGGUCGAGCAGAUCCUGGCACGCUUGGCUUCUGUCUCGCCAUAAAACAGGCUUGAUUGCGAGCUUUGAGCUUGACUGAGUCCUCCCUCUUGACAGAUCCGCACCUUGCUCUGUCUCGCAUAAACAGCGAACUUGUUUGCAUUUUGUUUUCAAGGAUUGGGAUUCGGCUCGCCUUCUCGUGGUGGAGCAGAUCCUGGCACGCUUGGCUUCUGUCUCGUCAUAAAACAGGCUUUGAGACUUGAUGAGCCUUUGCAUGCCUUUGAUAAUUUCUUGAAUGCUUUGGAGUCUGCUGGCCUUCUCGUGGUCGAGCAUAUCCUGGCACGCUUGGCUUCUGUCUCGCCAUAAAACAGGCUUUGAGACUUGCUGAGCCUUUGCAUGCCUUUGAUUCUUCAAGGAUUGGGAUUCUGCUCGCCUUCUCGUGGUCGAGCAGAUCCUGGCACGCUUGGCUUCUGUCUCGCCAUAAAACAGGCUUUGAGACUUGCUGAGCCUUUGCAUGCCUUUGAUUCUUCAAGGAUUGGGAUUCUGCUCGCCUUCUCGUGGUCGAGCAUAUCCUGGCACGCUUGGCUUCUGUCUCGCCAUAAAACAGGCUUUGAGACUUGCUGAGCCUUUGCAUGCCUUGAUUCUUCAAGGAUUGGGAUUCUGCUCGCCUUCUCGUGGUCGAGCAGAUCCUGGCACGCUUGCUUCUGUCUCGCCAUAAAACAGCUUUAGACUUGUGAGUUUGCUUUUUUUUUGGUUGGAUUUGCUUUUUGGUAGCAGAUCUGGCACGCUUGGCUUCUGUCUCGCAUAAAACAGGCUUUGAGACUUGAUGAGCCUUUGCAUGCCUUUGAUAAUUUCUUGAAUGCUUUGGGAUUCUGCUCGCCUUCUCGUGGUCGAGCAUAUCCUGGCACGCUUGGCUUCUGUCUCGCCAUAAAACAGGCUUUGAGACUUGAUGAGCCUUUGCAUGCCUUUGAUAAUUUCUUGAAUGCUUUGGAGUCUGCUGGCCUUCUCGUGGUCGAGCAUAUCCUGGCACGCUUGGCUUCUGUCUCGCCAUAAAACAGGCUUUGAGACUUGCUGAGCCUUUGCAUGCCUUUGAUUCUUCAAGGAUUGGGAUUCUGCUCGCCUUCUCGUGGUCGAGCAGAUCCUGGCACGCUUGGCUUCUGUCUCGCCAUAAAACAGGCUUUGAGACUUGCCGAGCCUUUGCAUGCCUUUGAUUCUUCAAGGAUUGGGAUUCUGCUCGCCUUCUCAUGGUCGAGCAGAUCCUGGCACGCUUGGCUUCUGUCUCGCCAUAAAACAGGCUUUGAGACUUGCUGAGCCUUUGCAUGCCGUUUGAUUGUUCAAGGAUUGGGAUUCGGCUCGCCUUCUCGUGGUGGAGCAGAUCCUGGCACGCUUGGCUUCUGUCUCGUCAUAAAACAGGCUUUGAGACUUGAUGAGCCUUUGCAUGCCUUUGAUAAUUUUCAAGUUGGAUUCUCGCCUUCUUGUGAGCAAUCUGGCAGCUUGGCUUCUGUCUCGUCUUUACUUUUUCUUUGAUUUUUGAUUUUGUCUCUUUCUCGUGGUCGAGCAUAUCCUGGCACGCUUGGCUUCUGUCUCGCCAUAAAAACAGGCUUUGAGACUUGCUGAGCCUUUGCAUGCCUUUGAUUCUUCAAGGAUUGGGAUUCUGCUCGCCUUCUCGUGGUCGAGCAGAUCCUGGCACGCUUGGCUUCUGUCUCGCCAUAAAACAGGCUUUGAGACUUGCUGAGCCUUUGCAUGCCGUUGAUUGUUCAAGGAUUGGGAUUCGGCUCGCCUUCUCGUGGUGGAGCAUAUCCUGGCACGCUUGGCUUCUGUCUCGCCAUAAAACAGGCUUUGAGACUUGCUGAGCCUUUGCAUGCCUUCAAUUCUUCAAGGAUUGGGAUUCGGCUCGCCUUCUCGUGGUGGAGCAUAUCCUGGCACGCUUGGCUUCUGUCUCGCCAUAAAACAGGCUUUGAGACUUGCUGAGCCUUUGCAUGCCUUCAAUUCUUCAAGGAUUGGGAUUCUGCUCGCCUUCUCGUGGUCGAGCAGAUCCUGGCACGCUUGGCUUCUGUCUCGCCAUAUAAAACAGGCUUUGAGACUUGCUGAGCCUUUGCAUGCCUUUGAUUCUUCAAGGAUUGGGAUUCUGCUCGCCUUCUCGUGGUCGAGCAGAUCUUGGCACGCUUGGCUUCUGUGUCGCCAUAAAACAGGCUUUUAGACUUGCCGAGCCUUUGCAUGCCUUUGAUUCUUCAAGGAUUGGGAUUCUGCUCGCCUUCUCGUGGUCGAGCAGAUCCUGGCACGCUUGGCUUCUGUCUCGCCAUAAAACAGGCUUUGAGACUUGCUGAGCCUUUGCAUGCCGUUGAUUGUUCAAGGAUUGGGAUUCGGCUCGCCUUCUCGUGGUGGAGCAGAUCCUGGCACGCUUGGCUUCUGUCUCGUCAUAAAACAGGCUUUGAGACUUGAUGAGCCUUUGCAUGCCUUUGAUAAUUUCUUGAAUGCUUUGGAGUCUGCUGGCCUUCUCGUGGUCGAGCAUAUCCUGGCACGCUUGGCUUCUGUCUCGCCAUAAAACAAGCUUUGAGACUUGCUGAGCCUUUGCAUGCCUUCAAUUCUUCACGGAUUGGGAUUCUGCUCGCCUUCUCGUGGUCGAGCAGAUCCUGGCACGCUUGGCUUCUGUCUCGCCAUAAAAACAGGCUUUGAGACUUACUGAGCCUUUGCAUGCCUUUGAUUCUUCAAGGAUUGGGAUUCUGCUCGCCUUCUCGUGGUCGAGCAGAUCCUGGCACGCUUGGCUUCUGUCUCGCCAUAAAACAGGCUUUGAGACUUGCCGAGCCUUUGCAUGCCUUGGAUUCUUCAAGGAUUGGGAUUCUGCUCGCCUUCUCGUGGUCGAGCAGAUCCUGGCACGCUUGGCUUCUGUCUCGCCAUAAAACAGGCUUUGAGACUUGCUGAGCCUUUGCAUGCCUUUGAUUCUUCAAGGAUUGGGAUUCUGCUCGCCUUCUCGUGGUCGAGCAGAUCCUGGCACGCUUGGCUUCUGUCUCGUCAUAAAACAGGCUUUGAGACUUGCCGAGCCUUUGCAUGCCUUUGAUAAUUUCUUGAAUGCUUUGGAGUCUGCUUGCCUUCUCGUGGUCGAGCAUAUCCUAGCACGCUUGGCUUCUGUCUCGCCAUAAAACAGGCUUUGAGACUUGCUGAGCCUUUGCAUGCCGUUGAUUGUUCAAGGAUUGGGAUUCGGCUCGCCUUCUCGUGGUGGAGCAGAUCCUGGCACGCUUGGCUUCUGUCUCGUCAUAAAACAGGCUUUGAGACUUGAUGAGCCUUUGCAUGCCUUUGAUAAUUUCUUGAAUGCUUUGGAGUCUGCUGGCCUUCUCGUGGUCGAGCAUAUCCUGGCACGCUUGGCUUCUGUCUCGCCAUAAAACAAGCUUUGAGACUUGCUGAGCCUUUGCAUGCCUUUGAUAAUUUCUUGAAUGCUUUGGAUUCUGCUCGCCUUCUCGUGGUCGAGCAGAUCCUGGCACGCUUGGCUUCUGUCUCGCCAUAAAACAGGCUUUGAGACUUGCUGAGCCUUUGCAUGCCGUUGAUUGUUCAAGGAUUGGGAUUCGGCUCGCCUUCUCGUGGUCGAGCAGAUCCUGGCACGCUUGGCUUCUGUCUCGCCAUAAAACAGGCUUUGAGACUUGCUGAGCCUUUGCAUGCCUUCAAUUCUUCAAGGAUUGGGAUUCUGCUCGCCUUCUCGUGGUCGAGCAGAUCCUGGCACGCUUGGCUUCUGUCUCGCCAUAAAACAGGCUUUGAGACUUGCUGAGCCUUUGCAUGCCUUUGAUUCUUCAAGGAUUGGGAUUCUGCUCGCCUUCUCGUGGUCGAGCAGAUCCUGGCACGCUUGGCUUCUGUCUCGCCAUAAAACAGGCUUUGAGACUUGCCGAGCCUUUGCAUGCCUUUGAUUCGUCAAGGAUUGGGAUUCUGCUUGCCUUCUCGUGGUCGAGCAGAUCCUGGCACGCUUGGCUUCUGUCUCGCCAUAAAACAGGCUUUGAGACUUGCUGAGCCUUUGCAUGCCUUUGAUUGUUCAAGGAUUGGGAUUCGGCUCUCCUUCUCGUGGUCGAGCAGAUCCUGGCACGCUUGGCUUCUUUCUCGCCAUAAAACAAGCUUUGAGACUUGCCGAGCCUUUGCAUGCCUUUGAUUCUUCAAGGAUUGAGAUUCUGCUCGCCUUCUCGUGGUCGAGCAGAUCCUGGCACGCUUGGCUUCUGUCUCGCCAUAAAACAGGCUUUGAGACUUGCUGAGCCUUUGCAUGCCUUUGAUUGUUCAAGGAUUGGGAUUCGGCUCGCCUUCUCGUGGUGGAGCAGAUCCUGGCACGCUUGGCUUCUGUCUCGUCAUAACACAAGCUUUGAGACUUGAUGAGCCUUUGCAUGCCUUUGAUAAUUUCUUGAAUGCUUUGGAGUCUGCUCGCCUUCUCGUGGUCGAGCAUAUCCUGGCACGCUUGGCUUCUGUCUCGCCAUAAAACAGGCUUUGAGACUUGCUGAGCCUUUGCAUGCCUUCAAUUCUUCAAGGAUUGGGAUUCUGCUCGCCUUCUCGUGGUCGAGCAGAUCCUGGCACGCUUGGCUUCUGUCUCACCAUAAAACAGGCUUUGAGACUUGCUGAGCCUUUGCAUGCCUUUGAUUCUUCAAAGAUUGGGAUUCUGCUCGCCUUCUCGUGGUCGAGCAGAUCCUGGCACGCUUGGCUUCUUUCUCGCCAUAAAACAGGCUUUGAGACUUGCCGAGCCUUUGCAUGCCUUUGAUUCUUCAAGGAUUGGGAUUCUGCUCGCCUUCUCGUGGUCGAGCAGAUCCUGGCACGCUUGGCUUCUGUCUCGCCAUAAAAUAGGCUUUGAGACUUGCUGAGCCUUUGCAUGCCUUUGAUUGUUCAAGGAUUGGGAUUCUGCUCGCCUUCUCGUGGUCGAGCAGAUCCUGGCACGCUUGGCUUCUGUCUCGCCAUAAAAUAGGCUUUGAGACUUGCUGAGCCUUUGCAUGCCUUUGAUUGUUCAAGGAUUGUGAUUCGGCUUGCCUUCUCGUGGUCGAGCAGAUCCUGGCACGCUUGGCUUCUGUCUCACCAUAAAACAGGCUUUGAGACUUGCUGAGCCUUUGCAUGCCUUUGAUUCUUCAAAGAUUGGGAUUUUGCUCGCCUUCUCGUGGUCGAGCAGAUCCUGGCACGCUUGGCUUCUGUCUCGCCAUAAAACAGGCUUUGAGACUUGCCGAGCCUUUGCAUGCCUUUGAUUCUUCAAGGAUUGGGAUUCUGCUCGCCUUCUCGUGGUCGAGCAGAUCCUGGCACGCUUGGCUUCUGUCUCGCCAUAAAAUAGGCUUUGAGACUUGCUGAGCCUUUGCAUGCCUUUGAUUGUUCAAGGAUUGUGAUUCGGCUUGCCUUCUCGUGGUCAAGCAGAUCCUGGCACGCUUGGCUUCUGUCUCGCCAUAAAACAGGCUUUGAGACUUGCUGAGCCUUUGCAUGCCUUCAAUUCUUCAAGGAUUGGGAUUCUGCUCGCCUUCUCGUGGUCGAGCAGAUCCUGGCACGCUUGGCUUCUGUCUCACCAUAAAACAGGCUUUGAGACUUGCUGAGCCUUUGCAUGCCUUUGAUUCUUCAAAGAUUGGGAUUCUGCUCGCCUUCUCGUGGUCGAGCAGAUCCUGGCACGCUUGGCUUCUGUCUCGCCAUAAAACAGGCUUUGAGACUUGCCGAGCCUUUGCAUGCCUUUGAUUCUUCAAGGAUUGGGAUUCUGCUCGCCUUCUCGUGGUCGAGCAGAUCCUGGCACGCUUGGCUUCUGUCUCGCCAUAAAACAGGCUUUGAGACUUGCCGAGCCUUUGCAUGCCUUUGAUUCUUCAAAGAUUGGGAUUCUGCUUGCCUUCUCGUGGUCGAGCAGAUCCUGGCACGCUUGGCUUCUGUCUCGCCAUAAAACAGGCUUUGAGACUUGCCGAGCCUUUGCAUGCCUUUGAUUCUUCAAGGAUUGGGAUUCUGCUCGCCUUCUCGUGGUCGAGCAGAUCCUGGCACGCUUGGCUUCUGUCUCGCCAUAAAAAUAGGCUUUGAGACUUGCUGAGCCUUUGCAUGCCUUUGAUUGUUCAAGGAUUGUGAUUCGGCUUGCCUUCUCGUGGUCAAGCAGAUCCUGGCACGCUUGGCUUCUGUCUCACCAUAAAACAGGCUUUGAGACUUGCUGAGCCUUUGCAUGCCUUCAAUUCUUCAAGGAUUGGGAUUCUGCUCGCCUUCUCGUGGUCGAGCAGAUCCUGGCACGCUUGGCUUCUGUCUCACCAUAAAACAGGCUUUGAGACUUGCUGAGCCUUUGCAUGCCUUUGAUUCUUCAAAGAUUGGGAUUCUGCUCGCCUUCUCGUGGUCGAGCAGAUCCUGGCACGCUUGGCUUCUGUCUCGCCAUAAAACAGGCUUUGAGACUUGCCGAGCCUUUGCAUGCCUUUGAUUCUUCAAGGAUUGGGAUUCUGCUCGCCUUCUCGUGGUCGAGCAGAUCCUGGCACGCUUGGCUUCUGUCUCGCCAUAAAACAGGCUUUGAGACUUGCUGAGCCUUUGCAUGCCUUUGAUUCUUCAAGGAUUGGGAUUCUGCUCGCCUUCUCGUGGUCGAGCAGAUCCUGGCACGCUUGGCUUCUGUCUCGUCAUAAAACAGGCUUUGAGACUUGCCGAGCCUUUGCAUGCCUUUGAUAAUUUCUUGAAUGCUUUGGAGUCUGCUUGCCUUCUCGUGGUCGAGCAUAUCCUAGCACGCUUGGCUUCUGUCUCGCCAUAAAACAGGCUUUGAGGCUUGCUGAGCCUUUGCAUGCCGUUGAUUGUUCAAGGAUUGGGAUUCGGCUCGCCUUCUCGUGGUGGAGCAGAUCCUGGCACGCUUGGCUUCUGUCUCGCCAUAAAAUAGGCUUUGAGACUUGCUGAGCCUUUGCAUGCCUUUGAUUGUUCAAGGAUUGUGAUUCGGCUUGCCUUCUCGUGGUCAAGCAGAUCCUGGCACGCUUGGCUUCUGUCUCACCAUAAAACAGGCUUUGAGACUUGCUGAGCCUUUGCAUGCCUUCAAUUCUUCAAGGAUUGGGAUUCUGCUCGCCUUCUCGUGGUCGAGCAGAUCCUGGCACGCUUGGCUUCUGUCUCGUCAUAAAACAGGCUUUGAGACUUGAUGAGCCUUUGCAUGCCUUUGAUAAUUUCUUGAAUGCUUUGGAGUCUGCUUGCCUUCUCGUGGUCGAGCAUAUCCUGGCACGCUUGGCUUCUUACUCGCCAUAAAACAGGCUUUGAGACUUGCCGAGCCUUUGCAUGCUUUUGAUUCUUCAAGGAUUGGGAUUCUGCUCGCCUUCUCGUGGUCGAACAGAUCCUAGCAUGCUUGGCUUCUGUCUCGCCAUAAAACAGGCUUUGAGACUUGUUGAGCCUUUGCAUGCCUUUGAUUCUUCAAGGAUUGGGAUUCGGCUCGCCUUCUCGUGGUCGAGCAGAUCCUGGCACGCUUGGCUUCUGUCUCGCCAUAAAACAGGCUUUGAGACUUGCUGAGCCUUUGCAUGCCUUUGAUUCUUCAAGGAUUGGGAUUCUGCUCGCCUUCUCGUGGUCGAGCAGAUCCUGGCACGCUUGGCUUCUGUCUCGCCAUAAAACAGGCUUUGAGACUUGCCGAGCCUUUGCAUGCCUUUGAUUCUUCAAGGAUUGGGAUUCUGCUCGCCUUCUCGUGGUCGAGCAGAUCCUGGCACGCUUGGCUUCUGUCUCGCCAUAAAACAGGCUUUGAGACUUGCUGAGCCUUUGCAUGCCGUUGAUUGUUCAAGGAUUGGGAUUCGGCUCGCCUUCUCGUGGUGGAGCAGAUCCUGGCACGCUUGGCUUCUGUCUCGUCAUAAAACAGGCUUUGAGACUUGAUGAGCCUUUGCAUGCCUUUGAUAAUUUCUUGAAUGCUUUGGAGUCUGCUUGCCUUCUCGUGGUCGAGCAUAUCCUGGCACGCUUGGCUUCUGUCUCGCCAUAAAACAGGCUUUGAGACUUGCCGAGCCUUUGCAUGCCUUUGAUUCUUCAAGGAUUGGGAUUCUGCUCGCCUUCUCGUGGUCGAGCAGAUCCUGGCACGCUUGGCUUCUGUCUCGCCAUAAAACAGGCUUUGAGACUUGCUGAGCCUUUGCAUGCCGUUGAUUGUUCAAGGAUUGGGAUUCGGCUCGCCUUCUCGUGGUCGAGCAGAUCCUGGCACGCUUGGCUUCUGUCUCGCCAUAAAACAGGCUUUGAGACUUGCUGAGCCUUUGCAUGCCUUCAAUUCUUCAAGGAUUGGGAUUCUGCUCGCCUUCUCGUGGUCGAGCAGAUCCUGGCACGCUUGGCUUCUGUCUCGCCAUAAAACAGGCUUUGAGACUUGCCGAGCCUUUGCAUGCCUUUGAUUCUUCAAGGAUUGGGAUUCUGCUCGCCUUCUCGUGGUCGAGCAGAUCCUGGCACGCUUGGCUUCUGUCUCGCCAUAAAACAGGCUUUGAGACUUGCCGAGCCUUUGCAUGCCUUUGAUUCGUCAAGGAUUGGGAUUCUGCUUGCCUUCUCGUGGUCGAGCAGAUCCUGGCACGCUUGACUUCUGUCUCGCCAUAAAACAGGCUUUGAGACUUGCUGAGCCUUUGCAUGCCUUUGAUUGUUCAAGGAUUGGGAUUCGGCUCUCCUUCUCGUGGUCGAGCAGAUCCUGGCACGCUUGGCUUCUUUCUCGCCAUAAAACAAGCUUUGAGACUUGCCGAGCCUUUGCAUGCCUUUGAUUCUUCAAGGAUUGAGAUUCUGCUCGCCUUCUCGUGGUCGAGCAGAUCCUGGCACGCUUGGCUUCUGUCUCGCCAUAAAACAGGCUUUGAGACUUGCUGAGCCUUUGCAUGCCUUUGAUUGUUCAAGGAUUGGGAUUCGGCUCGCCUUCUCGUGGUGGAGCUGAUCCUGGCACGCUUGGCUUCUGUCUCGUCAUAAAACAGGCUUUGAGACUUGAUGAGCCUUUGCAUGCCUUUGAUAAUUUCUUGAAUGCUUUGGAGUCUGCUCGCCUUCUCGUGGUCGAGCAUAUCCUGGCACGCUUGGCUUCUGUCUCGCCAUAAAACAGGCUUUGAAACUUGCUGAGCCUUUGCAUGCCUUCAAUUCUUCAAGGAUUGGGAUUCUGCUCGCCUUCUCGUGGUCGAGCAGAUCCUGGCACGCUUGGCUUCUGUCUCACCAUAAAACAGGCUUUGAGACUUGCUGAGCCUUUGCAUGCCUUUGAUUCUUCAAAGAUUGGGAUUCUGCUCGCCUUCUCGUGGUCGAGCAGAUCCUGGCACGCUUGGCUUCUGUCUCGCCAUAAAACAGGCUUUGAGACUUGCCGAGCCUUUGCAUGCCUUUGAUUCUUCAAGGAUUGGGAUUCUGGUCGCCUUCUCGUGGUCGAGCAGAUCCUGGCACGCUUGGCUUCUGUCUCGCCAUAAAAUAGGCUUUGAGACUUGCUGAGCCUUUGCAUGCCUUUGAUUGUUCAAGGAUUGUGAUUCGGCUUGCCUUCUCGUGGUCAAGCAGAUCCUGGCACGCUUGGCUUCUGUCUCGCCAUAAAACAGGCUUUGAGACUUGAUGAGCCUUUGCAUGCCUUAGGAAAUUUUCACAGUUUCAAGCGAAUGAAAUUCCUCAUUGAUUCAUUUAUUGCUGAGUUCGGCUUACAUGAGGUUGGUUUGAAAUAAGAAAUCAAAAAUAGAAAACAACGGACACGAACAGAAAAAAAAAAAACUUUAAAACAUGAAUAAGUCUUACUAGAAAUAUUUCCUGAGGUGUGCCGCGCUCCAUGGACGUUUCACCUCGUGGCCCUCCGUGCGAACCAACUUGUAGACUCCGGGUCCAACUAGCUGCCUUUCCCGGCUUCCACUCGGGUACCAAGGUAUGUUAUCUGCAUUGCUUCCCUUGCUGCCGAGGAGUAACAAGUUCGUGCGAUUCUCUGGUCUCCUCGUACCACUCCAACUACCCCAUUCACCCGGUACUUGAGAGCCAGAUAAUGGUUGGACAGCACCGCUUUGCUCAUCCUCAGAAAUGGCCGACCUAGGAUCAUCUGAUAAGGACCUUCCUCAUCCACUACCACAAAGUCCAGUAUCAUUGUCCUUUCUGUCGGGGAGCUCCCAAUCGUGAUAGGCAGCUCGACCACGCCCAGAGGGACCAGCUUUCCUCUUCCAAACCCCUUCAAGGAGGUAUUGGUGUAUUCCAACUUCCGGUCUACUAUUCCCAUCUCCUCCAAGGUUGACUUAAAUAAUACAUCAACUGAACUCCCUGUAUCAACCAGUAUCCGGUCACACUUCUUGCUAGCGACAGUAGCCUUGAUGACUAAAGCAUCCUCGUGGGGGUAUAGAAUUCCUUCCUCAUCUUCAUCCGUCCACAUGAUUGGCACUUGCCUGACCCUUGCUCGUUUGGCUGCUGGGGUGUUGAAGAAUACCUCUUUACUAGUCAUGGCGUAUCUAGCAUAGUUCUUCCUAGAUCUGUUGGAAUCUCCAGCCAAUGUCGGGCCCCCAGCAAUCACCCUUACUGUAGGCUGCUCGUGCCUCAAAUUUCUGCCACUCUGCUCCCCUUCACAUGUCGAGGCCACCAUCGGGAAAGUCCCAUCUACAAACUCGUCCAGGUACCGAUUUCUCACCAAAUCUUCAACCUGGGUCUUGAGAUCUUUGCAUUCUGCAGUGGUAUGGCCAUGAGUGCCAUAGAACUUACAAUGGCGUCCCCUAUCCCUCCUGCUGGGUAGCUUUGUUAUUAGGGCAGGGAGGUACAGCAAUCCUCGGUCCUUUAUGGCCUCGUAUACUUUGUCCAGGGACAUCUUCAAGGAGGUGUAUCGCCCAUACUCCUGGUUUUGGUCAAUCAGGUGCACAGCCCUUUCUCUAUUUGCUCCGUUUUGAGUUGGAGGCGAUGGCAGCAUUUCUGGUCUGCUCCCUCUACUACUGUGGGAGUGUUGAUGAAGACCACCAUAUGCCGAAUCAUGCCUUCUCCAAGGCUCCCUAGCUGGGGAACGAGGAGGGUGCGCCCUGCUGCGCUGAUACUGUGGUGGCCUCUGAUGAGGCUGGUGAGCUGUUAUCCGACCUCCUGUUCCACUACCUGAGGCCUGGAGGUCCCUCCUCCUGAUCGGCCCAUUUCCCGGUAAUGCCCUCUUCUCUUUCUUUUCCAGCCCCUCCAGCUGGUCUGUCUUAAUCCGACCUGCCUUUUCUUCCUCGAUCUCUAUGUCUCUUUUAGCCUGCUCGUAUGCGGCUGCAUACGUCUGAAUAGCUGGGCUUCUCAAGUUGUACCACAGCCUUCCUAUCUUCACUCCCUCUUUCAAUCCCCUUAGUGCCUGAGGAUGGUCGAAGGCUCCCAAAUCGAGGACAGCACGAUGAAACCUCUUGAUGAAUUCCCGAAGGGUUUCUUGCUCCCCUUGCUUCAUGCUUUUCAGCUCCAUCAUGUCAUCUUCUGGUGCCAUUGCCCCACGAAACUGCUCUGCAAACUCCUGGCACAUCUGCUCGAAGGUUUUAAUGCUCCCCCGAGGAAGUUUCUUGUACCACUCUCGUGCACGUCCCUCAAGAGAUAGUGGGAACACCCUGCACCUUUGGGAUUGAGAUAAUCCUUGUACCCCAGUUAUGUCGUUGAAACGCUCUAUGUGCACCAGCGGAUCCGUUCGUCCCGAAUACCUAAGGUCUGGGAGGCGGAAAUCUCUCGGAAUAACUGCCCUCAUGAUCUCUGCUGCGAGCGGUGAUUCUCCGUCCAGCAUUAUCCUCCAACCAGGAGCUCUGCUCCUUCCUUGCAUGUCGUCAAUUAUCUGCGCUAGUCUGCGCACUUCCUCCUCCAGCUGCACUGCGCGACUAGGGUCACGUGCUGCAGCUUGAUCCCGCUCUUGCUCUACAUCAAGCAAGUGUUGCCUCAACUCUGUUUCCUCUGCAUUUGCCACCCUGUCCACUUUAAAUCUGGUGUGGUUAAUGAACAUUUUGAGGUCACAAAAUUUGCACUACUGGAAACAAUAAAGGAAGCAGUACCAGAGAUAUGGUCACCAGAAAUGAAGAGUGCCUGGUCCGAAGCUUGCGAUCAAUUGGUUGCAGCCAUUAAGUUAGAGAUGAAGCCCUCCUCUUAGAGUUUCCUGAACAAAUUUCUCUUCCCUUGUAAUAUUAAAGAAUUUCAACAAGAUCAUUGUUUAUUUGUUAAUCUUUGCAUUGGUACCCAUGUGUGUUUCUUAUGCCUUUUUGUAUCAAUCCUUGUGUUCAACUCUUAAAUCUUAAUAAUAAAAGUUUGUUCCUAAUAUUUGCAUUUAAAUAUUAACAUGUGUGUUAGAUGAUUUGCCUCUUUGAUUCUGUUGCUUCAUUCCCGUGCAUCUAUCCAAUUAUACUGAUUAGUCCUAAACUGGUUUCAAUGCUCUUAACAAGGAAAAGCUUCAAAAUAAGCUCUUCUUUUUUAGUUGUAAGUGUGUUCUCUUCUGUUGAGUUAUUAAUGGAUCAGUGAAAAGGGCUAACAAUUCUUUUGGAAUGUGUUUGCACUAUGUAUAACAACAAUAAAUGAACUCAAAAGAUUAACGUAUAAUGAAGUUAACUUUCUAUAAUGAAGUUUGUUGUGUUUAAUUUAUAUCAUAUUUGUUCUUUUCUAUUGAUAGUGAUCCAGUUGAAAGAAAAGCAGGGGAAGAAAAAAUGGACAACAUCCAAGAAGCAUCUCAUGCCUUUAAGCCGGCAAAAAUUUCGUGCUUCUAAUGUUUUCUUGCUGCUGAAUUCUUGAAUGUAGAAGUUCAACAGUCAAUUCUCACGAACCAGUUGGCGUUUUGCAGCUUGGAAGCUCUAUACUUGAGGUUUUGCAGUUUGCAAUUUGCAGUCUGCAGAUUGUAAGUUUUGAGGGGAGUGUUAUGGUUCACGCUUGCGCAAAUAGAAGGAUAAAGAGAAUGCUCACGUGCUGCACAGGUGGAAUUAAAAGGAAAGCAAUCAAAACCAAAAAGCAAUCAAAGCAAAAGAAAAGUAAUCAAAGCAAAAAGAAAGCAAUCAAAGCAAAAUGCACCGUUUUUACCAAUAUUCCGGGGGCGGAUUCAGGGUUUAAUUCGGGGUAAAUAGCUUUUUCCCUAUUAUAAACACCUGAAGUCAAAGUUAAUGUUUUAAUUUCUUUAGUUUGGUAAAGACUGCUUAAGCUGACUUGAAAAGCUCAAAUAUAAGUUCUAUAUUAACAAAUGCCCGCAGCUUGUGAAGACAUAGAUAAUUGAAGCCGAUGAGGCAUAUUUAACAGAUGAUAAUCAAAACUAAUGUGAUUAAAAUUAUAAUUCAAUAAUUAAGCACAUAAAACAACAAGUAACUAGUUGUAUAUAUACCAAACAACAUUUUGAAGUUAAGGCGUAAAACAGCAACAUAGAACAAAUUAAUUAAAUAUACCAGCACCAAUACUCUUAUUAUUAUCCACAUAGAAAAGAACAAUAUAUCAAACAAGGAAAAUGAAAUAUUGUUAAUAACUCAAAAACCACUAGUGUCAAGGACUAGACUAAUAAGUGAAACCCAUAAUUGGAGGAUAAUUAUGUGCACAUGAGUUCGCUUAGCAAAAGUCCGCCUAGGCGUGGAGUGCGCUUAAAAGCGGGAUGCACUUAGAAGUGAGAUGCGCUUAGCAAAUCAUCCAAGCCCAACCCAAGAUCUAGAACUCUCUGUAAAUUAUUAAUAAGCUAAAGUUUUUAUGUUUCUCCAUGUAGGUCCCUAGGAUAUUUAUGGAAGUUGCUAGGAAGUUUCCUCCCCUAGAACUCUAAUACCUAUAAAUAGGGGUGGGCCGCCUCAUUUGCCCACCAAUCACACCACACACACAAACACUCCAGCACACACACACAAGCUCUCUAGCUUUUGCAAAAAACUCUCUUGUAUAUUCUCUCUUUGUGAGUAAUAAAAUCAUAUUCAGCCAUAUUGCUCUACAUAAAAUCAUAUUCGGCCAUAUUGCUCUACUUCUCUCUAGCAUUUUCCGCAAGUGUUCUUGCUUUGCUAGUUUGAGGAGUGGUCUAGGCUUGCUUAGCAACUUGUUUGCUACAAGGACAUCUUGGUCACAAAACAUGGACAUGCAAGGAAAAAAAAAUAUUGAUACGUUCUAAAAAUAAUACGCAUUCUUCUACAGUGAACCAAAAAAUUUAGGCUAAUGGUAGCAAGUGAAGGAAUUGUGAUUUCACGUGCAUUUUGUUGACAUGAAGGUAAAGAACUUUUUUAUAGUUUAUAUUGUUUAAUAUAACAUUUGAAUUGCAAAAUAGGGGUACAAAAUUGAUACACGAAGUGAGAAAACUAAGCUAAUUAUGAUAAAUAUUGAAUUAAAAGAUUUAGGUUUAAUCAUAAAGACAUAAGUGGCCCACAAAGUCAUGAAUUGAUAUCAUCCACGAUGCAAGUUCAAAAAACUGCAUAAUAAGUUGCCCCAAGCUAAACUAUUAAUCUAGUAACUAUUCUAGUCGAUGUGGGAUAAUUUUCCUAUCACCAUCUAUCACGUGCAGGCCGAAUUUGUUGCUUGGUCCUUACAUGUGGUAAGGUAAUAUGAAUCCACUUGCGCAUGAAUUUGGCUCCGAUAUUAUAUAGAAGCCUAUGACACAAAAUUAUACUUAAAGGUUAUUUCAAGAUUUGAGGGUUGCCUCAAGCUAAUAUUAUUAUUAGCCUGGUAACCCUUUUUUUUUUUGUUGAUAUGUGAUAUUUUCCCUAUAACUUUUAUUAAUCUUUAUGCUUAUGUUUUGUCAUUUAUCCCAAAAUAUAACAAUAACAAAAGUUCCAAAAUUUCCUUCAAGAGAUAUAUUUGAGACAAGUAAUUUGUGCAAUAACUUUGUGAAUUGAUGAGCAAAUUCAGAGAAAAGAAUAUAUGUGCCAAACGUAACGUUUAUUAUUGUGUUUAUUUGUAGAGCUAUUUAAAGCCCAAAAAAAAAAAAAAAGCACCGGUCCGCUAUUAUUUCAAAUAAGUUCAAGCCCUAUGUCAUUAUUGGUACAAAAAUGUAUUAGAAUGGUUAAAAACUAUUUUUAUUUAACUUAUAAACUUAGGAAAUUAUCAACUGUUCACCCUUAAAUUGCAUUGUUAUAAAAAAUAUUACAACAUUUUCAGGUUGUAUCAUUCAUCUACCAUAAAUUUACAAUUUGCAUCAUUUAUCCACCAAAUCAUUAACUUCGUUAAAAAGUGAUAGACGUCACAAGGGUAAUUUAGACAUUUAACACACAAAAAAAAUAAAAGAGAAAUUAUCUAAGCUUACCAUGUUAUCAAAAUUGCUACAAAAUUUUAAAUUUAUUCAAUUUUCCAAUCUAAGUUUAUGACCUCCAAGAUGUUAAUUGCAGUUUGUAAUUAAUGACUUCAUAAGGAUAAUUUAGACACUCAAUAUGCAAAAUAAAAAAUAAAAUAAUGGCUUAAAACAUUAAAACAAAAAACUACUUUUUAUAAUUGAUAUUCAAUUAAAUACACAUAAACUCUAUUUUUUUCUUAAUUAAAAAAAUUCUAAUUUAUUUUCUCAAUUUAUCAUCAUAAAUUUACAUUAAUAAACUAAAUCCACAAAUUACCCUAAACCCUAAUUCAUAAAUGCCCAAUCAAUCUAAUAGUUUAAUUCGAUUUCAUAAUUAAAAAAGCUAAAUUUAUUAUAUUAGUUGUGGUGCAAAGUCAAAAAUGCCCUUAAAUUCAAGGUAAAAUAACAUUUUAUGUAAAUUCUAUAAAUUAUUCUAACAAUGUUAACAUUUUGGUGGACGGUUAAUAUAAGUUACAAACUUAAAAUAGAAAAUCAAAUAAAUUCAAAAUUUCAAACUAUUUAGGGCAAAUUUAGGAUAUAUGGUUAAUAAUUUUCCCAUGUCUUUUUACAUUGGUUGAUAUAAGUUACAAACUUAAAAUAGAAAAUCAAAUAAAUUUAUAUUUUCAAACUAUUUAGGACAAACUUAGGGUAUAUGGUUAAUAAUUUUUCUUUAUCUUUUUACGUUAAAUUGAGUUUCAAAGGUAAAAUGAUCAAUUUAUUAUAAUUCUAUUCAUUUUUUAGUGGAAGCAAAUGAUAUAAUGGACGAGUGAUAUAAAUUGUAAAAUUCUAUUCAUUUAAAGUGCAUGAAUGAUACAACUUUAAAGUAUUGUAGUAAUUUUAAUAAUAGAACAAUUUAAGGGUGGAUUGGCAAUAAUUUAAACUUUAAUGAAGCAACUAAAAAAAUUUGUUAACAAAGAAAAAUAAUUGAAUGCUUGGUGAAACCAAAAGUAAUUGAAAAGCUUUAAGAAAAAUAAAGGAAAUUAAAUAUCUUUAUAAAAACAUAAUUGAGUAAAAUCAUUUUACAAAAUGCUCUUUCAAAUGCACAUUCCACAAGCCAGGGAGAACGGGUGGCUAACAAAAAUGUCACUUUUUAUGAGUUUAUAAAAUCUCACUUUCGCUAAAUUAAAAAAUAACCAAUACUAAUGACACAAAAAAUAAAAAUUAUUGCUGUCACGACAUUACACACUUUCUUCGCAGUUUAGAAAGGUGGAACAUUUUGAAGUUCCUCAAUACAAAAUGCGUGCUACUACUAAAUUGGCCCAAUUAAUGCCCAUCGAAAAGGCCAUCAAUUUAGCCGCCAAUUUUGUCAAAAUUUCAACAAUUGAAGAAAUAAUGAGCACAAAUGGAAAAAAAAAAUCAUAAAGCUACCAAAAGGAACCACAAAAUCAUCAAUAUUAUCGUUUAAUAUGGGGAACGGCCUGCGCAUCCAAAUUGUGCGAACUGAACACGUUGAAAUGUGUUUUUUUUUUUGGAUUUUUGGAAUUUUUUAAAAUCAUUUAUGUUCGCUGCCAUCUUUUUCUUCGCUGGCGUCUUCAUUGGCAUCCCUCUCUUGGCUGGCAUCUGCCUCGUCUGCAGUUUGCUGUGCCUAUAUAUCCAACCAAUAAAUUGGGCAUUAAAUACGAAUGAUGAAUAAAAUGAUUAAAAACAAACAGAGAAAAUUAUAAUAUAACACAUAUAUAUUGAAAGAGAAAUUUUGAUUUUAGGAUAGAUCAAUUAGCUAUCACAAACGAAAACAUGUACCAACUAUGUAUAGAGUCAAUUAACUAAAGUUCUCAAGAGUUGACCUGUGCUCCUGAAUCCUUGGAAUCAUCUAUCUCCUUCUGAAUUUCCACGAAGCCUGGGACAAUCUUGAACAACAACGUUAAAGGAUGGAAUUGAGAUCUGAUAACCCGCAGGCCAAAUGUUGGUGAGGUUUGGUAAGUUUAUCAGUUCCACCCGAAGUUCAUUCAUAACAAUUUCAUUGUAAUCCGUGACGUCUGCUCCAUCUUUAUGCCAGAAUACUUCUUCUAAUUCAUCAUUAGCUGCUAUGUUUAGGUUCUUCAGUUUUUGAAGACUUGGAGCUACGCUGAUAUGAAAUAGAUGCUUUAGUUUGGGGCAAUAAGCGACAGUGAUCUCUGUGAGUUUUGGGAAACAUACAGGUUGGAGAUGAUCCUCAUCCUCAUCCUCAUCAAUGAUUUGCUCUAAUUCCCAGCAAUUGCGAAUGUAUAACUCCUUCAAACAUGGGAAUAGUUUGUUUUCUGGUCCCUCAGCGAUAAUAGCUUCCAAUUGAAAUACCACCUGUACUCCAAUUUCCCUAAUAUGCAAUUCUUCCAAAUUUUUUAAUCCGUGCUUCAACAGUGCUGGAAUCGUGUCACUCAAAUGGGAACAAUUGUCCACAUCUAGAGUAUUUAAGUUCUGAGACAAAUAAAUAAAUAACUUGAUGCAAUUAAAAUUUAUUAGCAGCUAGGAUUAUCACAUGAUAAGUGAUGAACACCGCAAAAAUAUCAUAAUACAUAUGUAAACUAAUAAAAUAAUUAAAAAGUAAUGGAUUUAAAAAAAAUGAAAUUAGUUAAAAGAGAUCAUGUGAAGUGAUAUAAAUGUGACAGUAGAUUGUUUUAGAAAAAAAUAUUAUUCUAUUAAUUUAUAUGGCUUGAUAAACUAUUUAAUUGAAUUUGAAUAAUAUUAUAUACACUUCUGAAGUAUUUGCAUCAAUUCUUUCUAAACCAAAAUGAGAUAUGACUUUCAUUUGAAGAAUGGUUUUAGGCCCUAUAAUAAAGAAAUUUUCCUAAGAUAUCUGAGCAUUAUUAUUAUCAUUACCACAUCCACCACCACCAUCAUCAUCUCCAUAGGAUCAAAUAAUUGUCAAAAGUCAUGGCUGGCAUCGGCCAUCUAGAUGGCCAGUGCCAUGCGAUUCAACACGGCCCACCAUUAUUGGUGGUGCCGCGUUGACUUAUUCUAUAAAAAAAAAAAAGGAGCCAAAAUUUUGGCUAUAUAAAGAGGGCUUCCCACCCUCAUUUUGCAUUCCAUUACGAGAGAGCAAUUUAGUAGUUGAGAGAGAGUUUAGAGAGCUUGAAAUUAUAAAGCUUUUGUUAUAGUGAUUUAGAGAGUUUGGGUGUAUUGAGAUUUUUGGGAAGUGAGCUAAAAUACUACAAUACUUGUAACUCCUUUUCACUAGUAAAAUAUUUCCUUCUGUUUUUGCCCGUGGACGUAGGCUAAAAGCCGAACCACAUAAAUUCUGGUGUCCUCUAUUAUGCUUGUUCUUUAUUUUCUUCCAAUUUCACUUUAGCUGCUUGUCUGCUUCACCCACCAAUUUCCUAACAGUGGUAUCAGAGCUAUUGGUUGUAUUUUUUUGAGUCGGGUACUGUUCACGUAAGGGGUACUAUUCACGUAUACGGUACUAUUCACGUAUACAGUACUAUUCACGUAUACGGUACUAUUCAUGUAUACAGUACUAUUCACGUGAAACGGUGGGAGCGAUCCAAGAAUUUUACGGUGCAAAGCAGGGAAUAGUGGUGUGAGUAAAACAACUGUGUGGUUUUGUACAUGUCUAGGAAAGUUAUGUCACAAAGGCGAUAAGAGCUUAAGGAGUCUGGGUUUUAAGUGGGACCAUUGUGACCCCUCCAGUCUUUCCUGGGAACUUUCCUGGUGUGCAUUCUCACACAUACUUACAACUAUUCAAGGUGGUACACUAGUUUGUGUGCGGUAUUUAUCAACAAAAUGGCGGCAAAGUAUGAAAUUGAGAAAUUUAACAGAAACAAUUUUUCGUUGUGGAAAAUGAAGAUGAAAGCUGUAUUGAGGAAAAAUAAUUGCUUGGCAGGAAUUGGAGAAAGGCCCAUGGAGAUAACUGAUGACAAGUGGAAUGAGAUAGAUGGCAACGCCAUUUCUGAUCUACACUUGGCACUUGCAGAUGGAGUAUUAUCCAGUGUGGCAGAGAAAAAUACAGCGAAGGAAAUAUGGGAUACUCUUACAAAAUUGUACGAGGCCAAGUCACUACACAACAAAAUCUUCUUGAAGAGGAAACUUUAUACUCUUCGAAUGACGGAAUCUACAAUGGUGACCGACCACAUCAACACCUUGAAGACUCUAUUUUCACAACUCACAACGUUGGGUCAUAAUAUAGAGGAGAAUGAACGAGCAGAGCUUCUACUUCAAAGUCUAUCAGAUUCGUAUGAUCAACUCAUCAUCAACCUAACGAAUAAUAAUCCAGUGGACAAUCUAGUUUUCGACGAUGUUGCAGUCUCCGUAUUAAAUAAGGAGAGUAGGCGGAAAAAUAAAGAAAACAGACAAGCAAGUUCACAGCAAGCGGAGGCGCUAUCGGUGACGAGAGGGAGAUCAACAGAACGUGGCCCCAGUGAGAGCCACAAUCAUGGUAGAUCAAAAUCCAAAAGUAAGAAGAAUAUUAAAUGCUACAACUGUGGCAAGAAAGGGCACAUCAAGAAAAAGUGUUGGAGUAACCAGAAGAGAAGAGAGGGCAAAGAACCUGAGUAAUCAAAUGCUCAGGGUUGUGUAGCAAGUACCUCGGAUGAUGGCGAAAUUCUCUACAGUGAGGCAACAACUGUUUCAGAAGGCAGAAAACGACUAUUUGAUGUCUAGCUUAUAGACUCAGGAGCUACCUGGCAUAUGACCUCUCGGAGAGAAUGGUUCCACACAUAUGAACUUAUCUAAGGAGGAUCUGUAUAUAUGGGUAAUGAUCAUGCCUUGGAGAUCGCUGGUAUUGGUACUAUCAAAAUAAAAAUGUUUGAUGGUACAAUUCGCACAAUUGGGAAGGUACGACAUGUCAACGGCCUGAAGAAAAAUCUAUUGUCUUUGGGACAAAUGGAUAGUUAUGGGUAUAAAACUCAUGUGGAGAAUGUAAUUAUGAAGAUCGUUAAAGGAGCGCUUGUAUUAAUGAAGGCAUAAAAGAUCAGUGCUAAUCUAUUCAUGCUUAAAGGAGAAACACUACAGGAGGCUGAUGCGUGUGUCGCAUUUAAUGGAGAAGAAUCAACGAUGAUGUGGCAUCUCAAACUUGGCCACAUGUCAGAACAAGGUUUGAAGAUUCUCUCUGAGCGAAAAUUGCUUCUGGGGCUCAAAUCGGUAAGUUUACCAUUUUGCGAUCAUUGUGUUACAAGUAAGCAGUAUAGAUUAAAAUUUAGUAGAUCUAUUGCUAGAAGUAAAUGCAUUCUAGACUUGAUUCAUUUUGAUGUUUGGGAAUCACCGGAUAUAUCCAUGGGAGGUGCAAAGUACAUGGUGACUUUCAUUGAUGAUUAUUCCAGAAAAUGUUGGGUGUAUCCAAUUAAGAAAAAGUCAGAUGUAUUUCCAGUGUUUAAAGAAUACAAAGCGCGGGUGGAACUUGAAUCUGGUAAAAAGAUCAAGUGCUUGAGGACAGAUAAUGGUGGAGAGUAUACAGACGGCGAGUUUCUUGCUUUCUGUAAGCAAGAAGGUAUUCAGAGACAGUUCACGCUAGCAUACACUCCUCAACAAAACGGAGUGGCGAAGCGGAUGAACAGAACUCUUACAGAAAAAAUAAAAGCUAUGUUGAGGACUGCUGGUCUACCCAAUUUAUUCUGGGCAGAAGCAGCCAAAACUGCUUGUUAUAUAGUAAAUCGGUCGCCAUCUACAGUUAUUGGGCUGAAGACAGCGAUGGAGAUGUGGACUGGAAAGCCAGCUGAUUAUUCAUACCUACAUGCAUUUUGAUGUCCUGUGUAUGUGAUGUACAAUGCCCAAGAAAGAAAAAAACUGGAUCCAAAAUCUAGAAAAUGUAUCUUCUUGGGAUAUGCUGAUGGAGUAAAGGGGUAUCGUCUGUGGGACCCCACUGCCCACAAGAUCGUCAUCAGCAGAGAUGUUAUAUUUAUAGAAGAUCAACUGCAAAGGAAAGAUGAGGAUGAUAGCACUAUAAAAGAAAAGUCAGAGACUGUACCGGUAUAUGUGAAAAAUAAUCCAGAAGAUUCAUAUUCUUCUGAAGCAGCACCAGAGCACGAGGAACAAGAACCAGUCGAGUCCGAGGCUCAAGAAGUUCGUCGAUCAACUCGUGAGAGACGACCGCCAACGUGGCACUCGGAGUAUGUUACAGAGAUCAACGUUGCAUACUGUCUUCUAACAGAGAAUGGAGAGCCUUCAACUUUCCAUGAAGCUUUAAACAACUCAGAUGUUACUUUGUGGAUGACAGCAAUGCAGGAAGAAAUUGAGGCUCUACACAAGAACAAGACAUGGGAACUUGUACCACUACCACGUGGAAGAAAAGCCAUUGGAAACAAAUGGGUCUACAAGAUCAAACGUGAUGGCAAUGACCAAGUGAAGCGGUAUCGUGCGAGAUUGGUGGUGAAAGGAUAUGCUCAGAAAAAAAGUAUUGACUUCAACGAGAUAUUUUUACUGGUGGUUCGACUCAUAACAGUCAGAGUAGUCUUGGUGAUGUGUGCUACAUUUGACUUACAUCUUGACCAGUUAGAUGUGAAAACUGCAUUUCUUCAUGGAGAACUUGAAGAAGAAAUAUAUAUGCUCCAACCAGAAGGUUUUGCAGAAACAGGAAAGGAGAACUUGGUUUGCAGGUUGAACAAAUCUCCAUACGGUCUUAAACAGGUGCCGAGGUGUUGGUAUAAGAGAUUUGAUUCCUUCAUUGUGAGUCUUGGAUACAAUAGACUCAGUUCAGACUAUUGUGCAUAUUACAAGAGGUUUGAAGACAAUGAUUUCAUUAUUUUACUGUUGUAUGUGGAUGACAUGUUGGUAGCAGGCCCCAACAAAAAUCAAAUCCAAGAAUUGAAGGCACAGUUGGCUAGGGAGUUUGAAAUGAAGGACUUGGGACCAGCAAACAAGAUUUUAGGGAUGCAAAUUCACCGAGACAGAAAUAACAGGAAGAUUUGGCUUUCGCAGGAGAAUUACUUGAAGAAAAUAUUGCGGCGCUUCAACAUGCAAGAUUGUAAGUCAAUUUCUACCCUACUUCCUGUUAAUUUCAAACUAUCCUCAAGUAUGUGUCCUAGCAAUGAAGCAGAGAGGAAGGAGAUGUCUCGAGUAUCGUAUGCAUCAGCAGUGGGAAGUUUGAUGUUCGCUAUGAUAUGUACAAGACCAGACAUUGCACAAGCAGUGGGAGCAGUCAGUCGAUACAUGGCGAAUCCUAGUGGAGAGCAUUGGAUAGCUGUGAAGAGGAUUAUGAGAUACAUCAGAGGAACCAUCAGAUGUUGCAUUAUGUUAUGGAGGAUCAGAGUUUACUGUCAGGGGCUAUGUGGAUUCAGAUUUUGCAGGAGACCUUGAUAAAAUGAAAUCUACUACUGGUUAUGUGUUUACACUUGUGGGAGCAGCUGUAAGCUGUGUUUCAAAACUGCAGACCGUUGUAGUUUUAUCUACGACAGAAGCAGAAUACAUGGAAGCUACACAAGCUUGCAAGGAAGCUAUUUGGAUACAAAGGUUAUUGGAGGAGCUCGGGCACAAACAACAGAAAAUUCCUGUGUUUUGUGACAGUCAGAAUGCCUUGCACAUUGCAAGGAAUCCAGCCUUUCAUUCCAGGACAAAGCACAUAGGAGUUCAGUAUCACUUCGUUCGUGAAGUAAUGGAAGAUGGAAGUGUGGAUUUGCAGAAAAUCCAUACCAAAGAGAACCUAGCAGAUGUUUUGACCAAGCCGAUAAAUACUGAUAAGUUUGUUUGGAGUAGAUCUUCUUGUGGCCUAGCAGCAACAUAAGCAACAUGACUACGACGAAGCAGAAAGGAUAAUGUGGAGAUUGAUUAAUUCUCAAUCUAAUCUCCAAGUGGGAGAAUGUCAAAAGUCAUGGCUGGCACCGGCCAUCUAGAUGGCCAGUGCCAUGCCAUUCAACACGGCCCACCAUUAUUGGUGGUGCCGUGUUAACUUAUUCUAUUAAAAAAAAAAAGGAGCCAAAAUUUUGGCUAUAUAAAGAGGGCUUCCCACCCUCAUUUUGCAUUCCAUUAAGAGAGCAAUUUAGUAGUUGAGAGAGAGUUUAGAGAGCUUGAAAUUAUAAAGCUUUUGUUAUAGUGAUUUAGAGAGUUUGAGUGUAUUGGGAUUUUUGGGAAGUGAGCUAAAAUACUUGAUGGGUGUCGAAGCCAACAAAAAUAAAUUCCUACUCUAAAUAAAUUGUGUAUAGUGAUUGAGCAGGGUCGUGUCCACAGAGAUCGGUAAUUAUUUAAAUCCUUUUGAAACGUAAAACGUAAAAUGGGGGAAUUGUAGACAAUAAUAAAAAUCAAAUUAAAUAACAAGAAUGCAAAUUAAAGUUGUAAUUCAAAUUGGAGAAAGCUCUGGUUGAAGGAAUUAACUAAGCUUGAUUCGACUACUGAUCAUUGAUUCAAAUAUAGAUUAUUAUUACUCAUGAAUAGACCGGUUAUAGCUAUUGAGACCCUCUAAUAGCCAAUCUCUCCUUAACUAGUCGAUAACCAAGGUACGACCGUUAGUUAUUUCCCUAAUCAAUAGACAACCCUAGAUACGAUCAUAUGAUUUAAUCAAUUGACAGCCUGAAAAACCAGAGAGACCCAAAUCCUAAUCAACACAUAUGAUGAUUCAUUUAAAUUAGAUUGUUUAUUCUCACAACACAACUCUCUGCUAUGUUAUUUGUCACAAACAUUAAAUUCUUAAUACGAUGAAUCCUUUAAUUGACAAUAGAUUAAGUUGAUAAUUAAAUAGUGGUCAAUUACCUAAUUAACAAACAUAAUCAUGAAACUAAUUCAGAGAAUAAACAAAUACCCAAAAAGUAAUAAAACAAUUAAAGCAUAAGAAAGAUCUCACAGUAGUGAUGAAUCAAAGCUUCAUUAUCCUUCAACCAGAAAAAUAGGUUUAGUUCUUCAUAGAGAGAAGAGAAUCUAGGGUUUCUUUCUUCUUCUUCAAUCCAAAAAUCCCCCUUUUUCACAAUAGAUUCCUCCCUUAAAUACUCUCUCUCUCUUCUCUUUUAGAGUUCUAUUUAAAAUAAAAUACUAAUAUCUGAAAUAUUAAAUUUGUAAUUACAAAAAUAACCAAAAAUACAAAAUACGUUAAACUAAAAACUGCAGGUCCGUAGUUGACAGCACGCGCCCACGCCUUAUCAACAAAGUUCUUCUGACGCUCAUAAUUUCUCCAAGAGAACAAUCAUCAUUAAAUAUCAUCUUGUAGCUUAAUUUUAUCACCAAUCAAUAGAAUUGCACCUACAAAAGUAAAACACAAGUAAAUCACUAUUAUUAAGUGCAAAACAUCGAUAUUAAGGGAAGUAAACAAUGCAAAACUAGUGCUUAAAUUGCACUCUAACAAAUUCCCCCAUACCAAGAUGAUGCUUGUCCUCAAGCAUAUAACUCAAGACUAAUCCCAAAUCUCCACUCAAUUCUCAUCUCAACUCAUCCAAAAACAAUUUUAAGCAAGUAUACCUCAAGAAAUUAAGUCGAUCAACAUUCGAGAGACAAGGAUUUUAAAGCAUAGAAUCUCAUAAGAUAGAAUAAGAACAUUCAACCACUAAGAAGAUCCAUUCAAAAUUCAAGUGCAACAAGAUUUAAUAGCCCUCUCAUUGACUUCACUCCAUGCACUCAAAGUGUUUAGGGUGUCAUUUAUUCACUCAAAUCAAAUCAAAGAAUGCUAUUACCAUAAGCUUGCUUAUAUAUCACAUCUCAAUCCACAAAACAUGAAUUAAAUGCAAAAAUCUAAGGGUCUUAAAAGGUUGUAACGGGGUUAAAUGGGUUAAAUGAAAAAGAAAGGUUUAUGAAAGAAAAAGAGAUCAAAAUGAGAAGAAUGAACUCAUUGAACGAACUUUAUGAUAUCGAAACGCUUAUUUCUACUCAAGUCACCAAGAAUGUAAACAUUUUUUUUUUCGAUCUUUCUUUUUCUUUUUUCUUUUUUUCUUUUUUUUUUCUCUUUUUUUUGAAUCAAACAAAAGAAACGAACCUUGCACAAUUUAAUUCAAGCAUAAUGCUUGUUGAUCUAAUUGAGAAACUUUAUUACAAGGUAGAAAAAGCAACAAAAUAUAUCCACACAAUGAGUCCAAAAAUCUCCUUAAAUUGAGGCUCAAAAAGAAGAAAAAUGGUUAAGUAGACGGAGAAAAUUAGAUGGGUAAUGGUUAAGGCUCAAACAAAGAUAGCAAAUAAAGGUCUUCGAGUAGAGAAAAAAAAAUGCGAGAAUAGAAAAAUGGAAAAGGGUUUGCCCUUAUCAUUUUAAUGCAUAAAAUCCCGUAAUGCGGCUUCAACAUGCAUAACAAAGCAAGUUCUAGAAUAAACAAACUAAGAUUGAUAUUCACAUAACAAAAAUAUUAGAGCAAAGUGGUUGCUCAUAGGCUCAAAUCCUCACAAAGUUGGUAAAUUUGCCAUCAAAUCAUGUACACUCUUCAAAUGAAUCAACCAUCAAUAGUGGUGUAGAAUGAGAAGAAGGUAUGAGUGAAGGAAAGGUAAAAAUGAUAAGAAAUGAGAAAGAUGUAUGUAGUAAUAUGAAAAGUGAAAGAUAAAAUGUGAGUGAUGAAAGAAUAUGGUAAAAUAAAAAUAGAUAUGAAUAAUUUGAAAUAGAUGGGAAAAAAGUAGUGAGAAAGCGAGGAAAAGAAAAUUAAUAAUAUAUGAAGCAUACUAACUCCAAAAUCAUUUAAGGAUGAGUAGAGUGAAAAUAGAUGAGUAGAGUGAAAACAAUAAUUUCAGACAUCAAUAAUGCAAAAAUCCCUCCCCCACACCAAGAACUUACAUUGUCCUCAAUGUAAAAUAAUCAAAGCUCACAUAAAAAUUAAAGCGUAAAGAUAAAAGAUUAAAGGAAAAAAAAACUUCCCUGAAUUGUGAACUUUGAUCCACAUAACGUCUAUGGUUGCGUUGUGAUUGCUGCUCGGCUGGAGCUUGCUUGAUGGACGCGGGAUGGAGCUGAUUGUGUUGCGCGCGCGCGCUGGGGCUGCUAGAUCUGCGCGCUGCGUGGGCUGUGUUGCGCGUGAGAGCUGGGCUGACGCUGGUUCUGCGCGCUGCUGGGCGAAGGCUGGAUCUACUCACGCGGGUUGCUGCUCGCUGGACGCGGGAUGCUGGUGCUGCUGGUUGCGUUGCGCGCGCGGGACUGAUGCACUGCGCGAUGGUGAUGGCUGGAGCUUUCUGCGCCCGGGCUGGUUGCGUUGCAGGUGGGACUGAUGCGGCUGCGUUGCGCGCGCGAGAACUUGCGUUUUCCGGCGGGCUAGUUUGCUACUGGUGUGCUGCAAGCGGCUGGAGAAGAAAACAAGAUCUGGAAAAUUAGGGAUUUUGUGAACAAUAAAUUUUUUUUUUUUUUAAACAAUGAUGAUUUUUUUUAUUAUAAAUAAAUAAAUAAAUAUAUAAAAGAAGAACAAAACAAAAUCUCUUUUUUUGUUUUUUUUUUUAAAUAAAAUUAAAUUAAAAAAAAUUUUUUUUUUGAAUCACUUUGAGACACCAAAAAUUUCAAAAGUACUUUUUUAAUAAGCACGUGGGCAAGCCUUAAAACUAUUUUACUUUAAAAAUUACAGAAGUACUUUUUAGUUAAGACGUGGGCACGCCUUAUCGAAAAUUUUCUUUUGGCCAAAAUAAGCAAACACAUUAUUUUUUAAAAAAAAUCGGAAUCAAAAUUAAAAGAAAAUAUAACAAAAACCAAAAUAAAUAAAUCAUUUGGGUUGCCUCCCAAAAAGCGCCUUUGUUUUAUGUCUUUGGCUAGACACAUUGAUGCAUCAAUCUCCAUAAUUGGGACUCUCGAGAGCCACAUCUUCCACAAUAUUUACCGAAAAACCUUCAUAAAAAGGUUUUAAGCGAUGACCAUUAACCUUAAAAACUUUGUCAGAGGUCGGACUCCGAAUCUCAACUGCACCAUAAGGAAAAACAUUAGUAACAAUAAAAGGUCCAACCCAGCAAGAACGUAAUUUACCCGGAAAUUACGUCAUGCAUAUCCAUAUGGCUACAUCAUGGCUUUACUAAGAGAGCAUGCUGGCAUUGUUGUUGCUAAUUCAACCUUGAUUGGUGUUUCAGAACGAGUUGCUGAUGAAUGUAAGGGGCUGCCUUUAGCUAUUAAAGCUGUUGGAAGUGCACUAAAAGGUAAAGGAUUUGAUGAGUGGAAUCUAGCUCUAGAUAAACUACAAGAUGCAAAACUCAAUACAAUCGAAGGUAUUGGCAAUGAGGACCAAGACGUUUACCAUUGUCUCGAAUUUAGUUACGAUUAUUUGAAUGGUGAGGAUUCCAGGUCGUGCUUCUUGUUGUGUUCUUUGUUUCCAGAGGAUUGUGAGAUAUAUUUGGAUGAUUUGGUUGGAUAUGCAGUGGGGUUGAGAUGGUAUCGAGCUGAGUCAAUUGAAAAAGUCAGGAGCCUACUGAGUGGAACGAUGAAAGAGGUCAAAGCUUCUUCAUUGCUGUUAGACACUGGCAAUGACAGAUCUGUGAAAAUGCAUGACGUAGUCCAUGACGUAGUCCAUUACAUAAUUUACCUUUUAGUGCACUUCCAACAGCUUUAAUAGCUAAAGGCAGCCCCUUACAUUCAUCAGCAACUCGUUCUGAAACACCAAUCAAGGUUGAAUUAGCAACAACAAUGCCAGCAUGCUCUCUUAGUAAAGCCAAUCCUUCUUCUCGCUUUAGAACACCUAGUUGAAUCCGCGUGUCACAACCCAUGCGAUCACAAACUGGCUGCAGGCGAGUGGUUAUAAGGAUUUUGCAACAAUUGUCUUUAUCACCAACAGGAAUACCUACUGUCUCCAAGUCGAGUUCAUUCCAGACAUUAUAAGAAGAAGAAAUUAAGAACCAUAACAAAUUUGAUGAUUCUAAUUUGCUAGAAAUAUUGCAAUCCAAAACUAAGAAAGUUAAAACCAAUUAUUUGAAGAAAAAAGUAGGAUAGAAGCUCCCAGAAUAUUGUUAUGUGUUGUAUGUUUUCAGUUUGUAUUUCCCAAUCAAUAAGGAAAAGUAAGUACACAUGUUACAAAAAUUUAAUAAAAAAGAUUGGAGGUGACAAAACCUAUCAAUCUUCUAAUUAACUUUCUCUCCUUUCGAAUUUCCUGAGUUUGGUAGAGAUUGCUUAAGUAGUGUAUCUAUUAUAAACAGGCAAAACUAUGUUGCAACAGUGGUAUGGUACUACUGUUGCAACCAGCCAUUGGAUCUAUAAUUGUUCAGUUACAUUAGCAAGAUCCAAUGAUUGAAAGCAACAUUAGUACCGUAUCACUGUUGCAACAUAGCUGGACCCAUUAUAAACACCUGAAGUCAAAGUUAAUGUUUUAAUUGUUAAGAAAAGUUAGAAGAAGAAAUUUUUGUAUAAGAGAAUUGGGUUUAAAUUUAGAAUUCUUUGGGAGGAAAUGAGUCAAAAUUCCAAUAAUAUAAUUCAGCAGUAUUUAUAUAUAUCAUUAGUUGGGUGAAAAAUUAAUUUCCCUCCUUUGAUGUGAUUUUCAUAAUUUAUUUUCAUAUGAUGGUAAUUUUUUGUUUAGAGUGAAGUUAUUGGCACCCUUUCAUUAUCCUUAUAAAAUCCUACUUCAAAUAAAAUUACACUUAAAGACAAUAGAAUUAAAUAACAUAGUUUUUUUUUUCAAACAAAUUACUCACAUUCAUAAUUUUUUUUCUUCUAAUUUUCUACAGGUUGCUUUGUAUCUAACUAAAAUAAAUUGUACAAAUUUAGAAUAAUCUAUUAUUCUUUUUAAAUUUCUUAUUGAUUAAAUAUUUGUGUGCUUAAGGUAGCUUUAAAAUUAUAAGAUAAAAUAUAUAUAAUUUAAGCCAAUGAUUAACAUUCAAAAAUUUAUCUCUCAUAAAAGUUUUUAAUUUGUGCGUAGGGUAAUAAUAAAAUUGCAAAAGAAAUGAAAAAUAGCAUAGCACUAUUUUGAGUUUAAACAAUAAAAAUUUAAAUGAAAAAUUAGAAGUGUAUUUAAAAAAAAGGAUAUUUUUAAAAAUAAAAUAAAUAUAAUUAAAAAAAAAAGAGUUUCAUGAGGGGUGCAAUAGUUCAACUCUUUUGUUUAUAAGUUUUAAGAUGUUGGUAUCCGUAGCUUAGCUUUUCCCUAAUUAUUAUAUUAAAAUGUAACAACAAUGAUGAUCAACCCUAAUUUCGUGGAGGUCAAAGAUUUUGGUCAUGCCGCAUUAAUUAGUUCGGUCAUACUUUCUACAAAUUUAUUUACAUUUAAUAAUUUGACCAAGACUACGUAAGGCGCCGCCUGGAGUCAUAGAAUUUUAUAUGUCGUUUAAUAUGCUCAUUUUGUAUUUUUUUUAAAAAGUUUUAUUAAUUUUUUUUUGUUUUUAAAAAUAUCAUUUAUUUAUUUAAAUUUUUUUAAAGGUAAAGAAGUGGGUAAAGUUUAAAUUCAAUUUUUAUCCCUUACAUCAUGGCCCCUAAGAUUUGAACUAAAAUCUUAAAAAUGAAAUUGUAAAGAAAUCCCAGUUCGUAUAAAAGAAAGAAAACAAAAUUAAGGAAAACAUAAGCACAACAAAAUUUGACUGAUUAUUAAAAAUGAGAAAUGAGUUAUAAUGAGAAUUUUAGCUUUGUCGUGAAAUAAAUUGGGAAGUAUCCAAAGUACGCAUGUAAAUAAUGUAAAUGAUAAGAAGACGAAGGGAACAUAAUGAUAAUAAGCAAGCCAAAUAUUAAAAUGCAGAUUCUACGCUUCCGCCCCCAUACUUCAAGUUAGUGUCUCGCUAAUCAUUUUAGAUGUAUCAAUUACAAAGGGAGGCCAUCUAUUUAUGGUAAGCGUACGCCUCUAAUGCUUUGCCAAGUGUCCAUUGAUAAUAUCACAAGGGAAAUUAAAUUGGUGUAUGUGUAUUACACCUCCUAAAGUCAUGUUAAGAUAGUUAGUGAGCUGAUAAAGUUUGUUGCACGUGUGAGUUGGUUAAAUCUGCUAGAAAUGCAAACGUGUAAAGCUGAGUUAGCAAGUUAGUUAAGGUUGUUACGAAUUCUUAGAUUCAGCUCACGUGUAUUGUAUGUAAUACUUAGAUUCAGGUCAUGUAGAUUGUGUAAACAACUUUCUAAUAUUCUUUAGAUCUCAAUAUAAAUACUUGUAAUCAACAAAUACAAUAAUAAGAGUCAUCAUUCUUCAUUUUCUCUCUGUUUCUCCAUAUUUUCUCUACAUCCAAACACAAUAUUCUCAGUUCUUGACUUGGUAUCAGAGUUGCAGUUUAAUUGUCAUGGCUUCCUUAAGCACAAAUUCAAACACAAAUCAGUCUCCUUCAUUCUUUACCCUCACAAAUGCGAUCAAACUGGACAGAUCUAACUAUACGAUCUGGAAAUCUCAGAUCCUCUCUUCAGUGCGUGCCAAUGGACUUGAAGGCUUUCUUAAUGGAACUAAAAUUUGUCCAGAUCAGUUACUUACUCAAGAGAUUGAAAGUUAUGGUGUUGAAAAUACUGGUGGUGAAAGCUCAGCUGAUAGAUCUCAGGAGAAUCCAGCCUUUGUUGCUUGGAAAAGGUAGGAUCAAUUAUUAUUAAGUUGGCUCAUGUCCUCCAUCAGUGUUGAGAUACUUAGUCUUGUGGUAAAUUCUGAUUCUUCUCAUAAACUUUGGACUAAUCUUGAAGAAAAUUUUUGGAUUAGAAACUAUGGCUAAGAAAGCACACUUAAAAAUGAUGUUAAGCAAUCUCAGAAAGGGAUCAAUGACAAUAACUGAGUAUUUUGCCAAACUUAGAGCUGUAACUAAUAAACUUGCUGUAACUGGUAGCCCUGUUUCUACUCUAGACUAUAUUACUCAUCUAAUAUCUAAAUUAGGCCAGCCAUACUACCCUGUUGUUUUGUAUAUUGAAGCUAUUGUUUUGUAUAUUGAAGUUAAUAUGAUGAAAAUAUUUGUCAAUGAAGCAUAUUCUAUGCUUUUAACUCAUGAAGCAAGAAUUAAAGCUAAUCAUCCAAGUGCAAAUAAAGAAGCAAAGUUGAAUUAUGCUGCUAACAUAGCUUAGGCUGGACCUAGUACUAAAUAACAAUAAGAAGUCUAGUAAUCAAGCUAAUUACUAUCAGGGCAACCAAGGUAACUGGAAAAGAAAUGCUCAUUGGUGUGGUAACAAUGGAGGAAGAGGUGGCUUUGGCAGAGGUUUUUCAGGGCAAGGAAGGGGUAAUUAGAAUAAUGGUGGUCAUUGGAACAAUGGACCUUGGAGUAGUAGUUGAGGAGGCUAUAAUGGUUCUGAUAUAAACAAUAUGACAUGGUUGCUGGUGAACCUGUAAACAUAACCAAAAAAGUAAGAAGGCAUAAUUUUUUUAUAAGAAACUCAAAAAUAUAUUAAUGAUGAAAAUUUUAAAACAGAUAGUGGACCAGCUGUCCAGUAAGAAAACAAAAAAUUGAAUAUUUGUGCUAUAAAAAGGCACACCCAAUCUCACCCCUAUAAAAGGCUAGAAUCAGCUACAAAUCCCUAUCUCAAAACCCCAUCCCAGUUUAGAUGAAUGAAGAAAAAAGAUGAAUCUUGAAACUCCUUAGAAACUGAAUCCCAAAGUGAAGCAAGAAGAUGAACUCUAUCCCAAGCAAGCAAUAUGGCAUAUUUCUCCAUUAAUGGUUAAAAUAGGAUAAAAGCUCGUUUCAUCCUUAUAUUUUAAUAUUCGUGCCUAUUUAGUCUCUGUAUUUUAAAAAAUACCUCAAAACAUCCUUAUCCUUAAAUUAUUGACAUUUCUGCUGUUACUUUUUGUUUUUUUUAACUUGCUUUUACAAUAUUACCCUCUUACAAUAAUGUUUCUUUUUAUAAAGUUAAUAAAAAAAUUAAAUUAUCAAUUUAACCCCAAAAAUAAAAUAAAAACAAAAAGAAUAUAUUAAUUUUUGUGAAAGCUUACAUGUGUCUAAAAAUUUUUUUAUUGUAAAAAUAAUUAAAUUACCUUGUUUUUGGACAUUGGUAAUAAAAAAAUUAAUAUAUUAAUUCCUCAGCAGUGUGUUACAAAAAAGUAACAUAUAUUAAUUUUGUUUCUAUUUUAUUUUUUGAGAUUAAAUUAAUAAUUAUUUUUUUUCUUUUUACUAAUGUCCAAAAAAAAUAUUAUAAGAGGGUAAUAUUGUAAAAAUUAAGCCAAAAGUAACAAAAAGUAAGAGGAAAUGUGCUAAUAAUUUAAUGUCAGGGAUGUUUUGAGGUAUUUUAAAAAAUAUAGGGAGUGAACGGGUACUAACCUCAAAAUAUAGGGACUAACCGAGAUUUUACCCGUUAAAAUAAAGUAGAUGGCUGUCUUGAUGAAUGGGAAAUUGUCAAGAUCAAUAUUCAAACUCACGCAAAGUAAACGGACUUAAUUCUCAGGGGCUACUCAUUCUAAGUCUUAAAGAAAAUUUUUCUAAUUUCUAAAGAUUAUAUGGGGAAAAAUCAUUAUUUUCUAACAUGGAAAAUUUGAUACGGUGUUUAAUGUCUGAUCACAAUGAUAAUAUGAGUACUAACAAAAACAUCUUUAAUCGGCAUGGUGCGAGUAAAACACCUUUGCAAUCCAAUCAGCGAACGCCUUUGCAUUAGGCACAGUACCCGAGAGGAACACAAAUCGGGAGUCCUUUGGAGCCAUCACAAUGCUCUCUUCCCAUACCACACCUCUCUCACGAUCACGCAUGUAAUGUACCUCAUCAAAUAUAGCCCAAGCCACUUCACGCGUAAUCUCUGAGCCUUUGUACUGCAUACUACGCCAGAUUUCAGUAGUCAUCACCUGAAAUUAAACUUCAUAUAAGCAAUCCACAAAUCAAAGCGCUGCAACACCCAAAAGAUGACACUACCAAGUUGACCUACCAAACAAGAAGCAUUAGGGUCAAUUGUGACAUCCCCAGUCAUCAAACCGACAUCUGAAAACUCUUCUUUAAACUCCCUGUACUUCUGAUUGCUGAGUGCCUUAAUCGGUGAAGUAUAUAUCACACGUUGCUUAUUCCGCAACGACAUAGCAAUAGCAUACAAUGCUACCACAGUCUUCCCAGCAGAUGUAUGGUUCGAUACCUUUCAAAUAAAUGAAAGGCAAUUAAAAAAAGAAAAGAAAAAAAAAAACUAUUUUUAUUUUCACACAAGAUAACACUUCAUGCAAAACUUCUUAAUUCUUAUCGGUGAGCUGAAAAGCAGAGCGCUUUGUACAAAAGCACUUCCAAAUUCGAAUUAAAUUUUUUACAAAAAAUUACAGCUUUAUAUAUAUGUGUGUGCGCGUGCGUAUAAUAAUAAUAAUUAACGAACCGUAACGGACUGGCCGUUGUCGAGGCACUUGAUAGCUUCGGACUGGAAUGGGUCGAGAGUGAAAAGGAAUUCCUUAGCAGGUUUAGCGUCAGCUUCAGCCACUUGACCAAGACCCAUUAAACAUAAAACGCGGCGUUUUCAUGGACUAGUACAUUCCAUGCUUCGAAAGUUUUAUGUUUUAGACUGAUUGGUUUGAUACAUUAUUUGUUUAUUGCGUUUUUCUUGCUUUAAAUAUUAUGUUGGAUUGAUAAGUUUUGUACACAUUUAUAUUGCUCGCAGUAAAUAAUUUAUUACAUUUAAAAAACUAUCAACCGUCUAUCGAAAGAUUUCUACUAUAAAUAUAUAUACACAAAAAACUUUUAAUUUGGUCUAUUUGUUCUCUUAUUUAUUUUUGCUCUAUUUCUCUUUUUCUUUCCUUUCAUUUUAUUGUUUUAUGGUACAAAAAAAAAUAACCUUAAAAUUUAAGGGUAAAAUACUCAUUUUACUAAAUUCCGUUUAAUAUCAUAAUGCUGUCAAUGGACAAUGGCAAAGUACACGAGUGAUACAAAUUAAAAACAAAUAAAUUGAAAGUUUUUAUGUAUUUUCCUUUUAUUUUUUUAUAGCCGAUUGAGAUUUCCCUUCGUAUUCUUAAAUUCAAUACGUUUAGACCGUUUAAAAAAUUUUAAAUUAAAAAAAACCCGUGGUGUAAUAACAAACUCACAUCAAAUCCUGUCCACUGUCAUCCCUAAUAAUAUUUACCACUUCAUACUCAAGUGUGAUAAUAACUGUGUAUCACAAUUGAUUUUACAUACGGGUAAAAGUUCCAAGUCCGGAUAUUUAGUUAAUGAAAUUGAUGAAAAGGGCAUGAAAGAAAAUAAGAAAUUAAAUAAUACAGGUAUUAAUCAUUACAUAUUUAGUUAAUGAAAAUUGAUGAAAAUAUUUCUGCAGACAUGAGCCGUAAUUAUAAUACCGUUAAGAAUGAAGCAGCAGAGUUUCCCCAAACAAGCUAAAACACGGCACCUGAAUUUAAAGAAUUUUUAUGUCACAGUAUCGGGACAAAAAGUUUAAUGCAACAACAUACAUUAAGUUAAUUCCAUAAUCUAUCACCAAAGAAAGACAAACACAAGCUUAUAAGAUUAAAACUUUGGAAAACAUUGAAGAGUCGGACAAAAUUGUGUAACCUUCAGAGUUUAGAGCCUAGUUCAUCCAGGAAAGCAAAAGAAAAUAAUAAUAAUAAUAAUAAUAAUGGUGGUUUGAUCUCAAAAGGUGGCAUCAAAGUGGUAACUUUGAGGUAUUGGAAGCAAUAACGUCUUCAACUUUGUCCUGAUUUCGAAGUCCCUUAACCCAUCCGCCAUCAAUGGAUUGAAUGCUUCCAUUCAACCCAUCAUCCACAAAAUCACCAACCCGUUUCACCUUCAUCUCCUCCGCUUAACAGGGUACUUCCCAGAGAAGCUAGCAUAACAAAAAUUCUGAGAAUCAUUGCCUAACAACUUGUUCAAGAUGUCAAUCGGCAGAAAAGCAAGCAAAUCACACCCAAUAAACUCCCUGAUUUCCUCGACGCUCAUCCUGUUGGAAAUCAACUCCUCAGUACUCGGAGUGUCCACUCCAUAGUAACAAGAAGCUAUGAUUGGUGGGCUUGCAAUUCUCAUGUGAACCUCUUUAGCUCCAGCCUCCUCAAGCAACCUAACAAUUUUCGAUGAAGUUGUUCCUCUCACUAUCGAAUCAUCGACAACCACAACUCUCUUUCCCUCCAACACUCCCCUUACAGGAGAGAGCUUAAGCUUGACACCAAAGUCCCUAAUCUUCUGGGAAGGCUCAAUGAAAGUUCUCCCAACAUAGUGUGACCUUAUCAACCCUUGUUGAAAUGGCACCCCGGCUUUCGCAGCGUACCCAAGUGCAGCCACCACUCCAGAAUCUGGUACUGCAAUCACGACAUCACACUCAACAGGAGCCUCGGUAGCAAGUACUUCCCCAAAAUGAUUCCUCGACUCAUAAACAGACCUUCCAAAAACAACAGAAUUAGGCAAAGCAAAAUAAAUAUGCUCAAAGAUGCACUGCUUAGGUUCAGGGUGAGGCAUCAAACAAAGUGAUUGAACCCCAUCUUUAUCCACCAUCAAAACUUCUUGGGGAUGUACCUCCUCAAUCAAAUAGUGCACAAGUCUCUGACGCAAAAACCACAGCACCAUUACUCCUCCUACCUAUCACCAACGGCCUAAACCCGUACGGGUCACGAACCGCAACAAGCUUAUCCUCAGUAACAAACACCAUUGAAUAAGCACCCUCAAGCUUCUCACAAGCAUCCACAAUCUUCAAAAAGAACGGCCUAGCUUUCGAUAUCGCAAUCAAAUGGAGAACAACCUCAGUAUCAGAACUAGUAUUAAAAAUGGAACCAUUAUCUUCAAGCUUAGCCCUCAAAGUAUUAUAGUUAAAUAAAUUCCCAUUAUGUGCAACACCAACAAAACCAAACCUGUACCCAGCAACAAAAGGCUGCACAUUCUUAAGCAUGCAGUCGAAUAUCUAACAUGACCAAUGGCCAUAUCGCCAGGCAAUUGAUCAAGUUUAGACUGAUUAAACACAUCCGAGACUAAACCAACACCGGUAAUAGACUGAAGAACUUUAUUAUUCACAGCAACUAUAACUACACCUUCUUGGCCGCGAUCUGCAGAGCGUGCAGCGCCAAAUAGCACAAACGCGAGGCCUCUGGGUCACCGUAUGAAACGACCCGCCCCGAAUCCCCCGUGCGAGUCAAUCUAGUCUCAUCAAAACGGAUUUGAUAAUAAUCUAAUUAGUAAGGAUUCUGCCGAAAAUUCGGCAGAGUCUCCUUUAUAUAUAUAACACUCCCAAUCUACAAAUAUGAAUAUAACACUCAUAAUAUAAUUCAAUAUACAACAAACUCCAGUGAUCAACAUCCUCAACCAAAAUGCUGAGUUUUAUAUCUCCAGAGUCUCAAAAGAUAAUAUUAUAACUAAUAUUAAUAUCUAAGUUUAUUCUUAAUCCCAAAAGAAUAAUAUAAAAAAAUUAUACAAUCCCAACAGGACGAGAUAACCAAGAUGUCCUAACAAAAACAUUUAUAUUUUCUAACACCAUCACGUGGCCAAGACUCAAAAUAUAUUUACAGUCGCUGGGUCGGUCUGGUGUACCUGCAACCUCCUGGUGAGGGGGGGGGAAAUAUAAUAAAAACGGGGUGAGUUUAAAACUCAGUGAGAUCAAUGAGUGGAUAGUAGUUUUUGAAAAUUAAUGCUUACUUUAAAAGAAAUAUUCAUAUAAUUUCCAAACACGAUUUCAUCAAACCAUAUGCAAGAAACCAAUAGUAAAUCAUUUAACAUUUAAAUCAGAUUACUAACCAUGAAAAGCAUAUAUAAUAUCGUACCAAAUAACCAUGGAAAUCAUAUUACAAUAUCAUAUAUAAUACACAAAUUUGAAAAUCAUCACCAAACAAGUACCCAGAGAAAUAAUCUCGUCAUAUCCGGACAUCAACGGACGUGCAAUGACGUACUAUAUGGGUACCGUCACGCCCCGGAGCUACACGGAUAGACAGGGAAAUAUAAUCUCAUAUCUCAUCAUAUCUUAUCAUAUAUGUGCAUGCAUAAUCUAGUCCCCAAAGGACAAAAACGCCCAAGCACAUGGCCCAAAGCCUCUGUGUGUACUCAGACGGGCCCCAAAGGCCUGUAUCUCAUCUGUAUCAUCUGUAUCUCAAUAUCUGUCUGUAUCUCAUAUCUGUGUAUCUGUAAUCAUCAUACCGCAUGCAUAUGCCCUCAAAAGGCAAAAACGCCCAAACACACGGCCCAAAGCCUCUAUGUGUGUUCAAACGGGCCCCAAAGGCCUCUCAUCUCAUCUCAUCUAUAUCACUGUAUCUGGAGGGGAAGGGUACUGUCUAGUGAUUUCAAAAACAAUCAUUAUACUCAUAUUCACAUACUUUUUUAACCAUAUUUUAAAUCAUACCACAUUUGAAUCCACUUUUCUUAUCUUUAAAAUACUAUCAUGCUUAUUCAAAGUCGAUACGAAAAAUCAUUAACCAAACAUUUUAAUAAAAUACCAAUGCGUGGACAAAAUCCAUUUCGAGGUAAUCAUUAAAUCAGAUCAUUUAAAAUACUUAUUUCGCAAACAUACUUUACUAUCAUAAUUAACUAUGAAAAUAGGUUUUGUAUAUUCCACUCACAGUGACGGUGUUCACGCUCGGUUAUCGUCCACGUCCGCGGACCUAUUCUUGCUCGCGGAUCCUCCUAAAUCAAGGAAACGACAUAAAUAUUUUCCGUAAAACAGAAUUAAGACUAAAUUUAUGCAAUAAACUCGAAACGAACAUCUAUCCAUAAUUUACAACUCCCGUGUCGCUAAAAUUACUAAAAUGCCCUCGAGUCCGUAAAUCAGUAAAAUACUUCGAAAUCGGAAAUCACCGAAUCACCCUCGGAAUCGUAAUUACACCCAAUCCUCACUUCUAGGAAUUACUAAAAUAUCAAUAGGCUCAGAAAUUACAAAAUUGCCCUCAUAGUGUGAAAUUACCGAAAUGCCCUUGUGAUGGUUGUCGAAGCCAACAAAAAUAAAUACCUACUCUAAAUAAAUUGUGUAUAGUGAUUGAGCAGGGUCGUGUCCACAAAGAUCGGUAAUUAUUUAAAUCCUUUUGAAACGUAAAACGUAAAAUGGGAGAAUUGUUAACAAUAAUAAAAAUCAAAUUAAAAUAACAAGAAUGCAAAUUCAAGUCGUAAUUCAAAUUGGAGAAAGCUCUGGUUGAAGGAAUUAAUUCAGCUUGAUUCGACUAUUGAUAAUUGAUUCAAAUAUAAAUUAUUAUUACUUAUGAAUAGACCAAUUAUAGCUACUGAGACCCUCUAAUAGCCAAUCUCUCCUUAACUAGUCGAUAACCAAGGUACGACCGUUGGUUAUUUCCCUAAUUAAUAGACAACCCUAGAUACGAUCAUAGAAUUUAAUCAAUUGACAGCCUGAAAAACCAGAGAGACCCAAAUCCUAAUCAACAAACACAUACGAUGAUUCAUUUAAAUUAGAUUGUUUAUUCUCACAACACAACUCUCUGCUAUGUUAUUUGUCACAAACAUUAAAAUCUUCAUACGAUGAAUCCUUUAAUUGACAAUAGAUUAAGUUGAUAAUUAAAUAGUGGCCAAUUACCUAAUUAACAAACAUAAUCAUGAAAAUAAUUCAGAGAAUAAACAAAUACCCAAAAAGCAAUAAAUUAAUUAAAGCACAAGAAAGAUCUCACAGUAGUGAUGAAUCAAAGCUUCAUUAACCUUCAACCAAAAAAAUAGGUUUAGUUCUUCAUAGAGAAAAGAGAAAAUUUAGAUCUAGGGUUUCUUUCUUUUCUCCAAUCUCCCUUCUUUCACAAUAGAUUUCUCCCUUAAAUACUCUCCCUCUCUUCUCCUCUAAAAUUCUAUUUAAAAUAAAAUACUAAUAUCUGAAAUAUUAAAUUCGUAAUUACAAAAAUAACCAAAAAUACAAAACACGUUUAAACUAAAAACUGCAAGUCCGUAGUUGACAGCACGCGCCCACGCCUUAUCAACAAAGUUCUUCUAACGCUCAUAAUUUCUCCAAGAGAACAAUCAUCAUUAAAUAUCAUCUUGUAGCUUAAUUUUAUCACCAAUCAAUAGAAUUGCACCUACAAAAGUAAAACACAAGUAAAUCACUAUUAUUAAGUGCAAAACAUCGAUAUUAAGGGAAGUAAACAAUGCAAAACUAGUGCAUAAAUUGCACUCUAACACCUUGCCGGUCAACGGUCACCGAAAUUUGGUCAACGCUGGCCGGGAAGCUCAAGUCUGAAAGUUCCAAUCACGCUAAGUUCAAUGGUACCGGCGGUGAGCUCCAACGCGCAACAACGACGUCGGAAUCUAGCUCGGCAGCCGUGAAUUCCAACAAUUGACCGGCGGCGAAACAGUGACUCCCGGUGACUAUGGAUGGUUGGAAAUGGAAGAGGGAGUCGUGAGGAACAAAAUCCAACCGGUGGUGUCACCCAAAACUGGUGAAAAUCCCGGCGGAACAAAACGAUACAGUCGCGGGUUUUCAAACUUUGAUUGCCGGCGUUCCGGUUGGUUUUCGGCGGCCAGGAUGGCAGGGGAAUGAUGGCUGGCUUCUAAGUUUCAGAUUGGUACUAAGCUCGGCCGAAAUAGUGGCCGGAAAUAGAAGUUAUGGCCGGGUCAAUUUCGCGGGUCGGGUCGGGUUUUCCGGGUCAGUUGAUAGCUUCUGUUACUCUCACACGUGUGUGUAUAAGUUCCAUGUUUCUAACUUAUUCUAUUAUUUUUAAUAAAGUCUUUAACCGCCUCAAUUUCAUUUUUAAUUCACAUAUGUUACAAUCCUCCCCCCUUAUAAAAAUUUUGUCCUUGAAAUUUACGUACCUGAUAAGAAAAGAUAUGGAUACUGAGCUCGCAUUAAGUCCUCGCGUUCCCAGGUAGCCUCUUCCUUUGUAUGAUUCCUCCACCAUACUUUUACUAGAGGAAUGGUCUUAGAACGUAGAACUUGGUGUUUCUCUUCCAAUAUCUCCACUGGUUCCUCUUCGUAAGUCAAAUCUUCCUUCAACUGAAUUGGUUGCUUCGAUAACACAUGACUCGGAUCAUAUAUGUACUUCUGGAGCAUUGAGAAAUGAAAUACAUCGUGGAUUCUGGAUAACUCGGGUGGUAGUGCUAAUUGAUAAGCUAAUGGACCGAUGCGCUCAAUGAUCUCAUAUGGCCCAAUGUAACGUGGACUUAGCUUCCCACGUUUCCCAAAUCGAAGCACCCUUUUCCAAGGAAAUAUCGGUAUGAAAACUCUAUCAUCAACUUCGAAUUCAAGUUCCCGCCUACGCUUGUCUGCAUAGCUCUUUUGUCUAUCUUGAGCCACCUUUAAUCUAUCCCGGAUUAAUUGUAUCUUCUCGUUAGUAUCCUGGACAAGUUCUGGACCGAAUAACCUCCGCUCACCAACCUCAUCCCAACACAUUGGAGUCCUGCAUUUUCUACCAUACAAAGCCUCAUAUGGUGCCAUCUCGAUACUAGCUUGAUAGCUGUUGUUGUAAGCAAACUCCAUCAGAGGUAAAUGAUUGUCCUAAUUACCUUUAAACUCCAUAACACAAGCUCGCAACAUAUCCUCCAGAGUUUGAAUAGUAUGCUCUGACUGUCCAUCAGUCUGUGGAUGAAAAGUUCAACUUUGUGCCUAAGGCAUUUUGCAAGCUAGUCCAGAACUUAGAAGUAAACCGGGAAUCUCUAUCUAAAACUAUAGACACGGGUACUCCGUGAAGUCGAACUAUCUCAGCCACAUAAAUACUCCCUAACUUGUCCAUCGAAUAGGUGGUUUUGAAUGGUAAAAAAUGAGCAGAUUUUGUAAGUCGAUCAACGACCACCCAAACACUAUCAUAUCCUUUCUGAGUACGUGGAAGUCCUGCUACAAAAUCCAUGGUGAUGUGCUCCGACUUCCACUCAGGAAUAGGAAGCGGCUAAGAACACCCUGCAGGCCUCUAGUGUUCAGCCUUAAUCUGCUGACAGACUAAACAUCGAGAAACAAACUCUGCUAUCUCUCUCUUCAUACCCUGCGUCCAGUAAUGAUCCAUCAGGGUACGAUACAUCUUCGUACUACCAAGAUGCAUCGCAUAUGCUGAGCAGUGAGCUUCUUCCAUAAUCUCUUCUUUCAGAUCUUUAAUAUCAGGUACACAAAGUCUAUUACCCAUGACUAAGACUCCGUCGCCUCUCACCGUAAAAUCGGUUCGUAAACAUUUUUGCACAUCCUCUUUCAACUUCAUUAACUGUGGGUCCUGAGCUUGCAUCUGGUGAACUUUGUCCAUCAAAGUCGGCCUAACUCGAAAAUUAGCUAUCAAAACUCCACAAUCGUCAGCGUUCAACUCGACUCCCAAAGAUCUCAACUCGAUCAACAGAGGCAUCUAUUUCACUCGCAAGUGAGCUAUAGAGCUGGAAGACUUCCUACUGAGUGCAUCGACUAGAAAAAAACAUACCUCUUUGAGAUACUACAAAUUGGCUUUAAUUCAGUACUGUUGAUGGUCAAGUUGGGAAAGUAAUGAAGCUGUAACUCUUCCAAUGCUGUCCAAAUUGAACAAUAAUUUUCUGAACAGAAGCUAACGAGUUCUGGGAGACUUCGAAGUGUUAAUUCUCUUAACAAAGGGAGGGCGAGCAUCGUAUUUCCAUCUCUGACACUUAUUUCCCCUUCAUUGUGAUCAAACUUUGCUUCGACAAUACAUUCCAGCCUGUCGCAAUAAGUCACACUGAGACUUUUAAGCUGCUCCAAACUUUGAGCUUGUGAUAACGUGAAGAUAUAUGUCAAAUUAUGGCAGCCAUACACACUCAAUUCUGUAAGAGUUUGGAGGCUGAUCACAUGUUGGGCAGGCGUCUUCCAUAUCCACUUUGCUAAUCUUGAGAGCACCUCAUGAUUCCCACUCUUUCCAUGCGGCGACUGAGAGGCAUCCACUAUGCAUUCUAAAUCUUCACAAUAGUUGACAAAUAGAUGAGUCAACUCAUUUAAGCCCCCUUAAUCUAUGCUUGGAACAAUAUUAUGGAGACCUAUUAUCCUCCUCAAAUUAAGAAAUUUCAGAUUUUGACACAAUGUCGAAAAAAUACUGAGCGAGGCCGCUUCACAAUAGUUAAUCAUUAAGCACCUGCUCCGUCCAAAAAAUUCAUCUUCUUUUUUCAUUCAAACUUCAAGUUUGUUACAGUUACUGACGAAGUACAUUUGCAAUUUUGGAAAUGUAAAGUCUUUUGAAAGACGUACAAUUUUUUGUUCAAUAUGUAAAGUCUUUCCAUCAUCAUCUUGGAUUUCAUCACCGUCGGGUUGGGAGUUCAACUCAGUAGCCCUAGCGUAACUUUCUUCUGAACUCAUCCCUUCAGCCUCCCAAUCUUUUAUCCGACCAUAAAAUUCUUCUAAUUGAGGAAAUUUUUUUAUCGUAAUAGGAGAAAUAGAACCAGAAUCAAUGAAUAGAAGAAGUUUCAAUCUACUAAGUUGAUCCUCAAAUUCUUCAGGAAUUUCAAUGGGAGACCCCUUGACACAAAGAAUUUGAAGUCUCUUCAACUUUCCAAGGAAAGACGCGUCACUCACUUUACAUCGAAUCAACUGCAGAACUUGGAGGUUGGUGAGGAAUUGAAGCGAUUUAAGUGAAAGGACUCCACCUAUUAUAGUAAGAACUUUUAAUGCUGGCAUCUUUUCGAAAAAAUAUUCUGGAUCUUGCAAUCGGUCGCCAUAUUUAGCAUUCUCCAAUCGCAAAAUAUGAAGGUUAGGGCAUACCAAACCACUUGGAAGCUCUUCUUUUUCAUUUCCCAUCAAAGAGAUUCCUUUGUAUUGUUCCACUGCCUGUUCCGCCAAUCCAAUGCCAACUUUACUAGUAAAAUAUUUUUUCUCCAUUGAGCCUAUCCAUAAGGCUACAUCACGAACAAUGUCAUGCAUUUUCACAAAUCUCUCAUUACCAGCAUCUAAUAGCAGUGAAGAAGCUUUGAGCUCUUUAAUCGUUCCACUCAAUAGGCUCCUGACUUUUUCAAUUGACUCAGCUCGAUACCAUCUCAACCCCACUGCAUAUCCAACCAAAUCAUCCAAAUCUAUCUCAUAAUCCUCUGGAAACAAAGAACACAACAAGAAGCACGACCUGGAAUCCUCAUCAUUCAAAUAAUCGUAACUAAAUUUGAGACAGCGGUAAACGUCUUGGUCCUCCUUGCCGAUACCUUCUAUUGUAUUGAGUUUUGCAUCUUGUAGUUUAUCUAGAGCUAGAUUCCACUCAUCAAAUCCUUUACCUUUUAGUGCACUUCCAACAGCUUUAAUAGCUAAAGGCAGCCCCUUACAUUCAUCAGCAACCUGUUCUGAAACACCAAUCAAUUUUGAAUCAGCAACAUCAAUGCCAGCAUGCUCUCUUAGUAAAUCCAAUCCUUCUUCUGGCUUUAGAAAACCUAGUUGAAUCUGCGGGUCACAACGCAUGCUAUAACAAACUGGCGGCAGGCGAGUGGUUAGAAGGAUUUUCCAACAAUUGUCUCCAUCACCAACAGGAAUACCUAUUGUCUUCAAGUCGAGUUCAUUCCAGACAUCGUCAAGUAUUAUGAGUAUCUUGCUGCUUUUACUCUCAGAAAACAUCAAGCGCAAUCGGUCUGCUCUCUCUCUUUCAUCUUUCUCAUUUAGUGCCCAGCCUAACGACUUUGCCAGCUCACCUUGAACCUUUAUUAUAUCUGGAUCCUGAGACACAGUGGCUAUCCCCACCUCAUCGAAAAUCUUUUCUUGUCGAAGUUGAUUGCCCACAAAGUUUGCCAAAGUCGUCUUUCCGACACCACCGAUACCAUACAAUCCCACUAUCGUCGUGCUAUCUCUUUUUAGUCUUCAAUAAUCUGAUUGCAAGUCGAUUAUGUAGUCCCGAAAGACAUAAAAUGUCUUGGCAUAUGCAAUUCUUUGUCUGAUGGUAGAGGUUUAGGAAGGGCAACUGAGCUGAAUUUGCCGCAUUUCUUUUGUAGAUCAGACAACUCGCUAGUCUUCUUUGAUGGUUUUCUACCUAGCCAACAUCGCCAACCCCAAUUAGGACACCAUCCAUUAAGACAGCUCUUCUUUUCAUCUAUCUUUGCUUUCAAAUUUCGAACAUCGACCAUUUCUUUGUCUACAUCCUUCAACCACUUCUCUACAGAUUUCUCGAUUACAAUGGCUCGGUGUAUUUGUCGUUCUUGUUCUAUUUUUUCAUUGAUGCCAUCUUUUGCCUCCUUCAAAUUAGUUUCUUUAUCCUUAAGUUCGUUAAUAAUGCUGUUGAAACAGAGCAGAUAAUGAGCUUGGUUUAUGGUUGCUUCCACCAACAAUUCUCCAAGCUUUGAUGCAACACUUGAGCAAAUUUCCAUGCUAUUUAUCUGCAAUUAAUAAAGUUGAUCUCAGUAUGCUGUAAGCAAAACAACGAGGCUUGAUUACAAGAUCGAACGAGAAAGUUUAAUUACCUUUUUCUAUUAUGUGAAUGCACGUUUAUUGACCCUAGCUUUGACCAAUAAGAGCAAAAUGCAAACGCCGAGCUUUAAGUGGCCUUUAGCUGCGCAAAACAAAAGAGAAGAAACAAGGUAGCUUAUUAUUAUUAUUAUUGUUUUUAAGGACGGAUAAAGAUUAGCUAGCUUGCGGACAAAUUUACUAAAAUCAAGAUAAACCUAAGAGUUUUCCUAAUUUGUUCAAACAUAGAAUAAGCGUUUCUCAACAUUAUAUCCAUAAAUGCCCCAGCAAACGUAAUAUGUGGUGGAUUAUAUUUAAAUUAGUUUAUUUUAGAAAAUUUUAAAUAAAAAAUGUCAAACAACAAAGAAAUCUAAUAGAAUCUGGAUAAACACCGAAGAGUUCCUACAUGGGAGAAUAUGGUAAAAUUGAUGAACUUGGUUCAAAAAAUUGCAAUUCUUAUUGAGAUUAGAACCAAAGAUUUUAACUAAGGUCUCCUAAGCCAUAAAGCAUAACUCUUACUACUAAAUUACAAGUAUUUUGUUACAUUUGAAUGUGGUCUUAUUUUUUUAUUGUCUGUUUUAGAAGGGACUCAAGGUAUGUUUAAAAGAAAUAAUAAUGGUUCGGAUGGGGCUGAAGCCCACUCAUGAAAAAUUUAAAGGCUUCAACAUAAUUACCAAUUGUUUCUUCAUCCAAUUUUCUAAUAGAAUAUUGCCAGAAUUCUGAAAUAAUAUCUUAAUAUUUUUCUUCAAGUGUUUACGGCACCCUCGUAUUGGAUUGUCAAUUUAAUAACUUGUUAAAUUAUUUAAUACUUCAUCUCACGAUCUAAUGGAUAUAAAUGCUGGAGAAGGAUCAGUUCCCAGACGUUUUUCUCUCACUAGUCUUUUGGUGAAAUAAGUGACUAAGAUUAAAUUUUAAUUUUUGAUAUUGACAAUUAAAUUGGCUUGUUUCACAUUAUUAACAAUUAAGCUAGCUUUCUUUUUUUCCCCCAACUGGAUUUGGAAGGUUAUGAGGGAGUAGGAGAGAAAACACGAGAAGAACGAGAUCCUAAUUCAUAAAUAGUACCUUACUUGGGAUGGUAAAGAAUUUAAAGAUUGGGGUGAAUUCCAUUUUAGUCUCUAAAAUUUUGACUUGCGAGUAACCAUACUUUUAGUAUUUUUAAAAAGAAUGGGAUUAUUUACAUUGUAAAAUCUAUUUUGAACACUCUUUUACUUAACACAGUCAUUCAACAAAUUUUAAAAAAUAAUUUUUACUAGGGUUCGCAAUAAACUCUAGAUCCGGCCCAGAUCCGAAAUUCGGAUCCGAAAAAAUCAGGAUCGGCAUGUUAAAAAAUGCGGAUCCGGAUCUUAAAAAUCAAGAUUCAUACGGAUCUGGAUCCACAUGCAAGUGCAUCCGGAAAACCGGAUAUCCGGAUCCGCAUUAUUUUAUAAUUAAAUUAUUUAUUUAAUUAAAUUUUAAUUGAAAAAUAUAUAAAUUAAAUUAUUUAUUUAAAUGUAUAAGCAUAAUUAACUCUAAAAUCUUCAUUAAUUAUGAAAAAUAUGUUAAAAUAAUAAUAAUAAUAAUUAGAGAAUAUUGUAAUAAAUCGGUUUACCUUAGAUUUUUUUUAUGUUUGAUUUAUAUUAUGAAAUUAUUGUUUGUGAAUUUAUGGUGUUGAAUUGAUGUUAAAUUGUCGAUUGUUAAGUUAUAAUUGAAUUUUAUUUAAUAUUAUUAUGUAAAUUAUUAAAUUUAAAAUUAAAUUUAAAUUUAUUAUUAUGCGGAUCCGAAUAUUCGGAAUAUCCACCCACAAUCCGUGCGGAUAUUACCCGCAUCCAGAUCCGCAUAUUUUUUUUUACGGAUCUAAAUACAGAUCGGGAUGCCAAAAGCUUAAUCUAGAUCCGAAUUCGGAUGCACCUACAUCCGGAUCCGGAUUUGGAUUUUGCCAUCCCUAAUUUGUUACUUUACACACUAUUUCAAAUGUCAAAACUGUCCUUCAUUAGGACCAUUCAUUAACUAAUUAUUUUCUAUAAAAUAUUCAUCAUUCUUGAGCCAUGUGGCGUUAAUUAAUGAUUCCUAAGCAUUAUCAAGGUUCAAGAUUUAUGUUGAAACUCUUUCAGUUGAGAUUUGAGCCUAGGCACUAGCUAUAUACAUACAUACUCUUUCAAAUGCAGUUCUGGGAAUAUUUUGUGACUAAUUUUAUAAAAGUGUUUUAGUUACAUUAAUGCAGUGAAACAAUAAAGAGUACGUGGCUUGAUGAUUUCCAAAUCAAGUUGGGGAAAAAACAAAGCAUUUUCUUUUAUAAUGGAUUAGAUUAGACGAUGAAGGGAAAAUUAUUUACGAUUAUUACUUGUUUGUGUGUUUAGAGUAAUAAUAUUUUCUUAAAUUAUACUAAUGUCCCUAGUAGUAAAUUUAAUUAAGGUUAUUUUCGUAAUAUAAAUUUUAUUAAAAUUAAAGUGUCUAAAAUAGAAUUUAGAGUGAAAAUAGCUCUUAGACGUCCAUAUCAUUACCUUUAUAACUAUUGAAAAUAUGAAUUUUCAAAUGUAAAAUAACAUUUCUAUAUGAUAUAAAUUAAAAUUCAAUCAAAUUUAUCAUGCAACAAAUGAAAAGUAAAGAAAAUUAAAUAGGUUUUAAUAGAGACAAAAUAAGCUUCUAUGUUGAAUUUAAAAGUAUUAUAUUAGUAGUAAUCAUAUACGUAUCGAACUUUUUAAUAAAAUUUAUUUAGAAAUUGGCCAAUUGGGUUUUAUGAAGAAAAUAGAGGGGCACGAAUGGCGCCACUUUUAAUUAUUGUUGCUGUACAACUGAAAAUUGAAAUGUUGUAUUUAAAAAGUACUUGUUAGAUGUGUAAAAUGCACCAACUUGAAAUGGCACGAGAGCAUAAUGGAAUUUUGUUGGGAAAUUUACAAAAAUAACCAUAAAACUUUUACUAUUUUCACAAUUAACCCUCUAAACGUUUUUCUAUCAACAUUAACCAAACACAUGCUUUUCUCCCCAAAUUACCCUUGUAUUUGCUAACCAACCUGUCGCACAUAGUUUGGUGCGACAGGCACCUGUCGCACGAAGCUAAGUGCAACAUGCACCUGUUGCACUGUUAUAGUGCAAUUUAUGCACUAGUUUUGCAUUGUUUACUUCCCUUAAUAUCGAUGUUUUGCACUUAAUAAUGAUGAUUUACUUGUGUUUUACUUUUGUGUUAUGAGCGUCAGAAGAACUUUGUUGAUAAGGCGUGGGUGCGUGCUGUCAACUACGGACCUACAGUUUUUAGUUUAACGUGUUUUGUAUUUUUGGUUAUUUUUGUAAUUACGAAUUUAAUAUUUCAGAUAUUAGUAAUUUAUUUUAAAUAGAAUUCUAGAGAAGAAGAGAGAGAGAGUAUUUAAGAGAGGAAUCUAUUGUGAAAAAGGGGACUUUUGGAGAAGAGAAAGAAACCCUAGAUCUAAACUUUUCUCUUCUCUCUAUGAAGAACUAAACCUAUUUUUCUGGUUAAAGGAUAAUGAAGCUUUGAUUCAUCACUACUAUGAGAUCUAUUUUAUGCUUUAAUUGUUUUAUUGCUUUUUGGGUAUUUGUUUAUUCUCUGAAUUAUUUUCAUGAUUAUGUUUAUUAAUUAGGUAAUUGGCCACUAUUUAAUUAUCAACUUAAUCUAUUGUUAAUUAAAGGAUUCAUCGUAUGAAGAUUUUAAUGUUUGUGACAAAUAACAUAGCAAUGAGUUGUGUUAUGAGAAUAAACAAUCUAAUUUAAAUGAAUCAUCGUAUGUGUUGAUUAGUAUUUGGGUCUCUUUGGUCUUUCAGGCUGUCAAUUGAUUAAAUCCUAUGAUCGUAUCUAGGGUUGUCUAUUGAUUAGGGAAAUAGUCAACGGUCGUACCUUAGUUAUCGACUAGUUAAGGAGAGAUUGGCUAUUAGAGGGUCUCAGUAGCUAUAACCAGUCUAUUCAUAAGUAAUAAUAAUCUAUAUUUGAAUCAAUGAUCAGUAGUCGAAUCAAGCUGAAUUAAUUCCUUCAACCAGAGCUUUCUCCAAUUUGAAUUACAUCUUUAAUUUACAUUCUUGUUAUUUUAAUUUGAUUUUUAUUAUUGUCAACAAUUCCCCCAUUUUACGUUUUACGUUUCAAAAGGAUUUAAAUAAUUACCGAUCUCUGUGGACACGACCCUACUCAAUCACUAUACACAAUUUAUUUAGAGUAGGAAUUUAUUUUUGUUGGCUUCGACAACCAUCAAAUUUUGGCGCCGUUGCCGGGGAUUGGUGUCAUUUAUUUAAUCCUUUUUACGUUUUACUUGGUGUAUGGUUCGUUCUUCUCGUACAUGUAUACUUUCGUUUGAUCCUGAAAUUGAGAAGACAACUCGCCAACUGAGACAGCAGACGAAGCGAGCUAAGCAAUGAUCCUCGUCGCCUUUGCUUUCUGAAACAGAUAUAGUGCCUAAUUUAGUUGAAUCAUCUAGUGAUUCAGAAGAACAAGUGAUGGAUAGACCUGCACCUGUAGAAAGAACCCUUAGAGAGUUAGCUGAACCAGACUUGAAUCAACAACCACUCUGCAUUCAAUAUGUAGACUUGGAGGUAAAUUUUGAAUUAAAGUCUGGUCUUAUUCAUUUAUUACCCAAGUUUCAUGGUUUUGCAGGUGAAGAUCCUCAUAAACAUCUUAAGGAGUUUCAUGUUGUGUGUUCAAGUAUGAGACCACAAGGCGUGACUGAAGAGCAGAUUAAGCUGCGUGCUUUUCCUUUCUCUUUAGAUGGACUAGCUAAAGACUGGUUGUACUACUUGCCUCCUGGAUCAAUUACAACGUGGAAUGGUUUGAAGAAGCAAUUCCUCGAGAAGUACUUUCCUGCUUCAAGAGCUGUUAACAUCAGAAAAGACAUUUGUGGGAUCAGACAACUUCCUGGGGAGACUUUGUAUGAGCAUUGGGAGCAAUUCAAACAAUUGUGUGCCAGCUGUCCUCAGCAUCAGAUUUCUGAUCAACUUCUUAUUCAAUAUUUUUACGAAGGACUGUCAUUGAUGGAUAGGAGUAUGAUAGAUGCUGCUAGUGGAGGCGUGUUGGUGAACAAGACCCCUACUCAAGCAAGGGAGCUGAUAUCAAAUAUGGCUGCCAACGCACAACAAUUUGGCAGCAGGUAAGAUCUCACUUCAAGGAAGGUGAAUGAGGUAAAUAUUUCUUCUGUUAAACAACGUUUAGAUAAACUUACUUCUCUUGUGAAAAAGUUUGUUGUAGGUAAUGUGCAACAGGUGAAGACUUGUGGCAUUUGUUACAAUAUGGGUCAUUCAACUGAUAUGUGUCCUACACUUCAAGAAGAACCCGUUUAACAAGCCAAUGCAGUUGGAGGAUUUCCAGGCAUGCCUUAGAGGAGGUAUGAUCCUUAUGCACAAACAUACAAUCCGGGAUGGAAGGAUCAUCCCAACUUCAGCUAUGGAGUUAGGCCGUCAGGAUUCCCACAACAGUAUCCACCAAGACAACUAGCACCUCCACAGUCAAACUCCAAGUUAGGUAUAUCUCUUGAAGAAAUUGUUAAAUCACUUGCAACUAACACUCAACAAUAUUAGCAGGCAACUAUAGCAAGCAUUCAGAAUUUGGAGAACCAAAUGAGUCAAUUGGCGACUACAGUGAGCCGUCUGGAGUCUCAAGUAUUAGGGAGAUUGCCUUCACAAUCUGAGGUGAAUCAAAAGCAAAACGUUAGUGCUGUCAUCCUUAGAAGUGGGAAGGAGUUGCAAGAGCCUAGUAAGAAAGUGACAAAGCAUGUAGAAGAUGAGCUUGAGAAGAAUGAAUUGAUGCCUAAAUCUCAAGAUGCACAACUCACCAGAGCGAAACCCCUACCUAUUGUGAUACCUCCUCCUUUUCUAAGCCGGUUUGCAAAAUCCAAGAAGGAGGAACAAGAGAAAGACAUCCUGGAGACAUUUCGCAAGGUUGAGGUAAAUAUUCCUUUAUUAGAUGCUAUAAAACAAAUACCUCGAUAUGCUAAAUCUAUUUUUUAGCCCCUACCUCCUUGGCUAAGAUCUAACUUGGGUGGCAAAUUAAAUAAACUUGUUUGAAACUACUCAGCCACAUCUUUAGGGGUAUUAUUGUUAGUUGCUUAACUACUAAAUUAAUAAAAUUUGUAAUAUUUUCAAUAAAGAUUUUCCUAUAAUAUUGUAUAAGCUUUUAUAGUAUUAAUAAUGGGACUAUUGUGGACCCAUGAAUUUAAGUGUUUUAUGGUGCAUUCAGUAUUGUUUUCAAAUUUCAUUUUCUGUCUUCUAAAUUCAAGAAACAUCAAAUACAUGUUUGGUAGAUUGUUUCUAAAUAUACCUUUGAAAAUUUAAAAUUUAUUUAUACUUUUAACUAAGAAAAUAAGAAAACAACAUUUUCUUGUUUUCUUUGUUUCCCAAUUCAAUUUAAGCUUCAAUAUGAAAAAUUUUCUUCCGCCAUCUCUCAAAAUAAUAAUGACAUCAACAACAACAAAGACAACAACAACAACAUUGUUGUUGUUGUUGUUGUUAUUAUUAGACCACCUAAAAAUCAACUUCCAUUAUAAUAAUCUUUUCUUCUUUUAUGCAUUAUAAUAUUUAUGCUUUUAUAUAUUAAUUAAAUCAAGUAUGCAUAGUUUAUCAUUUUUCUUUAAACAAAAAAAGAUCACCUAAUUUAUUCUUAAAGUUAAAAAAUCAAACUAAUUAAACAAUUAAAAUCACCUAAUUACACUACUUAAUAUUAAGUUUAUGGAAAUUAUUCUAAUAAUAAUUAUUUAAGCUAUUCCUAUCGAGCAUGUUUUUCUUUUUUCUCACGUUCAAGAUUAUUUUCGAAAAUGAUAUCGAACACAUUUAAAAAUUUUUAAAAAUAAAUUCGAAAAUAGCAUUUUCAUUCUCAUUUUUUUUAAUGAAAACAACAAUUGAAAAACAAUACCUAAAUAUGAUAUAAUGAUAAAAAUUUAAUGAAAUAUAUAGUAGUGGGUAAUCUUCAGGUUAUAAGUGAAUGUAGAUAUAUAUAUAUAUAUUACUUUCAACUAAUAGAUAAAAGAAAUUUUCUAUGGUGUUGGGAUGAAAAUCCCAUUAUCAAUGAUGAGAUUAUUAUUGAUCAUUAGAUUUAAAUAUUAGAAUCUUCAACCUUAAUUUAAUUUUAAUAGUAAGUAAUUGUGUAACAAGUAAUUUGCAUGUUGUGAUAUUUCUUUAUACAUUAAUUUAUUUUUAUCCAAUCAAUUGAUAAACAUUUUUAGGUCACCAAAAAAUUGUAAAAAAAAGUAAAAGUAAUUCUGAAAUUAAAAACGUUAUAUACUGCCUAUAGCUAUAUAAUUUUACUGUUUCUUCUUUCACAAUUAAUAUUCAUAUAAAAAUAGCUUCUAAAUAAAUGUAAUAUUACUCCAACAAUAUUUUAUAGGGACAAUGACACCUAUACCCUACAGUUUAGGGAAAUGUUCACAAAUAUCUCUAAGUUUUCAGGAAGGGACAUCAACACCCAUUUUAACCAUAAUGCCCUUUGAAUUUAAUAAUUAGAAAAUUGACUUUAAGAUUUUUUAAUUGACAAAUUUAAUAUAAAUAAUAUAAUCUAUCAAGUAGACUAAUAAUACUAAAUUAUUUUUAACAUUUAAAAUAAUAUUAAAAUUUUAAAUUAUUAUAUUUAUUUUAAUAAUAUAUUUGUAUAUAUUAUAAACAUUUUAAAUAAAUCUUGGGUUAAAUAGAUUUUACAAUUAAAAAAAAUACCCCUAUUAAUAAUAUGAAAAUUAUUUUUACAUAAUAUUUAAAAUAAUUUUAAUUUUAAUUCAUUUAUUUUAAUAUUAUGUUUCUAUUUGUUAUUAAAAGUUAAUUUAUUAUCUUAAAUUUGUAUUAAUUAAAAAACUUUAAAGUAAAUUUUCUAAUUCCUAAAUUCAAAGGACAUUACGAUUAAAAAGGGGUUUCGGUGUUCCUUUUUGAAUACCUGGAGAUCUUUGCGACCAUUUCCCCAUACCUUAGAGGUGUAAGUGUUUUUUUCCUUACUUUAUAUAAAGAUAUUUCAUAGAUCUUAUAAUAAUUUAUACUGUAUGAAUUUAAUCAAAUGACCAUUAAUACUUAAACAUUAAUAAUUAUAGAAGGUAUUGUAAUAAAUUAUUUGAUAUAUAUUAUUAAUGAUACUAUAUAUGUGUGUAUAUGACUACAUGAUGGCUUGGAUAUAUAUUUUUAGUAGUAAGUAUUUUAACUUAAAUUUUUAAAACAAAAUUUAUACUAUUGAUUUCAUGUAAUUCAAUGGUGGAUGAUUUAGCAUCAUAAAAUAUUGUUUUGAUGUUUAAUAUAAUCAUUAAAUUGUGAGAGAUUAAUUUCUCAAAUUUUGUGUUAAAAUUUUAAGUUAAAAUAUCCCAAACCAAUUGUUUUAUGAAAAUACAAAAAUAUAUAAAGAAUUUUUCUCAUUAAUUUUCAUAUGAAUAUUAUUAUAGGUAAUAUUUUAUAUAUUGUCACCAUUAAUUACCAUCAUUAAAAUAGUGACUCUUAGUAAUAUAGAAUUUUAUAAUAAGUUAAUUGCAACCAAAGGAUACCAACAAAUAAUAUUUCACGAUUCAUAAACUAAAGCUAAUUAAGAAUAUAUUUUAGGUUUAACUUUUAUGAAAUCAACAAAAUGAUAUUAGAAAAUAAAAUGAAAAUAGACUAGUGAAAGCUUUGAGUAAUUUUCUGCAAUGAAAGAAUAUUAAUUGUAAUAUAAACCAUAAUUUCAUCGUAUAGCUACGCUAAAUGGGAGUAACAAAUAAUAUAUACUUUACGAUCAACUAUUAAAUGGUCCUUAAUAGCAUAUAAAGUAGUGGGUAUUUUAAUAUAUACUAUUAAACUUUUUUAAAACAUAAGUAGUUAAGUAUAUGAUUUUUAGGAUAUAAACAAUCACAACCAAAUGUUUAUUGAUGUAAAUUAUAUGGCAUUCAGUUAAAUGUACAUACUUAAUUCUAAUUGGUUAAACAAUUCUCUUUCUUUCUUCGCUCUCUUACGACUUGAGGCACAUAACUAAACGCGUGGCUAUUAGCAUUUGCCACCAUGUAUUUAACAACCCCAAAUGAAGAUAUUAAUUUUUUUAGUUUAAUUGCUGCUUCAAAAUGGGGUACUGCAUUUGGAUUUUGUUAUUCAAAUACCAAAAUGUUCCCACAUUGUGUUGGACAGUUUUUGGUUCUAAAGUUGAUGACUGGUUUUGCCAAUCAGGCUUCAAAUGAGAACUUCUAAACAAUAAGACAAAUGGGUUUUGAGUUUAUAAUCUUGUAAACUUUGUUCUAUUGUAUAAGUUAUGAAAUCGUUGAAACAUCACUACAGCUACAGGUCUUUAUGUGUCAAUGAACUGCAGAAGCUGAUGAUCUACUUGUAGUAGACUUCUAUUGCCCCUGCCAUUCUCGGAAGACAAACAAGUUCAGGAACUACUUCUGGACCAAACUCAUAAUAUUGCCACUGCUUUGUGCCAAUCUGAGACGGAAAGAAGAUUGAAGUUCCUAAAUAAGGCACAUCAUGAUUUAAUAGAAGUACCACUAUAAGGAAAAAUUGAUUUCAGGAAAGCACUAAAAUAUGACAUAAUCUCCCCCUAAUGGUCUAAAGUAGUCAAAAAAUUAUAUCAACCAAGCAAAAACACAUAAACUAGUUGAGAUACAAAGUUAUCAUAAAAGUCAAUUUUGAUCACAAAUCCAUUAAAAUUAAAAGACAUCAGAAAGUUAGAGAACAUUAUAAUUUAGGACUCAGCUAAGUUGCAGAUUCUGUAACUAACAGCUGAGUCCACAUUGGCCUUGCAUCAGCUGAGUUUGGGUUGCUUUCCUCUCUCCUGCAACGCGUGGAAGCGUCCCAUUUGCUGUGUUAUAUACAGAGUCGGUACCGUAGCAAGCUCCUAUAAUUUAAGUUUGACUACUGUGGACAAUAGUCUGCCUCUGUUCAAAAGCUAUGCUGCAAGAUAUAGCAUCUUUGCAAUGUUAUACUUUCUAAAAGUAAUAAGAAAUGAAACCAAGGGGUAAAUCGAACACCAAAAGAAAUUUAGUCGGCCAACCACAUUAUGUUCCCACACAGUCCACCAAUUAAGUUAAUAAUUAAAGGGAAUCAAAAUCUAAGAAAUCUCAUCUUCAAGCAAAAUACAAACACACCGGGAUUGAAAAUCAUAAAAUCAUAAAAAGAAGCUGACUUGAAAAGCUCAAAUAUACGUUCAUCAGCCUCUCAACUUAUAUCUAAGAACAAAUGCCUGCAGCUUGUGAAGACAUAGAUAAUUGAAGCUGAUGAGGCAUAUUUAACAGAUGAUAAUCAAAACUCGUGUGAUUAAAAUUAUAAUUCAAUAAUCGAGCACAUAAAACAAGAAGUAACUAGUUGUAUAUAUACCAAACAACUUUCUGAAGUUAAGGCGUAAAACAACAACGUAGAACAAAUUAAUUAAAUAUACCAGCACCAAUACUCUUAUUAUUAUCCAAAUAUAGAAGACCAAUGUAUCAAACAAGGAAAAUGAAAUAUUGUUAAUAACUCAAAAACCACUAGUGUCAAGAAAUAAACUAAUAAGUAAAACCCAUAACCAGACACGACCACUUCAAAAUCUCUGAAAAUUGAGGUCUAAACAUUGAAAACAAUUAGACAUAUAUAACAGUCAAUCGAAACAAAGCCUCAAAAUAAUAAUGAACUACAAUAAGACAGAAACUAAAUUGUAAACAACCGCAUACCCAAUAACAGUAAUCAAGUAACGAGUCAAAACCAGAAUCAAACGUAGAAUUUGAAAUCCAUACGAACUCUAACGUAUUAGAAUGAAAGAAUAAGGACGAUCGAUAAACUAGACUAAAAAAAAAACAUGCCCAGUUAAAAAACGAAGGUAAAUAAAUAAAAAUGGUAUAAAACUGCGAAAAAAAUUAAUUAAAUGAAGAGAAAAUCACAGGAAUCCUAUGAAAAGGAAGGUAAACAAAACCUUCGGGAGCCGAGAAGAUGCCUUUUUUUGUUCACUUUUGUGCCUAUACAUACAUUUUUUUUUUUUGUUGGUAAUUUUGAAGAAAGUAUUGGUUAAAUAUUGUUAGAACGAAAUAUUAAUAGAUGCUGGAAAUUUCAACAAGGACAAUCUUCGAUUCAAAUGUAUCCCUAUGAUAAAGAAAAAGCCUACUUGGCUAAAUUUUGAGCACCACAUUACAAGAUCUAGGUGUAUGUAACCAUGCAAAAUGAAACAUCUAUUAAUUGUAAGUCCCUUGACCUCUGGAACCAGCCAACCAGUCUCUUUCCUGCUAGACAACCUUCCAUCGAUCAGACUAAUAAUAUUUACUAAAUCAUGUUCUACAGUUAAUGGAGUUGGACCCAAGGCAAUUGUUAGAAGUCCGCCUAGACAUAGAGUGCGCUUAGAAGUGGGAUGCUUAGAGAUGGGCCGCCAACACAACCAGCCAACCGUAGUGUGCUUAGCAAAUCACCCAAGCCCGGCCCAAGAUCUAGAACUAUCUACAAAUUGUAAAUAAGCUAAAAGUUUCUAAGUUUCUCCACAUAGGUCCCUAGGAUAUUUAUGGAAGUUGCUAGGAAGUUUCCUCCCCUAGAACUCUAAUACCUAUAAAUAGGGGUAAGCCCCCUCAUUUGCCCACCAACCACACCACACACACAAACACUCUAGCACACACACAAGCUCUCUAGCUUUUGUAAAAAGCUCUCUUGUAUAUUUUCUCUUUGUGAGUAAUAAAAUCAUAUUCAGCCAUAUUGCUCUACUUCUCUCUAGCAUUUUCUGCAAGUGUUCUUGCUUCGCUAGUUUGAGGAGUGUUCUAGGGUUGCUUAACAACUUGUUCGCUAGAAGGACAUCAUGGUCACAAAACAUGGACAUGCAAGAAAAAAAUAAUAUUGAUACGUUCUAAAAAUAAUAUGCGUUCUUCUACAGUGAACCAAAAAAUUUAGGCUAAUGGUAGCAAGUGAAGGAAUUGUGAUUUCACGUGCAUUUUGUUGACAUGAACGUAAAGGACUUUUUUUUAUAGUUUAUAUUGUUUAAUAUAACAUUUGAAUUGCAAAAUAGGGGUACAAAAUAGAUACACGAAGUGAUAAAACUAAGCUGAUUAUAAUAAAUAUUGAAUUAUAAGAUUUAGGUUUAAUCAGAAAGACAUAAGUGGCGCACAAAGUCACGAAUUGAUAUCAUCCAUGAUGCAAGUUCAAACAACUGCAUAAUAAGUUGCCCCAAGCUAAACUAUUAAUCUAGUAACUAUUCCAGUCGAUGUGGGAUAAUUUUCCUAUCACCAACUAUCACGUGCAAACCGAAUUUUUUGCUUGGUCCUUACAUGUGGUAAGGUAAUAUGAAUCCACUUGUGCAUAAAUUUGGCUCAGAUACUAUAUAGAAGCCUAUGACCCAAAAUUAGACUUAAAGGUUAUCUCAAGAUUUGAGGGUUGCCUCAAGCUCAUAUUAUUAUUAGCCUGGUAACCUUUUUUGUUUGUUGAUAUGUGAUAUUUUCCCUAUAACUUUUAUUAAUCUUUAUGCUUAUGUUUUGUCAUUUAUCCCAAAAUAUAACAUUAACAAAAGUUCCAAAAUUUCCUUCAAGAGAUAUAUUUGAGACAAGGAAUUUGUGCAAUAACUUUGUAAAUUGAUGAGCAAAUUCAGAGAAAAGAAUAUAUGUGCCAAACAUAACGUUUAUUAUUGUGUUUAUUUGUAGAGCUAUUUAAAGCCCAAAAAAAAAAAAAAGCACCGGUCCGCUAUGAUUUCAAAUAAGUUCAAGCCCUAUGUCAUUAUUGGUACAAAAAUGUAUCAAAAAGGUUAAAAACUAUUUUUAAAGGUUAAAAACUAUUUUUAUUUAACUUAUAAACUUAGGAAAUUAUCAACUGUUCGCCUUUAAAUUGCGCUAUUAUAAAAAAUAUUACAAUAUUUUCAGGUUGUGUCAUUCAUCUACCAUAAAUUUACAAUAUGCAUCAUUUAUCCACCAAAUCAUUAACUUCGUCAAAAAGUGAUAGACGUCACAAGGGUAAUUUAGACAUUUAACACAAAAAAAUAAAAGAGAAAUUAUCUAAGCUUACCAUGUUAUCAAAAUUGCUACAAAAUUUUAAAUUUGUUCAAUUUUCUAAUCUAAGUUUAUGACCUCCAAGAUGUUAAUUGCAGUUUGUAAUUAAUGACUUCAUAAGGAUAAUUUAGACACUCAAUAUGCAAAAUAAAAAAUAAAAUAAUGGCUUAAAACAUUAAAACAAAAAACUACUUUUUAUAAUUGAUAUUCAAUUAAAUACACAUAAACUCUAUUUUUUCUUAAUUAAAAAUAUUCUAAUUUAUUUUCUCAAUUUAUCUUCAUAAAUUUACAUUAAUAAACUAAAUCCACAAAUUACCCUAAACCCUAAUUCAUAAAUGCCCAAUCAAUCUAAUAGUUUAAUUCGAUUUCAUAAUUAAAAAAAGCUAAAUUUAUUAUAUUAGUUAUGGUGCAAAGUAAAAAAUGUCCUUAAAUCCAAGGGUAAAAUAGCAUUUUAUUUAAAUUCUAUAAAUUAUUCUAACAAUGUUAACAUUUUGGUGGACGGUUAAUAUAAGUUACAAACUUAAAAUAGAAAAUCAAAUAAAUUCAAAAUUUCAAACUAUUUAGGGCAAAUUUAGGAUAAUAAUGGUCAAUUUAUUAUAAUUCUAUUAAUUUUUUAAUGGAAGCAAGCGAUAUAAUGGAUGAAUGAUAUAAAUUGUAAAAUUAAGGUGCAUGAACGAUAUAAUUUUAAAGUAUUGUAGUACUUUUAAUAAUAGAACAAUUUAAAGGUGGAUUGGCGAUAAUUUAAACUUUAAUGAAGCAACUAAAAAAUAUUUUUAACAAAGAAAAAUAAUUGAAUGCUUUGUGAAACCAAAAAUAUUUGAAAUGUUUUAAGAAAAAUAAAGGAAAUUAAAUAUCUUUUUAAAAAACAUAAUUGAGUAAAAUCAUUUUACAAAAUGCUCUUUCAAAUGCACAUUCCACAAGCCAAGAAGAACGGGUGGCUAACAAAAAUCUCACUUUUUAUGAGUUUAUAAAAUCUCACUUUCGCAAAAUCCAAAAAUAACCAAUACUAUCACACAAAAAAUAAAAAGUAUUGCUGUCACGACAUUACACACUUUCUUCGCCGUCUAGAAAGGUAGAACAUUUUGAAGUUCCUCAAUACAAAAUGCGUGCUAUUACUAAAUUGGCCCAAUUAAUGCCCAUCGAAAGGCCAUCAAUUUAGCCACCAAAUUUGCCAAAGUUUUAACAAUUGAAGAAAUAGUGAACUCAAAAGGAACAGAUAAAUUUUGAAGUUGAACAAACCUUAAGGUACAUACAACAAAGCCUUGAAACUUUAGUCUUCACAAUUUAAGCACGCAAUAAUAUUAAGUAUCCACCUAAAAAACAAGUAUAGAACAAAGCUUGUUAGCUUCUUGGGCAUUAACUAUGAAUGAUGAGUAAAAUUAAAAAAGCAAACAGAGAAAAUUAUAAGAAGAAGAAAAGCAAACAGUUAAAAAAAAAUUAUGAGAAGGAAAAUUUUGGUAGAACUCCGCGGCUCAUCUGUGAAAUUAAUGUCAAUAUGUAUUUUUAUGUAAAUAGGGUCUCUGGAUUUUAGGAUGAAUCAAUCAGCUACCACAAACGAAAACAUGAACCAACUAUAUAUAGAGUCAAUCAACUAUAAUUAAAGUUCUCAAGAGCUUACCUCUGCUCCAGAAUUCUCGGAAUCAUCUAUUUCCUUCUGAAUUUGCGCGAAGCUUGGGACAACUAAGAAAGCGUCCAUGUGGAGCUGGGAUCUGAUAACCCGCAGGCCAAAAGUUGGUGAGGUUUGGUAAAUCUAACAGUGUCAAGUUCCAAAAUCCAUUCAUAACAAUUUCAUUGUAAUCCGUGACAUCUGCUCCAUCUUUAUGCCAGAAUACUUCUUCUAAUUCAUAAUUACUUUCUACCCAUAGUUGAGUUAGAUUUUGAAGACUUGGAGCUACGCUAAUAUGAAAUAGAUGCUUUAGUUUGGGGCAGUUGUAGAAAGUGAUCCUUCUGAGUUUUGGGAAACAUACAGGUUGGAGAUGAUCCUCAUCCUCAUCCUCAUCAAUGAUUUGCUCUAAUUCCAAGCAUUUCCGAACAGAUAACUCCUCCAAUUGCAACAGAUUUCGAGCAAGUGUCGAUGAGAGGAGACGUUUCAACUUAGAGCACCGGAUCACGAGUAAACGGGUAAGAUUUUGCAGGCUAAAAAUAUGCGUGGGACCUUCAUGAUAUAAUACUUGCAGUUCUGGAAGAUUUUUCAAUUGCAACGACUUCAAACAUGGGAAUAGUUUGUUUUCUUGUCCCUCAGCGAUAAUAGCUUCCAAUUGAAACACCACAUGUACUCCAAGUUGGCUAAUUUUCAAAUCUUCCAAAUUUUUUAAGUCGUGCUUCAACAGUGCUGGAAUCGUGUCACUCAAAUGGGAACAAUUGUCCACAUUUAGAAUUUUUAAGUUCUGAGACAAAUAAAUAAAUAACUUGAUGUAAUUAAAAUCUAUUAGCAGCUAAGAUUAUCACAUGAUAAGUGACGAACACCGCAAAAAACAAAAAUAGAAACAAAAUCCAUACAAAAAUAUAAUAAUACAUAUGUAAACUAAUAAAAUAAUUAAAAAGUAAUAUGGAUUGAUCAUGUGAAGUGAUAUAAAGGUGACAUUAGAUUGUUUGAGAAAAAUUAGUAUUCUAUUAAUUUCUAUGGAUUGAUCAACUAAUUAAUUGAAUUUGAGUAAUAUUAUAUACACUUCAGUAAGUGUUUCUAUCAAUUCUUUCUAAACCAAAAUGAGAUAAGACUUCCAUUUGAACAAUGAUUUUAGGCCCUAAAAUAAAGAAAUUUCCCUAAGAUAUUUGAGCAUUAUUAUUAUCAUCACCACAUCCACGAUCAUCAUCAUCUCCAUAGGACCAAAUAAUUAAUGGCUGAUCAUAAAAUUUAUUGCUAAAUUAUCAUUUUGAGUAAAAUUGAAGGAAAAGAAAAAAUGUAAACACAAACAAACAUACCUCUUCAAGAUACUGCAAAUUGGCUUCAAGUUCAGUACUGCUGACGGUCAAGUUGGGACAGUGCCUAAGGUGUGACUCUUCCAAUGCUGUCCAAAUUGAACAAUAAUUUUCUGAACAGAAGCUCUUGAGUUUUGGGAGAUUGUGAAGUGUUAAUUUUGUCAACAAAGGGAGGGCAAGCAUCGUAUUUCCAUCUCCAACACUUAUUUCCCCUUCAUUAUGAUCAAACUUUGCUUCGACAAUACAUUCCAUUCUCCGGCAUCCACUUACAUAGAGACUUUUAAGCUGCUUCAAACUUCUAGCUUGUGACAACGUGAAGAUAUAUGUCAAAUUGUUGCAUCCACACACAGUCAAUUCUGUAAGAGCUUGGAGGCUGAUCACAUAUUGGGCGGGCGCCUUCCAUAUCCACUUCAGUUCUGGUAAUUGCCACAUAGAUAACUCUGCUAAUCUUGAGAGCAUCACAGGAUUCCCACUCUUUCCAUGCGGCGACUUAGAGGCAUCCAUUAUGCAUUCUAAUUCUUUGCACUCGUUGACAGAAAGACAAGUCAACUCAUUUAAGCCCCUUGGAUCUAUGCUUGGCACAAUAUUGUGACAACCUAUAAUCGUUCUUAAAUUAAGAAUUUCCAGUUCUUGAUACAAUGCCGAAAAAAUACCGAGAGAGGUUGCUUCACAAUUAUUAAUCUUUAAGCCCCUUCUCUGUCCAAAAAUUUCAUCUUCUUCUUGCAUUAGAAAUUCAAGUUUGUUACCAUUACUGACGUGGUGCCUUUCCAAUUUCGGGAAUGUAAAGUCUUUUGGAAGACGUGCAAUUUUUUUGCCAGUAUGUAAAGUCUUUCCAUCGUCAUUUUCUUCUGAACUCAUCCCUUCAGCCUCCCAAUCUUUUAUCCGACCAUAAAAUUCUUCUAAUUGAGGAAAUUUUUUUAUCGUAAUGGGAGAAAUACAACCAGAAUUAAUGAAUAUAAGAAGUUUCAAUCUACUAAGUUGAUCCCCAAAUUCUUCAGGAAUUUCAAUGGGAGACUCCUUGACACAAAGAAUUUGAAGUCUCUUCAACUUUCCAAGGAAAGAUGCGUCACUUACUUUACAUUGAAUCAACUGCAGAACUUGGAGGUUGGUGAGGAAUUGAAGCGAUUUAAGUGAAAUGACUCCACCUAUUACAGUAACAACUUUCAAUGCUGGCAUCCCUUCGAAAAAAUGCUCUGGAACGUGAAAUUGAUAGUCAUAACCACUAGGAAGCUCUUCUUUUACAUAUCCCAGGAAAGAGAUUCCUUCGUAUUGUUCCAUUGCCCGUUCCGCCAAUCCAUCUGUAGUAACAACUUUCAAUUUGUAGUUAUAUACAGUAUUCUGCAGUUGCAAAAUUUGAAGGUUAGGACAUACCAAACUGGUAGGAAGCUCUUCUUUUUUAUUUCCUACCAAUGAGAUUCCCUUGCAUUGUUCCAGGCUUUCUUCCACUACCCGUUCUGCCAAUCCAAUGCCAACUUUACUAGUAAAAUAUUUCUUUCCCACUGAGCCUAUCCAUAAGGAAACAUCACGAACAAUGUCAUGCAUUUUCACAGAUCUAUCAUUACCGGUGUCUAACAGCAGUGAAGAAGCUUUGAGCUCUUUAAUCGUUCCACUCACUAGGAUCCUGGCUUCUUCGAUUGACUCAACUUGAUACCAAUCCAACGCCACUGCAUAUCCAACCAAAUCAUUCGAAUCUAUCUCAUAAUCUUCUGGAAACAGCGAACACAACAAAAAGCAUGACCUGGAAUCCUCACCAUUCAAAUAAUCGUAACUAAAUUUGAGACAAUGGUAAACGUCUUGGUCAUCCUUACCAAUACCUUCUAUUGUAUUGAGUUUUGCAUUUUUUAGUUUAUGUAGAGCUACUUUCCAUUGACCAAAUCCUUUACCUCUUAGCGCACUUCCAACAGCCUUAAUAGCUAAAGGCAACCCCUUACAUUCAUUAGCAAUUUUUUCUGAAACACCAAUCAAGGUUGAAUCAGCAUCAAUGCCGGCAUGCUUUCUUAGUAAAGCCAAUCCUUCUUCUCGCUUUAGAACACCGAGUUGAAUCUGCGUGUCACAACCCAUGCGAUCACAAACUGGCUGAAGGCGAGUGGUUAGAAGGAUUUUGCAACAAUUGUCUCUAUCACCAACAGGAAUACCUAUUGUCUCCAAGUCAAUUUCAUUCCAGACAUCGUCAAGGAUUAUGAGGAUCUUGGGGCUUUUACUCUCAGAGAACAUCAAGCGCAAUCGGUCUGCUCUAUCCUUCUCAUCUUUCUCCGUUAAUGCCCAACCUAACGACUUUACUAGCUCACUUUGAACAUUUAUUAUAUUUGGAUCCCGAGAUAUAGUGGCUAUCCCUACGUGAUCGAAAAUCUUUUGUUGCCGAAGUUGAUUGCCCGCAAAUUUUGCCAAGGUCGUCUUUCCAACACCACCGAGACCAUGCAAUCCCACCAUCUUUGUGCUCUCUUUUUUCAGUGCUUCAAUGAUCUGAUUACAAGCCAAUUCUGUAGUCUCGAAAGACAUAAAAUGUCUUGGUGCAGGCAAUUCUUUGUUCAAUGGUAGAGGUUUAGGAUGGGCAACAGUGCUGAAUUUGCCGCGGUCUAGUAGAUCGGCCAACUUGCUAGUCUUCUUUAAUGCUUUUCUUCCCAGCCAAUAUCGGCAACCCCAAUUAGGACACCAUCCAUUAAGACAACUCUUGUUUUCAUCUAUCUUUGCUUUCAAAUUUUGAACAUUGGCCAUUUCUUUGACUACAUCCGCCAGCCACUUCUCUACAUCUUUCUCCACUACUACGGCGCGGUGUUUUUGUCGAUCUUGUUCUACUUUUUCAUUGAUGCCAUCUUGUGCCUCCUUCAAAUUAGUUUCGUUAUCCCCAAGUUCUUUAAUAAUGCUGUUGAAGCAGAAUAAAUAGCGAGCUUGGUUUAUGGUUGCGUCCGCCAAUAAUUCUCCAAGCUUUGAUGCAACACCUGAUAAAAUUUCCAUGCUAUUUAUCUGCAAUUAAUGAAAUUGAUCUCAGUAUGCUAUAAGCAAUUAAAACAACAUGGCUUGAUCGCAAGAUCGAACGUGAACGUUUAAUUACUUUAAUUUUUUUUCUUUUGGCUUAUUAACGCCAGCAUUGAUCAAUAAGAGCAAAAUGCAAAACAAAGGAGAAGAAAUAAGGUAAACGUUAUAUAUGAUGGAUUACAUUGAAAUUAGAUUACUUUAGAAAUUUUUAAAUAAAAAUUUAAUAGAAUCCGGAUAAACCUAAGAGUUUGUUGUGCAUUGCGAGUGAAGACAGGCAGUUGCAUGGGGAAUAUGAUAAAAGUGAUGAAUAACUGAAAAGCCACCCAUAAUAACAAUUAAAAAGAGUAUUAGAGAUUAGAGGAGUUCAACAUUCUAUGCAAGCCCACUCACGAUAAAAUUUGAAUGGUUUCAACAGGAUUACCAUUUUUUGACCUUUAAUAAAUAUUCUAAUAAAAUAAUACCAUAAUUCCAAACAAUAUCUGAAUUUCUUUUUCCUUCAAAUGUUCAUUAAACUCACAUAUUGGAUAAUUAAUUUAAUUAUUUUUUAAAAUUAUUUAUUACCCUAUCUUAUUGUUCAAUAGAUAUAAAUGACACCUUAUUUGGUAUGGUAAAAAUUGGGGUAAAUUUUCUUUUAUUCUCUAAAGUUUGGACCUAUUACCAGUUAUAUAUAGUAUUUGUAUUUUGUAAAAUUUUACCUAAAACGUCCAUGUCAUUACUUUUAUAGCUAUUGAACCUGAAUUUUCCAGUGUAAGAUAUUAUUUUUGUCUAUUAUAAAUUAAAAUUCAAAUAAAUCUAUCAUGCAACAAACAAAACGUAAAGAAAAUUAAUUAGGUUUUAAUUGGAAACAAAUAUAAAAUAUCGAUUUUUUUAUUAAUUUUUGUGAAUUCUUUUAUUGUUCGAAUUAGAAUUGAAUAAUUUGUAUAAGGAUAAUUUAUAUGAAGAUAAUCUGCAAAAUAAGCUUAUAUGCCGAAUUUAAAAGAGUUAUAUUAGCAAUCAUAUAUUUAUCAAAAUUUUUAAUAAAACUAUUGUUUAAAAAUUGGCCAAAUGGGUUUCAUGAAGAAAAUAGAAGGGCAUGAACAAUUUAAAAGACGUAUUAAAUGGACCAAUUUGAAAUGGUAUGAGAGCACAAUGAACUCAUGUUGGUACCUGGGUAGGCAAAUUAAUUUUAUUUUUAAAGUAUGGUUAACAGUACUGACUUGGAGGUGAUUGACGUUAAGUUAAAUUAAUGCAAACAAAUGGUAAAAAUAAUUUAAUGAAAAUUAAUUAAUAAAAAAAUGCAUUAAAAAAUUAGAACUUAAGUUCUUGAUCAUUUUGUCCGUAUGUUUUUAAUCCAACGCUCAGAAUUGGCGUAAAACUAGCCAUUGGAAGUAAAACACAAAAAUCGAAUUAAGGGCCUAUGAAACAAUAAGAUCUCAUACCUUCUUCGUUAUAAAUCCUCAAUUACUGUUGAAAGCUCCAGUUAAGAGAGUCGCACAAGUUCGGAGAAAAUUAAAAAGCUGCAUAUGGCAAUAUAAAUAAACAUCAGAUCAAAACGAUAUAGGAUAUAUCUGGCUAAUUAACAUCUUAUAUAAGUCCUUGUUCUCAGUCAAAUCUUUCAUACUUAGAAAAAAAAAAAGAUUGAAAUAAUAACUGUAUGUUUUUAAUCCAACGUGCAAAAUUGGCAUAAACAAACUAAUAUAGCAUAAAACAAACAUCAAAUUAAGAGCCUAUGAAAUAAUAAUAUCUCAUACCUUCUUCAUUAUAUAUCCCCAAUUACUACUGACAGCUCCAGUUAGAGUGGCAUAAUUUCCGAGAAAAUUAAAAGCUGCAUCUAGCAAUAUAAAUAAACAUCAGGUCAAAACAAAAUAGGAUAUAUCUAGCUAAUGAACAUCAUAUAUAAGUCCUUGUUCUCUAUCAAAAUCUUUCCUUCUUAAAAAAUAAUAAUAAUAAUAACAAUAAUAAUUGAAAUAAUAACUGUGGGUGACACAUGAAGCAAAAGUAACAUACCGAAAUGAGAGCAGCUCACAUAUCUGGUGACUUCCAAGAGAAUGAAAAAUGAAUGACCUUCGGCAGCAAGAUCCAAAUCAAGUAUCACAAAUUGCUACUGACUUCGUGGCUUCACUUUCCUUUUCUUUUUCUUUUUUUUUAUAUCACAGUGUGAAUUGAAAGGUGAAAAGUGAAAUGGUACACAUGCGUAUGAUGAGGGGGUAAUUUUUAGACACCUGCCCGAGGUUUAAGGUCUUCUGAAUUAGAUGGAUUGUAUUUUCGUAUUAUCAAAUACCUCCCCUGCCCGUUUUUAUUCCAUUUAGUAUUUUCUAAAUGGCUGAAGGUAAAUUGGUAAAAACUCAUUUAAAAUAAAAAAAAAUCAAAGAAAUUCAAGAAGAAGCUUUAUAUCUGCCAUUUGUAUUUGGGGUAUCUUUUUGGUUGUUGAGUGAAUGAGCUUAAAUCUUAAAUAUUUAUUUUCUUAUUAUAUAUUUCUUAUUGGAAAGAAUUUGAAUCUUAUUCUUAUUAAACUUAUUCUCUUUAAAUAAAAGUAGAUUUCUCUCCAUGUAUUUAGUGUGUAUUUUGAAAUUAAUGUUCAACAUAUCUUUAGAUCCUAUUAUAAAUAUUCAUAUCUAAAAUCUCAACAGAUUCCAACAUAUAAAUAUAUAUAAAGAGAGAGAGUAACGUUCUAAUAAGAAAUUUUUUAAAUUAUCAAAUUAAAGGAUAAUUCAAAAGAUAAAAAAAUACAUAAUCUAAUAUAUUAUAUAACAAAAUAUACUAUAUUAAAAUAUAUAUUUUGCUUAAUUUUUUAAUAUAUCCCAUAAUAACUUAAGAAAUCCUUUAUUUACCUGAUAUAUAUAUAUAUAUGUAUAAUUUUUUACAAAAUAAACAAUUUAGAGUAAAACAAAGGACAUUCUGGGGCCUUUUGCUAGACUACCAAUCUACCAUUUUGGAUUGCAAUAAAGUGAAAAUACUGGACUACCAAUCUACUAUUUUGGAUUGCAAUAAAGUUAAAAUGGGUUACACCAAAAAAGUAAAAAAAAAAAAAAAGUGACAAUCAAUCUUGUCGGCCAAUACAUCGAGUUUUUUGCCGGAUUAGUAUCACCGUCAAAAACAAAUUAUUGCAAGCACUAGCAAAAAGCAAUCGAUGAUUUCGCAAUUUGGUUGUUAAAAAGCAAACUAGAUCACGAUUCCUCAAUUCAAAAUGGGGCAAAAUUAUGGUAUCACAAUGUUACCGUACUACAGCUGGAUCCAGCUUACAGUUACCAUCAUAAUUGAAUCUAACAGUUGGAUCCAUCUAUAGUAUGGUAUUACUGUGGUACCAUAGCUGGACCCUUCAAAAAAAUGCUUUUUUUAAUUAAAUAAGUGAAAAUUAAACCUACAAUUCAAAAUAGAAGACUGUAGAUGCGUAUAAAUUGAAGAAGGUAAAUUUUGUGUGUGCGUAAAUAUUUUAGUCAACAACAAAAAAUUCUAACAAGUUAAUAUAAGAGUAUCAUAGCAGUACAAGAGAAUUUUUUUUUUUUUUGGAUGUUAUGAGUUAUCGAGAUACCCAAUAUAUAUGUGUGUGUGAGAGAGUGGGGAAGAAAAAAAAUAUUAAGAAUAGUUUUGGCAUUUUGAUGGGUUUUAUAGAGUAAAAUCUAUAUUUUCAAAUAUGAUAAUUCUUUAAUUUAAUUUUUUGUUAUGAAAAAAAAGGGCAUUUUAAAUAUGUUUUAAGUUAUAAAUAACUCCAUCCAAAAUUUAAAAAUGAAAUCUUAGGGGGGAAAAUUUUUCACCCAAACUAAGGCCCAAAGUAGCCGCGGCAUUUUUCACCAAUUCUCCAAUUCCCAAUGUGGUCUAAUUAUUUACAAGGAAUAUGAGUAGGGGUGGGCACGGUUCAGUCCGGUUUGGUUAGAAUCUAAAUUAAGCAGAACCGAUUUAAAUAGGUUAUUUUAUAAAAAAAACUAAAUAAGAACCGAACUCAAUAAAAAUUGGACAUAAACGGAUCUUUUCAGAUCGGUUUGGUUCGGUUCGGUUUUUUCGGUUUUGGGCGUAUUUUGAAUUUCUAAAUUUUAGCCCAUUAGGCCUCAUGAAUGUAAUGAUUUUAUUCAACAAUUAAUUUAUCCUAAUUUCAUUACAAAUAUUAACAAUAAAUACAAAGUAUUCAAAACACAUUUUAUCACUAAUAUCUUACUAACUACUAAUAAGGUACUUAUAAAAUAUGAAAUAUUAAGAUUUCAAAAUACAUAAUCAAACUCCAAUACUCCAUCUACAUAAACACAAUGUUGUAACGACAAAAAAAAAUAAUAACAACAAUUAAAACUUACAACACAAAAUAAAAAGAAAAUUUGGAAACAAACACUAACAACAAUUUUUAAAUAAAUAAAUAAAUAUAUAUAUACUCGUAAUUGUGUGUGUGCAUGUCUAUUUUAGUUAUCUUACGCAACCAAUUAAAAUUUAACAUGUGUCUAUUUAAAUAAAAUUCCAAGAAUAACUCGGUUUUUCGGUUCUGUUUUUUGGUUCAGCUGAGUGAACCGAAUACCGAACCUGUAUUUUAGUUUUUUUUACAAACCAUAUAUUUCAGUUAUUUUUUAAAAUUAAAACCAGUCCAAACGGAACGGAACGGUUCAGAUCGAUUUUCUCUAGUGCACGGUUUUUUUGCCCACCCCUAAAUAUGAGAUUCUCUACCACUCCAAUUUAUCCCAUUGUUAGCAAUCCUAUUAGAUGUUUUAUAUCCUAUUUUUAUUAUGCUCCCCAAACAAAUAUGUUUCACCUAAAGGUGCCCAACGGGCUACACCGUCCGUCUGAAUGAGCGCACGAGAGGCUCCACAGGCGUGUCUGAUAUGCUCUUUCAAGUCUACAUACCUAACGUUCUUUUUUUAAGUGCAUAUAUAUUUUUUAAAGCUCAUGUGAAAUUCAGUAGUAAGAGAAUGCAAUACUAGUUAAUAAGUUAGAGCCUACAAAAUAAUAAUAAUAAUAAUAAAAUUUUCUCUAAGGGUUAACAUUUUAUUGUUAACUUGAAUUUAUAUACAGUUAUCGAUUAUAGUCCAUAAUAAUAUUAAUACUUACAAGUUUCAAAUUAAAAUUUAAUAAUUAACAUUUCAUUAACACAACUAUAUUAUCUAAUUUUGCAAUAACCAAUUAUAAUACAACAAUACAUAAUUAUAAUUUCAUAGACCAUGGUAAUAAAAUCUCUACGUUAAUGAAAAAUUUUAUUUUGAUAUAUGUUGGUCUGCUUGCUAUUGAUGGCCGAUGGUCGUAUGCUAGCCUGCUAAUGAAACGUGUUUAUUAUUGGUUUUUUAACAUGUCUUGCUUUACCACAUCUCUAAUCAAAUUGUGCUCUUAAAAUCCAUAGCCUAACCUAGCCUCUGUGUGUAUCCUGCCGUGCCAUACUAUACAAACAUGUAUCUGGUACCAUGCCACGUACCGGUCGGCCCUUAGCCAUCUCUAGUUUCACCCCUAAAUAAAAUCUAAACGGCUACUGGCAAGUGAGAAAACUUGUUAUUCUUUAUUUUGAAAAUAAAGGGAAUUGGCGAAUUGCUUAGUUUGAUAUUGUUUUUGGUAAGUCAUUUUUUGUUUUGAAACAUUUUUCUGAGAUGUUGUUGUAUUUGGUGAAAAAUAAAUUAUUUUAUUUUAUACUUUUAAUGAAGAAAAGUAGAGAAAAACAUUUUGUUGUUUUCGACAACAUUUGCCUUAUAAGUGCACCCGUGCCACUUUUUUCUUGUUUUAUUUGUAUGAUAAUUAUCAUGGACCCACGUAACUUUCUUUUGCAUUUAAAAUUUCAUAAUAAAUUAAAUUAGACAAAAGAAAAGAGUCCCACAAAUAAUUUAUUUUAUAAUUUUUUAAAUAAUACUAUUUUAAAAUAAAUUAUCAAAACAAAUUUCAUAUUCACUAAAAUUAAUCAUAUUCAUAUUAUAAAAUUAAUAUAAAAACAAUAUCUGAAAAGUAAUGCUAAAUACACUGUUAAAUUUUAUAAACGGCAUUAGAAUUGAUGAACAAUCUGACAAAGAUGCUGCGAUUUAAGUAGGGAUGACAAUUAAAGCCGUAUUUGAAAAAUUUCGUCUCCAAAUUAAAAAAUAUGGAUUCGGAUAUGGAAAUUUGGAAUUCACAUAGAUCCAUAUAAAUUUUAUUUUAAAUUAAAAAUAUAUAUUAAAAAUUAAAUGAAAAAUUAAAAAAUAAAUUUUAUUUGUGAUUUUAUGAUGUUGUUGUAUAUUAUUCAUGUUGAAUUAUUAAUGGUUGGAUUAUGAUUGAAUUUUAUUUGAUAUUAUUAGGUAAAUUAUUAAUUUUUAUUUAAAAUAAAAAAUAUAUAUUAAAAAUUAAAUAAAAAUAAAAAAUUAUAUUUUAUUUGUAGAUUUAUGAGAUUAUUGUAUGUUAUUCAUGUUGAAUUAUUAAUUGUUGAAUUAUGAGUGAAUUUUAUUUGAUAUUAUUAGAAAAAUUAUUGAACUUUUAAAUUAUAUAUUAAAUUAUUUAAUUUUAAUUUUUACGGAUCUGGAUAUCCAGAAUAUCCUCCGGUAUCCGUUGCGGAUAUUACCCGCUUCUGGAUCCGCAUUUUUUUAUACAAAUUCAGAUAAAAUAUGAAUGCGAAUCCGAAUCUGGAUUUUACCAACCUUGAACCUAAGCAUGAAUGGGCCUAAAGUUUUUACAACAAACAUGGAUCAUUCAAUGACACGAGAUGUUUUACAGCUCUCACUAGUAUAAUUAAAUAAUUAAUUCAUCUCUAUAUUCAACUUACUCCGUCUCAAAUUGCAUGCAAAUACGAAAAUACACUUCUGAAUCGUUCACUUGAGGAAAAUUCCAAAUUCUCCACGUAGAAUUUAGAUUCAAACCAUAGCAAAUUAGACAUAAUUCUAAUUUAUAUGGGAAAUAUAAUUAGCGAAGACACUCUUUAUAUAAACAUUAUUGUCAUAGGAUGCCAAACCUAAUAAGAUUCAAGAUCUUAACAUACUUCAUAUGAAAUUUGAUCUUGACGCGUACCGACAGGCAUAACAUCAAGACUCUACUUCAUAUAUUAUAAUGUAACUUCAUGGAUUUUUCGCUCUCUUGGGGGUCUAUCGUUUGUUUGCAAACUUUUCCAUUUUAAAUUGACAAUUAUAGGCGCUCUCUUGUGGUACAUAAAAUAAACGUUUAUUUUUAGAAUAUUAUUAUUUAUCUCAAUUUUUUAUUUAAUAGUUAAUUUUAACCAAUUCUUAAACUGUCAUAAUCAAUUAAUUUUUUACAUUAUGGCGUCUUAAAUAAAUUUUGGAUCUGUAAUAAAUAAAAACUGGUAACGUUUGUUCUUUUAAAACAUAAAACAACCGUAACAUUGGUUUUUACAUUUUGAAUUUUUCUUGCAUCACUAUUUAGAAAAAUGAUGUUAAAUCAACUCACAAAAUAUAUCAAGCCAUCUAAAAUCCAAAUAUUAUUACAUUUGUAUUGCAUUGUUAAAUUGUUGGAACGACGGCAAAGCAAUUGAAAAGAUAUUAACAAAAAAAUAAAGAUUGGCCAAGGAUUAUUCAUGUUUAGGAAAUGCCUUAACUUUUGAUAUAAUCAUUGUUAUAAUUAUAUUGUAGAAAUAAUCAAUUACCUAAUGUUUGUGGUGGUAAAUAUUAUUAACUUGUUUUACUAUACCCGUGUUUAUGCUGGUCUCCUUUUUGUCCAUUUCUGUACAACGAAAUAUUUGCAUGUGUUGAUAGAAAUUGGUUUAAAUGACAUUUAAAAUAGUAUAUCCCCAGACAAUUAACGAAAUAUUUGGAUGGUAGGAUGAAGUAAUAAAUAGUUUUACAAAUUACCAUAUUAGAGGUAAAAAAAAUUCGAGAGGUUACUUGACAAUUAUGACGUUACUAACUACAAAUUUAACACAAAAAGUUUAAUUAACUUUUCUUUUUGAGAUGGCAAAAUCUCUGGUGUUGAAAACAAUGAGGUUUGAGGUUCAAGCUUGAAUAUCAAGUUACAAUUAAUAGAUGGUCUUAGGACAUAUCAAAGAUUUCUUUAAAGACAAAAUAAUAAUUACAAGCAAUAGGAAUUUAUGGUAUUCAGAACAUUUAUAUCUUCGCACAUGAAGCUUGAAUCCAGAACAAGAUGCAGCUAGCCAAUCCUUCCAAAACCCCACAAAACCUCUGUCAACAUAUCUGCUCUACUUCAAUAUUAAGCACAUUCAUAGCGGUAUCAACAGCUUACAGCGCCAAAAUAUUUUCCCCAAAAAGAGUGAGAGAUUUCACUGAAGCUAAGUUGUGACUUGUGACUGCCCAAAUGUUCUAUAACACGAUAUGAUUAUUCUAGUAACACAAAUCCAAUAGCAUGCAACAUAAUCUACUCUCUAACAUUGUGCAUUAGUAAAAUAAAACAGAGUAAAAAGAGAAACCAUGCCUGUGAAUCUCUUCUUUUCCCCCUGCCACCCCUUUUUUUGGUGAAGUCCAUCAAAUGAAAAUGCAGCAUGACCACGUUGGCCACUGCCACUGCCAUUACUUCUUCAACUGUGCCUUUUGUUGCAAGAAAUAUUCAAGUGAAAGAUUGGAUUAUAUAAUUCAAGAUUCCAAUAGACCUGAGCUGCAAAGGUUGCCUUCCACUAGCCUAUCAGAGACUAUGCUUUCUAUUUUCCUAGUUUGUUAAUCAAAAUUUUAUAAGAUUUAUUUAUGGAAAUCUUGGACAAAAUUUUACGUAAGAUACCACAAAGCCAAAUGCAAUCAUUGUAAUUCUCAGCAGCAACAUUUAAAGUGAAAAAUGGAAGCCAUAUAAACAUAACUAUGUUUGCUACGAGGAACAAUUAUUUCAAGCUUUCAGAAAUGCUAGCAAGAAAUUGUAAGAGAACUUUACCUAGUCACAGAAUAUGUCAAACAUACUACCACCGUCUUUAGCACGAUUGUUAUGGAAGUAGCUUUUGAAUCGGAAGAUUCCAGCUUCCACCAGGCACCAUUUUUUUCAUUUUUGAUACAAUCUGCAUCACUGGCAUUAGUUAUACCAUCAACAUUUGCAUCCUCACUCUCAUCAUCCCAAUCAAGGCUUCUUCUCCAGCUCUGGAUUAUAAGUCCACUCCGACAUCUUCGAACACCUCGGUCCUUCCAUUUGCCAACAACCGAUAUGGCUUCCUUCCUUGCCUUCCCCAUUAAUAUAUCACUCGAAGGCAAAAAAAGCAUCAGCAAUUCUCUUCAACGCCUCAUCGUUUAUAACCCCCCAAAAAAAGGGUCUUCAGACACCUCAACUUUGCCUUCUGCAAAACCUCCACAAAAUCUGAAUUAUCCAACACAACAGCCAGACACUCAAUCCUUCUUUUGUCCAUCAUAUCCACCGUAUGAUUCCUCAACAAAAUAUCUACAGCUUGUGGCUUUUCUAACACUGUCUUGAUCCAAAACCCUGCUCUUUUCAACUCAUCUGCCAAACCAUAACCCACUUUUGGAGUCAAAAUUGUCCUUGCAGCCCUUUUAUAUUUUUCCAUCUCCAUCGAAUACUUGCCACUCAAAUCGAAUUACCAGACAGGAAUCCCAGUAACAAGUCCACUCAACUUCUUCUCAUCUGAUCCCUCUUUCACUCUGGCGGAAACAUUAAUAACCAUUCACCAGCCACAAAUUACCCAAGUAAGUAUUCGUGUCGUCAACACUUACCCUUCACUUCAUCUACGCAAACAAGAAUUCAAAUUGCUUAUUAGCUAGUGCUCGAGCGAAAGCCAAAAUAAAUUAAAUAUGUGUGUGUGUGUGUUAAAAGAGAAACGGUAGCGAAGUUAUUACACAAUAAAGCAAACCAAAAUAAAUUCUACACUCAUGUGGGUGUUUCGCUCGCAAAAUCUGGACAAGAAAAAAUAAUAUUGAUACAAUCUCCAAAUAAAGAGCAUUCCUCUUGGUAAAAUAGACAAAUCCUAUAAAUUUUGAUUAAUGGUGCCAAAUGAAAGAGUUGUAAUUUCAUGUACAUUUUGUUAACAUGAAUAAGGGUACAAAAUAGAUAACAAAGUGACAAAAACAAAGCUAAUCACAAUGAAUGAUAAGGUUUAGAGUAAACAUAAAGUUAUAAUCUUGAACAUAAGUGGCGCUCAAAGCCAUGAAUUUGAUAUCAUCCAUGAGGGGAGUUCAAACAACACCAUGUAAGAAGCAACAAGUGUUGAGAAAAAAAAAAUUCAUUCUAACACAACAGAAUAAAUUGUAAAGAAAUCCCAGUUUGUAUAAAAGAAAGAAAACAAAAUUAAGGAAAACAUAAGCACAACAAAAUUUGACUGAUUAUUAAAAAUGAGAAAUGAGUUAUAAUGAGAAUUUUGGCUUUGUGGUGAAAUAAAUUGGGAAGUAUCAAAGUUUGCAUGUAAAUAAUAUAAAUGAUAAGAAGACGAAGGGAACAAAAUGAUAAUAAGAAUGCCAAAUAUUAAAAUGCAGAUUCUACGCUUCCGCCCCCCCAUACUUCAAGUUAGUGUCUCGCUAAUCAUUUUAGAUGUAUCAAUUACAAAGGGAGGCCAUCUAUUUAUAGUAAGUGUACGCCUCUAAUGCUUUGCCAAGUGUCCAUUGAUAAUAUCACAAGGGAAAUUAAAUUGGUGUAUGUGUAUUACACCUCCUAAAGUCAUGUUAAGAUAGUGUGCUGAUAAAGUUUGUUGCACGUAUGAGUUGGUUAAGUCUGCUAGAAAUGCAAACGUGUAAAGCUUAGUUAGUUAAGGUUGUUACGAAUGCUUAGAUUCAGUUCACGUGUAUUGUAUGUAAUGCUUAGAUUCAGGUCAUGUAGAUUGUGUAUACAACUUUCUUAUAUUCUUUAGAUCUCAAUAUAAAUACUUGUAAUCAACAAAUACAAUAAUAAGAGUCAUCAUUCUUCAUUUUCUCUCUGUUUCUCUCAUAUUUUCUCUGCAUCCAAACACAAUAUUCUCAGUUCUUGACUUGGUAUCAGAGUUGCAGUUUAAUUGUCAUGGCUUCCUUCCUUAAGCACAAAUUCAAACAUAAAUCAGUCUCCUUCAUUCUUUACCCUCACAAAUGCGAUCAAACUGGACAGAUCUAACUAUACGAUCUGGAAAUCUCAGAUCCUCUCUUCAAUUCGUGCCAAUGGACUUGAAGGCUUUCUUAAUGAAACUAAAUUUUUUCCAGAUCAGUUACUUACUCAAGAGAUUGAAAGUUAUGGUGUUGAAAAUGUUGUUGGUGAAAGCUCAGCUGAUAGAUCUCAGGAGAAUCCAGCCUUUGUUGCUUGGAAAAGGUAGGAUCAAUUGUUAUUAAGUUGGCUCAUGUCCUCCAUCAGUGUUGAGAUACUUAGUCUUGUGGUAAAUUCUGAUUCUUCUAAUAAACUUUAGACUAAUCUUGAAGAAAAUUUUUGUAUUAGAAACUAUGGCUAAGAAAGCACACUUAAAAAUGAUGUUAAGCAAUCUCAGAAAGGGAUCAAUGACAAUAACUGAGUAUUUUGCCAAACUUAGAGCUGUAACUAAUAAACUUGCUCUAACUGGUAGCCCUGUUUCUACUCUAGACUUUAUUACUCAUCUAAUCUCUAGAUUAGGCCAGCCAUACUACCCUGUUGUUUUGUAUAUUGAAGCUAAUAUGAUGAAAAUAUUUGUCAAUGAAGCCUAUUCUAUGCUUUUAACUCAUGAAGCAAGAAUUAAAUUUAAUCAUCCGAGUGCAAAUAAAGAAGCAAAGUUGAAUUAUGCUGCUAACAUAGCUUAGGCUGGACCUAGUAAUAACAAUAAGAAGUCUAGUAAUCAAGCUAAUUACUAUCAGGGCAACCAAGGUAACUGGAAUAGAAAUGCUAAUUGGUGUGGUAACAAUGGAGGAAGAGGUGGCUUUGGCAGAGGUUUUUCAGGGCAAGGAAGGGGUAAUUAGAAUAAUGGUGGUCAUUGGAACAAUGGACCUUGGAGUAGUAGUCGAGCAGGUUAUAAUUGUUCUGAUAUAAACAUUAUGACAUGGUUGCUGGUGAACCUGUAAACAUAACCACAAAAGUAAGAAGGCAUAAUCUUUUUAUAAGAAACUCAAAAAUGUAUUAAUGAUGAAAAUUUUAAAACAGAUAGUGGACCAACUGUUCACUAGGAAAACAAAAAACUGAAUAUUUGUGCUAUAAAAAGGUCACACCCAAUCUCACCCCUAUAAAAGGCUAGAAUCAGCUACAAAUCCCUAUCUCAAAACCCCAUCCCAGUUUAGAUGAAUGAAGAAAAAAGAUGAAUCUUGAAACUCCUUAGAAACUGAAGCCCAAAGUGAAGCAAGAAGAUGAACUCUAUCCCAAGCAAGCAAUAUGGCAUAUUUCUCCAUUAAUGGUUCAAAUAAAGUGAAUGGCUUUCUCUGAUGAAUGGGAAAUUGUCAAGAUCAAUAGUCAAACUCACGCAAAGUAAACGGACUUAAUUCUCAGGGGCUACUCAUUCUAAGUCUUAAAGAAUUUUUUUCUAAUUUCUAAAGAUAAUAUGGGGAAAAAUCAUUAUUUUCUAACAUGAAAAAUUUGAUAUAGUGUUUAAUGUCUGACCACAAUGAUAAUAUGAGUACUAACAAAAACAUCUUUUAUCAGCAUGUGCGAGUAAAACACCUUUGCAAUCCAUAAAUGUAAGACGCCGCCUGGAGACUGGAGUCAUCGAAUUUUAUAUGUCAAAAGCGCGUUUCAGUUCAAUAAGCCAUAAAUGUCGUUUAAUAUGCUCAUUUUGUACUUUUUAUAUAAAAAAAAUUAUUUAUUUUUUUUAAUAUUGUUUAUUUAUUUAAAUUUUUUUUAAAGCUAAAGAGGUGGGUAACAUCUAAAUUCAAUUUUUAUCCCUUAUGUCCUGACCCUAAGAUUUGAACUAAGGUGAAUAGCCAAAUGUAUAAUAACAGGUAUUUCGAAUUUCAUUUUAAAUGAUAUGCAAUUCAUUAAGUGAUUGUUAAUUUUUUAUAAGAUCAAAAUGAAUUAAUUGUAUUAUCUUACUAACUAAUUGAUGAGUGCCCUAUUAUUUGGGAUAACUUUUGAAUAAAAAAAUUUUGAUGGAUGAAAUAUUCUUUUGAGAAUUUAUUGACUUAUCUCAUUUAUGACUUAUUGUUGCAUUUAAGUGAUAUUGCAAAAAUUAUUUUGCAAUAAUAUUAUUGUUUUGACGAGUAAGUUUGGAGUAAAUAAUACAUAUGGCAAGUAAGAGGUUCGUUAUUGCAUUUAUUUUGCGGACCUAUUUUAAAGCCAAAAAAAGACAUUUCGAUUCAUUAUGAUUCCAAAUAAUUUCAAGCCAUAUGUCAUUAUUGGGAUAAAAAUAAAGUAAAAUGGUUAAAACUAUUUUUAUGUAAUUUAUAAAAAUUAAUGAAGCAACUGCACAAUUUUUUAACACGAAAAACAAUUGAAAUGUGUGUGGAAAAAGAAGAAAAAAAGAAGGCAUUUAAAUAUCUUUAAAAAAAAUAUGAUUGAGUAAAAUCAUUUUACAGAAUGCUCUUCCAAAUGCAAUUCCACUUUUUUUUUUAAUUGCAUUGGGAUAUUCCAAAAUUGGCACAAUUCAUUAAGAAUUCGGCAACUCAAAUUUUAUUUAUCUCUCUAUGCAUUUGACAAAUUAAAAAGAAAAAAAAAAUCAUAUAUCUUCUGUUCAAAAGAAACCUUGGUAAAUAUUGUAAAACAAAUUACCAAUUUUUUUAAUUUAUGCCAUUAUAUCGUCGCUAUUUUCUCGCCCACUUUCUAUCAAAUGAAAAUGUAAUUAUAUGGUUCAGGAUACCAAUAUGCCGGAGCUGCAAAGGUUGACUUCCACUAUGCUAUCAAUGUCUAUACUUUCUAUUGAAUUUCCUUGUUUUUUUUUUAAAUUGCGAGAUUUAUUUUUGGAAAUCUUUGACACAUUUUAUGUAAGAUACCAUAAAGCCAAAUACAACCUUUUUUAUUCUCAGCAGCAACUUUUUUUUUUCCUUUUAAAAAAAGGAAGCCAUAUAAAUAAUGCUUAAAACAUUAUUUGCAACAAGGAACAAUUAUUUCAUGCUUUCACAGAAUAUGUACUGCUGUUAGCCCGAUUGUUAUGAAGUGGCUUCUGCAUCAGAAGAUUCCAGCUCCCACCAAGCAUUGUUAUCUCUAUUCUAAAUACAAUCUACAUCGCUGGGCAUGAGUUAUAUCAUUAAUGUCUACAUCCUCACUUACAUCAUCCCAAUCAAGUGCUUUUUCUCCACAUCUGGAUUAUAAGCCCACUCCAAUCUCUUCAAAACAUCCCAGUCCUUCCAUCACAACUGAUACGACUUCCUUCCUUACUUCCCCAUUAAUAAAUCGCUCCGAGAAAAAAAAAAAAAAAAAAAAAAAAAAAGCAUUAGCAAUUCUCUUCAACGCCCCAUCAUUCAUAUCCCCUACAACAACCAUCUUCAGACACCUCAACGUUGCCUCUUGAAAGACCUCCACAAAAUCCAAAUCAUCCGACACAACCACCAAACACCCAAACCUUCUCUUGUCCACCAUAUCCACCAUAUAAUUCCUCAACAAAACAUCGGCAUCUUGUGGCUUAUCUAACACCAUCCUGACCCAAAACCAUGCUCUUUUUAACUCAUCUGCAAAACCAUAACCCACUUUUGGAGUCAAAAUUGCGCUUGCAGCCAUUUUAUAUUUUUCCAUCUUUGUUGAAUAGUUGCCAACCAAAAGCACUCUCACCUUCCCUCUAGCUGAUUCUAUUUGAUUCGACCUUUUCUUUUAUUCGCCCUCAUGAAUUUGCUUAGAAUGAUUAACAAGCUUGUCAUUAUUAUAAAAUCUCCUUCCACAAUCACCAAUACAUACGGCUUAGCAGGCCUAAUUACACCCUUGAUUUCUAAUUGGUUAAACAAUUCUCUUUCUUUCUUUGCUCUCUUACAACUUGAGGCACAUAACUAAACUCGUGGCUAUUAGCAUUUGCCACCAUGUAUUUAACAAUCCCAAAUGAAGAUAUUGAUUUUUUUCAGUUUAAUUGCUGCUUCAAAACGGGGUACUGAAUUUGGAUUUUGUUAUCCAAAUACCAAAAAUUUCCCACAUUGUGUUGGACAGUUUUUGGUUCUAAAGUUGAUGACUGGUUUUGCGAAUCAGGCUUCAAAUGAGAACUUCUAAACAAUAAGACAAAUGGGUUUUUGAGUUUCUAAUCUUGUAAACUUUGUUCUAUUGUAUAAGUUAUGAAAUCGCUGAAACAUCACUACAGCUACAGGUCUUUAUGUGUCAAUGAACUGCAGAAGCUGAUGAUCUACCUGUAGCAGACUUCUAUUGUCCCUGCCGUUCUAGGAAGACAAACAAGUUCAGGAACUACUUCUGGACCAAACUCAUAAUAUUGUCACUGCUUUGUGACAAUCUGAGAGGGAAAGCAUAUUGAAGUUCCUAAAUAAGGCACAUCAUGAUUUGACAGAAGUACCACUAUGAGGAACAAUUGAUUUCAGGAAAGCACUAAAAUAUGACAUAAUCUGCCCCUAAUGGUCUAAAGUAGUCAAGAAAUUAUAUCAACCAAGCAAAAACACAUAUACUAGUUGAGAUACAAAGUUAUUGUAAAAGUCAAUUUUGAUCACAAAUCCAUUAAAAUUAAAAGACAUCAGAAAGUUAGAGAACAUUAUAAUUUAGGACUCAGCUAAGUUGCAGAUUCUGUAACUAACAGCUGAGUCCACAUUGGUCUUGCAUCAGCUGAGUUUGGGUUGCUUUUCCUCUCUCCUGCAACGCGUACGUGGAAGCGCCCCAUUUGUUGUGUUAUAUACCGAGUCGGUACCGUAACAAGCUCCUAUAAUUUAAGUUUGAUUACUGUAGACAAUAGUCUGCCUCUGCUCAAAAGCUAUGCUGCAAGAUCUAACAUCUUUGCAAUGUUAUACUUUCUAAAAGUAAUAAGAAAUGAAACCAAGGGGUAAAUCGAACACCAAAAGAAAUUUAGUCGGGAAACCACAUUAUGUUCCCACACAGUCCACUAAUUAAGUUAAUAAUUAAAGGGAAUCAAAAUCUAAGAAAUCUCAUCUUCAAGCAGAAUACAAACACACCGCGAUUGAAAAUCACAAAUUCAUAAAAAGAAGCUGACUUGAAAAGCUCAAAUAUACGUUCAUCAGCCUCUCAACUUAUAUCUAAGAACAAAUGCCUGCAGCCUGUGAAGACAUAGAUAAUUGAAGCUGAUGAGGCAUAUUUAACAGAUGAUAAUCAAAACUCGUGUGGUUAAAAUUACAAUUCAAUAAUGGAGCACAUAAAACAACAACUAGUUGUAUAUAUACCAAACAACUUUCUGAAGUUAAGCCGUAAAACAAAAACAUAGAACAAAUUAAUUAAAUAUACCAGCACCAAUACUCUUAUUAUUAUCCACAUAGAAAAGAACAAUGUAUCAAACAAGGAAAAUGAAAUAUUGUUAAUAACUCAAAAACCACUAGUGUCAAGAACUAGACUAAUAAGUGAAACCCAUAAUCAGACACAACCACAUCAAAAUCUUUGAAAAUUGAGAUCUUUGAAAAUUGAGGUCUAAACAUUGAAAACAAUUAGACAUAUAUAACAGUCAAUCGAAACAAAGCCUCAAAAUAAUAAUGAACUACAAUAAGACAGAAACUAAAUUGUAAACAACCGCAUACCCAGUAACAGUAAUCAAGUAACAAGUCAAAACCAGAAUCAAACGUAGAAUUUUGAAAUCCAUACGAACUCUAACGUAUUAGAAUGAAAGAAUAAGGACGAUCGAUAAACUAGACUCAAACAAAAACAUGCCCAGUUAAAAAAUGAAGGUAAAUAAAUAAAAAUGGUAUAAAACUACGAAAAAAAUUAAUGAAAUGAAGAGAAAAUCACAGGAAUCCUAUGAAGAGGAAGGUAAACGAAACCUUCGGGACCCGAGAAGAUGCCUUUUUUGUUGACGUUUGUGCCUAUACAUAUAUAUAUUUUUUUAUUUUGAAGAAAGUAUUGGUUAACAAAACGAAAUAUUAAUAAUAGAUGCUGGCAAUUUCAACAAGGACAAUCUUCGAUUCAAAUGUACCCCUAUGAUAAAGAAAAAUCUUGAGCACCACAUUACAAGAUCUAGGUGUAUGUAACCAUGCAAAAUGAAACAUCUAUUAAUUGUAAGUCCCUUGACCUCUGGAACCAGCCAACCGGUCUCUUUCCUACUAGACAACCUUCCAUGGAUCAGACUAAUAAUAUUUACUAAAUCAUGUUCUACAGUUAAUGAAGUUGGACCCAAGGCAAUUGUUAGAAGUCCGCCUAGACAUAGAGUGCGCUUAGAAGUGGGAUGCUUAGAAAUGGACCGCCAACACAACCAGCCAACCGUAGUGUGCUUAGCAAAUCACCCAAGCCCGGCCCAAGAUCUAGAACUAUCUACAAAUUGUGAAUAAGUUAAAAGUUUCUAAGUUUCUCCACAUAGGUCCCUAGGAUAUUUAUGGAAGUUGCUAGGAAGUUUCCUCCCCUAGAACUCUAAUACCUAUAAAUAGGGGUGAGCCCCCUCAUUUGCCCACCAAUCACACCACACACACAAACACUCCUGCACACACACAAGCUCUCUAGCUUUUGUAAAAAGCACUCUUGUAUAUUCUCUCUUUGAGAGUAAUAAAAUCAUAUUCAGCCAUAUUGCUCUACUUCUCUCUACCAUUUUCCGCAAGUGUUCUUGCUUCGCUAGUUUGAGGAGUGUUCUAGGCUUGCUUUGCAACUUGUUUGCUACAAGGACAUCUUGUUCACAAAACAUGGACAUGCAAGGAAAAAAAAAUAUUGAUACAUUCUAAAAAUAAUACGCAUUCUUCUACAGUGAACCAAAAAAUUUAGGCUAAUGGUAGCAAGUGAAGGAAUUGUGAUUUCACGUGCAUUUUGUUGACAUGAACGUAAAGAAAUUUUUUAUAGUUUAUAUUGUUUAAUAUAACAUUUGAAUUGCAAAAUAGGGGUACAAAAUGGAUACACGAAGUGAUAAAACUAAGCUCAUUAUGAUAAAUAUUGAAUUAUAAGAUUUACGUUUAAUCAUAAAGACAUAAGUGGCGCACAAAGUCACGAAUUAUCAUCCAUGAUGCAAGUUCAAAUAACUACAUAAUAAGUUGCCCCAAGCUAAACUAUUAAUCUAGUAACUAUUCCAGUCAAUGUGGGAUAAUUUUCCUAUCACCAUCUAUCACGUGCAAGCCGAAUUUGUUGCUUGGUCCUUACAUGUGGUAAGGUAAUAUGAAUCCACUUGUGCAUAAAUUUGCCUCCGAUAUUAUAUAGAAGCCUAUGACCCAAAAUUAUACUUAAAGGUUAUUUCAAGAUUUGAGGGUUGCCUCAAGCUAAUAUUAUUAUUAGCCUGGUAACCUUUUUUUUUUGUUGAUAUGUGAUAUUUUCCGUAUAACUUUUAUUAAUCUUUAUGCUUAUGUUUUGUCAUUUAUCCCAAAAUAUAACAUUAACAAAAGUUCCAAAAUUUCCUUCAAGAGAUAUAUUUGAGACAAGUAAUUUGUGCAAUAACUUUGUGAAUUGAUGAGCAAAUUCAGAGAAAAGAAUAUAUGUGCCAAACGUAACGUUUAUUAUUGUGUUUAUUUGUAGAGCUAUUUAAAGCCCAAAAAAAAAAAGCACCGGUCCGCUGUGAUUUCAAAUAAGUUCAAGCCCUAUGUCAUUAUUGGUACAAAAAUGUAUCAGAAAGAUUAAAAACUAUUUUUAUUUAACUUAUAAACUUAGGAAAUUAUCAAUUGUCCGCCCUUAAAUUGCGCUAUUAUAAAAAAUAUUACAAUAUUUUCAGGUUGUAUAAUUCAUCUACCAUAAAUUUACAAUCUGCAUCAUUUAUCCACCAAAUCAUUAACUUCGUUAAAAAGUGAUAGACGUCACAAGGGUAAUUUAGACAUUUAACACAAAAAAAAAUAAAAGAGAAAUUAUCUAAGCUUACCAUGUUAUCAAAAUUGCUACAAAAUUUUAAAUUUGUUCAAUUUUCCAAUCUAAGUUUAUGACCUCCAAGAUGUUAAUUGCAGUUUGUAAUUAAUGAGUUCAUAAGGAUAAUUUAGACACUCAAUAUGCAAAAUAAAAAUAAACUAAUGGCUUAAAACAUUAAAACAAAAAACUACUUUUUAUAAUUGAUAUUCAAUUAAAUACACAUAAACUCUAUUUUUUUCUUAAUUAAAAAUAUUCUAAUUUAUUUUCUCAAUUUAUCAUCAUAAAUUUACAUUAAUAAACUAAAUCCACAAAUUACCCUAAACCCUAAUUCAUAAAUGCCCAAUCAAUCUAAUAGUUUAAUUCGAUUUCAUAAUUAAAAAAGCUAAAUUUAUUAUAUUAGUUAUGGUGCAAAGUAAACAAAUGCCCUUAAAUUCAAGGGUAAAAUAACAUUUUAUUUAAAUUCUAUAAAUUAUUCUAACAAUGUUAACAUUUUGGUGGACGGCUAAUAUAAGUUACAAACUUAAAAUAGAAAAUCAAAUAAAUUCAAAAUUUCAAACUAUUUAGGGCAAAUUUAGGAUAUAUGGUUAAUAAUUUUCCCAUGUCUUUUUACAUUGGUUGAUAUAAAUUACAAACUUAAAAUAGAAAAUCAAAUAAAUUUAUAUUUUCAAACUAUUUAGGACAAACUUAGGGUAUAUGGUUAAUAAUUUUCUUUUAUCUUUUUACGUUAAAUUGAGUUUCAAAUGUAAAAUGGUCAAUUUAUUAUAACUCUGUUAAUUUUUUAGUGGAAGCAAACGAUAUAAUGGACGAAUGAUAUAAAUUGUAAAAUUAAGGUGGAUGAAUGAUACAACUUUAAAGUAUUGUAGUAAUUUUAAUAAUAGAACAAUUUAAGGGUGGAUUGGCAAUAAUUUAAACUUUAAUGAAGCAACUAAAAAAAAUUUUAACAAAAGAAAAAUAAUUGAAAUGCUUUAAGAAAAAUAAAGGAAAAUAAAUAUCUUUAUAAAAACAUAAUUGAGUAAAAUCAUUUUACAAAAUGCUCUUUCAAAUGCACAUUCCACAAGCCAGGGAGAACGGGUGGCUAACAAAAAUCUCACUUUUUAUGAGUUGAUAAAAUCUCACUUUUGCAGAAUCCAAAAAUAACCAAUACUAAUCACACAAAAAAAUAAAAAUUAUUGCUGUCACGACAUUACACACUUUCUUCGCUGUCUAGAAAGGUAGAACAUUUUGAUGUUCCUCAAUACAAAAUGGGUGCUACUACUAAAUUGGCACGAUUAAUGCCCAUCGAAAAGGCCAUCAAUUUAGCCAGCAAUUUUGUCAAAAUUUCAACAAUUGAAGAAAUCUUGAGAUACAUACAACAAAGUCUUGAAACUUUAGUCUUCACAAUUUGAGCACGCACUAAAUAUUAACCAUCCAUCUGCAGAGCAAGUAUAGAACAAAGCUUGAACUGAACACGCUGAACACAGCUUUUUUUUUUUUGGAUUUUUAGAAUUUUUUAAAGUCAUUUAUGUUCGCUGCCAUCUUUUUCUUUGCUGGCAUCUUCAUUGGCAUCCAACCAAUAAAUUGGGCAUUAAAUACGAAUGAUGAAUAAAAUGAUUAAAAAAAAACAAACAGACCUUUCAAAAAAAAAAAAAACAGAGAAAAUUAUAAUAUAACACAUAUAUAUUGAAAGAGAAAUUUUGAUUUUAGGAUAGAUCAAUUAGCUAUCACAAACGAAAACAUGAACCAACUAUGUAUAGAGUCAAUUAACUAAAGUUCUCAAGAGUUGACCUGUGCUCCAGAAUUCUUGGAAUCAUCUAUCUCCUGAACUUGGACGAAGCUUGGGACAAUUACGAACAUCUUCAUCGGAUGCAGAUGGAAACGGGAUCUGAUAACCCGCAGGCCAAAAGUUGGUGAGGUUUGGUAAAUCUCUCAGUAUCAAGCCCCGAAGUUCAUUCAUAACAAUUUCAUUGUAAUCCGUGACGUCUGUUCCAUCUUUAUGCCAGAAUACUUCUUCUAAUUCAUCAUUACCUACUAUGUAUAGGCAAUCCAGUUUUUGAAGACUUGGAGCUACGCUGAUAUGAAAUAGAUGCUUUAGUUUGGGGCAAUAACGGACAGAGAUCCUUUUGAGUUUUGGGAAACAUACAGGUUGGAGAUGAUCCUCAUCCUCAUCAAUGAUUUGCUCUAAUUCCAAGCAAUUCGAAACAGAUAACACCUCCAAUUGCAACAGAUUUCGAGCAAGUGUUGAUGAGAAGAGACGUCUCAGCAUAGUGCACCCGUCCACUCUUAAAUAGGUAAGACUUUGCAGGCUAAAAUUAUGGGUGGGACCUUCAUGAUAUAAUAAUACUUGCAGUUCUGGAAGAUCUUCCAAUUGCAACGACUUCAAACAUGGGAAAAGUUUGUUUUCUUGUCCAUCAGCGAUAAUAGCUUCCAACUGAAAUACCACCUGUACUCCAAUUUCCCUAAUAUGCAAUUCUUCCAAAUUUUUUAAUCCGUGCUUCAACAGUGCUGGAAUCGUGUCACUCAAAUGGGAACAAUUGUCCACAUCUAGAGUAUUUAAGUUCUGAGACAAAUAAAUAAAUAACUUGAUGCAAUUAAAAUCUAUUAGCAGCUAGGAUUAUCACAUGAUAAGUGAUGAACACCGCAAAAAACAAAAACAGAAAACAAAAUCCAUACAAAAAUAUCAUAAUACAUAUGUAAACUAAUAAAAUAAUUAAAAAGUAAUGGAUUUAAAAAAAAAUGAAAUUAGUUAAAAGAGAUCAUGUGAAGUGAUAUAAAUGUGACAUUAGAUUGUUUUAGAAAAAUUAUUAUUCUAUUAAUUUAUAUGGCUUGAUCAACUAUUUUAUUGAAUUUGAAUAAUAUUAUAUACACUUCAGAAGUAUUUGCAUCAAUUCUUUCUAAACCAAAAUGAGAUAUGACUUUCAUUUGAAGAAUGAUUUUAGGCCCUAUAAUAAAGAAAUUUCUCUAAAAUAUCUUAGCAUUAUUAUUAUCACCAUCACAUCCACCACCAUCAUCAUCUCCAUAGGAUCAAAAAAUUAAUGGCUGAUCAUAAAAUUUAUUGCUAAACUAUCAUUUUGAGUAAAAUUGAAUGAAAAGAAAAAACAUGAACCCAAACAAACAUACCUCUUUGAGAUACUGUAAAUUGGCUUCAAGUUCAUUACUGUUGAUGGUCAAGUUGGGACAAUUAUGAAGGUCUAAAUUUUCCAAUGCUGUCCAAAUUGAACAAUAAUUCUCUGAACAGAACUUGGUGAGUUCUGGGAGAUCUUUAAGUUUUAAUUUUCUCAACAAAGGGAGGGCGAGCAUCGUAUUGCCAUCUCCGAAACUUAUUCCCCCUUCAUUGUGAUCAAACUUUGCUUCGACAAUAUAUUCCAGUCUCUUGCAAUAAGUCACAAUGAGACUUUUAAGCUGCUCCAAACUUCUAGCUUGUGACGACGUGAAGAUGUAUGUCAACUUGUUGCACCUAUGCACAUUCAAUUCUGUAAGAGUUUGGAGACUGAUCACAUGUUGGGCGGGCCCCUUCCAUGUCCACUUCAGUUCUGGUAAGUCCCACAUAGAUAACUCUGCUAAUCUUGAGAGACUCUUUCCAUGCGGCGACUUAGAGGCUUCCAUUAUGCAUUCUAAAUCUUCGCAAUCGCGGACAUCAAGACAAGUCAACUCAUUUAAGCCCCUUUCAUCUAUGCUUGGCACAAUAUUGUAACAACCUAUAAUCCCACUUAAAUAAAGAAUUUCCAGUUCUUGAUACAAUGCCGAAAAAAUACCGAGCGAGGUCGCUUCAGGAGGGUGGUUACCAAUCAUUAAGAUCCUUGCCUUAUCAUCAUGUUCCCUUUCAUCAUAAACUCCUUCAACUUUAUAGAUGACGUACCUUUGCAAUUUCGGGAAUGUAAAGUCUUUUGGAAGACAUACAACAGAUCUGUCGGCUUGGGAGUUCAACUCAGCAAGCCUAGCAUUACUUUCUUCUGAACUCAUCCCUUCAACCUCCCAAUCUUUUAUCCGACCAUAAAAUUCUUCCAAUUGAGGAAAUUUUUUUAUCGUAAUGGGAGAAACAGAACCAGUAUCAAUAUAUAGAAGUUUCAAUCUACCAAGUUCAUCCGACAAUUCUUCAGGAAUUUCAAUGGGAGAUGACUGGAGAUAAAGAAGUUCAAGUCUCUUCAACUUUCCAAGAAAAAACGUGUCACUCACAUCACACCGAAUCAACUGCAGAACCUGGAGGUUGGUGAGGCUCUGAAGCGAUUUAAGUGAAAGAACUCCACCUAUUAUAGUGACAACUUUCAAUGCUGGCAUCCCUUUAAAAAAAUGUUCUGGAACUUGCAAUCGGUGGUCGUAUUCAGGAUUCUCCAAUCGCAAAAUAUGAAGGUUAGGGCAUACCAAACCACUAGAAAGCUCUUAUUUUUUAUUUCCCACCAAAGAGAUUCCUCUGUAUUGUUCCAGGCCUUCUUUCAUUGCCCGUUCUGCCAAUCCAAUGCCAAAUUUACUAAAAAAUUUCUUCUCCUCUAGAACUAUUGAGCCUAUCCAUAUGGCUACAUCACGAACCAUGUCAUGCAUUUUCACAGAUCUGUCAUUACCAGUGUCUAACAGCAGUGACGCAGCUUUGAGCGCGUUAAUCGUUCCAUGCAGUCGGCUUCUGGCGUUUUCUAUUGACGGAGCACAUUGAUACCAAAUAACCCCCACUGCGUAUCCAACCAAAUCCUCCAAAUAAAUCUCAUAAUCUUCUGGAAACAGAGAACACAACAAGAAGCAUAACUUGGACUCCUCACUAUUUAAAUUGUCGUAACUGAAUUUAAGACAACCGUAAACGUCUUGGUCAUCCUUGUCAAUACCUUCUAUUGCAUAGAGUUUUGCUUCCUUUAGGUUAUUUAGUGCUAGUUUCCAUUCAUCAGAUCCUUUUUCUCUUAGUGCACUUCCAACAGCUUCAAUAGCUAAAGGCAGCCCCUUAAUUACAUUCGUCGGCAACUUGUUUUGAAACACCAUCCAAGGAGGAGUCGUUUACAUUAAUACCGGCAUUCAUUUUUAGUAGAGUCAAUCCUUCUUCUGGUGUUAUUGUACCAAGUUCAAUCUGUGGGUAACAACCGAAAGAACCACAAAUUGACUUUUUGCGAGUGGUUAGAAGGAUUUUGCAACAAUUGUCUCUAUCACCAAUGGGAAUACCUAAUUUUUUCUCCAAGUCGAGUUGUUUCCAAACAUCACCAAGGAUUAUGAGGAUUUUGCUGCUUUUACUCUCAGAAAACAUCAACCGCAAUCGAUCUGCUCUCUCUUUUUCAUCUGUCUCAUUUAACGCCCAGCCUAACGACUUUACCAGCUCACUUUGAACCUUUAUUAUAUCUGGAUCCUGAGACACAGUGACUAUCCCAACUUCAUCGAAAAUCUUUUGUUGCCGAAGUUGAUUGCCCACAAAAUUUGCCAAGGUCGUCUUCCCUACACCACCGAGACCGUGCAAUCCCACCAUCUUUGUGCUCUCUUUUUUCAGUGCUUCAGUGAUUUGAAUGCAAGCCAAAUCUGUAGCCUUGAAAGGAGAAAAAGAUCUCGGUAUAGGCAAUUCUUUGUCUGAUGGUAGAGGUUUAGGACGGGCAACUGUGCUGAAUUUGCUGCGGUCUUGUAGCAGAUCGGACAACUUGCUAGUCUUCUUUGAUGCUUUUGUACCCAGCCAGUAUCGGCAACCCCAAUUAGGACACCAUCCAUUAAGACAACUCUUCUUUUCAUCUAUCUUUGCUUUUAAAUUUCGAACGUCGGCCAUUUCUUUAUCUACAUCCUCAAGCCAUGUCUCGACAUCUUUCUCGACUACUAUAGCACGGUGUAUUUGUCGUUCUUGUUCUACUCUUUCAUUGAUGCCAUCUUUUUCCUUCUUCAAAUUGGUUUCUUUAACCUUAAGUUCUUUAUCUAUGCUGUUGAAACACAGCAGAUAACGAGCUUGGUUUAUGGUUGCAUCCACCAACAAUUCUCCAAGCCUUGAUGCAACACCUGACAAAAGUUCCAUGCUAUUUAUCUGCAAUUAAUAAAGUUGAUCUCAGUAAGCUAUAAGCAAAACAAUGAGGCUUGAUCACAAGAUCGAACGAGAAAGUUUAAUUACCUUUUUCUAUUCUGUGAAUGCACGUUUAUUGACACUAGCUUUGACCAGUAAGAGCAAAAUGCAAACGCCGAGCUUUAAGUGGCCUUUAGCUGCAAAACAAAAGAGAGGAAAUAAGGUAAUUUAUUAUUAUUAUUAUUUUUAAGGACGGAUAAAGGUUAGCUAGCUUGCAGACAAAUUUACUAAAAUCAAGACAAACCUAAGAGUUUUCCUAAUUUGUUCAAACAUGGAAUAAGCGUUUCACAACAGUAUAUCCAUAAAGGCCCCAGCGAACGUAAUAUGUGCUGGACUAUAUUGAAAUUAGAUUAUUUUAGAAAAUUUUAAAUAAAAAAUAUCAAACAACAAAGAAAUCUAAUAGAAUCUGGAUAAACAGCAUGGGAGAAUAUGGUAAAAUUGAUAAACUUGGUUCAAAAAUUACAAUUCUUUUUGAGAUUUGAACCAACGAUUUUGACUAAGGUCUCCUAAGCCACAAAGCAUAACUCUUACUACUAAAUUACGCGCAUUUUGUUACAUUUAAAUGUGGUCAUAUUCUUUUUAUUAUCUUUUUUUAGAAGGGACUCAUGGUAUACUUAAAAGAAAUAAUAAUGAUUUAGAUAGGGCUGAAGCCCACUCAUGAAAAAAUUCAAAGGUUUUCAAGAUAAUUACCGAUUUUUUUCCACCCAAUAUUCUAAUAGAAUGGUGCCAGAAUUCUCAAAUAAUAUCUUAAUAUUAUUUAACUGGUUGGCACCCACCUAUUGGAUGAUUAAUUUAAUAAUUUGUUACAUUAUUUAAUACUCCAUCUCACUAUCUAGUGAUGUAAAUGGUGGAGAAGGAUCGUCUCCUAGACUUUUUUCUCUCACUAAUCUCUUAGUGAAAUAAGUGGCCGAAAUUGAAUUUUAAUUUUUGAUAUUGACAAUUAAAUUGGCUUGUUUCACAUUAUUAACAAUUAAGCCAAUUUUUUUUUUCUCCUUUUUUCAAUUAGAUUUGGAAGGCUAUAAGAGAGUAGGAGAGAAAAAACACUAGAAGGAGAUCUUAAUCCAUAAAUAGUACCUUAUUUGGGAUGGUAAAGAUUGAGAUAAAUUUCCUCUUAGUCUCUAAAAUUUUGGCCUAUGCGCAGCCAUAAUUUUAGUAUUUUUAAAAAGAAUGGGAUUAUUUACAUUCUAAAAUCUAUUUUGAAUACUCUUUUACUCAACACACUCAUUCAAUAAAUAAAUUUUAAAAAAUAAUUUUUACUUUACACACUAUUUCGAGAGUCAAAACUAUCCUUCAUUAGGACCAUUUCAUUAACUAAUUAUUUUCUAUUGACACCCAUAAAAUAUUCAUCAUUCUUGAACCAUGUGGCGUUAAUUAAUGAUUCCGAAGCAUUAUCAAGAUUCAAGAUUUAUGUUGAAAUUCUUUCAUCUGACAUUUGAACCCAGCCACUAGCUAUAUACAUAUAUACUUUCAAAUGCAGCUCCGGGAAUAUUUUGUGACUGAUUUUAUAAAGUGUUUUAGUUACAUUAAUGCAGUGAAACAAUAAAGAGUACGUGGCUUGCUGAUUUCCAAAUCAAGUUGGGGGAAAAAACAGAGCAUUUUUCUUUUAUAAUGGAUUAGAUUAGACGAUGAAGGAAAAAUUAUUAGCGAUUAUUAGUACUUUUGUGUGUGUUAAGAGUAAUAAUAUUAUUUUAAAUUAUAUUAAUGCCUUUGGUACUGAAUUCAAUUAGGGUUAUUUUAGUAAUAUAAAUUUUCAUUAAAAUUAAAGUGUCCAAAUUAUAAUUUAGAUUUUUCAAAUGUAAAAUAAUAUUUAUUUAUUUGAUAUAAAUUAAAAUUCAAACAAAUGUAUCAUGCAACAAAUGAAAAGUAAAGAAUAUUAAUUAGGUUUUAAUAGAAACAAAUAUAAAUAGAUGUUUUGAGUAGUUAAUUUUUGUUAUUUUAUGCUAUUGGUAGUUUGUGGAUUAAAUAAUUUGUAUAAGGAUAAAUGGGGGUUUGUAUAAUUUAUACGAAGAUAAUCUCCAAAAUAAGCUUAUAUGUCGAAUUUAAAAGUGUUAUAUAAGUAGUAAUCGUAUAUGCAUCAAAAUUUUUAAUAAAAUUUAUUUAGAAAUUGGCCAAUUGAGUUUUAUGAAGAAAAUAGACGGGCAAGUAAUUUGUAGGUUGUGGUACUUCUCCAUACUUCAAAUCACUUUUAUCUAAUCAAUUGAUAAAUAUUUUUGGGCUCCAACAAAAUGAAAAGAAAAAGUUAAAAAUAAUUCUGAAAUUAAAAACGUUAGGUACUGCCUAUAAGCUAUACAAUUUUACCUUUCCUUCUAUCACAAUUAGUAUUAGAAAUAAAAAUAGUUUCGAAAUAAAUGUAAUUAGGAGGUAAUAUUAUCUCAACAAUACCUUAUAGGGAAAAAAACAUCUAUAUCCUAAAGUUUGGAGAAAUGGUCGUAAAGACCCCAGGUUUUCAGAAAGGGAUAUCAAGACCCUUUUUUGACCGUAAUACCCUUUAAAUCUAGUAAUUAAAAAAUUGACUUUAAGAUUUUUUAAUUGACAAAUUUAAUAUAAAUAAUAUAAUCUAUCUAGUAGAUUAAUAAUAUUAACAAUAAAAAUAAUAUUAAAAUUUAAAUUCUUAUAUUUAUUCUAAUAAUAUUUUUUUAUUUAUUAUAAAGAUUUUAAAUAAAUCCUUGGGUUAAAUAGGUUUUCCAGUUAACAAAAUAUACCCCUAUUAAAAAUAUUGAAAUUACUUUCUACAUAAUAUUUAAAAUAAUUACAAUUUAUUUAUUUUAAUAUUAUGUUUCUAUUUAUUAUUAAAAAUUACUUUAUUAGAGCAAAUUUUUAUUAAUUAAAGCUUUAAAAUUAAUUUUCUAAUUACUAAAUUAAAAGGGUAUUAUGGUCAAAAUGGGUCUUUCAUUUUUGAAAACUUAGGGUUUUUGCGACCAUCUCCCCAAACUUUGGAGUAUAGGUGUCCUUUUCCCGACUUCAUAUAAAGAUAUUCCAGAAGGUCUUAUAAUAACUUAUGUUAUAUGAAUUUAAUUAAAAUAUCAUUAAUACUUAAAUAAUAAUAAUUAUAGAAGACAUUGUAAUAAAUUAUUUGAUAUAUAUUAUUAAUGAUACUAUAUAUAUGUGUAUAUAACUACAUGAUGGCUUGGAUAUAUAUUGUUUAGUGGUAAUAAAUUUUUUUAAAAAAAUUUAAACUAAUGAUUUCAUGCGAUUCAAUGUUGGAUGAUUUAAAAUCAUAAAAUAUUGUUUUGACUUUCAAUAUCAACCGUUAGACUGUGAGAAAUUAAUUGCUCAAUAUUUUGUGUUAAAAUUUUAAAUUAAAAUAUCCCAAACCAUUUGUUUUACUUAAAAUACAAAAAAUAUAUAAAGAAAUUUUCUCAUUAAUUUUCAUAUUUUUAUUAGAGGUAAUAUUUUAUGUAUCGUCACCAUUAAUUGCCGUCAUUAAAGUAGUGACUCUUACUAAUAUAAAAUUUUAUAAUUAGUUAAUUGCAAUCAAAUGAUAUCAAUAAAAUAAUAUUUCAUGAUUCAUAAAUUAAAUCUAAUUAAGAAUAUAUGUUAGUUUUAACUUUUAUGAAAUCAACUAAGUGAUAUUACAAAAUAAAAUGAAAAUAAACUAGUGAAAUGAUGUGCUCAUAAUUUAUCUAUUAUUUUAAUGCUUCCAUAACUUAAUUUUAUGUUAAAUUAUAUUUUAUUAUAUUAAUUUUUAUCUUAAUUUUUAUAUUUUGUCAUUGUAGGAAUAAUGGGAAUAUUCAUGAGAAAAGAAGCUUAAAGAGGAAACAAAUUAGAGUAUAAUGAAAAUAAUGUGGAAGCAAAAGGGAAAGAAAUAAAAAGCCAAAUCAAGGCUGAUUGAAUUUAAUCAUCAUGCAUGCAACACGUGGGGGGAGCAUUAAAGAAUUAAUUUGCAAAUUGGCCAAUUAAACUUUACAAGUCACGUGGAUGGGCUUAAAAGGUGGCUAGAAUUGUUUUGUUUUAAAAAUCCCUUUCAUUUAAGGAUUCGUGGGCUGGAUUUGCAAUCCUUUUCCUUUAAGGAUUUGGAAGAAACCACAACAUUAUAAAAGAGAAGAAAGGCAGCCGCACAAGAGGGAUGGAAGCCAAGAGAAAAGAAAUAAUUGAGCAGCAACCGGAAGUCUUGAACGAAAACCGAAGAGCAGCAGCAAUAAUUUAGAGCAGAAGGAAGACACGUUAAUUCUUGAGUUUUUCUCUCUCUCUUCUCUAUUAUCUUGCUUGAAUGUUUCCAAUUAAAUUAAUGAAUUCUCUUUAUAUUCCCAUGAACUAAUUUAUUUACUAGGGCUACGAUGUAGCCUAAUUAUGAAGAUUUAAUUCCAUAAAUCUAUGUUAUUUUUUAAUUAAUUAUUCCAUGAUUGAGUGUUCAUUAUUGUGCUUAAUGCUUUUAAAUAUCUGGCCAAUAUUUGAAUGAUUCGAGGAUACAUAAUGAGACCGAGAUGAGAUUUAUGUAUUUUUGCUCUGUGUAAUGGAUGCCAUGAAUUGAACGAAAGACAUAGAUGUGCCAACGUGAUUCAUGCAGUUUUAUCUAAGAAUUUCCAUAGAACUUAAUGAAUCUUUGCAUAUUUAAAUUCACAUAGAGAUAUAGUGGGUUGAUAUGUGGAGAUAUUUUUGAUAUUACUCGAGAGAGGAUAUUGAAUAAAUUAGGGAAAUUCACUGUCAACAUGGGUAAUAAACUUUAAUAGCAUAGAUAGAGGAUUAAAUUGGAUUGGUUAUGGUGAAAUCGGAUGUCCUAGUGUUUUAAUCUCUUGGUGAUUUCUAUUACUGCCUGCGUCUUCAUUUAAUUUUUAAUUAUUUUAUUUUAUUUAACUUUAAUCUAAAUUCGCCUAAUCGAUUGUUCAAAUAAAGCAGGGUUAGAAUAAUUUCGGUAACUAAUAGGAUAUACAAUCUCUGUGGGACGAUACUCUACUCUUCAUUAUAUUACUUGUGCCGACUAGUACACUUGCUAAUUUACGCAACAAGUUUUUGAUAUAAAAUUUACACUUGCUAAAGUAGUGACUCUUACUGAUAUAAAAUUUUAUAAUUAGUUAAUUGCAAUCAAAUGAUAUCAAUAAAAUAAUAUUUCAUGAUUCAUAAAUUAAAUCUAAUUAAGAAUAUAUGUUAGUUUUAACUUUUAUGAAAUCAACUAAGUGAUAUUAGAAAAUAAAAUGAAAAUAAACUAGUGAAACUUAAAUUUUAUAAGGUUUGAAUAAUUUUCUACCACGUAAGAAUAUUAAUUGUGACAUAAACCAUAGUUUCAUGGUAUAUGUAUGCCAAAUGGGGUAACAAAUAAUAUAUACUUCAUGAUCAUGAUAGUAUAUAAAGUAGUGGAUAUUUUAAUAAAUAACAUAAAAUUCUUUAAGACAUAGGUGGUCAAUUAUAUAUUUUUUAGGAUAUAGACAAUCUCAAUCAAGAGUUUAUUGAUGUGAAUAGAUGGCAUUCACUUAAAUGUAUAUACUUAAUUGUGUUGUUUAUUGGUAUUACAUGUAACAAAAUUUUAUAUUAAAUUUUGAAGUUUUAUACUGUUGUUUCUAUUGAAUUUAUAAAUACAAUAAAAUUAUGGCCAUCAACAAUCACAACCAACUGCCACCAACAAUUACAUUCUCAUAUCUGUUGACGACAAUUUUUUAUACUAUUGGAACUCCAAUCUUUGAUGCUACACAAUAGUUAAAGUACCGACAUCAAUAGAACUUCCGUUCAUUGUAGAUCUAUAGUCAAAGUUUCGAAUCUUAAAAAAUUGACAGCAGAUUUAUGUCAAAUGAAAGCUUGUUACCAGUGAUUCUUAUACAAUUAUGUUGUUAUAGUAAUAAAGAUUCUAAUGGUACUAAAAUGCACUCCAUUAGACAUAAAGAUCCGACGACUAGUGGCGACAAUAACUAUCAUUAGUGACUUGGAGGUAAUUGCCGUUAAUAAAUUAUUUUUAACUUAAUAAUUAAUACAAACAAAUAAAAAAGUAAUUUAAGGAAAAUUAAUGUAAUAAAUAAUUGAAUUAAAAAAAUUAAAACCUAAAUUCUCGACCAUUUAUCCGUAUCUUUGGAAUCCAACGUUCAAAAUUGGAAUAAAACAUAGUAUAGCCAUUGGAAGUAAAACAAACAUUAAAGAGACUAGGAAAAAAUAUCUCAUACCUUCUAUAAUGAUACAUCCUCAAUCACUGCAGAAAGCUCCAAUUAAAAAGUCGCACAAGUUCGGAGAAAAUUACCAACUGUACCUAACAACACAAAUAAACAUCAAAUCAAAGCAACAUAGGAUCCAGCUAAUUAACAUCAUAAGUAAGUCCUUGUUCUCAGUCAAAUCUUUCGUUCUUAGGAAAAAAAAAAAAAUUGAAAGAAUAACGGUAACUGGAAAGUUUGACGACAUAAAGAUCUAGCUAAAUUUUAAGAAGCAAAAGUAAAUAAUGAAAGCUCAAUAAAAGAUCAUCAGCAUUAACAUACCGAAAUGAGAGCAGCUCACAGAACUGGUAAUUUCCAAGAACAGGAAAAAUAAGUGAGCUGAUAUUGAGGACAACUAAAGUAGUCAUGGAGUAAUUUGCUAUUGAGGACACCUAAAAUAAGAAAAUUAAUUAACAUUGCUCUAUACACCAUUUCAAUAAUUUGACUAUUAAAAAAAAAAUCUAUCUAGAUCACGAUUUCUCAAAAUGAUACUUUUUCUAAUUAAAUAAAUCAAAAUGCUUGCUUCUUUCUUUUUCAGAAAAGAAAAAGUGGCAAUGGCAUCAAUUUUUUUGCUAGAUUAUUAUCACCAAAAGCACAAGCAAGGAAUAAGAAUACUCUCUGAAACCAACCAUGUAAAGAGUAGAAGUAAGUGGUCAAUUGUAAAUUAGUCUUUCUUUUUUCUUUGUUAUUUUUUUCAUUUUUUGAAUGUGAACUAAAUAAAUUUAAGGGUGAAGCUAUUACACCUUGAAAACUAUAACUGAACACCCAUUUUUUUAAUUAAAUUUUUAUUACUAAAAUAACCAUGGAGUAAUUUGCUACUAAGGAAAACUAGAAUAAUAAAAUGAAUAAUGAUUGCUCUAUACACCCUUUUCUAAGUCUAUCUUCUUCUUAAUUUCAUAAUUUGGCUGUCAAAAAGUAAUCUAUCUAGAUCACGAUUUCUCAAAUGAUGCUUUUUCUAUCUAAAUAAAUGAAAAUGCUUGUUUCUUUCUUUCUCGAAAAGAAAAAGUGGCAAUGGCAUCAAUUUUUGCUUGCAAGCACAGCGAGGAAUCAGUAUACUCUCGGAAACUAACCAUAUUAAGAGUAGAAAUAUUUAUUUGGUUAUCACGAAGUAAGUUAGAAAUCAAUUAUAAAUGGUCUUUUUUUAUUUUUUAAUGUGAACUAUAUAAAUUUAAGGUGAGGUUAUUUACACUUUGAAAAACAUUCUGAAAACCAUUAUUUCAUUAAAUUUUUUAUUAUUAAAGGUCCGUUUGGGGCAGCUACGUUGAAGCAGCGCAGCUGCCCCAAACGCUCUCUAAAAUAGCCAUGGAGUAAUUUCUUACUGAGGAAAACUAGAAUAAUAAAAUCAAUUAUCAUUCUUCCAUGAACCCGUUUCUAGAUGUAUCUUCUUCUUGAUUUGGUAACUUGGCUGUCAAAAAGAAAUCUAUCUAGAUCACGAUUCCUCAAAAUGAUGCUUUUUCGGAUGAAAUAAAUGAAAUUGAACCUACAAUCUGUCACAAACACGUUAUAAUGAGCCUAAUGAAAAGCAGUAUGAGAAAUUUUGCUUCCAUGUUGUUUCUUCCAUAUGUAAAGGUAGUAAAAAGAAAUUUAAGUCCUAGAAACAAAUGGAUGAAGAAUUAUCAAUAAUUAAAAUUAAAAAAAGAAACAGAGUUAUAAAAGAAUCACAGUUCCACCAAAAAUUAAGAGUUAUUUUAUUUGGUGGUUUCCUAUCCCGAAAGCAUUACUUGUAAAUAUGUGCUAACAAGUAAUAAUUAAGAAAGUUAAGGCCAAUCAUUUAGAAGGGAGAAAAAUGGAAACAUCCGGAAUAUUGUUAUGUGUUUUCAGUGCGUAUCUACCAAUCAAUAAUGAAAAAUUAAAUACGCAUGUGACGAAAAUUUAAUAAAGAGAACUGGAGGUGACAAAAUUUUUAUUAUUCUAUCUUUCUCUCCUCUGAAACUUCCUUAAUUUGGUUGGGAAGUGCUUUGUCUUAGGCAGUGGAUCUGUUAUAAAUACCCUAUGCUAAAGUUAAUAUUUUGAUUGAAGAAAAAAAUAGAGGAGAAAAAUUUUAUUAAAGUAUAACAUAAUUUGAUAAAUUUAGAAUUGAGGAGAGAAAAUGAGUCUAAAUUCGAAAAUUUUGGCACUAUUUACAUAUAAUUAUUUGGGCAAAAAUUCAUUUCUCUGCUUUCAUAUGAUUUGGUCUUUCAUUGUUACGGUGCCAAUUUUUUAUUUAAAGAUGUAAGAUAGUGGUACUAUAGCUUAGAUUUUCCGUAAAUACUACAUGGUAAGUACAAAAUAAAAUACUAGUUUAAAAUAUAAAAAUGAAAAACUAUUUUUAUAACCAAUAUUCAAUUAAAUACACUUGAAACUCUAUUUUUUCUUAAUAAAAAAAUUCUAAUUUAUUUUCUCAAUUUAUCUAAACAACUUUACCUAAUCAAGCUAAAUCUACAUAUUACCCUAAACCUUAAUUCAUAAACACCCAAUCAAUCCAAUUGUUAAAUCCGAUUUCAUAAUUAAAAAAGCUAAAUUCUAUUUUAUUAUUUAUGGUGCAAAGUAAAAAAUGCCCUUGAAGUUAAGGGUAAAAUUGAUAUUUUAUUUAAAUUUUGUUAAUAUUCUAAUAAUGUUAAUGUCUUAGUGGUUAAUAAAAUCACAAAGUCAAACUUUUGUAGUAUUUUUUAUAAUAAGUUAAAGAUAUAUGUUUGAUAAUUUUCCUACGUCUUUUUACGUUAAAUUGAGUCUCAAGAGAAAAAUGAUUAAUUUGCUACAAUUCUGUCAGUUUUCUGAUGGAAGAUAAUGAUACAAUGAAUAAAUAAUACAAAUUAUUAAAUUAAUGUUGAUGAAUGAUACAACUUGAAAAUAUUGUAGUAUUCUUAAUAGUAGAGAAAUGUAAAGGUGGAUGGUUGAUAAUUUAAUGAAGUAACUACAGAAUUUUCCUUUCAAAUAUUUUUUUAAAAUAUAUAAUGAGUAAAAAUCAUUUUACAGAAUGAUCAUACGCAUUUUGUAUCACAAACGAAAACAUGAACCAACUAUGUAUAGAGUCAAUUAACUAAAGUUCUCAAGAGUUGACCUGUGCUCCUGAAUUCUUGGAAUCAUAUAUCUCCUUCUGAAUUUCCACGAAGCCUGGGACAAUUAUUAACAUAUACAAACUUGGCAGAUGGAAAUGGGAUCUGAUAACCCGUAGGCCAAAAGUUGGUGAGGUUUGGUAAAUCUGACAGUAUCAACUCCCCAAGUUCAUUCAUAACAAUUUCAUUGUACUCCGUGACGUCUGCUCCAUCUUUAUGCCAGAAUACUUCUUCUAAUUCAUCAUUACCUAUUAUCCAUAUGUACUUCAGUUUUUGAAGACUUGGAGCUACGCUGAUAUGAAAUAGAUGCUUUAGUUUGGGGCAAUAACCGACAGAGAUCCUUUUGAGUUUUGGGAAACAUACAGGUUGGAGAUGAUCCUCAUCCUCAUCCUCAUCAAUGAUUUGCUCUAAUUCGAAGCAAUUCCAAACAUAUAACGCCUCCAAUUGUAACAGAUUUCGAGCAAAUGUUGAUGAGAAGAGACGUCUCAGCAUAGUGCACCCGUCCACUGUUAAAUAGGUAAGACUUUGCAGGCCAAAAUUAUGCGUGGGACCUACGUGAUAUAAUACUUGCAGUUCUCGAAGGCUUUCCAACUGCACCUCCUUCAAACAUGGGAAUAGUUUGUUUUCUUGUCCCUCAGCGAUAAUAGCUUCCAAUUGAAAUACCACAUGUACUCCCAGUCGUCUAAUACCCAAUUCUUCCAAAUUUUUUAAGCCGUGCUUCAACAGUGCUGGAAUCGUGUCACUCAAAUGGGAACAAUUGUCCACAUAUAGAAUUUUUAAGUUCUGAGACAAAUAAAUAAAUAACUUGAUGCAAUUAAAAUUUAUUAGCAGCUAGGAUUAUCACAUGAUAAGUGAUGAACACCGCAAAAAACAAAAACAGAAAACAAAAUCCAUACAAAAAUAUCAUAAUACAUAUGUAAACUAAUAAAAUAAUUAAAAACUAAUGGAUUUAAAUAAAAAAUGAAAUUAGGUAAAAGAGAUCAUGUGAAUUGAUAUAAACGUGACAUUAGAUUGUUUUAGAAAAAUUAUUAUUCUAUUAAUUUAUAUGGCUUGAUCAACUAUUUAAUUGAAUUUGAAUAAUAUUAUAUACACUUCAGAAGUAUUUGCAUCAAUUCUUUCUAAACCAAAAUGAGAUGUGAUUUUCAUUUGAAGAAUGAUUUUAGGUCUUAUAAUAAAGAAAUUUCUCCAAAAUAUCUGAGCAUUAUUAUUAUCACCACCACAUCCACCACCAUCAUCAUCUCCAUAGGAUCAAAAGUUUAAUGGCUGAUCAUAAAAUUUAUUGCUAAACUAUCAUUUUGAGUAAAAUUGAAUGAAAAGAAAAAACAUGAACCCAAACAAACAUACCUCUUUGAGAUACUGCAAAUUGGCUUCAAGUUCAUUACUGUUGAUGGUCAAGUUGGGACAGUUAUGAAGGUCUAAAUUUUCCAAUGCUGUCCAAAUUGAACAAUAAUUCUCUGAACAGAACUUGGUGAGUUCUGGGAGAUCUUUAAGUUUUAAUUUUCUCAACAAAGGGAGGGCGAGCAUCGUAUUUCCAUCUCCGACACUUAUUCCCCCUUCAUUGUGAUCAAACUUUGCUUCGACAAUAUAUUCCAGUCUCUCGCAAUAAGUCACAAUGAGACUUUUAAGCUGCUCCAAACUUCUAGCUUGUGACAACGUGAAGAUGUAUGUCAACUUGUUGCACAUAUGCACAUUCAAUUCUGUAAGAGUUUGGAGACUGAUCGCAUGUUGGGCGGGCGCCUUCCAUAUCCACUUCAGUUCUGGUAAUUGCAACAUAAAUAACUCUGCUAAUCUUGCGAGACUCUUCCCAUGCGGCGACUUAGAGGCAUCCAUUAUGCAUUCUAAAUCUUUGCAAUCGCGGACAUCAAGACAAGUCAACUCAUUUAAGCCCCUUUCAUCUAUGCUUGGCACAAUAUUGUAACAACCUAUAAUCCCACUCAAAUAAAGAAUUUCCAGUUCUUGAUACAAUGCCGAAAAAAUAACGAGCGAGGUCGCUUCAGGAGGGUAAUUAUUAAUUAUUAAGCUCUUUCUCUGACUAACAUAUUUCAUUUUAUCAACAACUCCUUCAACUUUAUAGAUGAUGUACCUUUGCAAUUUCGGGAAUGUAAAGUCUUUUGGAAGACAUACAACAGAUCCGUCGGCUUGGGAGUUCAACUCAGCAAGCCUAGCAUUACUUUCUUCUGAACUCAUCCCUUCAACCUCCCAAUUUUUUAUCCAACCAUAAAAUUCUUCCAAUUGAGGAAAUUUUUUUAUCGUAAUGGGAGAAACAGAACCGGUAUCAAUAAAUAGAAGUUUCAAUCUACGAAGUUCAUCCGACAAUUCUUCAGGAAUUUCAAUGGGAGAAUCCUCGGGAUAAAGAAGUUCAAGUCUCUUCAACUUUCCAAGAAAAGAUGCGUCACUCACAUCACAUCCAAUCAGCUGCAGAACUCGGAGGCUGCUGGCGAGGAAUCGAAGCGAUUUUAGUGAAAGGACUCCAUCUUUUAUAGUAACAACUUUCAAUGCUGGCAUCCCUUCAAAAAAAUGUUCUGGAACUUGAAAUUUGUAGUCACAUAGAGUAUUGUCCAAUCGCAAAAUAUGAAGGUUAGGGCAUACCAAACCACUAGGAAGCUCUUCUUCUUUAUUUCCCAUUACAAAGAUUCCUCUGUAUUGUUCCAGGCCUUCUUCCAUUGCCCAUUCUGCCAAUCCAAUGCCAACUUUACCAAAAAAUUUCUUCUCCACUAGUACUUCUGACCCUAUCCAUAUGGCUACAUCACGAACUAUGUCAUGCAUUUUCACAGAUCUGUCACUACCAGUGUCUAACAGCAGUGAAGCAGCUUUGAGUCCUUCAAUUGUUCCACGCAGUAGGCUUCUGGCGUGCUCUAUUGAUUCAGCUUGAUACCAGGUCAACCCCACUACAUAUCGAACCAAAACCUCCAAAUUAAUCUCAUAAUCUUCUGGAAACAGUGAACACAACAAGAAGCAUAACUUGGAAUUGUCAUCAUUCAAAUUGUCGUAACUAAAUUUGAGACAACCGUAAACGUCUAGGUUCUCCUCAUCAAUACCUUCUAUUGCAUAGAGUUUUGCAGCCUUUAGGUUAUGUAGAGCCAGGUUCCAUUCAUUAAAUCUUUUUCCUCUUAGUGCACUUCCAACAGCUUCAAUAGCUAAAGGCAGCCCCUUACAUUCUCCAGCAACUUCUUUGGAAACAUCAUUCAACGUGGAGUCAUUUACAUCAAUGCCGGCAUUUUGUCGCAGUAAAGCCAAUCCUUCUUCUGGCGUUAGUGUACUAAGUGGAAUCUGUGUGUCACAACCCAAAGAAUCAAAAACUGACUUUUUGCGAGUGGUUAGAAGGAUUUUGCAACAAUUAUCUCUACCACCGACGGGAAUACCUAAUUUUUUCUCCGAGUCGAGUUGUUUCCAAAUAUCAUCAAGGAUUACGAGGAUUUUGCUGCUUUUACUCUCAGAAAACAUCAAGCGCAAUCGGUCUGCUCUCUCUUUUUCAUCUUUCUCAUUUAGUGCCCAGCCUAACGACUUUGCCAGCUCACCUUGAACCUUUAUUAUAUCUGGAUCCUGAGACACAGUGGCUAUCCCCACCUUAUCGAAAAUCUUUUGUUGCCGAAGUUGAUUGCCCACAGAUUUUGCCAAGGUCGUCUUUCCUACACCGCCGAGACCAUGCAAUCCCACCAUCUUUGUGCUGUCUUUUUUCAGUGCUUCAGUGAUCUGAUUACAAGCCGAUUCUGUAGUCUCGAAAGAAGAAAAAAAUCUUGGAAUAGGCAUUUCUGUGUCUGAUGGUAGAGGUUUAGGAAGGGCAACUGUGCUGAAUUUGCCGCGGUCUUGUAGAUCGGACGACUUGAGAGUCUCCUUUGAUGCUUUUCUACCCAUCCAAUAUCGGAAACCCCAAUUAGGACACCAUCCAUUAAAACAACUCUUCUUUUCAUCUAUCUCUGCUUUCAAAUUUCGGACAUCGGCCAUUUCUUCGACUACAUCCGCCAGCCACUUCUCUACAUCUUUCUCAACUACUACAGCGCAAUGUUUUUGUCGUUCUUCUUCUACUUUUUUGUUGAUGCCAUCUUGUGCCUCCUUCAAAUUAGUUUCUUUAUCCUCAAGUUCUUUAACAAUGCUGUUGAAACAGAACAGAUAGCGAGCUUGUUUUACGGUAGCAUCCACCAAUAAUUCUACAAGCUUUGAUCCAAUACCUGAUAAAAUUUCCAUGCUAUUUAUCUGCAAUUGACAAAGUUGAUCUCAGUACACUAUAAGCAAAACAACAAGGCUUGAUCACAAGAUCGAACGAUAAUGUUUAAUUACUUUUUUAUUGAAUGUUUAAUUACUUUCUUUUAUUCUAUGAAUGCACGUUUAUUAACGCCAGCUUUGAUCAAUAAGAGCAAAAUGCAAACGCCAGGCUUCAAGUAGCCUUUAGCUGCAAACAAAAGAGAAGAAAUAAGGCAAACGUGAUAGAUGGUGGAUUAUAUUGAAAUUAGAUUACUUUAGAAAUUUUUAAAUAAAAAUAUCAAACAACAAAUUUAAUAAUAGAAUCUAGAUAAAUCGAAGAGUUUGUUAUGCAUUGCGAGUGAAGACAGGCAGUUACAUGGGGGAAUCUUGUAAGAGUGAUGAAAAUUAAAAAGCCAUCCAUAAUUGAAGUUAAAAAGAGUAUUAGAGAUUAGAGGGGUUCAACAUCUUAUGCAAGCUCACUCAUGAUAAAAUUUGAAGAUAAUUAUCCCAUUUUUACUUCAAUCAAUAUUCUAAUACAAUAAUUCCAUAAAUCUCAAAUAGUAUCUUAAGAUUUUUUUUUUUCCUCAAAAUUACCAUUAAAAGUAAAACAAACAUGAAGCUAAGAGCCUAUGAAACAAUAAUAUCUCAUACCUUCUUUCUCAUAGAUCCUCAAUUACCCCUGAAAGCUCCGGUUAGAGAGUCGCACAAGCUCGGAGAAAAUUAAAAGCUGCAUCCAGCAAUAUAAAUAAACAUCAGAUCAAAACAACAAAGCAUAUAUCUAGCUAACUAAACAUCAUCUAUAACUCCUCGUUCUCAGUCAAAUCUUUCAUUCUUAGGAGAUAAAAAAAAGAUUGAAAUAAUAACUGUAACUGAUAUAGGAAGCAAAAGUAACAUACCAAAACGAGAGCGGCUAGCUCACAGAUCUGGUGACUUCCAAGAGCAUGAAAAAUGAUUGAGGUUUAAUAGCAAGUUCACAGAUGACAGAUGUGGUGACUUCAAGAGCAUGAAAAAUGAUAAAACUUUGGUAGAAAGGUCUGAGCCGUGUUUCACAAGUUGCUAUUGACUUCGUGGCUUCGCUUUUAUUUAUUAUUAUUAUUAUUUUUUUAAAUUCUAUAUCAGUGAGAAUUGAAAUGUGGAAAGUGAAAUGAUACACAUGCCUUAUCAUCUAUCAUGAGGGGUGAUUUGGUAAAACCGAUUUAAAAUAAAAAAAAGUUUAAAAAGAUGCUUUGUGUCUGACUGCUUGUAUUUGGGGUAUUUUUCGGGUUGUUGAGAGUGAGUUUAAUUAAAUAUAAGAUUUUCAUUUUUCUUAUUCUAUUUUUCUCUUUAGAAUGAAUUUAAAUCUCAUUCUUAUUAAAUCCAUUUUUUUAAAUGAAAGUAGAUUUCUCUCCACACAUUUGAGAUAUAUUUUAAAAUUAAUGUUCAGUAUAUCUCUAAAUUAUAUUAUAAAUAUUUUUAUUUAAAAUCUCAACAGAUUUCAUAACGUACAAAGAGAAAUACAUAUAUAUGUUGUAAUGUUUUAAUGAUGGAUCUCCAAAGUUAUCAAGUUAAAAAAUAAAUUAAAAAAUAAAAAAUACACACUUCAACUUAUUAUAUGAUAAAAUAUAAUAAAUUAAAGUGAGUAUUAUAUUUAUUUUUUAUUUUAUCUCUUAACUUAAUAACCUAAAAUAUAUUUAUUUAAUAAUGAUUAUAUAUAUAUCUAUAUAAUUUUUUUAAAAAAUAAACAAUUUAAGUGAAGCAAAGGACAUUUUAGAGGCAUUGCGAGACUACCAAUUUACCAUUUUGGGUUGCAAUAAAGUGAAAACUGUAGACUACCAAUCUACCAUUUUAUUGAAUCGGGUCCCGCUGACUUGGAGCUUAUGUAAAGUUACAUUCAUAACAAAUUGAUACUUGUCUUUAUUAUAAAUUAUUCUUUUAUUCAAAUAUACGUUCAUUUCUUCAAUCAAGUCCUCAUAUUUGUUCAAUUUAUGAUAAGAUCCUUGUAUGGGAGCAUAUCUGCAAAUGUAAUAAUUAUUCUUCUAUUUCAGAUAGUUUUUGUGAAAAAAUACUUUUAUCAAUUAUUUAUGUUUACUAAUUCUUAUGUCUUUUUUUAUUACUUUCCAUAGCUCUAUACAAAUGUUUGCUAUAGAAUUUGUGUUAUUUCGCUAUAAUAUAAUUUAUAUUGUAAACCUCUGUUCAUCUGUAAAUAAAAUGACAAUUUUUUUGUUUACUCCUAAAAAAUAUGAAAAUAUUAAUUUACUCUCAUAUUUAUUUAGAAGACAAUGGCAAAUAAGGUCGCAUUGAUAAUUUUUUUUAUUUACUUAUUAAUUAAUUAGAGUAAAUUAAUAUUUUCAUAAUGAGAGAUACAUUGAAGAUUGUCAUUCUUAGUAGAGGGUAAAUUAAAGUUUAUCUAAUUAAUUUAAAAUAUCAUUAAAAUUUAACAUUCUAAUCUGGAUUAGAUUUCUGGGGGGGAGGGAGGGGAACGUCCUUAUUCGGAUUAGACUCAGCUGGAAGAGGCACAUCCUUAGCUGGAUCAAUUUGUUCAAGAUUGGAUGCAUCCAUCGGUUUCAAAUUUGUCUCUUGUAAGCAUCAUCGGAUUUCUUUACUAAAAUUUAGAUUAUCAAUCACAUCUAAAACUUAUUGAAUGAUACAUUUCAUUUCUAUAAAAUUGAGUUACUAUUACCACCUCACAUCUUAUAAAUUCUAGAAAAUAAUCAAGGCUUGACAUACUUUUAUUUAUGCAAAAGCAUAAGAAAAUAAUUCAAAGUACUAAUUAGUGCAGUAUUACUCAAAAUUCUAGAAUAGAUUUGCUAGUUCUCUUUAGCCAUAGAUUGGUCCAUGAUUGGCACCGCAAUAGCUCAGAAUCACCUCAACGAUUGUUCCACACAGCCCAACAUGACACACUGUAAACUAGUCUAACAUGAACUUUCUGAGUGGCUUUCUAACAAUAGUCUUAGAGAAAGUGUUUAGUAGUAUGAAGUCUUCUUUUUUUAACAUAAAUGUUGGCAUGAUAUUCUUAAUAUAUUUCUAAAAUCAAAAUAAGAUGCAUAGAGGACGAUGAUAAUUUUAUUUCAUAAUUGAAUUUUUUGCAAAGAAAGUUUGAACAUGAGAGUGAUGAGAGAUGAGAAUAUUGAUGAUGGUGUGUACUUUAGAUGUAAAAAUAGAUUGGAAAUAUAUAUAGACAUAUUAAAAGAAAAAAAUUUGGUCUAUUUCAUAAGAGAAACAAAAAAUUAUAAACGCGGGUGUUAAAAUAUAUUCAGAAUUUAUAAAUUUUUAUAAAUAUGAUAAUCAUUAGACCCUUAUAAAAGUAUAGCAAAAAGUUUAAAUUUUUUUAAUAAAUAUCGAAGAGAUGGACGAAGAAACCAUCCACCAGUUCAGAAUUAAUAAUCAAAGAUAUGAUGACUUGAUUGAAGAAAUGGUGAAAAAUAAAAGGACAGUAGGACACUGGGUUGGUUGGCAGGACCCUAAUAUUAAUGGUUAAAAAUAAAAGGACACUGGGUUGGUAUCAAUUUCUACCGUGUAGGUUCAUAGCCGGGGAAGUAAUUGGGCACAAAUAUCUCGGAUGAGAAAUAACCAUUUUAUCCCGCAACCAUAUGUUUAUGGCCUCUAAAAAUUUUCACCUCUUUCACUUCUGGAACCCGUGGUUUCUGGCACAUGCACAAUACUUGGUUGCUACUUAUAGAGCGUUUUUAGAAUUGCAAUAUAAUCUACAGCUGGUUGUUGACAUUACACUGCGGGUGUGUAAUUAUUACAUAUGCAGAUAUUCUCCCAUGCGAGGAUCUUAUCAUAAAUUUAAAGGAUACGAGGACUUGAUUGAAGAAAUGAACGAAUAUUUGAAUAAAAAAAAAUUUUAAAAUAAAGACAAGUAUUAAUUUACUAUGAAUGCAACUUACAUAAGUUAGCGGGACAAUAUUGAAUCACACGCAAAAAACAAUCUGUCUUCUUCUUGAUUUCGUAAUUUAGCUGUCAAAAUAUAAUCUAUAAAGAUUACGAUACCUCGAUUCAAAAAAUGAUGUAUCUGAUGAAAUAAAUGAAAAUUGAACGUACAAUCUACCACGAACACUAUUCAAUUAACCGUUUAUUUCCCCUUAAAUUUUUAAUUUCAAUGAAACAUAGAUCUAAUGGGAACUACAUAUAUAUAAAAAUACUAUAGAUUGAAGAAGUUGAAUUUUUCUUGUGUGUUAAGUAUUUUUAGUUAAUACAAAAGGAUUCUAGCAAGUUAAUACAAAAGUAUCAUAAAUUCAUAGUAGUACAAGAGAUUUUUUUUUUUCUUUGAUGUUAAGAGUUUUGGAGAUAAAAAAAAAUAUAUAUAGGUGAAAGAAGAAGAUGAGAGAAGAGAAAAUAUUAAGAAUAGUUUUGGAAUUUUGAUGCGUUUUAUAGAGUAAAAUCUAUAUUUUAUAGUAUAAAAUGAUAUACCCAAAAUUUAAUGAUAAAAUUUUAAGAAAAAAUUGCACUCGUCAAAAAAAAAAAAAGCUCAGCUUAGCCCAAAAUUUUUUUAUUAAUCAUCUAGUCACUAAUGUAAUCUCUUUUUUAUGAGAUUCUUGAGCAUUUUAAUUUAGUCCAUUGUUAGCUAUCCUAAUAGCUUUUAUGUGCAUCUAUUUUUAUUUGAAAUAUGUUUCAAGCUUGAAUAAAAUCUGCGGGACAACUGGUAAGUAAUAAAGCUCAUUAAUUUUUUAUUUUGAAAAUAAAGGGAAUCACUUACACUUAGCAUGAUAUUAUUUUUGAUAAGUCAUUUUUUUGGUAGAUUAUUUUUUCUGACACGCUCUUAGAUUUAGUGAAAAUAAAUUGUAUACUUUAAACGAAGAAAAGUAAAGAUCAACCAAAUAUUUUGUUCUUUCCGACAACUUUUGCGUUCUCAAGUGCGCCUGAUACCCUUUUUUUUUUAACAUGAGCCCACGUGCCAUUGUUUCCAUUUCAAGUUCAUAAUUUAACAGUAGAAAUGGGUUCCACAGAUACUUUAUUUUAUAAUUUUUUAAAAAAUUACCAAAAUAUAAUAAAUAAGGUAAUAAUAAUUAAUAAAAAAGUAGAUUUUAAGAUGGAAAAAUCUUUUUGUGUGCUUAAUAAAAAGAUGAUAAGAAUGGGAUGCUUUUAGUUAAUUGGUUUACAUUCUCAUGGUUAUUUAUACUGAAAAAUUACAUCAAAAUUUAAUUAAUAAAUCAGUGAACUGCAGACUUAUUAAAUUUAAGCUAUUUUAAUAAGUCAUAAAUAUACUAAGUUAAAAUAGUAGUAAACCCAUUGUUACACAAUACUCUCCAUUGAGUGUUCACCAUUUUAAGAUAAUCAUAAAAUGACACCGGAAGUGCUAUUAUAGCUGUCUCAUGGAAAGCCUUCACCAAUAAAAAGGAGGAUAGAGCACAUACAUCCAGUUUUUAUACCCUUUGAUGCUCAGUCGACACGUGCCAAUGCUAUAGACUAUCGGAUAAUCUACUAAGGUGACGCAUGCCAAUGCUAUAGACUAGCUUUUCAAAGGUUGAACUGGGAAUACUUUUAGUAAAAAGACCUGCAAAAUCAUAGUGUACCUAUUUGACAUCAACUUUUUUUAUCUGCUGGAGCUUAUGAUUAUAGAAGAUCUUCGGUAAGAUGUGUUUGAUAUUAGAAAAUCUCCUUUUAUAUAUCCUCUUCUAACUUGUGUAAUAGUAGUAAACCCCUGCCCCUCUUUAUUUCGUUUAGUAUUUUCUAAAUGGCCGAAGGAAAAUUGGUAAAAACUCAUUUAAAAAUUAAAAAAUCAAAGAAACUCAAGAAGAAGCUUUUGUAUCUGCCAUUUGUAUUUGGGGUAUUUUUUUGGUUGUUAAGUGAAUAAGCUUAAAUCUAAAACAUUUAUUUAUAUAUUUCUUGUUGGAAAGAAUUUAAAUUUUAUUCUUAUUAGACUUAUUCUCUCUAAACAAAGGUAGAUUUUUCUCUAUGUGUUUAACGUGUAUUUUAAAAUUAAUGUUCAACAUAUCUUUAGAUUCUAUUAUAAAUAUUCAUAUCUAAAAUCUCAACAGAUUUCAUAAUAUAUAAAUAUAUAUAAAGAGAGAGAAUAACGUUUAUAAUAAGAAAUUUAUUAAGUUAAAGAAUAAUUCAAAAGAUAAAAUAACACACUCUAAUAUAUUAUAUAAUAAAAUAUACUAUAUUAAAAUAUAUAUUUUGUUUACUUUUUUUAAUAUAUCUCUUAAUAACUUAAGAAAUCCUUUGUUUAACACACACUCUCUCUCUCUAUAUAUAUAUAUAGAGAGAGAGAAAUGUUCGCGGAAAACCUUUAAAACCACAUGAUUUUAAAUAUUUAAACUUUAAGAACCGAUGAACAAUUUUUGACAAAGACGUUGCGACCUAAGUAGGGAUAGCAACUAAAUUCGGAUCCAACUCCGCAUGUAAGGAUCCGAAAGAUCCAGAUCCAGAAAAUUUUUAUCUGAAUAUUAAAAAAUGUUGAUCCGAAUAUAGAAAUUUGGGAUCUGCACGGAUUGGGAUGGAAGUACAUUCGGAAAAUUGGAUAUCGAGAUCUGGAUAAAUUUUGUUUCAAAUUAAAAAUUAAAUUAAAAAUUAAAUGAAAAAUUAAAAAAGUAAAUUUUAUUUGUGGAUUUAUGAUGUUGUUGUAUAUUAUUCAUGUUGAAUUAUUAAUUGUUGGAUUAUGAUUGAAUUUUGUUUGAAAUUAUUGGGUAAAUUUUUUAAUUUUAUUUUAAAUUAAAAAUAUUUAUUAAAAUUAAAUAAAAAUAAAACAUUAAAUUUUAUUUGUAAAUUUAUGAGAUUAUUGUAUGUUAUUCAUUUUGAAUUAUGAUUAAAUUUUAUUUGAUAUUAUUAGGUAAAUUAUUAAACUUUCAAAUUAUAUAUUAAAUUAUUUAAUUUUAAUUUUUUGCGGAUCCGAAUAUCUAGAAUAUCUGUCCGCAUCCGGAUCUACAUAUUUUUUUAUGAAUCCAGAUAUAAGAAUAUGAAUGCGGAUCCAAAUUCGGAUUUUGCCAACCCUAGACCUAAAAUGUUGUGACUUGUCUGUUCUACUUCAAUAUUAAGCACAAAUUCUCUGUCAACAUGUCUGUUCUACUUCAAUAUUAAGCACAUUCAUAGCGGUAUCAAAAUGUUGUGACUUGUGACUACCCAAAAUCCCCAGAAAGAGUGAGAGAUUUCACUGAAGCUAAGUUGUGACUUGUGACUACCCAAAUGUUCUAUAACACGAUAUGAUUAUUCUAGUAACACAAAUCCAAUAGCAUGCAACAUAAUCUACUCUCUAACAUUGUGCAUUAGUAAAAUAAAACAGAGUAAAAAGAGAAACCAUGCCUGUGAAUCUCUUCUUUUCCCCCUGCCACCCCUUUUUUCGGUGAAGUCCAUCAAAUGAAAAUGCAGCAUGACCACGUUGGCCACUGCCACUGCCAUUGCUUCUUCAACUGUGCCUUUUGUUGCAUGAAAUAUUCAAUUGAAAGAUGGUUUAUAUAAUUCAAGAUUCCAAUAGACCUGAGCUGCAAAGGUUGCCUUCCACUAGCCUAUCAGAGAAUAUGCUUUCUAUUUUCCUAGUUUUUUAAUCAAAAUUUUGCAAGAUUUAUUUAUGGAAUACUUGAACAAAAUUUUAUGUAAGAUACCAUAAAGCCAAAUGCAAUCUUUUUAAUCCUCAGCAGCAACAUUUAAAGUAAAAAAAUGGAAGCCAUAUAAAUAUAACUAUGUUUGGUACAAGCAACAAUUAUUUCAAGCUUUCAGAAAUGCUAGCAAGAGAUUGUAAGAGAACUUUACCUAGUCACAGAAUAUGUCAAACAUACUACCACCAACUGUCUUCAGCACGAUUGUUAUGAAGUCGCUUUUGAAUCGGAAGAUUCCAGCUUCCACCAGGCACCAUUAUUUUCAUUCUUGAUACUAUCUGCAUCACUGGCAUUAGUUAUAUCAUCAACUUUUGCAUCCUCACUCUCAUCAUCCCAAUCAAGGCUUCUUCUCCAGCUCUGGAUUAUAAGUCCACUCCGACAUCUUCAAACAUCUCGGUCCUUCCAUUUGCCAACAACCGAUAUGGCUUCCUUCCUUGCCUUCCCCAUUAAUAUAUCACUCGAAGGAAAAAUAGCCCCCACAAAAAGGGUCUUCAGACACCGCAACUUUGCCUUCUGCAAAACCUCCACAAAAUCUGAAUUAUCCAACACAACAGCCAGACACUCAAUCCUUCUUUUGUCCAUCUUAUCCACCGUAUGAUUCCUCAACAAAAUAUCUACAGCUUGUGGCUUAUCUAACACUGUCUUGAUCCAAAACCCCGCUCUUUUCAACUCAUCUGCCAAACCAUAACCCACUUUUGGAGUCAAAAUUGUCCUUGCAGCCCUUUUAUAUUUUUCCAUCUCCAUCGAAUACUUGCCACUCAAAUGGAAUUACCAGACAGGAAUCCCAGUAACAAGUCCACUCAACUUCUUCUCAUCUGAUCCCUCUUUCACUCUGGCGGAAACAUUAAUAACCAUUCACCAGCCACAAAUUACCCAAGUAAGUACUCGUGUCGUCAACACUUACCCUUCACUUCAUCGACGCAAACAAGAAUUCAAAUUGCUUAUUAGCUAGUGCUCGAGCGAAAGCCAAAAUAAAUUAAAUAUGUGUGUGUGUGUGUGUUAAAAGAGAAACGGUAGCGAAGUUAUUAUACAAUCAAGCAAACAAAAAUAAAUUCUACCCUCAUGUGGGUGUUUCGCUCGCAAAAUCUGGACAAGAAAAAAUAAUAUUGAUACAAUCUCCAAAUAAAGAGCAUUCCUCUUGGUAAAAUAGACAAAUCCUAUAAAUUUUGAUUAAUGGUGCCAAAUGAAAGAGUUGUAAUUUCAUGUACAUUUUGUUAACAUGAAUAAGGGUACAAAAUAGAUAACAAAGUGACAAAAACAAGGCUAAUCACAAUGGAUGAUAAGGUUUAGAGUAAACAUAAAGUUAUAAUCUUGAACAUAAGUGGCGCUCAAAGCCAUGAAUUUGAUAUCAUCAACAAGGGGAGUUCAAACAACGGCAUGUAAGAAGCAACAACUGUUGAGAAAAAAAAAAUUCAUAGUAACACGAGAAUAAAUUGUAAAGAAAUCCCAGUUUGUAUAAAAGAAAGAAAACAAAAUUAAGGAAAACAUAAACACAACAAAAUUUGACUGAUUAUUAAAAAUGAGAAAUGAGUUAUAAUGAGAAUUUUGGCUUUGUGGUGAAAUAAAUUGGGAAGUAUCCAAAAUUCGCAUGUAAAUAAUAUAAAUGAUAAGAAGACGAAGGGAACAAAAUGAUAAUAAGCAAGCCAAAUAUUAAAAUGUAUUACACCUCCUAAAGUCAUGUUAAGAUAGUUAGUGAGCUGAUAAAGUUUGUUGCACGUUUGAGUUGGUUUUUUUUCUUUUUAAAAGAAAGUAACCAACCCUUUCAUUAAUCACAAGAACUUGAGUACAUCGUAUAAUUCAGUUAGAAUAUUUUCCAGCCACAUAAAGGGAGAGUUUUUCUCCAAAACUAUCUUAUUUAAGUAAUGGGCACAUGCAUUACAAUGUCUUAGAAUGUGAUUGACAACAACUUUUUGGAAGUUUUUCAUCUGGUUUUGGAUUGCCAGAAUUGUCCAAAAAAAUUUUGAUCUGUUGCCCUUGGUGUUGUUCACUAGCUGGACCACCUCUAAGCAAUCUGACUCAAUGAUCAAAGAGGUUACAUCCGCACUUCUUGCCAGCUGAAGGCCCCAAAGCACAGCCUCUACUUCAGCCAAGCUUACUGACCCCUUUAGGAGGUUCUGAUUAAUCCCAGCUGCAACUAUCUUACCAUUAGAGUCUCUAAUCACAGCUCACACUCCUUCACUCAGAUUCUUUGAAUUAAUAGCAGCAUCCACGUUAACUUUGAAAACAUUCUCAGGGAGGAGCCACUCCUGAUGCUUCUCUUUUCUGUGGAGAGAGAUAUGAGCUUGCUCGGGCUUCUUAACUCUCUGAAAUGCUAUCAACACAGAUUCCACUUUAGCAGCUGAGAUAAUAGGAUUAAUCUCCCUGCCAUCGAAAAUACAUUUGUUCCUAGCCUACCAAGCAGACCAACACAGAGCUACCAUUAAUUCCAAAUCUGUUUUCCUCAGCUCCUUAGCCAUUCUUUGAAGAGUGCUGAAGAUGUCCUAAGAAUUAGCUUCUAAGUUAUGGGCUGUAAAAGGGGACUGGAGCCAAAUCUUUCUCGCAACCUUGCACUCCAAGAGGGCAUGGCUGAUAGUCUCUACACUUAUUUUGCAUCGCUUACAAGUUGGCUCCUCCACUAACUUCCUUUUCCACAAAUUUUCCACCGAUGGAAGCAGAUUAUUUGAGACCCUCCACAUGAAGAUUUUAAGCUUCUCAGGUAGCUCCAGUGACCAAAGGGCACUCCAGUACUGGUUGGAAGCCUCUGAGCAGCUGGUAGAAUCUGAAAAUUUCGUUCUCAAUGCUAGUUGGUACCCACUCUUGACAGAGUGGUUCCCUCUUUUGCCGUAAUGCCAAAGCACUUCAUCUUCCGUUUGCUCAGCUGGGAGGGAAAUCUUGAGGAUCUCUGCUGUGUCUGCAUCCAUGAAGUGCUGUCGUGGCUUGAUUUCAUCCUAUUGGUUGUUAGCCUUAAUUAAGUCUACAACAACUGAGUUUACAGGCAAUGAUGGAAAAUAGAUCUGAAGGUCUCUGGUCUUGGCAGCCAAUUGUACGAGAAAAUUGCUAUCUUCUUGCCAUUACCUAUAUGCCACUCAGGCCCUUCUUAAUCACUUGCCUACCUCAAAGGAUGCUUCUCCAAAUAUACGAGGCAUUGGCUCCUGCUUCUGCACAUAAAAAGCUGGAUUUCCUGUAAUAUCUUGCUUGAAGGACUCUUGAGACUAGGGAAUUUAGGUACUGCAAUAACCUCCAUGCUUGCUUAGCUACCAAUGCUUGAUUGAAACAAGUAAACUCUCGAAAUCCCAGCCCCCUCUAAUCUUUGCUUGGCUAAGCUUCUCCCAUUUCCGCCAAUGGAUUCCGCGCUUAUCCCCUUUCGAGCCCCACUAGAACUUCACUAUAGCUCAUUGAAUAUCAUCACAAAGGCCUUUUGGGAGCUUGAAAACACUCAUUGCAUACACUGGAAUUGCUUGGGCUGCCGCUUUGAUCAGAAUUUCCUUCCCCCCACUAGACAACAUUUUAUGCUGCCAUCCUGCAAUCUUGUUCAACACUUUCAGUUUGAUGUCAUUAAAGAACCCCAUCUUCUUCCUCCCAAUCAUUGAUAGAAGACCGAGGUAUUUCUUGUGCUUUGAGACCACAUUUAGAUUAAAGAUACCCCUUAUAGCAGCCCUUUGAUGCUCUAGAAUUUUGCCACUGAAGAACAAUGAGGAUUUCUGAAAAUUAAAGAUCUGUCUUGAUGUUGCAGCGUAUUUAUCAAAAAUCUCUUUUAAAUGAAUGCAUUCAGCCACUGAUGCACGAGAGAAGACCAAGCUGUCGUCCGCAAACAACAAGUGAGUAAUUGAAACUUCCCGUACAAAUUUGAGGCCUCGGAUUAGCUGGUUUUGUUAUGCCAAUAUCAACAAAUUGGAGAGAGCCUCUGCACAAAGAAUAACAAGGUACGGGGAUAGUGGGCAGGCCUAUCGCAAGCCUCUUUCCAGCUGGAUCAUUCCUUUUGGCACACCAUUAAUAAGCACCGAGAAUGAAACGGAAGUAACACAUCUCAUUAUCAAAGCUACCCAAUUACUAGGAAACCCCAACUUUAUCAUAGUUUGUUCUAAAAAGGGCCACUCAACUCUAUCAUAAGCCUUACUUAUGUCCAAUUUUAAAGCCAUAAGUUCGUUCUUCUUCCCUUUGCUAUGUCUUAUUUUAUGAAUGCAUUCAUAACCAAUAAUGACAUUAUCGGUAAUGAGCCUAUUAGGGAUGAAUGCACUUUACAUUGGGGAGAUGAUUUGGGAAAGGAUCGGCUUCAUUCUAUUUGCAAUGGCCUUAGCUACAACUAUAUAAAUAACAUUACAAAUGCUGAUAUGUCUAUAAUCACUCACUUUCCUAGGAUUUGCAAUUUUUGGAAUCAAAGCAAUAAAAGUGUGAUUGAGGAUAGAUGGGUUACCUUGCUCAUUAAGGACAUUAAGACACGUUGAGAUCACUCAUUUACGGACGGAUUUCUAAUGCUUCUGAAAGAAGACAGCUGGAAGACCAUCAGGCCUUAGGGCCUUUGUGGGGCACAUGUUGGCAAGGGCUUCCUCUACGUCUUCAGCGAUGAACGGCUUUUCCAGCUGAACAUUCAUCUCCAGAGUUACUUUUGCAGUCAUUCCUUGAAGGGUUGCUUGGAUUUGGCUUGGAGUCGGGCUGGAAGUAGUGAAUAGCUCUUGGAAAUGGCUGCAAAACUCCUCCUCUAUUUCAUCCAUGUCCUUCACCCAAGUGCCUUAGUCGUUUUCAAUCCCCCACACCUUGUUCUUCCUUUUGCAGGCAGAAGCUUUGGCGUGAAAAUACUUCGUGUUCUUAUCCCCUUCUCUAAGCCAGUUGGCCCUCGAACGCUGUUUCCAGUAAAUCUCCUCGUCAACUAGCAUAGAGUUAAUCUGACUUUCCAACCUCUUAAUUUCCUUGCCAUCAUCCAGCUUUGAAUUCCAUCUCAUAGCAUCUUGAAGGCUCUGCAUCAACUUUUCUUGCUUUCUUUGCCUACCAUUAAAUUCGGUUUUGCUCCAAAGUUUUAGCUGGGCCAAUGAAGCUUUGGCCCUUCUCUAAAAUUGUUGAACAGGGGAUUCCCAAGCUCUAGUCCCAUGUCGACUCCACUCUUCCUGGACUCUACUCUUGCAGCCUUCGUGAGAACUCCACAUAUCCUCAUAAUGAUCUCGGGGGAAUGAUUUGCCCACAUUUCUCGAAUUCUUGCUUCGCUCAUUGAAUUCUAGAAUGAUUGGGCAAUGGUCCAAAGUCCAGUUCACUAGAUUUGUGGCUAUAGAUUCUUGGAAUUUAAUCCCCCAAUCCUUACUACACAGAAAUCGGUAUAAUCUCUCCUCAAUGAAAUGAUCUCCGUAUCUUUUAUUUGACCACGUAUAGAGAUAUCCCUUACUACCCAUAUCCUGCAAAUUGCAGUUUUGCACAACUUCCCUAAACUCGGCAACCAUAUUCAGAUUUCUCUCAUUGCCCCCAUUUUUCUCAUGCAUAUGCAUUAUCUCAUUGAAAUCCCCAAAACAGCACCAAGGAUAGGAGAAUAGACUGGCAACCCUUUUCAUGAGAGUCCAAGUAUUAUGCUUCUGGCUGAACUCGGGAUGGCUGUAGAUCCCUAUGCAUCUCCACCUCAAUCCACUUUCAUUACUCACUAUUGCAUCUAUAUGAUGUGGGCUGUACGAGGUAAUGCUAACAUUAACAUCUGCACUCCAAAGCAAGGCUAGACCUCCCCCCAUGCCCGUUCUAUCUACUGCAAAACAAUUCUCGAGAUUAAAGUCUCUACAAAUAGAUUCAACUUGCCUAGCCAACAUCUUGGUUUCACAAUAGAAAAGAAUUUGAGGCUGGUGUAGGUGGAGAAUUUUUUUGAGAGCUAGGCGCGUUCGAGGUUUCCCCAGACCUCAAACGUUCCAACUUAGGAGUUUCAUGGUUGUCGACGGGCCUGAAAUUCAGCACCCGCCGAUACUUCUUCUUCCAUAGCUGCCACAUUUUCCCCUUCAUCUGAUAUCUCUUCUGUUAUCUUUAGCUGCCGAGCUGUUCUGUUGGAGCUAAUGUGGUUGCAGUAGUCUGAGUUUAUUGCUAAACUUAUGUGGUUUCCCACGUGUGGUUGUUUUGGUGGACUGAGCACUCUUUUUUUUUGUGGGCUGAGCUGAUUGUCAUCACUACUAGGUCUUUUUGCUCCUAUUAACCCAUGAUCCUUCGCUCCUUUUGCUAUGGGAAUUCUUGCCUUAAGUUUCCAUUUUCUUGCUUUGGGCUUCACGUUAGUCUUGCUUGGCCCACUAUCCAUUUCUUCCAUAUCUGAUCUGGCACUCUCUUCAGCCUGCUUCCUUUUAUCUUUUAUUAUUUUCAAUCUUGCUUUAUCCAUAGGAUUUUCGUUUUCCUUCAAAAUCUUUUCUCCCACCUUUGUACUUUCAUAGCUAUAAUGGCUAUCAUUACUUGCCACCCUAUUCUGCACCUCGUCGAUGUCACAGCCCAUACUUUGACUCCCCACUUGCUGAUUUUUCGUCUAUGAAGAGGUCAACAUUAAAUGUGCUUUGUCAUAUUUCAGCAUGUUUCUUGUAUCCUCUAGUUCUGCUCCAUCUUUUAUUUCCUGAUUCGAUUUGUUCAAUUUUGACCUGUCUCGAUCAAUCGGGUUGUUUGAGCUUGGGCUGGUUGUUGCUUGCACAUUUGCUUUGAGAUUGGAUUGCUCUCGAUUGCCUUUCUCUCUACUUCGAUUUUGCUUUAUCCUGUCAGCUUGUGUAACAGUUCUCAUCCAUCCACCAUAAGGCAAGUCCUCCUUUUGUUGCCCUUUGUAUCUCAGGCAUUCCCUGUACUGGUGACCGAUAUGCGCACAACAAAAGCAAAAAUCAAGAAGUUUUUCAUACAAAAUUGGCAUUGGAGUUUUGCCAUCCGCUUGUUGUAGGAACACAAUCUUUUUUAGAGGCUGUGAAAUGUCAAUGGAUAUCCUGACUCUCGCAAACUGCCCAAUACAUUCCCCAGCUUCGUCUGUCUCCACUUCCUUGACUGUACCAAUUUUUUCUCCCAGCUUUUGGAUGACCUCCUUGUUCAUACACAUUAUUGGUAUGUUAUGGAUCUGAACCCAGAAUGUGGUAUGUGUAAAAGAUUGAUUUUUGAUAUCUCCAGUCAAGACUAUCAAUACUUUGUCGAAAUGCCACGACCCUCCCAUGAGCACCCUUUUCUUUUCUUCUUCAUAGGCGAACUUGAACAUGAAAAUGUUAUCCCCCAUGCUUUCUAUUUUAACCUCUUUGACGGAUCUCCAAGCCAUUUGCAUUGCAGCUUUCAAGCCCUCCUUGUUUAUACUUCUUGAUGUUAGCACUUUGCCCACUAAACAAUUCGCAGCUACUUCCUCUCCCUUUAUCUUCAUCCGCCCCAUGAAUGUUACGUUUAAUAUUAUAACGCUGUCAAUGGCAAAGUACGUGAGUGAUACAAAUUAAAAACAAACAAAUCAAACCCUGUGCACUGUCAUCCCUAAUUAUAUUUACCACUUCAUACUCACAGUGAUAAUAACUGUGUAUCACAGUUGACUUUCCAGACGGCUAAAAGUUCCAAGUCCGGAUGCUUGGUUAUUGAAACUUGAUGAAAAGGGCAUGAAAGAAAAUAAGAAAUUAAAUAAUACAGGAGGUAUUAAUCAUAACAUCUCUAGUUAAUGAAAAUUGAUGAACGGUAAUCCAAUAUUUCUGCAGACAUGAGCCGUAAUUAUGAUACCAUUAAGAAUGAAGCAGAAGAGUUUCCCCAAAAAAGUUAAAACGCGGCACUUGGAUUUAAAGAAUUAUCAUAUCACAGUACCGGGACAAAAAAAGGUUAAUGCAACAACAUACAUCAAGUUAAUUCCAUAAUCUAUCGCCAAAGAAAGACAAACACAAGCUUAUAAGAUUAAAACUUUGGAAAACAUUAGAGUCGGACAAAAUUGUGCAAUCUUCAGAGUUUGGAGCCUAGUUCAUCCAGGAAAGCAAAAGAAAUAAUAAUAAUAAUAAUAAUAAUAGUGGUUUGAUCUCAAAAGGUGACAUCAAGGUGGUAACUUUGAGGUAUUGGAAGCUAAAACGUCUUCAACUUUGUCCUGAUUUUGAAGUCCCUUAACCCAUCCGCCAUCAAUGGAUUGAAUGCUUCCAUUCAACCCAUCAUCCACAAAAUCACCAACCCGUUUCACCUUCAUCUCCUUCGGCUUAACAGGGUACUUCCCAUAGAAGCAAGCAUAACAAAAAUUCUGAGAAUCAUCGCCUGACAACUUGUUCAGGCUGUCAAUUGGCAGAAAAGCAAGCGAGUCACACCCAAUAAACUCCCUGAUUUCCUCGACGCUCAUCCUGUUGGAAAUCAACUCCUCACUACUUGGGGUGUCCACUCCAUAGUAACAACUUAACAAGAAGCUAUGAUUGGUGGGCUUGCAAUUCUCAUGUGAACCUCUUUAGCUCCAGCCUCCUUAAGCAACCGAACAAUUUUCGAUGAAGUUGUUCCUCUCACUAUUGAAUCAUCCACAACCACAACUCUCUUUCCCUCCAACACUCCCCUUACAGGAGAGAGCUUAAGCUUGACACCAAAGUCCCUAAUUUUCUGGGACGGCUCAAUGAAAGUUCUCCCAACAUAGUGUGACCUUAUCAACCCUUGUUGAAAUGGUACCCCGGCUUUCGCAGCGUACCCAAGUGCAGCCACCACUCCAGAAUCUGGUACUGCAAUCACAGCAUCACACUCAACAGGAGCCUCGGUAGCAAGUACUUCCCCAAAAUGAUACCUCAACUCAUAAACAGACCUACCAAAUACAACAGAAUUGGGCAAAGCAAAAUAAAUAUGCUCAAAGAUGCACUGGUUAGGUUCAGGGUGAGGCAUCAAACAAAGUGAUUGAACCCCAUCUUUAUCCACCAUCAAAACUUGGAUAUACCUCUCUCUCGUAUGUGGCCUCAAUCAAAUAGUGCACAAGUCUCUGUCGCAAAAACCAGAGCACCAUUACUCCUCCUACCCAUCACCAACGGCACAAACCCAUACGGGUCACGAACCGCAACAAGCUUAUCCUCAGUAACAAACACCAUUGAAUAAUUAUAUUAUUAUUAUUAUUGUUUUUAAAAAUAUCAUUUAUUUAUUUUUUAAAAUUUUUUUAAAGGUAAAGAAGUGGGUAAAGAUCAAAUUCAAUUUUUAUUCCUUACCCCCUAAGAUUUGAACUUAAGUGACCAAAUGUAUAAUAUUAAGCAUCUCAAAUUUCAUUUCUAAUGAUAUACAAUUUAUUAAGUGAUUGUUAAUCUUUACAAGAUUCGAGUGAAUUAAUUAUAUUAUUUCACUAUUAAUAAUAUGAGUAUCAUAUUAUUUGGAAUAACUUUUGAAUAAAAACAUUGUGAUGGAUGAAAUAUUCUUUUGAGAAUUUAUUGACUUAUCUCAUUUAUGAUUUAUUGUUGCAUUUAAGUGAUAUUGCAAAUAAUCUCAGAUAAUUUCAAGCCAUAUGUCAUUAUUGGGAUAAAAAUAAAGUAAAAUGGUUAAAACUAUUUUUAUGUAAUUUAUAAAAAUUAAUGAAGCAACUACAAAAUUUUUUAAACGAAAAACAAUUGAAAUGUGUGUGGAAAAAGAAGAAAAAAAAUAAGGCAUUUAAAUAUCUUCUUAAAAAAUACGAUUGAGUAAAAUCAUUUUAACAGAAUGCUCUUCCAAAUACAAUUCCACAUUUUUUUUAUUGCAGUGGGAUAUUCCAAAAUUGGCACAACUCAUUAAGAAUUCGGCAACUCAAAUUUUAUUUAUCACUCUAUGCAUUUGACAAAUUAAAAAGAAAAAAAAAAUUCAUAUAUCUUCUGUUCAAAAGAAACCUUGGUAAAUAUUGUAAAACAAAUUACCAUUUUUUUUAAUUUAUGCCAUUAUAUCGUCGCUAUUUUCUCGCCCACUUUCUUAAAAUAGAAUCAAUAUUCAUUGAUGGGUUGGGUUCCAGAGUAAGCACCAAUUCUGCAAAAUGGUUUUAUAGUAGAAAAAGCACUUGUAAGACAUUCAGAACACAUUUUUCAAUUUUGUCUUUUGAAAAUGAGUCUUGAGUUCCACAAGCCAAGAAGAAUGGCUAAAAAAUGUAUGGUAUCAAAGAAAGAGAAACACCCACACACACAGAGAUUAAUGGGGAGAUAUAUGAUUGUGUAAUUUGCAUAUAUAUCCCCAUUAAUUGUUGAUAGUCCAAUGGGUCUAUGCAAAAGGAAAAAAUUGGCUGUCCUUAAAGACAAAAUUGACUGUCACAUGAAAAUAAAAAAAUUUGUUACCACGCAACGAAAAUAAAGAUUUCAAGAACAACUUUAUGGUCCCCUUUCUGUCCAAACAUAUGCGAUAGCAAUUAGUGUAAACGACACUUGAAAUAUAUAUAGUAGAUCCUCACGCAAUUGAUAAAUAUUUAUAGUAGGAUGGAGUGAUAAAUAGUUUCACAAAAUUAUUGGAAUUAACUAUUGAAUACAUGAGAUCUAUCUCAUUAAGGAUAAAAGAUUUGAGUGCUACUUCAAAAGCAUGACGUUGCUGGCAACAAAUUUAACACAAAAGUUUAAUUAAUUAUCUUAGUUGAGACGAUAAAAUCUUGGAUUAAGAACAAAAGGUUUGAGGUUCGAACCUUCUCAUUCAAGAAAAUCAAAAUAUUACAUCUUCCAGCACAUAUCAAACAUUUUUUCAAAGGCAGACUGACAAUUCAGGGUAAAAAAAACAAAAAAACAAAAGGAAUAUAUGCUAUUGAAGACAAGUAUACCUUGGACAUGAAGUCUGAGUCCAGAACAAGAAGCAAUUAGCUGAUCUUUCAAUUUCCAAAACCCAACAAAAUCUUUGUCAAAAUAUACGAUCUAGUCCCAUAUUAAGCACAUUCAUAGCCGUAUCACCAGGUUCAAAAUAUUUUCCCCAAAAAGAGAUAGAGAUUCCAUUGAAGUUGAGUUGUGACUGUCCCAACGUUUGUAAUUAUAUGUUUCAGGAUACCAUGCCUAUGAAUCAUUUUUUUUUUCCAUGUUUCGAAGUCUAUCAAAUGAAAAUGUAAUUAUAUGGUUCAGGAUACCAAUAUGCCAGAGCUGCAAAGGUUGACUUCUACUAUCCUAUCAAUGUCUAUACUUUCUAUUGAAUUUCCUUGUUUGUUUUUUUAAAUUGCGAGAUUUAUUUUUAGAAAUCUUUGACACAUUUUAUGAAAGAUACCAUAAAACCAAAUACAACCAUUUUGAUUCAGCAACAACUUUUUUUUUUCCUUUUAAAAAAAGGAAGCCAUAUAAAUGAUGCUUUAAACAUUAUUUGCAGCAAGGAACAAUUAUUUCAUGCUUUCAGGUAUUAGAAACUUCCCAAAAAUGCUAGCAAGAAAAUGAAAUGGAACUUUACCUAGUCACAGAAUAUGUAUUGCUGUUAGCCCAAUUGUUAUGAAGUGGCUUCUGCAUCAGAAGAUUCCAGCUCCCACCAAGCAUUGUUAUCUCUCUUCUGAAUACAAUCUGCAUCCCUGGGCAUGAGUUAUAUCAUUAAUGUCUGCAUCCUCACUUACAUCAUCCCAAUCAAGUGUUUUUUCUCCAUAUCUGGAUUAUAAGUCCACUCUAAUCUCUUCAAAACAUCCUAGUCCUUCCAUCAUACGACUUCCUUCCUAAUUACUUUCCCAUUAAUAAAUCGCUCCAAGAAAAAAAAAGCAUUAACAAUUCUCUUCAACGCCCCAUCACUCAUAUCCCCUACAACAAACAUCUUUAGACACCUCAAUGUUGCCUCUUGAAAGACCUCCACAAAAUCCGAAUCAUCUGACACAACCAUCAAACACCUAAACCUUCUUUAGUCCACCAUAUCCACCAUAUAAUUCCUUAACUAAACAUCGGCAUCUUGUGGCUUAUCUAACACCUUCCUGACCCAAAACCAUGCUCUUUUCAACUAAUCUGCAAAACCAUAACCCACUUUUGGAGUCAAAAUUGCGCUUGCAGCCAUUUUAUAUUUUUCCAUCUUUAUUGAAUAGUUGCCAACCAAAAGCACUCUCACCUUCCCUCUAGUUGAUUCUAUUUGAUUCGACCUUUUCUUUUGUUCACCCUCAUGAAUUUGCCUAAAAUGAUUAAUAAGUUUGUCAUUAUUAUAAAAUCUCCUUCCACAAUCACCAAUACAUACGGCUUAGCAGGCCUAAUUACACCCUUGAUUUAUAAUUGGAUAAACAAUUCUUUUUCUUUCUUUGCUCUCUUACAACUUGAGGCACAUAACUAAACGUGUGGCUAUUAGCAUUUGCCACCAUGUAUUUAACAACCCCAAAUGAAGAUAUUAAUUUUUUUAGUUUAAUUGCUGCUUCAAAAUGGGGUACUGCAUUUGGAUUUUGUUAUUCAAAUUCCAAAAUGUUCCCACAUUGUGUUGGACAGUUUUUGGUUCUAAAGUUUAUGACUGGUUUUGCCAAUCAGGCUUCAAAUGAGAACUUCUAAACAAUAAGACAAAUAGGUUUUGAGUUUCUAAUCUUAUAAACUUUGUUCUAUUGUAUAAGUUAUGAAAUCGCUGAAACAUCACUACAGCUACAGGUCUUUAUGUGUCAAUGAACUGCAGAAGCUGAUGAUCUACUUGUAGUAGACUCCUAUUGCCCCUGCCAUUCUAGGAAGACAAACAAGUUCAGGAACUACAUCUGGACCAAACUCGUAAUAUUGCCACUGCUUUGUGCCAAUCUGAGACGGAAAGAAGAUUGAAGUUCCUAAAUAAGGCACAUCAUGAUUUAAUAGAAGUACCAUUAUAAGGAAAAAAUGAUUUCAGGAAAGCACUAAAAUAUGACAUAAUCUCCCCCUAAUGGUCUAAAGUAGUCAAGAAAUUAUAUCAACCAAGCAAAAACACAUAAACUAGUUGAGAUACAAAGUUAUCAUAAAAGUCAAUUUUGAUCACAAAUCCAUUAAAAUUAAAAGACAUCAGAAAGUUAUAGAACAUUAUAAUUUAGGACUUAGCUAAGUUGCAAAUUCUGUAAUUAACAGCUGAGUCCACAUUGGCCUUGCAUCAGCUGAGUUUGGGUUGCUUUUCCUCUCUCCUGCAACGCGUGAAAGCGUCCCAUUUGCUGUGUUAUAUACAGAGUCGGUACCGUAGCAAGCUCCUAUAAUUUAAGUUUGAUUACUGUAGACAAUAGUCUGCCUCUGUUCAAAAGCUAUGCUGCAAGAUAUAACGUCUUUGCAAUGUUGUACUUUCUAAAAGUAAUAAGAAAUGAAACCAAGGGGUAAACCGAACACCAAAAGAAAUUUAGUCGGCCAACCAUAUUAUGUUCCCACACAGUCCACUAAUUAAGUUAAUAAUUAAAGGGAAUUAAAAUCUAAGAAAUCUCAUCUUCAAGCAGAAUACAAACACACCAGGAUUGAAAAUCACAAAAUCAUAAAAAGAAGCUGACUUGAAAAGCUCAAAUAUACGUUCAUCAGCCUCUCAACUUAUAUCUAAGAACAAAUGCCUGCAGCCUGUGAAGACAUAGAUAAUUGAAGCUGAUGAGGCAUAUUUAACAGAUGAUAAUCAAAACUCAUGUGAUUAAAAUUAUAAUUCAAUAAUGGAUCACAUAAAACAACAAGUAACUAGUUGUAUAUAUACCAAACAACUUUCUGAAGUUAAGGCGUAAAACAAAAACGUAGAACAAAUUAAUUAAAUAUACUAGCACCAAUACUCUUAUUAUUAUCCACGUAGAAAAUAACAAUGUAUCAAACAAGGAAAAUGAAAUAUUGUUAAUAACUCAAAAACCACUAGUGUCAAGAACUAGACUAAUAAGUGAAACCCAUAAUCAGACACAACCACAUCAAAAUCUCUGAAAAUUGAGGUCUAAACAUUGAAAACAAUUAGACAUAUAUAACAGUCAAUCGAAACAAAGCCUCAAAAUAAUAAUAAACUACAAUAAGACAGAACCUAAAUUGUAAACACACGCAUACCCAGUAACAGUAAUCAAGUAACAAGUCAAAACCAGAAUCAAACGUAGAAUUUUGAAAUCCAUACGAACUCUAACGUAUUAGAAUGAAAGAAUAAGGAUGAUCAAUAAACUAGACUCAAACAAAAACAUGCCCAGUUAAAAAAUGAAGGUAAAUAAAUAAAAAUGGUAUAAAACUGCGAAAAAAAUUAAUGAAAUGAAGAGAAAAUCACAGGAAUCCUAUGAAGAGGAAGGUAAAGAAACCUUCCAGAGCCGAGAAGAUGCCUUUUUGGUUGACGUUUGUGCCUAUACAUAUAUAUAUAUAUUUUUUAAUUUUGAAGAAAGCAUUGGUUAACAGAAAGGGAUGGCAACGUGGCAGAUAUAUAUUAGAUUUAUUCUACUCCAGAUUCGUAUCCAUAAUAAAAAUUAAAAUUCGUAUAUGCUCUAUAUUUGUCAUAAAUUUAUAUUUUUCGUUCCAUAUUCAGAUCUAAAAAAUAAAUAAAUAUCUAUAACUGCUCUAAAUCUGGAAAAAAAAAUUAAAAUCCAAAUAUACUUUAAAUUCAUCAUGAAUUCUAAAACUUAGUAAUAAAAAAGUAAUAAUUUUUUAGAAUGAAAAUUGAAGACUAAAAUGUAUUGAUAACAAUAAAUUAUAUAUUUUUUCUCAAAAAUAUAAUAAAUAUUGUAGCUUAUACUUUUACACUAAAACAACAAAUAAGAAAGAUAAUAAAAUAUUUUUCAAAAGUAAUUGCAGGAGUAAGAUCAAUAUAAUAUUAUACUGUCUCUUUUAUCAUUUUAAUAUCCAUGACACACCUACCCUUAUUUCUACAACAUUAGAUAAUGACAUAUAAAUUAAAUAUGAUUUAUAUUCAGUGCUUUUUAUUUUUAUUAUGACCAUAUUUAACUAAAUAUAUGAAUAAUUAUAUUCAUUAAAAAUUAUUUGGCCAAUAUAAUGAAAUAAAUUGUCAGGUUGUAUUACUUGGCUUGCAAUUUGAAUAUUGCAUGUACAUGCUUUGGGGCUGGCUGAUCUUUAAAUUUACAAAACUAAUCUUUAAGUUUUAAGAGUUUAAAUACAUGGUAAAUAUUACUAAUAUACUAUGAAUAAAAUUUAUUAUCAUUAUAAUUCCACAAUUUUUAAGAAACUUUUAAAAUAAAAUAAAAUUAAAAGAUUGGUGGAUAUGGAUAUGGAUUUAGAUAUUAUGAUAGAUCCAGACCUGCUCCAGAUCUGUCUUAGAUCCGCACAUCAAUAUCCAAAUAUGAUCUAAAUUCAUUUUAAGCUGACCCAAAUCCGAUCCGAUUGGAUUUAGAUCACGUGGAUCUUGAGUCAGAUCCAAUCAUUGCCAUUAGGGAUGGCAAUUUGCGGGCCUGGGCCGGGCUUUUUAAAGCUCAGGCCCAAGCCCACAUCAGUUAAACGAUGUCCAGGCCCUUCAAAAGCCCGCCCAACCGAACUCGGGUCAGGCCUAAGCGGGCCUAGGCUAGGCUCGGGCUUUUAAAAUUAAUUAUAAAAUAUUUUUUAAAUUAAGAAAAUUAUUUAAAUUAAAGAUAAUAAUAUAAUAUAUAAAUAGAAUAAUAGUCAAAUACAUUAAAUAUUAGCAAUACAACCUAAUAAAAUAACAAAUACUAAUAUAAAAAAUUAAAGUAAUUUAAUAUUUUGAUUUUUUUCUUUUUUAUUUAAAUUAAAUUUAUUUUUUAUUCAUAAAUUUAGAAAGCCCUUGCUUUUUUGCUAAGCCCUUGUCUAGGCCCAACAUAUGUGGGCUUUGUAAUUUUUAGGCUCAUAUCCAAGCCCACCCCCUUGCGGGCCGGGUGUUAGGCCCGCGGGCCUGGGCUGGGCUUGACCGGGCCUGGGCCGGCCCGGGCUUUUUUGCCAAAUAUGAUCUAAAUUCAUUUUAAGCUGACCCAAAUAUGAUCCGAUUGGAUUUAGAUCACGUGGAUCUUGAGUCAGAUCCAAUCCAUUGCCAUCCCUAUUAACAGAACGAAAUAUUAAUAAUAGAUGUUGGCAAUUUCAACAAGGACAAUCUUGGAUUCAAAUGUACCCCUAUGAUAAAGAAAAAGCCAGCUUGGCUAAAUUUUGAGCACCACAUUACAAGAUCUAGGUGUAUGCUUAACUAUGCAAAAUGAAACAUCUAUUAAUUGUAAGUCCCUUGACCUCUGUAACCAGCCAACCGGUCUCUUUCCUACUAGACAACCUUCCAUCGACCAGAUUAAUAAUAUUUACUAAAUCAUGUUCUAUAGUUAAUGAAGUUGGACCAAGGCAAUUGUUAGCUUAAUGUCACAGGCCGCUCAAAUUUGCCGUAAUUGGAGGAUAAUUAUGUGCACAUGAGUUUGCUUAGCAAAAGUCCGCCUCGACGUGGAGUGCGCUUAAAAGCGGGAUGCACUUAGAAGUGGGAUGCGCUUAGCAAAUCAUCCAAGCCCAACCCAAGAUCUAGAACUCUCUGCAAAUUAUAAAUAAGUUAAAAGUUUUUAUAUUUCUCCACGUAGGUCCCUAGGAUAUUUAUGGAAGUUGCUAGGAAGUUUCCUCCCCUAAAAUGUUAACAUUUUGGUGGACGGUUAAUAUAAGUUACAAACUUAAAAUAGAAAAUCAAAUAAAUUCAAAUUUUCAAACUAUUUAUGGCAAAUUUAGGACAUAUGGUUAAUAAUUUUCCCAUGUCUUUUUACAUUGGUUGGUAUAAGUUACAAACUUAAAAUAGAAAAUCAAAUAAAUUUAUAUUUUCAAACUAUUUAGGGCAAACUUAGGGUAUAUGGUUAAUAAUUUUCCUUUAUUUUUUUUUACGUUAAAUUGAGUUUCAAAGGUAAAAUGGUCAAUUUAUUAUAAAUCUGUUAAUUUUUUAGUGGAAGCAAAUGAUAUAAUGGACGAAUGAUAUAAAUUGUAAAAUUAAGUUGCAUGAAUGAUACAACUUUAAAGUAUUGUAGUAAUCUUAAUAAUAGAACAAUUUAAGGGUGGAUUGGCAAUAAUUUAAACUUUAAUGAAGCAACUAAAAAAAAUUUUUAACAAAAGAAAAAUAAUUGAAAUGCUUUAAGAAAAAUAAAGGAAAUUAAAUAUCUUUAUAAAAACAUAAUUGAGUAAAAUCAUUUUACAAAAUGCUCUUUCAAAUGCACAUUCCACAAGUCAGGGAGAACGGGUGGCUAACAAAAAUCUCACUUUUUAUGAGUUUAUAAAAUCUCACUUUUGCAGAAUUCAAAAAUAACAAAUACUAAUCACACAAAAAAUAAAAAUUAUUGCUGUCACGACAUUACGCACUUUCUUCGUUGUCUAGAAAGGUAGAACAUUUCGAUGUUCCUCAAUACAAAAUGCGUGCUACUACUAAAUUGGCCCAAUUAAUGCCCAUCGAAAAGGCCAUGAAUUUAGCCAACAAUUUUGUCAAAAUUUCAGCAAUUGAAGAAAUAAUGAUCACAAACAGAACAGUUGAAUUUUGAAGUUUGAAAAAAUCUCCAGAUACGUACAACAAAGUCUUGAAGCUCUGGUCUUUACAAUUUGAGCACAGAAUAAAUAUUAACUACCUGCCAUUUAUAAUUUGUAUUAACUCUGUACCAAAACGUUAAUCGUCAUUCAUAAUUAAUGACGUGACAAUGAUAAUUUAAACAUUUGAUAUGCUUAAUAAAAAAUAAAAUAAUAACUUUAAAUAUAAAAAUUAAAAGAUAUUUUUAUAAUCAAUUCAAUUAAAUACACUUAAAAACUCACAUUAAUCCACAAAAUGCAUACAAAUGUACAGUACCAGAGAAUGAGAAACACACAUUUAUAGGCAAUCCAUUUGAGUUUAUGAAAUCUCAGUUCCCAAAAUCCAAAAAUAUUCAAUACACUCACAAACUUAAAAAAUAAAAAUGAUUGCUGUCAAGACACUUUUUAGCUGUCUAAAAAGCUAAACAUUUGAAGUUGUUUGAUACAAAAUGCAUGCUAAAUUGGCACAAUAAAUCCCCAUCGAAAGGUUAACAAUUGAAGGACAAUGAACACAAACGUAAUCUUUAGAUACAUACAACCAAUCCUUCAAACUUUAGUCUUCACAAUUUGAGCACGCCAUAACCACCCGCAAACAAGUUUUGGUAGCUUCUUGCGCGAACUGAACCCGCUGAAAUGUUUCUCUUAUUUUGUUAUUUUUUUUCUUUUUUUUUCUUUUUAGUCAUUUAUGUUCGCUGGCAUCUUCGUUGGCGUCUCUAUCUUCGCUGGCAUCUGCCUCGCCUGUAGUUUCAGUGCUAAUAUCCAACCAAUAAAAUGGGCAUUAAAUAUGAAUGAUGAAUAAAAUAAAAUAAAACAGAGAAAAUAAUGACAAGAAGAAAAACAAACUUUAAAAAAAAUUAUUAAAAGGGAAAUUUUGAGUUUAGCAUAGAUCAAACAGGCAUCACAAACUAAAACAAGAACCAACUAUAAAUAGAGUCAAUUAAUUGAAGUUCUCAAGAGCUUACCUCUGCUCCGGAAUUCUCGGAAUCAUCCACAUAUCUCCUUUUGAAUUUGCACCAAGCUUGGGACAAUUAUAAACGUAUGCAGAUGGAAAUCGAUUUUGAAAAGAGCUGUGGAAAAAGGGAUGGCGAAUGUUGCGAUAUGGAAAAUUUAGCAGUUCAAACUCCCGAAGUUGCUUCAUAACAAUUUGAUUGCAAUCCACGACGUCUGCUCCAUUUUUAUGCCAGAAUAUUGCUUCUAAUUCAUCAUUUCGUUCUAUCCGUAAGAAAUAUAGUUUUUGAAGACUUGGAGCUACGCCGAUAUGAAAUAGAUGCUUUAGUUUGGGGCAACCACAGACAGUGAUGCUUGUGAGUUUUGGGAAACAUACAGGUUGGAGAUGAUCCUCAUCCUCAUCCUCAUCAAUGAUUUGCUCUAAUUCGAAGCAGUUAUCAAUAACCAGCCCCUGCAAUUGCAACAGAUUUCGAGCAAAUGUUGAUGUGAAGAGACGCCUGAGCAUAGUGCACCCGUCCACUCUUAAAUGGGUAAGAUUUUGGAGGCUAAAAUUAUGCGUGGGACCUUCAUGAUAUAAUAAUACUUGCAGUUCUCGAAGGUUUUCCAACUGCACCUCCUUCAAACAUGGGAAUAAUUUGUUUUCUUGUCCCUUAGCGAUAAUAGCUUCCAAUUGAAAUACCACAUGUACUCCAAGUUGGCUAAUACCCAAUUCUUCCAAAUUUUUUAAGCCGUGCUUCAACAGUGCUGGAAUCGUGUCACUCAAAUGGGAACAAUUGUCCACAUAUAGAAUUUUUAAGUUCUGAGACAAAUAAAUAAAUAACUUGAUGCAAUUAAAAUCUAUUAGCAAGCUAGGAUUAUCACAUGAUAAGUGAUGAACACUGCAAAAAACAAAAACAGAAAACAAAAUCCAAACAAAAAUAUCAUAAUACAUAUGUAAACUAAUAAAAUAAUUAAAAAGUAAUGGAUUUAAAAAAAAAUUAGUUAAAAGAGAUCAUGUGAAGUGAUAUAAAUGUGACAUUAGAUUGUUUUAGAAAAAAUAUUAUUCUAUUAAUUUAUAUGGUUUGAUCAACUAUUUAAUUGAAUUUGAUUAAUAUUAUAUACACUUCAGAAGUAUUUGAAGAAUGGUUUUAGCCUUAUAAUAAAGAAAAUUCCCUAAGAUAUCUGAGCAUUAUUAUUAUCAUUACCACAUUCACGACCACCAUCAUCAUCUCCAUAGGAUCAAAAAAUUAAUGGCUGAUCAUAAAAUUUAUUGUUAAAAUAUCCUUUUGAGUAAAAUUGAAUGAAAAGAAAAAAUAUGAACCCAAACAGACAUACCUCUUUGAGAUACUGCAAAUUGGCUUCAAGUUCAUUACUGUUGAUGGUCAAGUUGGGACAGCAAUCAAGCUGUAACUCUUCCAAUGCUGCCCAAAUUGAACAAUAAUUCUCUGAACAGAACUUGGUGAGUUCUGGGAGAUCUUCAAGUUCUAAUUUUCUCAACAAAGGGAGGGCGAGCAUCGUAUUUCCAUCUCCGACACUUAUUUCCCCUUCAUUAUGAUCAAACUUUGCUUCGACAAUACAUUCCAGUCUCUCGCAUUCCCUUACAUGGAGACUUUUAAGCUGCUCCAAACUUCGAGCUUGUGACAACGUGAAGAUAUAUGUCAACUUGUUGCACCUAACCACAUUCAAUUCUGUAAGAGUUUGGAGACUGAUCACAUGUUGGGCGGGCGCCUUCCAUAUCCACUUCAGUUCUGGUAAGUUCCACAUAGAUAACUCUGCUAAUCUUGAGAGACUCUUUCCAUGCGGCGACUUAGAGGCUUCCAUUAUGCAUUCUAAAUCUUCGCAAUCGCCGACAUCAAGACAAGUCAACUCAUUUAAGCCCCUUUCAUCUAUGCUUGGCACAAUAUUGUAACAACCUAUAAUCCAUCUUAUAUAAAGAAUUUCCAGUUCUUGAUACAAAGCCGAAAAAAUACCGAGCGAGGUCACUUCAGGAGGGUCAUUCUCAAUGAUUAAGCUCUUUCUCUGACUACCAUAUUCCAUUUUAUAAAAAACUUCUUCACCUUUACAGAUGACGUACCUUUGCAAUUUCGGGAAUGUAAAGUCUUUUGGAAGAUAUACAACAGAUCCGUCGGCUUGGGAGUUCAACUCAGCAAGCCUAGCAUUACUUUCUUCUGAACUCAUCCCUUCAACCUCCCAAUUUUUUAUCCGACCAUAAAAUUCUUCUAAUUUUUUUAUCGUAAUGGGAGAAACAGAACUAGUAUCAAUAUGUAGAAGUUUCAAUCUACCAAGUUCAUCCGACAAUUCUUCAGGAAUUUCAAUGGGAGACGACCGGAGAUAAAGAAGUUCAAGUCUCUUCAACUUUCCAAGAAAAAACGCGUCACUCAAAUCACACAAAAUCAACUGCAGAACUCGGAGGUUAUUGGCUAGGAAUCGAAGUGAUUUUAGUGAAAGGACUCCAUUUAUUAUAGUAACAACUUUCAAUGCUGGCAUCCCUUCAAAAAAAUUUUCUGGAACUUGCAAUUUGUAGUCACAUAGAGUGUUGUCCAGUCGCAAAAUAUGAAGGUUAGGGCAUACCAAACGACUAGGAAGCUCUUCUUCUUUAUUUCCCAUUACAGAGAUUCCUCUAUAUUGCUCCGGGCCUUCUUCCAUUACCCGUUCUGCCAAUCCAAUGCCAACUUUACUAAAAAAUUUCUUCUCCACUAGUACUUCUGAGCCUAUCCAUAUGGCUACAUCACGAACUAUGUCAUGCAUUUUCACAGAUCUGUCAUUACCAGUGUCUAACAGUAGUGAAGCAGCUUUGAGUCCGUCAAUUGUUCCAAGCAGUAGGCUUCUGGUGUUCUCUAUUGACUCAGCUUGAUACCAAGUCAACCCUACUGCAUAUCCAACCAAAUCCUCCAAAUUAAUCUCAUAAUCUUCUGGAAAUAGCGAACACAACAAGAAGCAUAACUUGGAAUUGUCAUCAUUCAAUUCGUCGUAACUAAAUUUGAGACAACCGUAAACGUCUAAGUUCUCCUCAUCAAUACCUUCUAUUGCAUAGAGUUUUGCAGCCUUUAGGUUAUGUAGAGCUAGGUUCCAUUCAUUAAAUCUUUUUCCUCUUAGUGCACUUCCAACAGCUUCAAUAGCUAAAGGCAGCCCCUUACAUUCUCCAGCAACUUCUUUGGAAACAUCAUUCAAGGUGGAGUCAUUUACAUUAAUUUUGGCAUUUUUUCGCAGUAAAGCCAAUCCUUCUUCUGGCGUUAGUGUACUAAGUGGAAUCUGUGUGUCACAACCCAAAGAAUCACAAACUGACUUUUUGCGAGUGGUUAGAAGGAUUUUGCAACAAUUAUCUCUACCACCGACGGUAAUACCUAAUUUUUUCUCCGAGUCGAGUGGUUUCCAAACAUCAUCAAGGAUUACGAGGAUUUUGCUGCUUUUACUCUCAGAAAACAUCAAGCGCAAUCGGUCUGCUCUCUCUUUUUCAUCUUUCUCAUUUAGUGCCCAGCCUAACGACUUUGCCAACUCACCUUGAACCUUUAUUAUAUCUAGAUCCUGAGACAUAGUGGCUAUCCCCACCUUAUCGAAAAGCUUUUGUUGCCGAAGUUGAUUGCCCACAUAUUUUGCCAGGGUUGUCUUUCCUACACCACCGAGACCAUGCAAUCCCACCAUCUUUGUGCUCUCUUUUUUCAGUGCGUCAAUGAUCUGAUUGCAAGCGGAUUCUGUGGUCUUGAAAAUAGAAGUAAAAUGCCUUGGCAAACUUAAUUCUCUUUCUAAUGGUAGAGGUUUAGGAGAGGCAACUGUGUUGAAUUGGCUGCAGCCUUGUAGCAGAUCGGACAACUUGCUAGUCUUCUCUGAUGCUUUUCUGCCCAGACGAUAUCGGCAACACCAAUUAGGACACAAUCCAUGAAGACUACUAUCCUUUUCAUCUAUCUCUGCUUUCAACUUCCAAACAUCGUCCAAUUCUUCGACUCCAUUAUUCAGCCACUCCAUUACAUUUUCAUCGACUACUAUGUCGGGGCAUUUUCGCAGUUCAUCGUCUAUUCUUGUUUUGAUGCCAUCUCGUGCCUUCUUCAACUUAGUUUCUUUAUCCUCAAGUUCUUUAACAAUGCUGUUGAAACAGAACAUAUAGCGAGCUUGGUCAAUGGCUGCAUUCACCAAUAAUUCUUCAACCUUUGAUUUUAAAGCUUCCAUGCUAUUUAUCUGCAAAUAACGAAGUUGAUCUCAGCACACUAUUAGCGAAACAACAAGGCUUGAUCACCAGACAAAAUGAGAACGUUUAAUUACCUCUUUCUGCACUGUGAAUGCACGUCUAUUAACACCAGCUUUGACCAAUAAGAGCAAAAUGCAGAGGUGGGGCCUUAAGAGUUUCGGUGGCCUUUAGCUGCAAAACGGCAGAUGACAAAUAAGGUGAACGUUCCUAGCAAACGUGAUUUACGGUGAAUUAUAUUCAAAUUAGAUUAUUUUAAAAGUUGGUAAAUUAUUUAUCACUCUAUCUUAAUGAUACCUUAUUUGGGAUGAUAAAGAUUGGGGUAAAUUCCCUUUUAUUCUCACAUGUUUAUAGUAUUUAUAUUUUUAUAAAUUACCUAAAACAUCCAUGUAACUUACUUUUAUAGCUAUUGAACAUAUCAUUUCAAAUAUAAAAUACUAUUUCUGUCUAAUAUAAAUUAAAAAUCAAACAAAUCUAUCAUGCAAUAAAUGAAAAGUAAAGAAUAUUAAUUAGGUUUUAAUGGAAACAAAUAUAAAACAUAGAGGUUUUGAGUAACUUUUGUAUUUUUUUUAAUGUUCAAUUUAGAAUUGAAUAAUUUGCAUAAUGAAAUUUUGAGGUUUCUAUAAUUUAUAUGAAGAUAAACUGCGAAAUAAGUUUAUAUGCCGAAAUUAAAAUAGUUAUAUAUUAGCAAUCAUAUAAUAAUAAAAAAUUUUAAUAAAAUUUAUUUAAAAAUUGGCCAAUUGUGUUUCAUGAGUAAAACAGAGAGCAUAAUGGACUUAUGUUGGGUCUUGGGAUUGAAAGACUAAGGGUAAGGGGCCGGGAGGUAGGACGGUAGGAAAAUUAAUUUUUGUUAUUUUUAAAGUAUGGUCAACAUUAGUGACUUGGAGGUGAUUGCCGUUAAUCAAUUACCUUUAACUUAAGAAUUAAUACAAAUAAAUGGCAAAAAUAAUUUAAUGAAAAUUAAUUUAAUAAAAAAUUGCACUAAAAACUUAGAACUCAAAUUCUCGAUCAUUUUAUCCGUACGUUUUAAUCCGACGCUCAGAAUUGGCAUAAAACAAACUAAUAUAGCCAUUGGAAAUAAAACAAACAUCAAAUCAAGAGCCUAUGAAACAAUAUUAUCUCGUACCUUCUUCCUUAUAGAUCCUCAAUUGCUGUUGAAAGCUGCAUAUGACAAUAUAAAUAAACAUGAGAUCAAAACAUCAUAGGAUAUAUCUAGCCAAUUAACAUCAUAUAUAACUCCUUGUUCUCAGUCAAAUCUUUCAUUCUUAGAUUAAAAAAAAAAUGAAAUAAUAACUGUUAAGUGAUAUAGGAAGCAAAAGUAACACACCGAAAUGAAAGCAGCUAGUUCACAGAUGACAGAUGCGGUGACUUCAAGAGCAUGAAAAAUGAUUAAACUUUGGUAGAAGGGUCUGAGCCGUGUUUCACAAGUUGCUAUUGACUUCGUGGCUUCGCUUUUAUUUAUUAUUAUUAUUUUUUUAAAUUCUAUAUCAGUGAGAAUUGAAAUGUGGAAAGUGAAAUGAUACACAUGCCUUAUCAUCUAUCAUGAGGGGUGAUUUGGUAAAACCGAUUUAAAAUAAAAAAAGUUUAAAAAAAUUUAAAAAGAUGCUUUGUGUCUGACUGCUUGUAUUUGGGGUAUUUUUCGGGUUGUUGAGACUUGAGAGUGAGUUUAAUUAAAUAUAAGAUUUUCAUUUUUCUUAUUAUAUUUUUCUCUUUAGAAUGAAUUUAAAUCUCAUUCUUAUUAAAUUCAUUUUUUUAAAUGAAAAUAGAUUUCUCUCCACACAUUUGAGAUAUAUUUUAAAAUUAAUGUUAAGCAUAUCUCUAAAUUAUAUUAUAAAUAUUUUUAUUUAAAAUCUCAACAGAUUUCAUAACACACAGAGAGAAAUACAUAUAUAUGUUGUAAUGUUUUAAUGAUGGAUCUCUAAAGUUAUCAAGUUAAAAAAUAAAUAAAUAAAUAAAAAAUACACACUUCAACUUAUUAUAUGAUAAAAUAUAGUAUAUUAAAGUGAGUAUUUUUUGUGUGAAAUAAAAUUAAAGUGAGUACUAUUACCACCUCACAUCUUAUAAAUUCUAGAAAAUAAUCAAGGCUUGACAUACUUUUAUUUAUGCAAAAGCAUAAGAAAAUAAUUCAAAGUACUAAUUAGUGUACUAUUCCUCAAAAUUCUAGAAUAGAUUUGUUAGUUCUCUUUAGCCAUAGAUUGGUCCGUGAUUGGCACCGCAAUAGCUCAUAAUCACCUCAACAAUUGUUCCACACGGCCCAACAUGACACAUUGUAAACUAGUCUACAAGAAUUUUUUGAGUGGCUUUCUAGCAAUAUUCUUAGAGAAAGUGUUUAGUAGUUUCAAAUCUUCUUUUUUUAACACAAAUGUUGGCAUGAUAUUCUUAAUAUAUUUCUAAAAUCAAAAUAAGAUGCAUAGAGGACGAUAAUUUUAUUUCAUAAUUGAAUUUUUUGCAAAGAAAGUUUGAACAUGAGAGUGAUGAGAGAUGAGAAUAUUGAUGAUGGUGUGUACUUUGAAUGGAAAAAUAGAUUGGAAAUAUAUAUAGACAUAUUAAAAGAAAAAAAUUUGGUCUAUUUCAUAAGAGAAAUAAAAAAUUAUAAACGCGGGUGUUAAAAUGUAUUCAGAAUUUAUAAAUUUUUAUAAAUAUGAUAAUCAUCAGACCCUUAUAAAAGUAUAACAAAAAAGUUUAAAAUUUUUUAAUAAAUGUAGAAGAGAUGAACGAAGAAAUCAUCCACCAGUUCAGAAUUAACAAUCAAAGAUAUGAGGACUUGAUUGAAGAAAUGAUGAAAAAUAAAAGGAAACUGGGUUGGUUAGCGGGACCCUAAUAUUAAUGGUGAAAAAUAAAAGGACACUGGGUUGGUUGGCAGGACCCUAAUAUUAAUGGCAAAAAAUAAAAGGACACUGGGUUGCUAUCAAUUUCGAUCGUGUAGGUUCAUAGCCGGGGAAGUAAUUGGGCACAAAUAUCUCGGAUGAGAAAUAACCAUUUUAUCCCGCAACCAUAUGUUUAUGGCCUCUAAAAAUUUUCACCUCUUUCACUUUCUGGAACCCGUGCUUUCUGGCACAUGCACAAAUACUUGGUUGCUACUUAUAGAGCGUUUUUGGAAUUGCAACAACAUGGUGCUCUUUGAUAAUUCAAAAAUCCAAUAUAAUUUAUAGAGAAUUACAGAAUUGUGGUACGUGAUAAUUUGCUGAUGCAAUGAGGCGCCGAAAUUCUUAUACAUGUGAUUUAAGUUAUAUAUGUAUAAUUAAGUAAUUAGAAUAUACUAGUUGGGGGUAUUUGUGUCCAUGAAAAUUUACAGCUGGUUGUUGACAUUACACUGCGGGUGUGUAAGUGUAAUCAUGGAUCUGACCAUUCAAAUUUAAAAAAUGGGGGUCCCGCUAGCUUACGGAGUUAGUAAUUAUUAGAUAUGCAUAUAUGCUCCCAUACGAUAAUCUUAUCAUAAAUUUGAAGGAUACGAGGACUUGAUUGAAGAAAUGAACGAAUAUUUGAAUUAAAAAAAAUUUUAGAAUAAAGACAAGUAUUAAUUUACUAUGAAUGCAACUUACAUAAGCUGUAAGUUAGCGGGACACUAUUAAAUCACAAGCAAAAAGCAAUCUGACUUCUUCUUGAUUCCGUAAUUUGGCUGUCAAAAUGUAAUCUAUAAAAAUUACGAUACCUCGAUUCAAAAAAAUGUUGUUUCUGAUGAAAUAAAUGAAAAUUGAACGUACAAUCUGCCACGAACACUGUUUAAUUAACCGUUUAUUUCCCCUUAAAUUUUUAAUCUCAAUGAAACAUAGAUCUAAUGGGAACUACAUAUAUAUAAAAAUACUAUAGAUUGAAGAAGUUGAAUUUUUCUUGUGUGUUAAGUAUUUUUAGUUAAUACGAAAGGAUUCUAGCAAGUUAAUACAAAAGUAUCAUAAAUUCAUAGUAGUACAAGAGAUUUUUUUUUUCUUUUGAUAUUAAGAGUUUUCGAGAUAAAAAAAAAAAAAAUAGGUGAAAGAAGAAGAUGAGAGAAGAAAAAAUAUUAAGAAUAGUUUUGGCAUUUUGAUGCGUUUUAUAGUGUAAAAUCUAUAUUUUAUAGUAUAAAAAGGUACACCCAUAAUUUAAUGAUAAAAUUUUAGGAAAAAAUUGCACUCGUCAAAAAAAAAAAGAAAAGGCUCAGCUUAGCCCAAAAAUUUUUUAUUAAUCGUCUAGUCGCUAAUGUAAUCUCUUUUUUAUGAGAUUCUUUGGCGUUUUAGUUUAGUCCAUUGUUAGCAAUCCUAAUAGCUUUUAUGUGCAUCUAUUUUUAUUUGGAAUAUGUUUCAAGCUUGAAUAAAAUCUGCGGGACAACUGGUAAGUAAUAAAGCUCAUCAUUUUUUUAUUUUGAAAAUAAAGGGAAUCACUUACACUUAGCAUGAUAUUAUUUUUGAUAAGUCAUUUUUUUGGUAGAUUAUUUUUUCUAACACGCUCUUAGAUUUAGUGAAAAUAAAUUGUAUACUUUUAAUGAAGAAAAGUAAAGAUCAACAAAAUAUUUUGUUCUUUGCGACAACUUUUGCGUUCUCAAGUGCGCCUGAUACCCUUUUUUUUUUAACAUGGGCCCACGUGCCAUGUUUCCAUUUCAAGUUUCAUAAGUUAACAGUAGAAAUGGGUUCCACAGAUAAUUUAUUUUAUAAUUUUUUUUAAAAAUUACUAAAAUAUAAUAAAUAAGGUAAUAAUAAUUAAUAAAAAAGUAGAUUUUAAGAUGGAAAAAUCUUUUUGUGUACUUAAUAAAAAGAUGAUAAGAAUGGGAUGCUUUUAGUUUACAUUCUCAUAGCUAUUUAUACUGAAAAAUUACAUCAAAAUUUAAUUAAUAAAUCAGUGAACUGCAGACUUAUUAAAUUUAAGCUAUUUUAAUAAGUCAUAAAUAUACUAAAUUAAAAUAGUAAUAAACCCAUUGUUACACAAUACUCUCCAUUGAGUGUUCACCAUUUUAAGAUAAUCAUAAAAUGACACCGGAAGUGCUAUUAUAGCUGUCUCAUGGAAAGCCUUCACCAAUAAAAAGGAGGAUAGAGCACAUACAUCCAGUUUUUAUACCCUUUGAUGCUCAGUCGACACGUGCCAAUGCUAUAGACUAGCUUUUCGAAGGUUGAAGUGGGUAUGCUAUUAGUAAAAAGACCUGCAAAAUUAUAGUGUACCUAUUUGACAUCAACUUUUUUUAUCUGCUGGAGCUUAUGAUUAUAGAAGAUCUUCGGUAAGAUGUGUUUGAUUUUAUCUUCUUUUAUAUAUCCUCCUCUAACUUGUGUAAUAGUAGUAAACCCCUGCCCGUUUUUAUUUCGUUUAGUAUUUUCUAAAUGGCCGAAGGAAAAUUGGUAAAAACUCAUUUAAAAAUAAAAAAAAAUCAAAGAAAUUCAAGAAGAAGCUUUGUAUCUGUCAUUUGUAUUUGGGGUAUUUUUUUGGUUGUUAAGUGAAUGAGCUUAAAUCUAAAACAUUUAUUUAUAUAUUUCUUGUUGGAAAGAAUUUAAAUUUUAUUCUUAUUAGACUUAUUCUCUUUAAACAAAGGUAGAUUUUUCUCUAUGUGUUUAACGUGUAUUUUAAAAUUAAUGUUCAACAUAUCUUUAGAUUCUAUUAUAAAUAUUCAUAUCUAAAAUCUCAACAGAUUUCAUAAUAUAUAAAUGUAUAUAAAGAGAGAGAAUAACGUUUCUAAUAAGAAAUUUAUUAAGUUAAAGAAUAAUUCAAAAGAUAAAUUUGUAUUCAACCCAUUUAUAUGAUUAAUUAAGGUUUUAAACAAAUUUUGGACUUGUUCUAUUGUAGAGCUUAAAUUCAAAAUGGAAGAGUGAAGAAGGGAAAAAGAAGACGAAUAAAGAAGAAAAGAGGAGAACAACUUAUACAAAAGAGGGAGAACGAAAAAGUGAAGGGCAGAAAAAGAAAAAGAAUAAAGAAGAAAUUAAUCAUCGCUGAUAUGAAAAUAAUUCCUUCUUCUUUAUUGUUCUUAGUGGUUCUACUUUUUUUUAUUGGAUUCUAAAUUUUUGUCGUAGAUGGAUUAUAAGAACUAGAAAAUUAUAAAGAUAAUUUUUUAAUUAUUCGAUUAAUUAAUUCCAGCAGAAGACAAGAAAUUGAUUCUGCUUCGUUAGAAAGCCAUCACAUUCUAUACGCAAUUGCAAAAAGUAUAUAUUUUUGUCUGUUUUAGACAAGAAUAAAAGGGAUACCUGGUAUUGCAAAUCUAGACACGUUUUAGUGCUUUAUGUCCGAAUGAAUUCUUUCUUGCAACAAUAAACUUGGCCGAUCAGGAUUUGCCGUUUACAUAUGUAGGUCCUGUUGGUUCUGUAGUAGGACUCAUAAAUUUUUAUUUUUAAUUUACUGAAUCCAUAAAUUUAAAAUAACGGUGCAACUCCUGAGGAUGACAAUGGGGCGGGUGAGGUCUUGGAGUCCUGAAAAAAUUUAUAUCUGCAUAUUAAAAAAUGUGGAUCCGAAUAAGAAAAUCCGCAUGAAUCCGAAUGCAAGUGCAUUUGGAAAAUCGGAUAUCGAGAUCUGGAUAAAAAUUUAUUUCAAAUUAAAAAUUAAAUUAAAUAUAUAUUAAAAAGUAAAUGAAAAAUUAAGAAAGUAAAUUUUAUUUGUAGAUUUAUGAUGUCAUUGUAUAUUAUUCAUGUUGAAUUAUUAAUUGUUGGAUUAUGAUUGAAUUUUAUUUGAUAUUAUUGGGUAAAUUAUUGAAUUUCAUUUUAAAUUAAAAAUAUUUAUUAAAAAUUAAAUUUUAUUUGUAGAUUUAUGAGAUUAUUGUAUGUUAUUCAUUUAAAAUUUUUAAUUAUUGAAUUAUGAUUGAAUUUUAUUUGAUAUUAUUAGGUAAAUUAUUAAACUUUUAAAUUUUAUAUUAAAUUAUAAGCAGUAGGAAAUUAUGGUAUUCAGAACAUGUAUACCUUCGCACAUGAAGCUUGAGUCCAGAACAAGAUGCAGCUAGCCAAUCCUUCAACUUCCAAAACCCCACAAAACCUCUGUCAACAUAUCUGCUCUACUUCAAUAUUAAGCACAUUCAUAGCGGUAUCAACAGCUUACAGCUCCAAAAAUAGUUUGAGAUUUCAUUGAAGCUAAGUUGUGACUUGUGACUGUCCAAAUGUUCUGUCACACGAAAUGAUUAUUCUUGUAACACAAAUCCAAUAGCAUGCAAUAUAAUCUACUCUCUAACACUGUGCAUUAGUAAAAUAAAACAGAGUAAAGCAUUAGUAAAAUAAAACAGAGUAAAAAGAGAAACCAUGCCUGUGAAUCUCUUCUCCUCCCCCCACCACCCCUUUUUUUGGUAAAGUCUAUCAAAUGAAAAUGCAGCAUGACCACAUUGGCCACUACCACUGCCAUUACUCCUUCAACUGUGCCCUUUGUUGCAAGAAAUCUUCAAGUGAAAGAUGGAUUAUAUAAUUAAAGAUUCCAAUAGAAGCAGCAAAGGUUGCCUUCCACUAGCCUAUCAGAGAAUAUGCUUUCUAUUUUCCUAGUUUUAAUCAAAAUUUUGCAAGAUUUAUUUAUGGAAAACUUGGACAAAAUUUUAUGUAAGAUACCAUAAAGCCAAACACAAUCUUUUUAAUUCUCAGCAGCAACAUUUAAAGUAAAAAGAUGGAAGCCAUAUAAAUAUAACUAUAUUUGGUACGAGGAACAAUUAUUUCAAGCUUUCAGAAAUGCUAGCAAGAAAUUGUAAGAGAACUUUACCUAGUCACAGAAUAUGUCAAGCAUACUACCACCAACUGUCUUUAGCACAAUUGUUAUGAAGUAGCCUCUGAAUCGGAAGAUUCAAGCUUCCACCAGGCACAAUUAUUUUCAUUCUCCAUACAAUCUGCAGCAGUGGCAUGAGUUAUAUCAUCAACAUUUGCAUCCUCACUCUCAUCACCCCAAUCAAGGCUUCUUCUCCACCUCUGGAUUAUAAGUCCUCUUCGACAUCUUCAAACAUCUCGGUCCUUCCAUUUGCAAACAACCGAUAUGGCUUCUUUCCUUGCCUUCCUCAUCGUUUAUAUCCCCCAAAAAAGGGUCUUUAGACACCUCAACUUUGCCUUCUGCAAAACCUCCACAAAAUCUGAAUUAUCCAACACAACAGCUAGACGCUUGAUCCUUCUUUUGUCCAUCAUAUCCACCGCAUGAUUCCUCAACAAACAUCUGCAGCUUGUGGCUUAUCUAACACUGUCCUGACCCAAAACCCCACUCUUUUCAACUCAUCUGCCAAACCAUAACCCACUUUUGGAGUCAAAAUUGUCCUUGCAGCCCUUUUAUAUUUUUCCAACUCCAUUGAAUACUUGCCACUCAAAUGCACUCUCCUACCUCUAGCUGAUUCUACUUGAUUCAACCUCUUCUUUUGUUUACACUCAUGAAUUUGGAUAAAAUAAUUAACAAGUUUGUCAUUAUUAUAAAAUCUCCUUUCACAAACACCACAUAAAUAUGGCUCAGCAGGCUUAAUUACACCCUUGCUUUCCAAUUGGUUAAACAAUUUUUCUCUUCUCUUUGCUCUCUUACAACUUGAGGCACAUAACUAAAUGCAUGGCUAUUGGCAUAUGCCACCAUGUAUUUAACAACCCAAGUGAAGAUAUUGAUUUGGGGGUUUGUUGUCCAAAUCCCUAAAAAUUCACACAUUGCGUUGGACAGUUUUUAGUUCUACAAUUAAUGAUACGUUAUGUGAAUUAAGCUCCAAAUGAGAACAUCUAAACAAUGAGACAAAUGGGCUCUAGGUUUCUAAUCAGUAAACAUCGUUCAGUCGCAUAAUUUAUGAAAUUUUUGAAACAUCACUACAGCUACAGGUCUUUAUGUGUCAAUGAACUGCAGAAACUAAUGAUCUACUAGUAGUAGACGUUUGUUGUCCCCACCGUUCCAGGAAGAAAAAUAAGUAGAAGAACUACUUUUAGACCAAAAUUAAAAAAUUGAAACUAUCUUGAAAGACUUUCCCUUCAACUAAGUAAAAAAGAAAAGAAAAAAAAAAGGUAUUAGACAAGCAUUUUCAAAGGAAAAAGAUCAUCCAUUUAUUGUAUGUACUCAGGAAAAAUAAAUGUACUAAUAGGUAGAAACACAGCAAUAAAACUCAAAAACUAACAUCUAUAAAGCUCAAUAACAAUUAUGAAUUAGAUAUUUUGGUCCCUUCAUAAUUCCUCCUCUUGACUUCACAUUUCCCCUCAGCCCGUGAUAAUUUUACCUAUUGAAUUCACAUUUCCCCUCAUCCAUUGAACUUUCCCAAUAACAAGAUGAGUCUAAAUCAUCAAUCUCAUUAAACACUCACAUCUACUAAAUAAUAUCGCAUGCAGUAACUUUAAGUAAGGAUCUAAAACUUACAAGAAAAAGAAAACUACUGUUUAUUAAUUUCAAAAUUUACACAAAAUUACAAAUGAUUUUAUAAACUGUACCAAAACAUGUUCUCUAAAAGAGAUUCAUUAUCCUGCAUUUUCAAAAACAAUAUAAACUAACACUAGAAUAGCCAUUUGAUAAUGAUGUGAAUUUGGGCAGCACCAAGAAGCAGUGAGCCCCAUUUGGUGAAAGCAAAAAGAAAAAAAAUUAAAAUAAAGCACUAUAAAUUCUAAUCAAAUUAUUAACAUUAGCUACACAUCAAGAAACCAGAAUAAAAUCGUUAUCUAAACCACAUACUGAAAAAGAAAAAACAAUGCAGUUAAAAUUCUAUCAUUUUCACUUACAAACAAAUAAAGAAAAAAUUAAGAACAAAGGUUGAAGCAAAGAAUGAUUGUACCUUGAGGUACUUGAGGUUAAUGUUUCCAUAAACGAGACCGAGCGAAAAAGCCGAAACCAGAGCAACCUAUUCUUACUACUCAAAAACACGCCCAGAUCAGAAAAUAAAUGAUCAUUCAAUAACAAUUCAUAGGAAAAUGAUGUUUGCCCCGGGUCAAACCCCGGGUCAAACCCCGAAAAUAACUUAAACGGCGUCGUUUUGAUUAUUUUUUUUCUUUUGGAAUACUCCAAAACGACGACGUUUCUGAUGAUAUUUUGAGAAGAAUAAAAUCUAUCUUCCUCUUCGUUUUCGUUUCUUCGUUUCACCUGUGAAAGAACAGAGCAACAGAGCAACAGAGAUCCCAACUUGGUCUUGUUCCGUUUGACCGUAAAUCUCUUCAUUUCUUCGUUUCUUCGUUUCUUCAAAUAACGGCAAUAUCACCCAAAACAAAGUUUCAUGCAAUGUUGUAAAAAAUAAAUUAUGAUUUGAGAACUGAAAAAAUAAUAUGAGAACUAAAAAAAUGAGACAAAUCAAGAAUAUGAGAACUGAAAAAAUUAAUUCAAUGUUACAAUGUUACAAUGUUCUAAAAACGAAGGCCAACUUCCUAAAAUAAAAUUAAAAAACAAAAUGCUACAAUGUUAAUCUUCGAAAAUUAAACUGAAAAAAUGAGACAGUACCGAAAAAAACAAAUCUUCGAAAAUUCAAGCUUGGCACAAUGUUAAUCUUUCGUCCAAACUCAGCUUUCAACCGUCCAAAUUCAGCUUGUCCAAACUCAGCUUUCAACCGUCCAAACUCAGCUUGUCCAAACUCAUCUUUCAACCGUCCAAACUCAGCUUUCAAGGACACAUUUCGCAGCCGAAACUCAGCCGAAACUCAGCUGCUGUUGGUCUUGUUCUUCAAUGGGUACCAAACGAAAAAGAAACGAAAAAGAAACUCAGACGCUUUCAACUCAGCUUCCAAGGACAAAUUUCGCAGCCGAAACUCAGUCGAAACUCAGUUGCUGUUGGUCUUGUUCUUCAAUGGGUGCGAAACGAAAAACAAACUCAGAUGAAGAGGAUGGAGCUUUAAUUAGUAGAUCCCGUUCUGCUGUCGAUGAGUGCUCCGGCUGUGGAUCUCGGUCGAGGAUGGAAGAAACGAAAAAGAAACGAACAAACGAAAAAGAAAAUAAAAGAAAACGACGCAAAUCAUUCAAUAAACAAACGAAAAAGAAAAAAAAAAAAGAAACGACGCAAACGACGCCGUUUAAGUUAUUUUCGGGGUUUGACCCGGGGCAAACAUCAGCACUCUUUCCUUUAUGAAUUGGGAAAAUGCUACUUUCCCCGGGUCAAACCCCGAAUUAUUUCAAAACGGUGUCGUUUUGUUUUUUUUUUUUUCUUUUUACUUGCAUGAAACGUGGUCGUUUGAGCUAGUAAAAACAAAACAAACUAAAGCAGAAAAAACUCAAGUGCUUAUCUUCUCUGCCCCUUUCUUAAUUUCCUUUUGACAAACCACGGAAUCACACCCACAAACAACAAUCACCCACAGUCACGCGAACAGCCGGCACAGACGAAGGAUGAGCCCACAGACGACGGACCACCGCAUUGAAAUCUCUGUCCACAUCACCGGCACCAUCAUCGUAGGUCUGUAACAAACUGUCGUAAGUUAAACCCUUCUCACCGUCGAUGAACUCGACGUAAGUACGGAAUACUUCGUCGAGAAUUGCGUUGAUUUGUUCGUCGCUGAAUUUGACUCGAGGGUUUACGGCCACCACUAAAGCCGCCAUUUCUUCUCUAUUACGGCCACCGUCGCGGUUCGUGUCAAAUUGUUGAAAAAUUCUCUUCACUUUCUCUGAUCUGCUUCCUCUCGUAGCCAUUUUUUUUUUCUGUUUUUCUGGGGGUCAGUUUGGUUUCUCAGUGUUUGUUUGAGAAAGCGGAAUUAGUAGAUAAGGGAAUAUAAGGAAAAGUUGAUAAAAAGGCAAAGGGUGGUUACUUUAAUUGUUGGUGAGAAUAAUGAUGAUGAUGGCUUAAUUCUGGGUUUUGUUGGAUCUGAAUGAAUUCUUAACGGCAAAAGUUAAAGAGUAGAAGAAGAGCAAGAGGACGGACUCUCAUUCUUUCCCUUUUUUCUUUUAAUUUUAAAUAUAUCAAAAACGGCAGCGUUUUGGAGAAACAAAAAAGAAAAAAAAAUUAAAACAAAACGACGCCGUUUUUGUUUUCGGGGUUUGACCCGGGGCAAACAUCAGCACUCAUUCAUAAAAACUCCAUCCCAUCGCAUUUAAAACAAAACAAAGAAAAUAUUGAUUAGAAAAAAAAUUACACGCAUGGAAUAAAAGAAUAUAAAAAUGGAAUUACCAGAGGGAGCUAGUGCCGGAGUAGGAACCAGAAGGCAGCGCCAUAUGAUGCUCUUGUUAUGGUUUUCCUUCUUGUGGGUCUGCGCUGAAGUCGAAGAUGAAGAAACAAGAAAGAGCCAGCAAAUUGAGAAAUCGACUACCAUCUUCGAUUCCGACUCGCAUGGCCAUUUUUCUUUGAUGAAUGAAAUAUUGUUUUACUCCCUAAUUCUUAACCAAAUUACAAGUUUUGACUUCUGUUUGUAUGUUCUUUCAUACGGGUUCUUGUUCACAGGAAUAACAAAUGGGCCGGACGUGUGGCUAAGCCCGGGCCUGGUGUCGAUAGCCAGGCCUGGGCUUUUACGAGCCCAGGCAUUUUAUUCUGAGUAUGAUCCUUAUAUCACUUCACUUUUGUAAUCGUAAUUUUAUUGUACUGAAAAUUAUAUGAACGAUUAAUAUGAAUUUAAUUAAACAAACAUGUCUUUACAACUCAUGCAACCUUACUAUUUUCUAAUCCUAAUAUGUGAUAUAAUUAAUUUUACUGAUAAAAUCAAAAUAAUUUUUAAACAAUGAAGAAAUAAAUUAUAAUAACAGUAAAUUUAUUACGAAAAAGUAUGUUUACAAAAUUUAUUUUAAAUGAUAUGAAAUCUAAUUAAAAUUCUAUUCUAAUUUUAUGCCCUUUUUUACAAUUUUAUUAAAAAGUGGGAUCUCUUAAGAUUUUAGGAGUGUUGGAAUUCUAUUUUUCCAGAUUUGAAUUUUAGUGACCUUUACUUCAUUUAAAUUUUUUGUUAUAAACUUGCAAGCAAGUGCAUUUAGGAUAUCUUUGGUGAACUGGAUUGUAACAAUAAUUUUAUUUAUUAAAAUUAUUAAAAGUAUUUAAUUAAUAAAACUUCACGUAUCCUCGGGUCUAACCAAUCAAAUUCUUUCUCUCAAAAGUACACAAAAGUGAGAUUGGCUCUUGCCUAUUAGUUAACAUAUGCAUAUUAAUUAACACUGACAGAUAUAUAGAUAUACAGCACAGCUAGCAGCACAUUCGACUUACAGAUAUACAGAACUUGAACAUAAUUCACAUAUCUGAAGGGAGAGGGAUAUCGAUGUUGCGGCCUGCAAUUCAUAACAUAUCAUCGGUCAUUUAAUCUAGAAUUGAGGAGAGAAAAUGAGUCUAAAUUCGAAAACUUUGGCACUAUUUACAUAUCAUUAUUUGGGUGAAAAUUCAUUUCUCUGCUUUGAUAUGAUUUGGUCUUUCAUUGUUACGGUGCCAAUUUUUUAUUUAAAGAUGUAAGGUAGUGGUACUAUAGCUUAUAUUUUCCGUAAUUACUAUCCGGUAAGUACAAAAAUAAAAUACUAGUUUAAAAUAUAAAAAUGAAAAAUUAUUUUUAUAACCAAUAUUCAAUUAAAUACAUUUAAAACUCUAUUUUUUCUUAAUAAAAAAAAUUCUAAUUUAUUUUCUCAAUUUAUCUAAACAACUUUACCUAAUCAAGCUAAAUCUACAUAUUACCCUAAACCUUAAUUCAUAAACACCCAAUCAAUCUAAUUGUUAAAUCUUAUUUCAUAAUAAAAAAAAAUUAAUUUCUUUUUUAUUAUUUAUGGUGCAAAGGAAAAAAUGAAUUUAAAGGUAAAAUUGAUAUUUUAUUUAAAUUUUGUUAAUAUUCUAAUAAUAUUAAUGUCUUGGUGGUUAAUAAAAGCAUAAAGUUAAACUUUUGUAGUAUUUUUAAUAAUAUGGUAAAGAUAUAUGUUUGAUAAUUUUCUUAUGUCUUUUUACGUUAAAUUGAGUCUCAAGUAUAAUGAAUAAAUAAUACAUAUUAUAAAAUUAGUGUAGAUAAAUAAUACAACUUGAAAAUAUUAUAGUAUUCUUAAUAAUAGAGAAAUUUAAAGGUGGAUAGUUGAUUGUUUAAUGAAACAACUACAGAAUUUUCCUUUCAAAUAUCUUUUUGAAAAAACAUGAUUGAGUAAAAAUUAUUUUACAGAAUGACCUUUCAAAUGCCCAUUCGACAAGCCAAGAAGAAAGGGUAGCUAACAAAUUUACAAGUACCAGAGAUCCAGAAACACAUUUAUAGCCAAUCCAUUUAUGAGUUACAUUCAACACUCUCACAAACUGAAAAAAUAAAAAUUAUUACGGUCAAGACGCACACUUUUUGACAUCCAAAAAGCUAAACAUUUGAAGUUCUUCAAUACAAAAUGCAUACUAAAUUGGCACAAUUAAUGCCCAUGGAAGGGUCAUCAAUUUAAGCCAACAAAUUUGCCAAAGUUUUAACAGUGAACACAAAAGGAACAUGUAAAAUUUGAAGUUGAACAAAUCUUCACAUGCAUACAACAAGCCUUAAAACUUUAGUCUUCACAAUUUGAGCACGCAAUAAAUAUUAAGUGACCACCCGCAGAACAAGUCUAGAAUAAACUUGUUAGGUUCUUGCGCGAACUGAACCCCUCUGAAACACUAAAAGAGAAAGUACAAAAUAAAGAAGACCAUAUUACGUGGCUAACUAACAGCCAUUCCCAAAGAAAUGAGAGUGAUGAUAACGUCUUUUUUUUUUUUUUUUCCUUUCAAUCAUAUUUCUCGUCAUCUUCUUCUUCACGGGCAUCUACACUGACGUCUCCCUCUUGGCUGGCAUCUUCCUCGUUUGUAGUCGGUCGCUAUCCAACCAACAAAUUGGGCAUUAAAGAACAAACAGAGAAAAUUAUAACAAUAAGAACUAUAAACAUGAAAAGAAAAAAAAAAAAAAGAUAUUUGAAGGGAAAUUUUGGUAGAACUCUAUGGCUCAUCCGUGAAAUUAAUGUUAAUAUAUAUGUUUAUGUAAUGACGGUCUAUUGAUUUUAGGAUAGAUCAAUAAGCUAUUACAAACGAAAACAUGAACCAACUAUAUGUAGAGUUAAUUAAUUUAAAGUUCUCAAGAGCUUACCUCUGCUCCAGAAUUCUCGGAAUCAGCGCGAAACUUGGGACAACGACAAACGCGUGCAAGUGGAACUGGGAUCUGAUAACCCGUAGGCCAAAAGUUGGUGAGGUUUGGUAAAUCUUUCAGACUCACGUACGGAAGUUCGUCCAUAACAAUUUCAUCGUAAUCCAUGACGUGUGCUCCAUCUUUAUCCCAGAAUACUUCUUCUAAUUCAUCAUUACUAAAUAUCUCUAGUUUCAUUAGUUUUUGAAGACUUGGAGCUACGCUGAUAUGAAAUAGAUACUUUAGUUUGGGGCAAUGACCGACAAAGAUCCAUGUGAGUUUUGGGAAACAUAUAGGUUGGAGAUGAUCCUCAUCCUCAUCCUCAUCAAUGAUUUGCUCUAAUUCCCAGCAUUUCCAAAUAUAUAACUUCUCCAAUUGCAACAGAUUUCGAGCAAGUGUUGAUGAGAGGAGACGUCUCAGCUUAAUGCACCCCCUUACGGUUAAAUCAGUAAGAUUUUGCAGGCUAAAAUUAUGGGUGGGACCUUCAUGAUAUAAUAAUACUUGCAGUUCUCGAAGAUCUUCCAAUUGCAACGACUCCAAACAUGGGAAUAGUUUGUUUUCUUGUCCCUCAGCGAUAAUAGCUUCCACUUGAAAUACCACCUGUACUCCAAUUUCCACAAUAUUCAAUUCUUCCAAAUUUUUUAAUCCAUGCUUCAACAGUGCGGGAAUUGUGUCACACAAAUGGGAGCAAUCUUCCACAUCUAGAGUAUUUAAGUUCUGAGACAAAUAAAUAAAUAACUUGAUACAAUUAACAUCUAUUAGCAGCUACGAUUAUCACAUGAUAAGCAAUAAACUAACACCAAAAAAAAAAAAUCUAAAUCCGUACAAAAUAGUUAUACUUUAUGAAAGUAAUGGAUUUAUUAAAAAAAUGAAAUUAGUUAAAAGAGAUCGUGUGAAGUGAUAUAAUGGUGAAAUCGGUUUGUUUAUGAAAAUUUUGUAUUCUAUUUCUAUGGCUUGAUUAACGAAUUAAUUGAAUUUGCUUAAUAUUAUAUGUACUCCACCAGUGUUUGCAUCCAUUUUUUUUUCCUUCAAAAGCGAAGCGAGAUUUGACUUUCAUUUGAAGAAUGAAUUUUAGGCCCUAAAAUAAGGAAGUUUCCCUAACAUAUUGGAUUUUAUUAUUAUCAUCACCAUUAGCACUACGAUCAUCAUCAUCAUCUCUCUCUACAAAGCCAAAUGCAAGGUGGUAUGAAUGGCGGAUCAUAAAAAUUAUUGAUAAACUAUCAAUUUGAAUAAAAUUGAAGAAAAAUAAAGAAAAAAACAUAAACACAAACGAACAUACCUCUCCAAGAUACUGCAAAUUGGCUUCAAGUUCAGUAUUGUGGACAGUCAAGUUUGGACAGCUGGUUACAUCUAACUUUUCCAACGCUGGCCAAGUUGAAUAAUAAUUUUCUGAACAAAAGCUAAUGAGUUGGGAGACCUUCAAGGCUUAAAUUUCUCAACAAAGAGAGCUCGAGUAUUCUAUUUUCAUCUGCUACACUUAUUUCCCCUUCAUUAUGAUCAAACUUUACUUUGACGAUGCAUUCCAGUCUCUCGCAUCCACUCACUUCGAGACUUUUAAGCUGCACCAAACUUCGAGCUUGUGACAACGAGAAGAUAUAUGUCAAGUUGUUGCAUCCGUACACACUCAGUGCUGUAAGAGUUUGGAGGCUCACAUGUUGGGCGGGCGCCUUCCAUAUCUGCUUCAGUUCUGGUAACUCCUGCAUAUAUAACCUUGCUAAUCUUGAGAGCAUCAUAGGAUUCCCACUCUCUCCUUGCGGCGACUGAGAGGCAUCCAUUAUGCAUUCUAAAUCUUCACAAUUGUUGACAAAAAGAAAAGUCAACUUAUUUAAGCCCCUUGGAUCUAUGCUUGGCACAAUAUUAUGACAACUUAUUAUGUCAAACAAAGGUUUCAAUGCAGAAAAUAAUUCUUUCGUAUAUUCUUCUCCAAAUCAGAGGCAAUAUAUGAAGCUAAUUACAUCCUAAAAAAGGAAGAAAUAAAUUGUUUCUAUAUUUAAAUACAAGAUUGAUCAACUAAAAAGAUUCCCGGACGUAAUAACAAAAUCAAUUCUAUAAUUGACAGCACAUGCCGACAGCUCAUGCUAGCUCAUGCCGACACUCCCCCUCAAGUUGGAGCAUAGAUAUCUAUCAUGCCCAACUUGUCAAUUAUAUCAUGAAACACCCUUCCUGAUACUGUUUUUGUGAGUAUGUCAGCCAACUGAUCUCCAGAUUGAACAAAUGGGAACUGUAUAGUUUUCUCGUCAAGCUUCUCCUUGAUGAAAUAACGAUCUACUUCAACAUGUUUUGUGCGAUCAUGUUGUACAUGAUUCUGGGCAAUCUCUAUGGCUACUUUAUUAUCACAUUUAAGAUUCAUGGGUUUUGCAUAAUCAAUCCCCAAAUCUUUCAGUAUGUUCUUGAUCCAUAACAUCUCACAUACACCUUGUGCCAUUCCACGAAAUUCCGCUUCAGCGCUUGAUCUUGCCACAACCUUCUGCUUCUUGCUUCUCCAAGUGACGAGAUUGCCUUCAACAAAUGUAAAAUAACCUGAGGUAUAUCUUCUUGUUGUCUGGUCACCUGCCCAAUCAGAGUCCGUAUAUCCUUCAAUGUUUGAGACAGUAUUUUUUGAGAACAAUAAACCUUUUCCAGGAGCACACUUCAAAUAUCUCAGAAUUCGAUAGACUGCAUCCAUAUGUUCUUCACUUGGUGAAUGCAUGAAUUGGCUUACUAUACUUACGGCAUACGCUAUGUCUGGCCUUGUGUGGGAUAAAUAGAUUAACCUCCCAACUAGCCGUUGAUAACGACCCUUAUCAUUUGGUAAAAUCCCAAGCUUGUGAUUCAUCUCUAUAGGCGUUUCAACUAGUUUACAAUCAAGCAUACCAGUUUCAGUGAGGAGAUCUAACACGUAUUUUUGUUGUGAAAGAAAAAUUCCACUUUUCGAUCUUGCUACCUCAAUCCCCAAGAAGUAUUUAAGCUGCCCAAGAUCUUUCAUUUCGAAUUCAGUAGCCAAAUGUUCUUGUAGUGCUUUCAUUUCAGAUAAAUCAUCCCCUGUUAACACCAUAUCAUCAACAUACACUAUUAACACCGUCACUUUUCCGCCUUUGUGUUUUAUAAACAAAGUAUGGUCUGAAUUACUUUGUUUAUAACCAGCAGCUUUCAUUGUCGCUGAAAACCUCCCAAACCAUGCCCUAGGUGACUGUUUUAGUCCGUACAAGGACUUCUUCAGCUUACAUACUUCAUUCCUAUGCAUAGAACUAUGUUUGACACCAGGAGGUAGCUCCAUGUAAACUUCUUCUUCUAAAUCUCCAUUGAGAAAAGCAUUUUUGACAUCGAACUAUUUUAAGGGCCAAUCUCGAUUUGCUGCUAUAGAAAUAAUAAUACGAAUGGUAUUUAUCUUGGCUACUGGUGCGAAAGUGUCUUGGUAAUCUAAUCCAUACCUUUGUGUAUAUCCCUUUGCCACUAGUCUCGCUUUAUACCUAUCAAUGAUUCCAUCCGCUCUGAGUUUUACCGUGAAUACCAUCUACAUCCAAUUGUUUUCCUUUCCUUAAGUAGUGAAACCAGUUCCCAAGUGGCAUUUUUUUGUAGAGCUUCCAUCUCUUCAUUCAUCGCCUUAGUCCAUUUUGGAUCCUCCAAAGCAUCCUGUACACUACUAGGAAUAGAUAUAGUGGAUAAUUGAUUAAUAGUAAGUGCAUAUGAUUCACACAACCUAUGAGAUGACAUGUAGUUACUGAUUGGGUAUUUUAUUUUGGAUUUGGGAUCAGGUUCAUAUUGUUUAUUUGGAAUUCCUCUAUUUGACCUUUGUGGAUAUUUAGGAUUCAUGUCUUCUACAGAAAAAAAUGGUUCAUUAGACUCAUUAGACAAUGGAUUUGAAAUUACAUGAGGAGGAACACUUUCGGUUAAUUCUUCAGUUAAUGGUGUAGACAUGGGUAGCUCUAGUGGCCUUGAUUGUGCUUCAGACAUGUCCAGAAAAUUGGAGGGAUCACAUUCGGUUUCAGUCAUGUUAUCACACCCUUGUUGAACCUCAUUUCCAUCACUGUUUUGAAGUUUUUCGACCAUGUCUUCUAAUUCUACAAAAUCACCUCCUCCUUCAUUUUCCCUUUGACCAUUCUCUUCACACAAACUCUCCCCCUGGAGGGAAUGGUAAGAGACUCCCCCUGAGUAAUAAGGUUCUAAUUCAUGAAAAGAGACAUCCAAAGUUACAUGCAAUUUUUUUGUGUGUGGAUCAUAGCACCUAUAACCUUUUUGAAGAUCAGAAUAGCCAAUAAAAACACAGCGUUUGGCACAUGGAUCAAGUUUAGUUCGUAAACUUUUUGGAAUGUAAGCAUAAACAAUACAACCAAAUAUUCGGGGUUCAAGAUUAGGAAGAUGAGGAAUUGAGAGUAAGGAUUGCAUUUUUUGUUGGGGAGUUUGAAAAUCUAGCACUCGUGAAGGGGUUCGAUUAAUGAGAUAAGCUGUCCCCAAUAAAACCGAGGCAUGUUCAUGCCAAAAAGAGAAGCACGAACCACCUCUAAAAUCUGUCUAUUUUUCCUCUCAGCCAGCCCGUUUUGUUGUGGGGUGUAAGUGCAUGAGGUCUGAUGACGAAUUCCAUGAAUGUUUAAAAACUUGCCAAGAGAGGCAUCCAUAUACUCAGUACCAUUGUCAGAUUGAAGUACACGAAUCUGCUUUUGAUAUUGAGUACUUACCAUUUUGUGAAAUUCUUGAAAGGCUAGACAUACAUCGCUUUUUUUUAUAAGUAAAGACACCUAAAUCAUUCUAGUACAUUCAUCAAUAAAUGUCACAAAAAAACGAGCUUUAGAAAGAGAAGCAACUUUUGCAGGACCCCAAACAUCGGAAUGAAUCACCACAAAAAGGUUCUAGACUUUUAUUUAAACUUGGUAAAUAAGAAGUGCGAUGGCUUUUAGCCAUCUCACAAAUGUCACAAUGAAAAUUCAAAUCAUUUAGAGUUGAAAAAAGAUGAGGCUGUAAUUUUUUGAGAUAACCAAAAGAAAGGUGUCCUAAUCUACGAUGCCAUAACCAAACAUUUGCCCGAGUUCUAUCUUUAUUAGAAGCUUGAUUUGCCUGACUGAUAUUUGGUCCCUCAUUUUCUGUCAAUUCCAAGUAAUAGAGUUUACCCCGUCUAACACCAUAAUCAAGAAUCUUCCGAGUUAGGAUGUCCUGAAAAACACAAAAAGCGGGCCAAAACGUUACAGUGCAAGCAAGUGUGGAGGUAAUUUGGCUAACCGACAAAAGAUUAUAUUCAAGAGAUGGGACAACAAGAACUGUAUCUAAUGUAAGAGUAUUACUCAAGGUAAUAGACCCUUCCCCAAUAAUAGGAGAAGUACUACCGUUUGCAGUGGAGAUAACAGAUUGAGAAGAGGGAAGAACAGAUUUUAAUUGGCUAGAAUCUCUGGUCAUAUGCUCAGAUGCACCUGUAUCAAUAAUCCAUAUUCUAUUCUUAGAAGUUACAGAACAUACAGAUGUCUUACCAAUAAUACCUGGGUGGGCAACAUUUGCUGAAGGGGAUGGUUGUUCUUCAUCCUUUGCUGCUGUCACAUUAGCCUUCCCAGAUAUUUUCUUACGGGGCUUCUUUGAGAAAUCCCACCAAUCUGGAUAGCCAAUGAUUUCAUAGCAGCGUUGUUGUGAAUGACCUUUUUCUCCGCAGUGAGUGCACACAAGGUUGUUAACUUUGCUGGAUGAUUGAUUGCCUCGAUUUUUUGAAGAUCCAUUUCGGUUUUGACUGGCCAGCAUGGCAAGGUUCUCCGAAAUUAAAUUAGAGCCUCUCAUUGUUUGUCUCUGUUGGUAAUCCCUUCUAACAUAAGCAUAUGUGCUUUCUAAAUCAAGUUUUGGGUAUUUUCGCAAUAUUUCUCCACGAACCUGUUCAAACUCUGAGUCGAGGCCACUUAGAAAAAUAUGAACUCGAAGCCUAGCCAUUGCAGAAUGCAGCUGUAAUAGCCCUUCGACUGUGCCUUCUUUAGUGGUAGUCCUAUGAUCGAUUUCCUGAAAAAUGGCAACCAGUUCAUUGUAAUACGUUGGCAAUGGUCGCCCAUCCUGUUUGGUAGAGAAAGAUCUCUGGUUCAGCUCAAAAAUACAGGUUUCAUCGGUUCCAUCAUAGAAGGUUUUCGAUACAGCCUCCCAUAUAUCUUUGGCUGUAGGGAGACGAAUAAAUCGUUGCAUCAACGAUGGACUCAUUGAGUCAAUCAACCAGCUCUUGACUCUUUGAUUUUCAGUAAUCCAUGAUCCAAGAUUAGGAUCUCCUGGUGCUGGUUUCUUCGUUUCUCCAGUAAGAUAACCAGCUUUGUUGCGAGCACUAAUCCGCAUCUCUAUGAGUUGAGACCAUAAUGAGUAGUUGGUCUCAUCCAGAGUGAUUCCAGUUGGAAAUGCCGAGUUGUCUUGAUGAACAACAACUUGUGGUGCUGGUGGUGGGAUAAUAUCCAUUGAUACGCCUGUGAUAUCAGUCAUAGAGAUCACAACAACGGUGAAUAUUCAGAAUACGAAUACAAAUUUCGAGAGAAAAAAAGAAAAAAGAAAAUAUUCGGUUGUCAACACAAAUUCUCUUGAUGAGGAACCUGCUCUGAUACCAUGUCAAACAAAGGUUUCAAUGCAGAAAAUAAUUCUUUCGUAUAUUCUUCUCCAAAUCAGAGGCAAUAUAUGAAGCUAAUUACAUCCUAAAAAAGGAAGAAAUAAAUUGUUUCUAUAUUUAAAUACAAGAUUGAUCAACUAAAAAGAUUCCCGGACGUAAUAACAAAAUCAAUUCUAUAAUUGACAGCACAUGCCGACAGCUCAUGCUAGCUCAUGCCGACAUAUUAUCCUGCUCAAAUCAAGAAAUUCCAGAUUUUGAUACAAUGCUGAAAAAAUAUUGAGCGAGGUCGCUUCAAAAGGGUAAUCAAUGAUUAAGCUCCUUGUCUUAUCAGCAUCUUCCAUUUUAUAGUCAACUCCUUCACCUUUAAUCGUGUACCUUUGCAAUUUUGGGAAUGUAAAAUCUUUUGAAAGAUAUACAACAGAUCUGCCAACUUGGAAGUUAAACUCAGCAAGCCUAGCAUUACUUUCUUCUGAACUCAUCACUUCAACCUCCCAAUCUUUUAUCCGACCAUAAAAUUCUUCUAAUUGAGGAAAUUUUUUUAUCGUAACGGGAGAAACAGAACCAGUAUCAAUAUAUAGAAGUUUCAAUCUACGAAGUUCAUCCGACAAAUCUUCAGGAAUUUCAAUGGGAGAAUUCUCGAGAUAAAGAAGUUCAAGUCUUUUCAACUUUCCAAGAAAAGACGCGUCACUCACAUGACGUCCAAUCAACUGCAGAACUCUGAGGCUAUUGGCAAGGAAUCGAAGCGAUUUUAGUGAAAGGACUCCAUUGAUUAUAGUAACAACUUUCAAUGCUGGCAUCCCUUCAAAAAAAUUUUCUGGAACUUGCAAUUUGUAGCGAUAUAGAUUAUUGUGCAGUCGCAAAAUAUGAAGGUUAGGGCAUACCAAACGACUAGGAAGCUCUUCUUGUUUAUUUCCCAUUACAGAGAUUCCUCUAUAUUGCUCCAGGCCUUCUUCCAUUGCCCGUUCUACCAAUCCAAUGCCAACUUUACUAAAAAAUUUCUUCUCCACUAGUGCUUCUGAGCCUAUCCAUAUGGCUACAUCACGAACUAUGUCAUGCAUUUUCACAGAUCUGUCAUUACCAGUGUCUAACAGCAGUGAAGCAGCUUUGAGUCCCUCAAUUAUUCCACGCAGUAGGCUUCUGGCGUUCUCUAUCGACUCAGCUGGAUGCCAAAUCAACCCCACACCGUAUCCAACCAAAACCUCCAAAUAAAUGUCAUAAUCUUCUGGAAACAUCGAACACAACAAGAAGCAUAACUUGGAAUCCUCACCAUUCAAAUUGUCGUAACUAAAUUUAAGACAACCACAAACGUUUCGCUCAUCCUUAUCAAUCCCUUCGAUUGCAUAGAGUUUUGCUUCCCUUAGGUUAUGUAGAGCUAGAUUCCAUUCAUCAAAUCCUUUUCCUCUUAGUGCACUUCCAACAGCUUCAAUAGCUAAAGGCAGCCCCUUACAUUCUCCAGCAACAUCUUUGGAAACAUCAUUGAAGGUGGAGUCAUUCACAUCAAUGCCGGCAUUUUUUUGCAGUAAAGCCAAUCCUUCUUCUGGCGUUAGUGUACCCAGUGGAAUCUGCGAGUCACAACGCAUGCGUUCACAAACUGACUGCAGGCGAGUAGUUAGAAGGAUUUUGCAGCGAUUGUCUCUAUCACCAAUGGGUAUACCUAAUUUUUCCUUCAAGUUUAGUUCGUUCCAGACAUCAUCGAGGAUUAUGAGGAUUUUGGUGCUUUCGCUCGCAGAAAACAUCGAGCGCAGUUGGUCUGCUCCAUCUUUUUCAUCUUUCUGCUUUAAUUCCCAACCUAAUGAAUUUACCAGCUCAUUUUGAACAUUUAUUAUGUUUGGAUGCUGAGAUACAGUGGCUAGCCCCACUUUAUCGAAAAUCUUUUGUUGCCGAAGUUGACUGCCCACAAAUUUUGCCAAGGUCGUCUUUCCUACACCACCGAGGCCAUGCAAUCCCACCUUCUUUGUGCUCUCUUUUUUCAGCGCGUCAAUGAUCAGAUUGUAAGCUGAUUCUGUGGUCUUGUAAGUAGAAGAAAAAUAACUUGGUAAACUUAAUUCUCUCUCUAAUGGUGGAGGUUUAGCAAGGGCAGCUGUGUUGAAUUGGCUGUAGUGUUGUAGCAGAUCAAACAACUUCCUAGUCUUCUCUGAUGCUUUUCCGCCCAGACUAUAUCGGCAACCCCAUUCAGGACACAAUCCAUGAAGACUACUAUCCUUUUUAUCUAUCUCUGCUUUCAACUUUUGAAUAUCGCCCAAUUCCCCGUCUACAUCCUUCAGCCACUCCGUUACAUUUUGAUCGACUACUAUGUCGGGGCGUUUUUGUCGUUGAUCUUCUAUUCUCUUAUUGAUGACAUCUAGUGCCUUCUUCAACUUAGUUUGUUCAACCUCAAGUUUUUUCACAAUGCGGUCGAAACAGAAUAGAUAGGAAGUUCUUUGAUUUCAUUCACCAAAUAUUUUCCAAUCGAUUCUAAAAGUGGUUUAAAAAUUUCUUUUAAACAAUCUUUUAAAAUUUCCAUGCUAUUUAUCUGCAAAUAAAAAAGUUGAUCUCAAUACGCUAUAAGCAAAAGAACGAGGCUUGAUCACAAGAUCGAAUGAAGACGUUUAAUUACCUUUUUUUGUUAUGUGAAUGCACGUUUAUUAACACCAGCUUUUUUUUUUUUGGUCUAAUCCAUCCGGUAUCCGGUGACCACAUUGGGCCCCGACUACUCCGGAUUCGGAGAGAGGGCGUAAUUCUCCUCCCAACGUAGGCGACUCCACCAAGACUCGAACUGGGGAGCAAACCCAGUCGAGCCCCUGAGGGGUUCAGCCCGCUGCCAACUGAACCAACCAGUCGUUGGUUUAUUAACACCAGCUUUGAUCAAUAAGAGCAAAAUGCAAACGCCGGGCUUCAAGAGUUCUAAGUGGCCUUUAGCUGCAGAAUAGAAGAUGACAAAUAAGGUAAAACGUUCCCAGCAAACGUGAUAUGUGGUGGACUUAAAAUGAUACCUUAUUUGGGAUGAUAAAGAUUGGGGUAAAUUCUCUUUUGUUCUCAAAAUUUUGAACCUAUUAUCAGUUGUAGUAUUUGUAUUUUUAAAAAUUACCUAAAACAUGCAUGUCACUACUUUCAUAGCUAUUGAACAUUUCAUUUCAAAUAUAAAAUACUAUAAAUUAAAAAUCAAACAAAUCUAUCAUGCAACAAACGAAAAGUAAAUACUAAUAAUUAGGUUUUAAUGGAAACUAAUAUAAAACAUAGAGGUUUUAAUUAAUUUUUGUGAUUUCUUUUAAUGUUCGAUUUAGAAUUGAAUAAUUUGUAUAAGGAAAAUAAACUGCAAAAUAAGUUUAUAUGCCGAACUUAAAAUAGUUUCAUAUUAGUAAUCAUAUAAUUAUCAAAUUUUUUAAUAAAAUUUAUUUAAAAAUUGACCAAUUGCGUUUCAUGAGGAAAACAGAGAGCAUAAUGGACUUAUGUUGCGACUUGGGAUUGAAAGGCCAGAAGGUAGUGUUAGCCUAUAUGGCUAUAAAAUAUUGAUUUUGAUGAUAACAAACCACAUGUAUUGACUAAGCAAAGAUUUAUAAAUUAUGCUUUUAUAAUAAGAAAAUAAUGUUAUGGAAUUAAAGUAUUUUGGACUAAAAUGAAAGUAUUUUAAAAUCUUUGAUAGUGUUUUUAAAUUUCGGAUUUGGACCUAUUUAAAACUAUUUAAAUGUUUUUGGGUCAUUCUAUAAGUAUGGGUCAGUUGAAAUUUAAUGGAAAAGUUUACGACAUAGUCAAAGUUCGAGAGCUAUUUUCAAUUUGAGGAUAAAACAAUGUUGCAAUUGUUGGCUUGUUGCAACAUUCCAUAACUUUUGUGUAUUUGUGGCUUAAGUAUAUGGCAGUCCUUGAUAUUGUAUAUUACAUAUAUCCUGCCUUCAACUCACUGAGAGUAAGAGUGCCACUGUUGUCAGUGUCCAUCUCUCUAAAUUUUUCCGUUAGCUUUUGCUUUUCUCCUGUUGGAAGAUUUUCCACAAUGACCUGAAAAUCCACUCAGUUUUAUCAGUAGAGGAAGCACAAUUAAAUGCAUAAAUUUAAUGGCUUGCACAUAUAUAGCUAACUGAAUAUAAUAACAAGUACUUCGCAAUAAAACAUUGUUGGUGAGGAAGUGCAGAUGCAGAAAUUCGAUCAAGCAUUUAACUAAUGAUUGUCGCUGUUGUAUCCAAUUCUCAUACUUAGCCCUAAUCUGAGCUAGCUCCUAAAUGGGAAGAAUCUUUUUAAUUACAUGCGUAUGUAUAUAAUUAUUAGUUAGCUAGUUGUGGUCAAUGUGACCUGUAUUUUAUCAAUGGAAUUUUAAUCAGGUGUGCGCGACAUCACACAUUGUGCACUAGAUCAAUCCUCUUAUCAAUUAAUAUAUAUUAUAUAUAGAUAUAGACACGUAUGUGAGUGGAGGAAGAAAAAAAAAUUAAGAAUAAUUUUGGCAUUUUGAUGGGUUUUAUAGAGUAAAAUCUAUAUUUUCAAAUAUGAUAAUUCUUUAAUUUAAUUUGGUGUUAUGAAAAAAGGGCAUUUUAAAUAUGUUUUAAGUUAUAAAUAACUCCAUCCAAAAUUUAAAAAUGAAAUCUGGGGGGGGGGGGGGGGGGAGGAGGGGGGGAAUUUCACCCGAACUAACAAAGGCCCAGAGUAGCCGCGGCUUUUUUCACCAAUUCUCUAAUUCCCAAUGUGGUCUAAUUAUUUACAAGGAAUAUGAGAUUCUCUACCACUCCAAUUUAUCCCAUUGUUAGUAAUCUUAUUAGCUGUUUUAUAUCCUAUUUUUAUUAUGCUCCCCAAACAAAUAUGUUUCACCUAAAGGUGCCCAACGGGCUGCACCGUCCGUCUGAAUGAACGCAUGAGAGGCUCCACAUGACCCGGCAAUCUUUUUCUUUUUAAUGAGGGCGUGACUGAUAUGCUUUUUCAAGUCUAACGCUCUUUUUUUUAAAAUCCAUAUAUUUUUUUAAGCUCAUGUCAAAUUCGGUAGUAAGAGAAUGCAAUGCUAGUUAAUAAGUUAAAGUGCAUCCGUGCCACUUUUUUCUUGUUGUUUUAUUUGUAUGAUAAUUAUCAUGGACCCACGUAACUUUCUUUUCCAUUUAAAAUUUUAUAAUAUAUUAAAUUAGACAAAAGAAAUGAAUCCCACAAAUAAUUUAUUUUAUAAUUUUUUAAAUAAUACUAUUUUAAAAUAAAUUAUUAAAACAAAUUUUAUAUUCACUAAAAUUAAUCAUAUUCAUAUUAUAAAAUAUAAAAACAACAUUUGAAAAAUAAUAUCAAAUACACCCUUAAAUUUUAUAUCGGCACUAGAACCGAUGAACAAUUUUUGACAAAGAUGUUGCGACCUAAGUAGGGAUAGCAACUAAAUUCGGAUCCAACUCGGAUAUGUAAGGAUCCGAAAGAUCCAGAUCCAGAAAAUUUUUUAUCUGAAUAUUAAAAAAUGUUGAUCCGGAUAUAGAAAUUUGGGAUCUGCACGGAUUGGGAUGGAAGUACAUUCGGAAAAUUGGAUGUCGAGAUCCGGAUAAAUUUUGUUUCAAAUUAAAAAUAUAUAUUAAAAAUUAAAUAAAAAUUAAAAAAGUAAAUUUUAUUUGUGGAUUUAUGAUGUUGUUGUAUAUUAUUCAUGUUGAAUUAUUAAUUGUUGGAUUAUGAUUGAAUUUUGUUUGAAAUUAUUGGGUAAAUUUUUGAAUUUUAUUUUAAAUUAAAAAUAUUUAUUAAAAAUUAAAUAAAAAUAAACAUUAAAUUUUAUUUGUAAAUUUAUGAGAUUAUUGUAUGUUAUUCAUUUUGAAUUAUUAAUUGUUGAAUUAUAAUUAAAUUUUAUUUGGUAUUAAUAGGUAAAUUAUUAAACUUUCAAAUUAUAUAUUAAAUUAUUUAAUUUUAAAUUUUGCAGAUCCGAAUAUCUAGAAUAUUUGUCCGCAUAUUUUUUUACGAAUCCAGAUAUAGAAAUAUGAAUAUGGAUCCAAAUUCGGAUUUUGACAACCCUAGACCAAAGCAUGAAUGUGCCUAAAGUUUUUACUAAGAACAUGGAUCAUUCAAUGACCCGACAUGUUUUGCAGCUCUCAUUAGUAUAAUUGAAUAAUUAAUUCAUCUCUAUAUUCAGCUUACACCGUCUCAAAUUGCAUGCAAAUACGAAAGUACACAUCUGAAUCGUUCACUUGAGGAAAAUUAAUUUUAACGCAAUAAGUCCUAAUUCUCCACGUAGAAUUUUAAUUCAAAGCAUAGCAAAUUAGACAUAAUUCUAAUUUAUAUGGGAAAUAUAAUUAGCGAAGACACUCUUUAUAUAAACAUUAUUGUCAUAGGAUGCCAAACCUAAUAAGAUUCAAGAUCUUAACAUACUUCAUAUGAAAUUUGAUCUUGGCGCGUACCGACACGCUUAACAUCAAGACUCUACUUCAUAUAAUGUAACUUCAUGGAUUUUUUGCUCUCUUGUGAAAUUGACAAUUAUUGGCGCUGUGUGGCAGUGGUACAUAAUAAAAUAAACGUUUAUUUUUAGAAUAUUAUUAUUUAUCUCAAUUUUUUAUUUAAUAGUUAAUUUUAAUAAAUUCUUAAACUGUCAUAAUCAAUUAAUUUUUUACAUUAUGGCAUCUUAAAUAAAUUUUGGAUCUAUAAUAAAUAAAAACUGGUAACGUUUGUUCUAUUAAAACAUAAAACAACCGUAACAUUGGUUUUUACAUUUUGAAUUUUUCUUGCAUCACUAUUUAGAAAAAUGAUGUUAAAUCAACUCACAAAAUAUAUCAAGCCAUCUAAAAUCCAAAUAUUAUUACAUUUGUAUUUGCAUUGUUAAAUUGUUGGAACGACGGCAAAGCAAUUGAAAAGAGAUUAACAAAAAAGUAAAGAUUGGCCAAGGAUUAUUCAUGUUUAGGAAAUGCCUUAACUUUUGAUAUAAUCAUUGUUAUAAUUAUAUUGUAGAAAUAAUCAAUUACCUAAUGUUUGUGGUGGUAAAUAUUAUUAACUUGUUUUACUAUACCCAUGUUUAUGUUGGUCUCCUUUUUGUCCAUUUCUGUACAACGAAAUAUUUGCAUGUUUCGAUAGAAAUUGGUUUAAAUGACAUUUAAAAUAGUAUAUCCCCAGACAAUUAACGAAAAAUUUGGAUGGUAGGAUGAAGUAAUAAGUAGUUUUACAAAUUACCGUAUUAGAGGUAAAAAAAAAUCAAGAGGUUACUUGACAAUUAUGACAUUACUAACUACAAAUUUAACACAAAAAGUUUAAUUAACUUUUCUUUUUGAGAUGACAAAAUCUCUGGUGUUGAAAACAAUGAGGUUUGAGGUUCAAGCUUGAAUAUCAAGUUACAAUUAGUAGAUGGUCUUAGGACAUAUCAAAGAUUUCUUUAAAGACAAAAUAAUAAUUACAAGCAAUAGGAAUUUAUGGUAUUCAGAACAUGUAUAUCUUCGCACAUGAAGCUUGAGUCCAGCAAAAGAUGCAGCUAGCCAAUCCUUCAACUUCCAAAACCCCACAAAAUCUCUGUCAACAUUGUUAGAGUUAUAAAUAUAAAGAAUAUUUUUGUAAUGAUUCUGCUGAUGUGGCAGCUGAGUAAGCAAGGCUAUUAUUGUUAGUUUGUAAGUUUGUUAUGGAGCUAAGAAGUUAGUUAAUCACAGCUCACUCUCAACACGUGUGUGAGCAAAUGCAUAAGGUUCUGGAUCUUAGUAUAUAAGGUCAACAUAUGUAUUCAUAAUUCAUUGAAUAAGAUUCGAUCUAUUUUUUCUUAUAGUUUCUCUUAUUGCUCAUUAAAUUUUCCUUCAUUUUCUCUGCAACCAAACAAGCAUAAAUAGCUUGGUUAAACUUCAAUUUGGUAUCAGAGCCACAUCUAGUCUAAUCUCAUGGCAUUAUCAAGCUUGAACACAAACAUCUCUUCUUCAGCAACAACCUGUACUUUCACAACUCCAAUAAAACUUGAUCGAUCAAAUUACUUAAUCUGGAAAUCUCAAAUUCUAUCCUCAGUUCGAGCAAAUGAGCUUAAGAGUUUGCUUGAUGGAUCCAGAAUCUGUCCAGAUCAAUUUCUCUCAAGCACUCAAGGAAAUUCAGAUGCUAUGUUCAAUGCUUCUGCAAGUUCAACUAUUGCUUCACGAGAGAAUCCUGAGUUUAAUGUGUGGAGAAAGCAAGAUCAGAUGCUACUGAGCUGGCUGCUAUCCUCUAUCAGCAUUGAAAUCCUCAGCUUGUGGUAAACUCUAAAACCUCUUAUGAACUGUGGUCUAGUUUAGAGCAACAAUUUGGAUCUGAAACUGAUGUUAAGAAAGUUCAUCUCAAAAUGAUGUUGAAUAAUCUGAAGAAAGGAUCUAUAACUAUGACAGAAUAUUUUAGUAAGUUGAAGUCAGUUACAGAUGAGCUUGCUAUUGCUGGAAGUCCUGUUAGUUCUUUGGAUUUUAUAACUCAUCUCAUCUCUGGAUUAGGUCAGCCUUAUUAUCCAGUAGUUGUGUAUAUUGAAGCAAAUGUUCUAAAAAUGAGUAUUAAUGAGGCUUAUUCAAUGUUGUUGACACAUGAGGCACGUUUAGAAAGCAAUCAAUCUAAUUCUUUCAAGGAAGUGAAACAGAACUAUGCUGCUAACUUAGCUCAGGCUGGAAAUAAUCAAAAGAAAGUUAACAAUCAGGGAGGCUGGAAUAAUAAUAGUCAAGGAGGCUGGAAUGGAAACACUGGAAACAAACCUGGAUUUCAUAACUGGAAUGGAAACUUUACAAACAGAGGAGGUUUCAAUUCAGGAAGGGGACAAAAUUCAGGUAGAGGACAAUGGAAUAAUAACUGGAAUAACUGGAAUGGAAAUCAAGGUAGAGGCAAUUUUGCUGGUGCUGCUGGAAAUUUUUCUGGUAGAUUUCCUGGUGGCUAUAAUGGAUUUGGAAGAGGAGGAGGCAGAGGAAAUAUUGUUUGUCAGAUUUGUUUCAAACACAAUCAUACUACAGUUGAUUGCAAAGAUAGAUUUAACAGAAAUUUUGUUCCUAAUUUUUCUGUGCAAGGAAAUUUUCCAGAUCAGAAUCAAACUUCUAGAUCUGCUUUCAUGGCUACAUCAGAAGGAGUUGCUGACCAAGGAUGGUAUCUGGAUAGUGGAGCAACACAUCAUCUCACAAACAAUGUGGUGAACCUAGCUGAAGGUAAACCUUAUCUUGGAUCUCAGUUGCUGUUAGUUGGUAAUGGACAAGGUCUUAGAAUCACUUCCAUAGGCAAUAUCUGUCUCUUUACAUCCUUUGGCAAUCAAUUAAACCUUUCCAAUGUUCUGUGUGUUCCCAAAAUUACCAAGAAUCUUAUUAACUUAUCUAAACUUCUCUCUGACAAUCAUAUAAUCAUUGAAUUUGUUUCUAAUCUUUGUUUCAUUAAGGACAAGAUGGUCUCUUUAAGCUACUGACUCAAGAUACACCUCUUUCUGAUUCUAAAGCCUUGGGUCUCAAACCUAGUUCAAUGUUGUCUGUUUUUUCAAAUAAAGAGAAUGUACACUCUUUGAAAGAGUUGAAUAACCAAAUAAAUGUCUGUUCAAAUUUGAUCAAUUCCAAUAAUGAGAAUUCUGUCAGUUUUUUAGCUUCCAGUAGUGAGUCUAUGUAGUUGCUACACAAUAGGUUUGGUCAUCCAACCAAACAUGUCUUGCAAACAAUAAUGAAAAGUCUUCCCAUGCAUUCAACCCAUUCUCAAUCUCUUAAUUUUUGUGAUGCUUGUCAAUAUGGCAAAUUACAUUAAUUCCAUUUUCCAGUCACUGAUAUAAAAUCAAAAUUCCCUCUCCAACUCUUAUAUGCUGACUUAUGGGGUCCAGCUUCUGUGUUGUUUAUGGACGGAUACAAGUACUAUAUUUCUUUUGUUGAUGAUUUCACAAGAUAUUGUUGGAUAUUUCCACUCACACUCAAAUCUGAGGCAUUUGACACCUUCAAAUAUUUCAAGUCUCUUGUCGAAAAACAGUUUUCUUUAUCCAUCCAAACACUACAAACUGAUAUGGGGGGUGAGUUUAUAGCUUUCAGAUCAUUUCUCCAACAAGAGGGUAUUCAAUUUAGAUAUAGUUGCCCCCACACUCACCAUCAAAAUGGUGUGGUGGAAAGGAAGCAUAUGCAUGUUGUUGAAACUGGACUCACACUCUUAGCUCAAGCUCACUUACCUCUCUCUUUUUGGUGGGAAGCUUUUCAUACAGCCACUUACUUAGUGAAUAGAAUGCCAACACCUGUUCUAAACAAUUUAUCUCCUUUUCAGAAACUAUACAAUCAGCUUCCAUAUCACAAGUUUGCUAAAGUGUUUGGAUGUUCUUGUUUUCCUUUUCUUCGAAAUAAGUGAAAAUUAAACCUACAAUUCAAAAUAGAGGACUGUAAAUGCGUAUAAAUUGAAGAAGGUAAAUUUUGUGUGUGCGUAAAUAUUUUAGUUAACAACAAAAAAUUCUAACAAGUUAAUAUAAGAGUAUCAUAGCAGUACAAGAGAAUUUUUUUUUUUUUUUAAUGUUAAGAGUUAUCGUGAUACCCAAUAUAUAUGUGUGUGUGAGAGAGUGGAGGAAGAAAAAAAUAUUAAGAAUAGUUUUGGCAUUUUGAUGGGUUUUAUAGAGUAAAAUCUAUAUUUUCAAAUAUGAUAAUUCUUUAAUUUAAUUUGGUGUUAUGAAAAAAAAAGGGUAUUUUAAAUAUGUUUUAAGUUAUAAAUAACUCCAUCCAAGAUUUAAAAAUGAAAUCUUAGGGGGGAAAAAAUUUCACCCGAACUAAGGCCCAAAGUAGCCGCGGCAUUUUUCACCAAUUCUCCAAUUCCCAAUGUGGUCUAAUUAUUUACAAGGAAUAUGAGUAGGUGUGGGCACGGUUCGGUCCGGUUCGGUUUGGAUCGAAAUUAAGCAGAACCAAUUUAAAUCGGUUAUUUUAGAAAAAGAACUAAAUAAGAACCGAACUCAAUAAAAACCGAAGAUAAACGAAUCUUUUCGGAUUGGUUCGGUUCGGUUCGGUUUUUUCGGUUUUGGGCCUAUUGGGCCUAUUUUCAAUUUUUAAAUUGUUAGCCCAUUAGGCCUCAUAAAUGUAAUAAUUUUAUUCAACAAUUAAUUUAUCCUAAUUUCAUUACAAAUAUUAACAAUAAAUACAAAGUAUUCAAAACACAUUUUAUCAUUAAUAUCUUACUAACUACUAAUAAGGUACUUACAAAAUAUGAAAUAUUAAGAUUUCAAAAUACAUAAUCAAACUCCAAUACUCCAUCUACAUAAACAUAAUGUUGUAAAGAAAAAUAAAAAUAACAACAAUUAAAACUUACAACACAAAAUAAAAAGAAAAUUUGGAAACAAACACCAACAACAAUUUUUAAAUAUAUAUAUAUACCAGUAAUUGUGUGUGUUCAUGCCUAUUUUAGUUAUCUCACGCAACCAAUUAAAAUUUAACACGUGUCUAUUUAAAUAAAAUUUCAAGAAUAACUCGGUUUUUCGGUUCGGUUUUUUGGUUCAGCUGAGUGAACCGAAUAUCGAACCUGUAUUUCGAUUUUUUUUACAAACCAUAUAUUUCAGUUAUUUUUUAAAAUUAAAACUAGUCCGAACGGAACGGAAUGGUUCGAAUCAAUUUUCUCUAGUGCACGAUUUUUUUGCCCACCCCUAAAUAUGAGAUUCUCUACCACUCCAAUUUAUCCCAUUGUUAGCAAUCCUAUUAGCUGUUUUAUAUCCUAUUUUUAUUAUGCUCCCCAAACAAAUAUGUUUCACCUAAAGGUGCCCAACGGGCUGCACCGUCCGUCUCAAUGAGCGCACGAGAUGCUCCACAUGACACGGCAAUCUUUUUCUUUUUAAUGAGGGCGUGUCUGAUAUGCUCUUUCAAGUCUACAUACCUAACGUUCUUUUUUUAAGUGCAUAUAUUUUUUUUAAAGCUCAUGUGAAAUUCAGUAGUAAGAGAAUGCAAUACUAGUUAAUAAGUUAGAGCCUACAAAAUAAUAAUAAUAAUAAUAAAAUUUUCUUUAAGGGUUAACAUUUUAUUGUUAAUUUGAAUUUACAUACAGUUAUAGAUUAUAGUCUAUAAUAAUAUUAAUACUUACAAGUUUCAAAUUAAAAUUUAAUAAUUAACGUUUCAUUAACACAACUAUAUUAUCUAAUUUUGCAAUAACCAAUUAUAAUACAACAAUACAUAAUUCUAAUUUCAUAGACCAUGGUAAUAAAAUCUAUACGUUAAUGAAAAAUUUUAUUUUGAUAUACGUCGGUCUGCUUGUUAUUGAUGGCCGAUGGUCGUAUGCUAGCCUGCUAAUGAAGUGUGUUUAUUAUUGGUUUUUUCACGUGUCUUGCUUUACCACAUCUCUAGUCAAAUUGUGUUCUUAAAAUCCACAGCCUAACCUAGCCUCUGUGUGUGUCCUGUUGUGCCAUACUAUACAAACACGUAUCCAGUACAAUGCCACAUACCGGUCGGCCCUUAGCCAUCUCUAGUUUCACCCCUAAAUGAAAUCUAAACGGCUACUGGCAAGUAAGAAAACUUGUUAUUCUUUAUUUUGAAAAUAAAGGGAAUUGCUUAGUUUGAUAUUGUUUUUGGUAAGUCAUUUUUUUGUUUUGAAACAUUUUUCUGAGAUGUUGUUGUAUUUGGUGAAAAAUAAAUUAUUUUAUUUUAUACUUUUAAUGAAGAAAAGUAGAGAAAAACAUUUUGUUGUUUUCGACAACAUUUGCCUUAUAAGUGCACCCGUGCCAUUUUUUUCUUGUUUUAUUUGUAUGAUAAUUAUCAUGGACCCACGUAACUUUCUUUUGCAUUUAAAAUUUCAUAAUAAAUUAAAUUAGACAAAAGAAAUGAGUCCCACAAAUAAUUUAUUUUAUAAUUUUUUAAAUAAUACUAUUUUAAAAUAAAUUAUCAAAACAAAUUUCAUGUUCACUAAAAUUAAUCAUAUUCAUAUUAUAAAAUAAAUAUAAAAACAAUAUCUGAAAAGUAAUGCUAAAUACACUCUUAAAUUUUCUGUACAGCAUUAGAAUUGAUGAACAAUCUGACAAAGAUGCUGCGACUUAAGUAGGGAUGACAAUUAAAGCCGAAUUUGGAAAAAUUCAUGUCUGCAAAUUAAAAAAUGUGGAUUCGGAUAUAGAAAUUCGGAAUUCAUACGGAUCCAAAUAAAUUUUAUUUUAAAUUAAAAAUAUAUAUUAAAAAUUAAAUGAAAAAUUAAAAAAUAAAUUUUAUUUGUGGUUUUAUGAUGUUGUUGUAUAUUAUUCAUGUUGAAUUAUUAAUGGUUGGAUUAUGAUUGAAUUUUAUUUAAAAUUAAAAAUAUAUAUUAAAAAUUAAAUUAAAAAAAAUUAAAUUUUAUUUGUAGAUUUAUGAGAUUAUUGUAUGUUAUUCAUGUUGAAUUAUUAAUUGUUGAGUUAUGAUUGAAUUUUAUUUGAUAUUAUUAGGUAAAUUAUUGAAAUUUUAAAUUAUAUAUUAAAUUAUUUAAUCUUAAUUUUUACAAAUAUGAAUAUCUAGAAUAUCUGCCUGCAUCCGUUGCAGAUAUUAUCUGCUUCCAGAUCCACAUCUUUUUACGAAUCUAAAUAUAGAAAUAUGAAUGCGGCUCCGAAUCUAGAUUUUACCAACCCUGAACCUAAGCAUGAAUGGGCCUAAAGUUUUCACAACAAACAUGAAUCAUUAAAUGACACGAGAUGUUUUACAGCUCUCAUUAGUAUAAUUGAAUAAUUAAUUCAGCUCUAUAUUCAGUUUACACCGUCUCAAAUUGCAUGCAAAUAGGAAAAUGCACUUCUGAAUUGUUCACUUGAGGAAAAUUAAUUUUAACUCAAUAAGUCCUAAUUGUCCACGUAGAAUUUUAACUCAAACCAUAGCAAAUUAGACAUAAUUCUAAUUUAUAUGGGAAAUAUAAUUAGCAAAGACACUCUUUAUAUAAACAUUAUUGUCAAAGGAUGCCAAACCUAAUAAGAUUCAAGGUCUUAACAUACUUCAUAUCAAAUUUGAUCUUGGCGCGUACCGACACGCAUAACAUCAAGACUCUACUUCAUAUAUAAUAAUGUAACUUCAUGGAUUUUUCGCUCUCUUGUGAAAUUGACAAUUAUAGGCGAUGUGCCAGUGAGGCAGUGGUACAUAAAAUAAAGGAUAAAAGUUCAUUUAGUCCUUAUAUUUUAAUAUUAAUGUCUAUUUAGUCCCUGUAUUUGUUAAAAUACCUCGAAACAUUCCUGCCGUUAAAGUAUUGAUGCCCUUACUGUUACUUUUUAUUUUUUUAGCUUACUUUUACAAUAUUACCCUUUUAUAAUAAAUUUUUUGUUUGGACAUUAAUCAAAAUAAAAUAAUUAAUUAUCAAUUUAACCCUAAAAAAAUUAUAUUAAUUUUUAAUUGUCAAAAAUUAAAUUGUCAAAUAUCAAGUGUGCAAAUGGUGCUUGCAAAAAAAUUAAUAUAAUUUUUUUUAGGGUUAAAUUUGGUAAUUUAAUUAUUUUAUUUUUAUUAAUGUCCAAACAAAAAAAUUAUUAUAAAAGGGCAAUAUUGUAAAAGUAAGCCAAAAGAAAUAAAAAGUAAUGGUAGGGGUAUCAAUACUUUAACGGCAUGGAUGUUUCGAGGUAUUUUUAAAAAUACGGGGACUAAAUGGACACUAAUCUCAAAAUACAGGGACUAAAUAGACUUUUACCCUAAAAUAAAUGUUUAUUUUUAGAAUAUUAUUAUUUAUCUCAAUUUUUAUUUAAUAGUUAAUUUUAAUCCAUUCUUAAACUGUCAUAAUCAAUUAAUUUUUUACAUUAUCACAUCUUAAAUAAAUUUUGGAUCUGUAAUAAAUAAAAACUGGUAACGUUUGUUCUUUUAAAACAUAAAACAACCGUAACAUUGGUUUUUACAUUUUGAAUUUUUCUUGCAUCACUAUUUAUAAAAAUGAUGUUAAAUCAACUCACAAAAUAUAUCAAGCCAUCUAAAAUCCAAAUAUUAUUACAUUUGUAUUUGCAUUGUUAAAUUGUUGGAACGACGGCAAAGCAAUUGAAAAGAGAUUAACAAAAAAGUAAAGAUUGGCCAAGGAUUAUUCAUGUUUAGGAAAUGCCUUAACUUUUGAUAUAAUCAUUGUUAUAACAAUAAUGCUACACAUCCCAAAUUUUUUAUCCCAAAAAGUUAUCCCAAAUGAUAUGUCAUUAAUUGAGUGGUUGAUAAUUCUUUACAAGAUCCAAGUGAAUUAAUUGUAUUAUCUCACCAACCAAUUGAUUAAUGCCACAUCAUUUGGGAUAACUUUUUGGGAUAAAAAAUUUGGGAUGUGUAGCAUUAUUGUUGUUAUAAUUAUAUUGUAGAAAUAAUCAAUUACCUAAUGUUUGUGGUAGUAAAUAUUAUUAACUUGUUUUACUAUACCCGUGUUUAUGUUGGUCUCCUUUUUGUCCAUUUCUGUACAACGAAAUAUUUGUAUGUUUUGAUAGAAAUUGGUUUAAAUGACAUUUAAAAUAGUAUAUCCCCAGACAAUUGACGAAAUAUUUGGAUGGUAGGAUGAAGUAAUAAAUAGUUUUACAAAUUACCAUAUUAGAGGUAAAAAAAAAUCGAGAGGUUACUUGACAAUUAUGACGUUACUAACUACAAAUUUAACACAAAAAGUUUAAUUAACUUUUCUUUUUGAGAUGGCAAAAUCUCUGGUGUUGAAAACAAUGAGGUUUGAGAUUCAAGCUUGAAUAUCAAGUUACAAUUAGUAGAUGGUCUUAGGACAUAUCAAAGAUUUCUUUAAAGACAAUAAUAAUUACAAGCAAUAGGAAUUUAUGGUAUUCAGAACAUGUAUAUCUUCGCACAUGAAGCUUGAAUCCAGAACAAGAUGCAGCUAGCCAAUCCUUCAACUUCCAAAACCCCACAAAAUCUCUGUCAACAUGUCUGUUGUACUAAGCACAUUCAUAGGGGUAUCAACAGCUUACAGCUCCAAAAUAUUUUCCCCAAAAAGAGUUGAGAGAUUUCACUGAAGCUAAUUUGUGACUUGUGACUGCCCAAAUGUUCUAUAACACGGUAUGAUUAUUCUAGUAACACAAAUCCAACAGCAUGCAACAUAAUCUACUCUCUAACAUUGUGCAUUAGCAAAAUAAAACAGAGUAAAAAGAGAAACCAUGCCUGUGAAUCUCUUCUUUUCCCCCUGCCACCCCUUUUUUUGGUGAAGUCCAUCAAAUGAAAAUGCAGCAUGACCAUGUUGGCCACUGCCACUGCCAUUACUUCUUCAACUGUGGCUUUUGUUGCAGGAAAUAUUCAAGUGAAAGAUUGGAUUAUAUAAUUCAAGAUUCCAAUAAACCUGAGCUGCAAAGGUUGCCUUCCACUAGCCUAUCAGAGACUAUGCUUUCUAUUUUCCUAGUUUUUUAAUCAUAAUUUUGCAAGAUUUAUUUAUGGAAAACUGGGACAAAAUUUUAUGUAAGAUACCAUAAAGCCAAACACAAUCUUUUUAAUUCUCAGCAGCAAGAUUUAAAGUUAAAAAAGGGAAGCCAUAUAAAUAUAACUAUGUUUGGUACAAGUAACAAUUAUUUCAAGCUUUCAGAAAUGCUAGCAAGAGAUUGUAAGAGAACUUUACCUAGUCACAGAAUAUGUCAAACAUACUACCACCAACUGUCUUUAGCACGAUUGUUAUGGAAGUAGCUUUUGAAUCGGAAGAUUCCAGCUUCCACCAGGCACCAUUAUUUUCAUUCUUGAUACAAUCUGCAUCACUGGCAUUAGUUAUAUCAUCAACAUUUGCAUCCUCACUCUCAUCAUCCCAAUCAAGGCUUCUUCUCCAGCUCUGGAUUAUAAGUCCACUCCGACAUCUUCAAACAUCUCGGUCCUUCCAUUUGCCAACAACCGAUAUGGCUUCCUUCCUUGCCUUCCCCAUUAAUAUAUCACUCGAAGGAAAAAAAGCAUCAGCAAUUCUCUUCAACGCCUCAUCGUUUAUAACCCCCCAAAAAAAGGGUCUUCAGACACUUCAACUUUGCCUUCUGCAAAACCUCCACAAAAUCUGAAUUAUCCAACACAACAGCCAGACACUCAAUCCUUCUUUUGUCCAUCAUAUCCACCGUAUGAUUCCUCAACAAAAUAUGUACAGCUUGUGGCUUAUCUAACACUGUCUUGAUCCAAAACCCCGCUCUUUUCAACUCAUCUGCCAAACCAUAACCCACUUUUGGAGUCAAAAUUGUCCUUGCAGCCCUUUUAUAUUUUUCCAUCUCCAUCGAAUACUUGCCACUCAAAUGGAAUUACCAGACAGGAAUCCCAGUAACAAGUCCACUCAACUUCUUCUCAUCUGAUCCCUCUUUCACUCUGGCGGAAACAUUAAUAACCAUUCACCAGCCACAAAUUACCCAAGUAAGUACUCGUGUCGUCGACACUUACCCUUCACUUCAUCUACGCAAACGAGAAUUCAAAUUGCUUACUAGCUAGUGCUCGAGCAAAAGCCAGAAUAAAUUAAAUAUGUGUGUGUGGUAGCGAAGUUAUCUAUAUAUAUAUAUAUAUAUAUAUAUAUAUGAAGUUGGGACACGAGGAGAUGACGUGGCAUCACCAUUUCUCAUCUUUGUAUAUUCUCUAUUAUCUAAUAAAUAGAGAAUUUUUUUUUCAGAUUUAACUUUUCAUCUUCUCAUAAUUAAUUUAAUUGUUAUUACACAAUAACAAUUAUGUAAAAAUUUUAAUGAGGCAUAUUCUUUAUAAUGAACAUCCAAAGGGAAGUGUUAUGAAUUUAUUAAAAUAAAUGUAGAUGUUCAUAACAUAUAUCUCUUAUUCUCACCACUAUCUCUCAUUAGCAACCUUUAGCUUCCCUAUAACUCCCACUAUCUCACAAGGAAUUAUGAUCCAUAAUUUUUCAUUAAUUUCAUAGAGUGAUUAUGUAACUAUAAAAGGAGAGCUCAUCUUUUGUUCUGUACACACACAAUUAGAAUGAAUAAAAUCACUCUAUAAUAUAUUCUCUCAUUUUAUUCUUUAUCUUGCGUUGCUUCUUUAUUUGUAUUGCUGGUUAAUAGUUUUUUUUUUUUGUUUUUUAUAAGGCUGCCUCAUCUUCAAAAAAAAUCAAUUCAUAUUUUUUAUCAGUUUCAUAAAGUGUAAAGUAAAAAAAAAUAAUACUAAAUUCUUUUUUCAAAGUCGCAUGAAACGCGGUUCUAUUUUUUAGUAUAUAUAUAAAGCUGGAACUGGAGGAGGUGAUGUGGCAUCACCAUUUCUCAUCUUUGUAUAUUCUCUAUUAUUUAAUAAAUAGAGAAAUUUUCUUUUAGAUUUGGCUUUUCAUCUUCUCAUAAUUAAUUUGAUUGUUAUUACACAAUAACAAUUAUGUAAAGAUUUUAAUGAGGCAUAUUCUUUGUAAUGAAUAUCCAAGGGGGAGUAUUAUGAAUUUAUUAAAAUAAAUGUAGAUGUUCAUAACAUAUAUCUCUUAGUCUCCCCACUAUCUCCCAUUAACAAUCUUUAGCUUCCCUAUAACUCCCACUAUCUCACAAGGAAUUAUGAUCCAUAAUUUUUCAUUAAUUUCAUGGAGUGAUUAUGUAACUAUAAAAGGAGAGCUCAUCUUUUUGUUUUGUACACACACAAUUGGAAUGAAUAAAAUCACUCUAUAAUAUAUUCUCUCAUUUUAUUCUUUAUCUUGCGUUGCUUCUUUAUUUGUAUUGCUGUCUAAUAGUUUUUUUUUUGUUUUUUAUAAGGCUGCCUCAUCUUAAAAAAAAAUCAAUUCAUAUUUUUUUAUCAGUUUCAUCAAAUAUAAAGUAAGAAAAAAUGAUAAUACUAAUUUUUUUUUUCAAAGCCGCGUGAAACGCGGUUCUAUUUUCUAGUUAUACAAUAAAGCAAACCAAAAUAAAUUCUACACUCAUAUAUAUAUAUAUAUAUAUAUAUAUAAAGCUGAGACUUGAGGAGGUGAUGUGGCAUCACCAUUUCUCAUCUUUGUAUAUUCUCUAUUAUCUAAUAAAUAGAGAAAUUUUCUUUUAGAUUUGACUUUUCAUCUUCUCAUAAUUAAUUUGAUUGUUAUUACACAAUAACAAUUAUGUAAAGAUUUUAAUGAGGCAUAUUCUUUGUAAUGAAUAUCCAAGGGGGAGUGUUAUGAAUUUAUUAAAAUAAAUGUAGAUGUUCAUAACAUAUAUCUCUUAGUCUCCCCACUAUCUCCCAUUAACAAUCUUUAGCUUCCCUAUAACUCCCACUAUCUCACAAUGAAUUAUGAUUCAUAAUUUUUCAUUAAUUUCAUGGAGUGAUUAUGCAACUAUAAAAGAAGAGUUUAUCUUUUUGUUUUGUACACACACAAUUGGAAUGAAUAAAAUCACUCUAUAAUAUAUUCUCUCAUUUUAUUCUUUAUCUUGGGUUGCUUCUUUAUUUGUAUUGCUGUCUAAUAACUUUUUUUUUGUUUUUUAUAAGGCUGCCUCAUCUUAAAAAAAAAAAUCAAUUUAUAUUUUUUUAUCAAUUUCAUCAAAUGUAAAGUAAGAAAAAAUGAUAAUACUAAAUUCUUUUUUCAAAGCCGCGUGAAACGCGGUUCUAUUUUCUAGUUAUACAAUAAAGCAAACCAAAAUAAAUUCUACACUCAUGUGGGUGUUUCGUUCGCAAAAUCUGGACAAGAAAAAUAAUAUUGAUACAAUCUCCAAAUAAAGAGCAUUCCUCUUGGUAAAAUAGACAAAUCCUAUAAAUUUUGAUUAAUGGUGCCAAAUGAAAGAGUUGUAAUUUCAUGUACAUUUUGUUAACAUGAAUAAGGGUACAAAAUAGAUAACAAAGUGACAAAAACAAAGCUAAUCACAAUGAAUGAUAAGGCUUAGAGUAAACAAAAAGUUAUAAUCUUGAACAUAAGUGGCGCUCAAAGCCAUGAAUUUGAUAUCAUCCAUGAGGGGAGUUCAAACAAUAGCAUGUAAGAAGCAACAAGUGUUGAGAAAAAAAAAAUUUCAUUCUACCACAACAGAAUAAAUUGUAAAGAAAUCCCAGUUUGUAUAAAAGAAAGAAAACAAAAUUAAGGAAAACAUAAGCACAACAAAAUUCGACUGAUUAUUAAAAAUGAGAAAUGAGUUAUAAUGAGAAUUUUAGCUUUGUUGUGAAAUAAAUUGGGAAGUAUCCAAAGUACGCAUGUAAAUAAUAAAAAUGAUAAGAAGACGAAGGGAACAUAAUGAUAAUAAGCAAGCCAAAUAUUAAAAUGCAGAUUCUACGCUUCUGCCCCCCCAUACUUCAAGUUAGUGUCUCGCUAAUCAUUUUAGAUGUAUCAAUUACAAAGGGAGGCCAUCUAUUUAUAGUAAGCGUACGCCUCUAAUGCUUUGCCAAGUGUCCAUUGAUAAUAUCACAAGGGAAAUUAAAUUGGUGUAUGUGUAUUACACCUCCUAAAGUCAUGUUAAGAUAGUGUGCUGAUAAAGCUUGUUGCACGUGUGAUUGGUUAAGUCUGCUAGAAAUGCAAACGUGUAAAGCUGAGUCAGCAAGUUAGUUAAGGUUAUUAUGAAUGCUUAGAUUCAGCUCACGUGUAUUGUAUGUAAUACUUAGAUUCAGGUCAUGUAGAUUGUGUAAUCUCAAUAUAAAUACUUGAUGAUCAUGAUUCGACAUUCCUCACAGCAGGAGCUGUGGAUCUUUAGACAUCAGAUUUUAAUUUCUGUAAUGUUAAAUUUGGAUCCCAUAUUCGACAUUCCUCACAUCAGGAGCUGUGGAUCUUUAGACAUCAGAUUUUAAUUUCUGUAAUGUUAAAUUUCCCAAAACAUUAAAAAAAACAAUGCUGUAUACAUGGUGAAUGAUCUGGCGUAUCUAUAGGUAUUACCCAAGACAUUUCUGAGAACCUGAACUAGGAAUCCUUGUAUUUUUCUUUAUGUCAAGACAGUGACUUGAAGAUUUUAGAUUAUUUUUUUUGGCCAUUUUAUAAUUGUUGGCAUAUUGAACUUGAGUAAUUUUGAUAAACCAUAGUUCAGGAAUGUCUGAUAGAAAUAUUGGAGACUUGAACUUGAAUAUUAGAUUUGAAAUUAAAGAGGUAAGCCAUUAAAAUACAUCAAAGGAUUUGGAAAAUGGAGGAAUUGGAAUAUUGGUAUGAUGGGAUUACAAGAAAGGGAAACUUUUGCAUCAACAUCAAGCAUUGGGCAUUUUCAUUUGUCCUAUUCUAACACCAGUUAGGAAUAUCAACAAGGAGUUACGCUAUGAAUUAAGUAAUCUGCCAGUAAUGCAAGCAUUGAAUGUGAAGAGCUUCACAUAACUUUGAAUUAGCUUAUGAUUUAACACUAUUCCUUUUUGUGUGUGAUCAUGCAUUACGCCGUACUAGAUUUUUCUCUUUCUCUGCGGGAGAGAAAAGAAAGAGAAACAAUGGAUGCAAUAUAAAAAAAGUAAUACAUAUUUACCUAUUUAGUAGGCAAUUUACGCCAACGGUGACACUAUCACAUCAUGAGCGAGUUAUGUAAUAGUUCUUAGAUGAGAUCAUUCUUGCUGCAUUAUUAUUAGAAGUAUCUAUUUAUGCAAGAUUGAUAAUUUGAAUACACGUCCAAAUUAACAAGAGUUUUUAGGCAGUUUAAUUUAACUAACUAGCUAUUUAGAAUACACAUCAUAAUAAAAAAAAAGUACAAUUUAAGAUGUAUGAUUAGACUAUCUAUCUGCUCAAUCAAGACUGAGUGUGAUAUUUCCUCCGUAAACUCAUAGUUAGUUUUGUCACGCUUACAAAUCAAACUACAUUAACAUGAUUUAGGUAUUAGGGCAAGAUUGGAAAAAAAUGUCGAUAAUGCAAUGAUUAUGACGGAGAACAAACCUACAAACAGUACAGCGCAUGGACCUUUUUUCAAAAGAAAUUAUUCUUGAAAGAUAAAAAAAUUCCUUGCUUUUUACAUUAUUUUUUAAUGUAAAAAAUAUUCUCAGUUCUUGACUUGGUAUCAGAUUUUUACGUUACUAGAAAAAUCUAGUACGGCGUAAUGCAUGAUCACACACAAAAAUUUGAGGAGUUGAUGAUAAUCUCAAUAUAAAUACUUGUAAUCAACAAAUACAAUAAUAAGAGUCAUCAUUCUUCAUUUUCUCUCAGUUUCUCUCAUAUUUUCUCUGCAUCCAAACACAAUAUUCUCAGUUCUUGACUUGGUAUCAGAUUUGCAGUUUAAUUGUCAUGGCUUCCUUCCUUAAGCACAAAUUCAAACACAAAUCAGUCUCCUUCAUUCUUUACCGUCACAAAUGCGAUCAAACUGGACAGAUCUAACUAUACGAUAUGGAAAUCUCAGAUCCUCUCUUCAGUGCGUGCCAAUGGACUUGAAGGCUUUCUUAAUGGAACUAAAAUUUGUCCAGAUCAGUUACUUACUCAAGAGAUUGAAAGUUAUGGUGUUGAAAAUGCUGUUGUUGAAAGCUCAACUGAUAGAUCUCAGGAGAAUCCAGCCUUUGUUGCUUGGAAAAGGUAGGAUCAAUUGUUAUUAAGUUGGCUCAUGUCCUCCAUCAGUGUUGAGAUACUUAGUCUUGUGGUAAAUUCUGAUUCUUCUCAUAAACUUUGGACUAAUCUUGAAGAAAAUUUUUGGAUUAGAAACUAUGGCUAAGAAAGCACACUUAAAAAUGAUGUUAAGCAAUCUCAGAAGGGGAUCAAUGACAAUAACUGAGUAUUUUGCCAAACUUAGAGCUGUAACUAAUAAACUUGCUCUAACUGGUAGCCCUGUUUCUACUCUAGACUUUAUUAAUCAUCUAAUCUCGAGAUUAGGCCAGCCAUACUACCCUGUUGUUUUGUAUAUUGAAGCUAAUAUGAUGAAAAUAUUUGUCAAUGAAGCCUACUCUAUGCUUUUAACUCAUGAAGCAAGAAUUAAAUUUAAUCAUCCGAGUGCAAAUAAAGAAGCAAAGUUGAAUUAUGCUGCUAACAUAGCUUAGGCUGGACCUAGUAAUAACAAUAAGAAGUCUAGUAAUCAAGCUAAUUACUAUCAGGGCAACCAAGGUAACGGGAAUAGAAAUGCUCAUUGGUGUGGUAACAAUGGAGGAAGAGGUGGCUUUGGCAGAGGUUUUUCAGGGCAAGGAAGGGGUAAUUAGAAUAAUGGUGGUCAUUGAACAAUGGACCUUGGAGUAGUAGUCGAGCAGGUUAUAAUUGUUCUGAUAUAAACAUUAUGACAUGGUUGCUGGUGAACCUGUAAACAUAACCACAAAAGUAAGAAGGCAUAAUUUUUUUAUAAGAAACUCAAAAAUGUAUUAAUGAUGAAAAUUUUAAAAUAGAUAGUGGACCAUCUGUCCAGUAAGAAAACAAAAAACUGAAUAUUUGUGCUAUAAAAAGGCACACCCAAUCUCACCCCUAUAAAAGGCUAGAAUCAGCUACAAAUCCCUACCUCAAAACCCCAUCCCAGUUUAGAUGAAUGAAGAAAAAUGAUGAAUCUUGAAACUCCUUAGAAACUGAAGCCCAAAGUGAAGCAAGAAGAUGAACUCUAUCCCAAGCAAGCAAUAUGGCAUAUAUCUCCAUUAAUGGUUCAAAUAAAGUGAAUGGCUUUCUCUGAUGAGUGGGAAAUUGUCAAGAUCAAUAGUCAAACUCACGCAAAGUAAACGGACUUAAUUCUCAGAGGCUACUCAUUCUAAGUCUUAAAGAAAAUUUUUCUAAUUUCUAAAGAUUAUAUGGGGAAAAAAUCAUUAUUUUUAAGAUGGAAAAUUUGAUAUGGUGUUUAAUGUCUGAUCACAAUGAUAAUAUGAGUACUAACAAAAACAUCUUUAAUAGGCAUGGUGCGAGUAAAACACCUUUGUAAUGUACCUCAUCAAAUAUAACCCAAGCCACUUCGCGCGUAAUCUCUGAGCCUUUGUACUGCAUACUACGCCAGAUUUCAGUAGUCAUCACCUGAAAUUAAACUUCAUAUAAGCAAUCCACAAAUCAAAGCGCUGCAACACCCAAAAGAUGACACUACCAAGUUGACCUACCAAACAAGAAGCAUUAGGGUCAAUUGUGACAUCCCCAGUCAUCAAACCAACAUCUGAAACUCUUCUUUAAACUCUUCUGAUUGCUGAGUGCCUUAAUCGGUGAAGUAUAUAUCACACGUUGCUUAUUCCGCAACGACAUAGCAAUAGCAUACAAUGCUACCACAGUUUUCCCAGCAGAUGUAUGGGCCGAUACCUGUCAAAUAAAUGAAAGGCAAAUCCAAAUUAAAAAAAGAAAAGAAAAAAAAAACUAUUUUUAUUUUCACACAUGAUAACACUUCAUGCAAAAAUUCUUAAUUCUUAUCGGUGAGCUGAAAAGCAGAGCGCUUUGUACCAAAGCACUUCCAAAUUCGAAUUAAUGUUUUUACAAAAAAUUACAGCUUUAUAUAUUUGUAUGUGCGCGUGCGUAUAAUAAUAAUAAUAAUAAUUAACGAACCGUAACGGACUCGCCGUUGUCGAGGCACUUGAUAGCUUCGGACUGGAAUGGGUCGAGAGUGAAAGGGAAUUCCUUAGCAUGUUUAGCGUCAGCUUCAGCCACUUGACCAAGACGCAUUAAACAUAAAACGCGGCGUUUUCAUGGACUAGUACAUUCCAUGCUUCGAAAGUUUUAUGGUUUAGACUGAUUGGUUUGAUACAUUAUUUGUUUGUUGCGUUUUUCUUGCUUUAAAUAUUAUGUUGGAUACUUGGAUUGAUAAGUUUUGUACACGUUUAUAUUGCUCGCAGUAAAUAAUUUAUGACAUUUAAAAAACUAUCAACCGUCUAUCAAAAGAUUUCUACUAUAAAUAUAUAUACACAAAAAACUUUUAAUUUGGUCAAUUUGUUCUCUUAUUUAUUUUUGUUCUAUUUCUCUUUUCCUUUCCUUUCAUUUUAUUGUUUUAUGGUAUAAAAUAAAAAAAUAACCUUAAAAUUUAAGGUGAUGUUUGGUUGGGAGGAGAGAAUGUAGGAGAGGAAAGUAAUUUAAAUUCUCUUGUUAUUUCCAUUGUUUGGUUUGACAAAAUGUAUAAGAAUUAAAUUUUUAUUAGAAUUUAAUAUCCAUCAUAAUGUAGAAUUUGAAUUCCAUAUUAAGUAGCGAAGAAUUUAAAUUUCUCUUCUAUUAGAAACUAAAGGUUCCAAAAUUACCCUUCAACUUUUUAGCUUAUUUAAUGCCAUUAAUAAUAAUAAUUUAAUAUUAUAAAUGGACCUCCACCGGAAAGUCGCCGGACUACCCCCGGAUCUCGUCGGACCACCGCCGGAAGAUCGUCGGACCACUGCCGGAAAAUCACCGGACCACCGCCGACCUCGCCGGACCUCCGCCGCCGGCCACCGGAUCGCCAUUUAUAUAUAUAUAUAUAUAUUAUUACUAAUAUAAAUAGUUUAAUAUUUAAGGUAAAAGAUAAAUUUGUCUAAAGAAAAAAAUUAUAAUUCAUUUCCUUAUCAAAUUUUAUAUCAAACCAAACAACAAAAUUUAAUUUCACUACUCUUCUCUAUUCCUUUCUUCUCCAUUCCUCUCCAUUCCACUCUUUUCCACUCCUCCAUUUUCUUCAAACCAAACAUGACCUAAGGGUAAAAUACUCAUUUUACUAAAAUUCCGUUUAAUAUCAUAACGCUGUCAAUGGAAAAAUAUACGAGUGAUAUAAAUUAAAAACAAAUAAAUUGAAAGUUUUUAUGUAUUUUCCUUUUAUUUUUUUAAUAGCCGAUUGAGAUUUCCCUUCAUAUUUUUAAAUUCAAUAGGUUUAGACCGUUUAACAAAUCUUAAAUUAAAAAAACCCGCGGUGUAAUAACAAACUCACAUCAAACCCUGUACACUGUCAUCCCUAAUUAUAUUUACCACUUCAUACUCACAGUGAUAAUAACUGUGUAUCACAAUUGAUUUUGCAUACGGGUAAAAGUUCCAAGUCCGGAUAUUUAGUUAAUGAAAUUUGAUGAAAAGGGCAUGAAAGAAAAUAAGAAAUUAAAUAAUACAGGAGGUAUUAAUCAUUACAUAUUUAGUUAAUGAAAAUUGAUGAAAAUAUUUCUGCAGACGUGAGCCAUAAUUAUAUUACCGUUAAGAAUGAAGCAGAAGAGUUUCCCCAAACAAGCUAAAACACAGCACUUCAAUUUAAAGAAUUUUUAUAUCACAGUACCGGGGUAAAAAGUUUAAUGCAACAACAUACAUUAAGUUAAUUCCAUAAUCUAUCCCCAAAGAAAGACAAACACAAGCUUAUAAGAUUAAAACUUUGGAAAACAUUAGAGUCGGACAAAAUUGUGUAAUCUUCAGAGUUUGGAGCCUAGUUCAUCCAGGAAAGCAAAAGAAAUAAUAAUAAUAAUAAUAGUGGUGGUUUGAUCUCAAAAGGUGGCAUCAAAGUGGUAACUUUGAGGUAUUGGAAGCAAUAACGUCUUCAACUUUGUCCUGAUUUCGAAGUCCCUUAACCCAUCCGCCAUCAAUGGAUUGAAUGCUUCCAUUCAACCCAUCAUCCACAAAAUCACCAACCCGUUUCACCUUCAUCUCCUUGGGCUUAACAGGGUACUUUCCAGAGAAGCAAGCAAAACAAAAAAUCCGAGAAUCAUCGCCUAACAACUUGUUCAAGCUGUCAAUCGGCAGAAAAGCAAGCGAAUCACACCCAAUAAACUCCCUGAUUUCCUCAACGCUCAUCCUGUUGGAAAACAACUCCUCAGUACUUGGAGUGUCUACUCCGUAGUAACAAGAAGCUAUGAUUGGUGGGCUUGCAGCGUACCCAAGUGCAGCCACCACUCCAGAAUCUGGUACUGCAAUCACGACAUCACACUCAGCAGGAGCCUCGGUAGCAAGUACUUCCCCAAAAUGAUACCUCGACUCAUAAACAGACCUUCCAAAAACAACAGAAUUAGGCAAAGCAAAAUAAAUAUGCUCAACGAAGCACUGCUUAGGUUCAGGGUGAGGCAUCAAACAAGGUGAUUGAACCCCAUCUUUAUCCACCAUCAAAACUUCACCGGGAUAUACCGUAUGUGGCCUCAAUCAAAUAGUGCACAAGUCUCUGACGCAAAAACCAGAGCACCAUUACUCCUCCUACCCAUCACCAAUGGCAUAAACCCAUACGGGUUACGAACCGCAACAAGCUUAUCCUCAGUAACAAACACCAUUGAAUAAGCACCCUCAAGCUUCUCACAAACAUCCACAAUCCUCAAAAAGAACGGCCUAGCUUUCGAUAUCGGAAUCAAAUGGAGAACAACCACAGUAUCAGAACUAGUAUUGAAAAUGGAUCCAUUAUCUUCAAGCUUAGCCCUCAAAGUAUUAUAAUUAACUAAUGUGCAACACCAACAGAACCAAACCUGUACCCAGCAACAAAAGGCUGCACAUUCUUAAGCAUAGAACUACCCGCAGUCGAAUAUCUAACAUGACCAAUGGCCAUAUCACCCGGCAAUUGAUCAAGUUUAGACUGAUUAAACACAUCAGAGACUAAACCAACACCAGUAAUAGACUGAAGAACUUUGUUAUUCACAGCAACUAUACCUGCACCUUCUUGGCCGCGAUGCUGCAUCGCGUGUAGCGCCAAAUAGCACAAACGCGAGGCCUCUGGGUCACCAUAGAUGCCCAUAACACCACACUCCUCACGGGGCUUAUCGUCGUCAUCAUCAUCAAAACUGCCAAAACCGUCAUCUGGAUAUUCUUUAUUUGUGGUGAAAAACUCAGAGAUGGGGUUUUUUGAUAGAACAGUGAAGUUAUUUUUGUGGAUUAAAGAUUGUUGUUUCUGAGGAAAAAAAGGGUUUUUUUGCAGGGUUUUGGAGAAAAGAGAAAGAUGGGUUUUUUGCGACGGCUUAGGGUUAACAGAUGGAGAUGGGUUUGAGAGAGGGCAGAUGUUGGCGUGCCUGUUGUGGUGGCUGCCAUUAAUGGCUGAAUUUAUUCUAUUCUAUUUUAUUUAUUGGGUUGCCUUGCCCUUGCUCAAAGAAAAAACAGAGGAGGUGUGUGGAGGGAGACAGUGGCGAAGGGUACUUUAAGUAGAGGGGAACUUGUUCUAGGUUUUUUUCUGGAAUUGUGAGGGAAUCUGAUCCUGGGUUUGUGCAUAUGAUUCAAUUACUUAUAGGUGAUACUGUUGUGUCACCACAAAUUCUAAUUGGGAAGCUUCAGCUGUCAAUUUUUUUCCAAGGGUUAAUUAGGUAGAACUUUCAUGUCGUCGAUUUUAUUUGGAGAUUCUAAAAGUAGUUUCCAAAUAAAGAGAUGGACCAAAAUCAACAAUGUGACAAAGAUACUUUAGAUUUUUUUUCCUUGUGGGACAUGAAAAUUGAUGCAUGUUCCAAUGCAUUGCUCUAUCAGAAUUGGAAUUAAACUUAGUUUGUAUUCUCCUAUUCCGAAAGCAAAACUUAUAAGUGAUAUUAUAAGAAGAAGAAAUUAAGAACCAUAACAAAUUUGAUGAUUCUAAUUUGCUAGAAAUAUUGCAAUCCAAAACUAAGAAAGUUAAAACCAAUUAUUAGAAGAAAAAAGUAGGACGGAAGCUCCCAGAAUAUUGUUAUGUGUUGUAUUUUUUCAGUUUGUAUUUCCCAAUCAAUAAGGAAAAGUAAGUACACACGUUACAAAAAUUUAAUAAAAAAGAUUGGAGGUGACAAAACCGUCAAUUUUCUAAUUAACUUUCUCUCCUUUCGAAUUUCCUGAGUUUGGUAGAGACUGCUUAAGUGGUGUAUCUAUUAUAAACAAGCAAAACUAUGUUGCAACAGUGGUACGGUACCACUGUUGCAACAGUGGUACGGUACCACUGUUGCAACCAGCUAUUGAAUCUAUAGUUGUAUAGUUACAUUAGCAAGAUCCAAUAGCUAAACGAAACAAUAGUACCGUACCACUGUUGCAAUAUAGCUAGACCCAUUAUAAAUACCUGAAGUCAAAGUUAAUGUUUUAAUUGUUAAGAAAAGUUCGAAGAAGAAAUUUUUGUAUAAGAGAAUUGGGUUUAAAUUUAGAAUUCUUUGGAAGGAAAUGAGUCUAAAUUCCAAUAAUAUAAUUCAGCUCUAUUUAUAUAUAUCAUUAGUUGGGUGAAAAAUUAAUUUCCCUCAUUUGAUGUGAUUUUCAUCAUUUAUUUUCAUAUGAUGAUAAUUUUUUGUUUAGAGUGAAGUUAUUGGCACCCUUUCAUUAUCCUUAUAAAACCCUACUUCAAAUAAAAUUACACUUAAAGACAAUAGAAUUAAAUAACAUAGUUUUUUUUUUCAAACAAAUUACUCACAUUCAUAAUUUUUUUUUCUUCUAAUUUUCUAUAGGUUGCUUUGCAUCUAACUAAAAUAAAUUGUACAAAUUUAGAAUAAUUUAUUAUUCUUUUUAAAUUUCUUAUUGAUUAAAUAUUUGUGUAUUUAAGAUAGCUUUAAAAUUAUAAGAUAAAAUAUAUAUAAUUUAAGCCAAUGAUUAACAUUCAAAAAUUUCUCUCUCAUAAAAGUUUUUAAUUUGUGCGUAGGGUAAUAAUAAAAUUGCAAAAGAAAUGAGAAAUAGCAUAACACUAUUUUGAGUUUAAACAAUAAAAAAAUUAAAUGAAAAAUUAGAAGUGUAUUUAAAAAAAGGAUAUUUUUAAAAGUAAAAUAAAUAUAAUUAAAAAAAAAGAGUUUCAUGAGGGGUGCAAGCAAUAGUUCAACUCUUUUGUUUAUAAGUUUUAAGAUGUUGGUAUCCGUAGCUUAGCUUUUCCCUAAUUAUUAUAUUAAAAUGCAACAACAAUGAUGAUCAACCCUAAUUUCAUGGAGGUCAAAGAUUUUGGUCAUGCCGCAUUAAUUAGUUCGGUCAUACUUUCUACAAAUUUAUUUACAUUUAAUAAUUUGACCAAGACUAAGGCGCCGCCUGGAGUCAUAGAAUUUUAUAUGUCAAAAAUGCAUUUCACUUCAAUUAAGCCAUAAAUGUCGUUUAAUAUGCUUAUUUUGUAUUUUUUUAAAAAGUUUUAUUAAUUUUUUUUGUUUUUAAAAAUAUCAUUUAUUUAUUUUUAAAUUUUUUUUUUUAAAGGUAAAUAAGUGGGUAAAGUUCAAAUUCAAUUUUUAUCCCUUACGUCAUGGCUCCUAAGAUUUGAACUUAAGUGACCAAAUGUAUAAUAAUAGGCAUCUCAAAUAUCAUUUCUAAUUAUAUGUAAUUUAUUAAGUGAUUGUUAAUCUUUACAAGAUCCAAGUGAAUUAAUUGUAUUAUUUCACUACUAAUUGAUGAGUAUCAUAUUAUUUGGAAUAACUUUUGAAUAAAAAAAUUGUGAUGGAUGAAAUAUUCUUUUGAGAAUUUAUUGACUUAUCUCAUUUAUGAUUUAUUGUUGCAUUUAAGUGAUAUUGCAAAUAAUUUUUCCAAUAAUAUUAUUGUUUUGACGAGUAAGUUUGGAGUAAAUAAUACAUAUGGCAAGUGUGAGGUUUGUUAUUGCAUAUAUUUUGUGGAUCCAUUUUAAAGCCAAAAAAAAGGCAUUUCAAUUCAUUAUGAUUCCAGAUAAUUUCAAGCCAUAUGUCAUUAUUGGGAUAAAAAUAAAGUAAAAUGAUUAAAACUAUUUUUAUGUAAUUUAUAAAAAUUAAUGAAGCAACUGCAAAAAUUUUUAAACGAAAAACAAUUGAAAUGUGUGUGGAAAAAGAAGAAAAAAAUAAGGCAUUUAAAUAUCUUCUUAAAAAAUACGAUUGAGUAAAAUCAUUUUAACAGAAUGCUCUUCGAAAUGCAAUUCCACAUUAUUUUUUUUAUUGCAGUGGGAUAUUCCAAAAUUGGCACAACUCAUUAAGAAUUCGGCAACUAAAAUUUUAUUUAUCACUCUAUGCAUUUGACAAAUUAAAAAGAAAAAAAAAUCAUAUAUCUUCUGUUCAAAAGAAACCUUGGUAAAUAUUGUAAAACAAAUUACCAAUUUUUUUAAUUUAUGCCAUUAUAUCGUCGCUAUUUUCUCGCCCACUUUCUUAAAAUAGAAUCAAUAUUUAUUGAUGGGUUGGGUUCCAAAGUAAGUACCAAUUCAACAAAAUGGUUUUAUAGCAGAAAAAACACUUGUAAGACAUUCAGAACACAUUUUUCAAUUUUGUCUUUUGAAAAUGAGUCUUGAGUUUCCACAAGCCAAGAAGAAUGGCUAAAAAAUGUAUGGUAUCAAAGAAAGAGAAACACACACACACACAGAGAUUAGUGAGGAGAUAUAUGAGUGUGUAAUUUGUAUAUAUAUCCCCAUUAAUUGUUGAUAGUCCAAUGGGUAUAUGCAAAAGGAAAAAAUUGGCUGUCCUUUUAAGACAAAAUUGACUGUCACAUGAAAAUGUUAGCACACUUGCCACGCAACGAAAAUAAAGAUUCCAAGAACAAACUUUAUAGUCCCCUUUCUGUCCAAACAUAUGCGAUAGAAAUUAGUGUAAACGACACUUGAAAUAUAUAUGUAGAUCCUCACACAAUUGAUUAAAUAUUUAGAGUAGGAUGGAGUGAUAAAUAGUUUCACAAAAUUAUUGGAAUUAACUACUUAAUACAUGAGAUCUAUCUCAUUAAGUAUAAAAGAUUGAGUGCUGCUUCAAAAGCAUGACGUUGCUGGCAACAAAUUUAACACAAAAAUUUAAUUAACUAUCCUAGUUGAGAUAAUAAAAUCUUGUGUUGAAAACAAAAGGUUUGAGGUUCGAACCUUCUCAUUCAAGAAAAUCAAGUCAAAAUAUUACAUCUUCCAGCACAUAUCAAAGAUUUUUUCAAAGGCAGACUGAUAAUUCAGGGUAAAACAAAAAAAAACACAAGGACUAUAUGCUAUUCAAGACAGGUAUACCUUGGACAUGAAGUCUGAAUCCAAAACAAGAAGCACCUAGCUGAUCUUUCACUUUCAAUUUCCAAAAUCCAACAAAAUCUUUGUCAAAAUAUCUGAUCUAGUCUCAUAUUAAGCACAUUCAUAGCCGUAUCAACAGGUUCAAAAUAUUUUCCCCAAAAUGAGACAGAGAUUCCACUGAAGUUGAGUUGUGAAUGUCCCAACGUUCUGUAAUUAUAUGGUUCAGGAUACCAUGCCUAUUAAUCUUUUUUUUUCCUUUUAAAAAAAGGAAGCCAUAUAAAUAAUGCUUAAAACAUUAUUUGCAACAAGGAACAAUCAUUUCAUGCUUUCAUGUAUUAGAAACUUUCCAAAAAUGCUAGCAAGAAAAUGAAAUGGAACUUUACCUAGUCACAGAAUAUGUACUGCUGUUAGCCCAAUUGUUAUGAAGUGGCUUCUGCAUCAGAAGAUUCCAGCUCCCACCAAACAUUGUUAUCUCUCUUCUGAAUACAAUCUGCAUCGUUGGGCAUGAGUUAUAUCAUUAAUGUCUGCAUCCUCACUUACAUCAUCCCAAUCAAGUGCUUUUUCUCCAUAUCUGGAUUAUAAGUCCACUCCAAUCUCUUCAAAACAUCCUAGUCCUUCCAUCACAACUGAUACGACUUCCUUCCUAAUUACUUUCCCAUUAAUAAAUCGCUCCAAGAAAAGAAAGCAUUAGAAAUUCUCUUCAACACCCCAUCACUCAUAUCCCCUACAACAACCCUCUUCAGACACCUCAACAUUGCCUCUUGAAAGACCUCCAUAAAAUCCGAAUCAUCCGACACAACCACCAAACACCCAAACCUUCUUUUGUCCACCAUAUCCACCAUAUAAUUCCUCAACAAAACAUCGGCAUCUUGUGGCUUAUCUAACACCAUCCUGACCCAAAACCAUGCUCUUUUUAACUCAUCUGCAAAACCAUAACCCACUUUUGGAGUCAAAAUUGCGCUUGCAGCCAUUUUAUAUUUUUCCAUCUUUAUUGAAUAGUUGCCAACCAAAAGCACUCUCACAUUCCCUCUAGCUGAUUCUAUUUGAUUCGACCUUUUCUUUUGUUCCUCAUGAAUUUGCCUAAAAUGAUUAACAAGUUUGUCAUUAUUAUAAAAUCUCCUUCCACAAUCACCAAUACAUACGGCUUAGCAUGCCUAAUUACACCCCUGAUUUCUAAUUGGUUAAACAAUUCUCUUUCUUUCUUUGCUCUCUUACAACUUGAGGCACAUAACUAAACGCGUGGCUAUUAGCAUUUGCCACCAUGCAUUUAACAACCCCAAAUGAAGAUAUUAAUUUUUUUAGUUUAAUUGCUGCUUCAAAAUGGGGUACUGAAUUUGGAUUUUGUUAUCCAAAUACCAAAAAUUUCCCACAUUGUGAUGGACAGUUUUUAGUUCUAAAGUUGAUGACUGGUUUUGCGAAUCAGGCUUCAAAUGAGAACUUCUAAACAAUAAGACAAAUGAGUUUUUGAGUUUCUAAUCUUGUAAACUUUGUUCUAUUGUAUAAGUUAUGAAAUCGCUGAAACAUCACUACAGUUACAGGUCUUUAUGUGUCAAUGAACUGCAGAAGCCGAUCUUCACGUUUUCACGCGGAAGUGCACAUUUGUGAGGCGUACUCUUCAUGCACGAGGACGUGCAUGGUCAUGGCGGUGGGAGAAUGUCACGGACCGCAAUCGUGGCACCCAAGAUAUGUGCUUGUAUGCUAAUGUCGAUUAUGGUUGUGCUGAUUGUUGGAGACGUGCUUCAGGGGCGUGCAUGUGGGGAAUAUAAUGGCCCUAGACUCUUUGGAGUUCAGGCAGGCCAACCCGGUUUAGUUUGGGGAGCUUGUUGCUAGUCGAGGACUUAACCUUGAAGAGGGGUCUAGGCAAAACCCUACACACACUAGUUGGGAACUGGAGUCGUUCUCCUAACAAGCCCAAGGCAGGGCGAAACCAGUCGAUAUUGUGCCACUUCCACUAGGCUUACUCUCGUAGUAUGGGAUGCGGGAGUGCCGCACGGGUUCAAAACCUCUCGUCUCGUGACACUCUGCUCAAAAGCUAUGCUGCAAGAUAUAACAUCUUUGCAAUGUUAUACUUUCUAAAAGUAAUAAGAAAUCAUUUUAAAAAAAAGUAAUAAGAAAUGAAACCAAGGGGUAAAUCGAACACCAAAAGAAAUUUAGUCGGCCAACCACAUUAUGUUCCCACACAGUCCACUAAUUAAGUUAAUAAUUAAAGGGAAUCAAAAUCUAAGAAAUCUCAUCUUCAAGCAGAAUACAAACACACCGCGAUUGAAAAUCACAAAAUCGUAAAAAGAAGUUGACUUGAAAAGGGGUGGGCCGCCUCAUUUGCCCACCAACCACACCACACACACAAACACUCCAGCACACACACAAACUCUCUAGCUUUUGUAAAAAACUCUCUUGUAUAUUCUCUCUUUGUCAGUAAUAAAAUCAUAUUCAGCCCUAUUGCUCUACUUCUCUCUAGCAUUUUCCUCAAGUGUUCUUGCUUCGCUAGUUUGAGGAGUGGUCUAGGCUUGCUUAGCAACUUGUUUGCUACAAGGACAUCUUGGUCACAAAACAUGGACAUGCAAGGAAAAAAAAAAUAUUGAUACGUUCUAAAAAUAAUACGCAUUCUUCUACAGUGAACCAAAAAAUUUAGGCUAAUGGUAGCAAGUGAAGGAAUUGUGAUUUCAUGUGCAUUUUGUUGACAUGAAGGUAAAGAACUUUUUUAUAGUUUAUAUUGUUUAAUAUAACAUUUGAAUUGCAAAAUAGGGGUACAAAAUAGAUACACGAAGGGAUAAAACUAAGCUGAUUAUGAUAAAUAUUGAAUUAUAAGAUUUAGGUUUAAUCAUAAAGACAUAAGUGGCCCACAAAGUCACGAAUUGAUAUCAUACACGAUGCAAGUUCAAACAACUGCAUAAUAAGUUGCCCCAAUCUAAACUAUUAAUCUAGUAACUAUUCUAGUCGAUGGGGGAUAAUUUUCCUAUCACCAUUUAUCACGUGCAAGCCAAAUUUGUUGCUUGGUUCUUACAUGUGGUAAGGUAAUAUGAAUCCACUUGUGCAUAAAUUUGGCUCCGAUAUUAUAUAGAAGCUUAUGACCCAAAAUUAUACUUAAAAGUUAUUUCAAGAUUUGAGGGUUGCCUCAAGGUAAUAUUAUUAUUAGCCUGGUAACCCUUUUUUUGGUUGAUAUGUGAUAUUUUCCCUAUAACUUUUAUUAAUCUUUAUGCCUAUGUUUUGUCAUUUAUCCCAAAAUAUAACAUUAACAAAAGUUCCAAAAUUUCCUUCAAGAGAUAUACUUGAGACAAGUAAUUUGUGCAAUAACUUUGUGAAUUGAUGAGCAAAUUCAGAGAAAAGAAUAUAUGUGCCAAACGUAAUGUUUAUUAUUGUGUUUAUUUGUAGAGCUAUUUAAAGCCCCAAAAAAAAAAAAAAAGCACCGGUCCGCUAUUAUUUCAAAUAAGUUCAAGCCCUAUGUCAUUAUUGGUACAAAAAUGUAUUAGAAUGGUUAAAAACUAUUUGUAUUUAACUUAUAAACUUAGGAAAUUAUCAACUGUCCACCCUUAAAUUGCAUUGUUAUAAAAAAUAUUACAACAUUUUCAGGUUGUAUCAUUCAUCUACCAUAAAUUUACAAUCUGCAUCAUUUAUCCACCAAAUCAUUAACUUUGUUAAAAAGUGAUAGACGUCACAAGGGUAAUUUAGACAUUUAACACACACAAAAAUAAAAGAGAAAUUAUCUAAGCUUACCAUGUUAUCAAAAUUGCUACAAAAUUUUAAAUUUAUUCAAUUUUCCAAUCUAAGUUUAUGCCUCCAAGAUGUUAAUUGCAGUUUGUAAUUAAUGAGUUCAUAAGGAUAAUUUAGACACUCAAUAUGCAAAAUAAAAAAUAAAAUAAUGGCUUAAAACAUUAAAACAAAAAACUUGAUAUUCAAUUAAAUACACAUAAACUCUAUUUUUUUCUUAAUUAAAAAUAUUCUAAUUUUUUUUCUCAAUUUAUCAUCAUAAAUUUACAUUAAUAAACUAAAUCCACAAAUUACCCUAAUUCAUAAAUGCCCAAUCAGUCUAAUAGUUUACUUCGAUUUCAUAAUUAAAAAAGCUAAAUUUAUUAUAUUAGUUAUGGUGCAAAGUCAAAAAUGCCCUUAAAUUCAAGGGUAAAAUAACAUUUUAUUUAAAUUCUAUAAAUUAUUCUAACAAUGUUAACAUUUUGGUGGACGGUUAAUAUAAAUUGCAAACUUAAAAUAGAAAAUCAAAUAAAUUCAAAUUUUCAAACUAUUUAGGGCAAAUUUAGGAUAUAUGGUUAAUAAUUUUCCCAUGUCUUUUUACAUUGGUUGAUACAAGUUACAAACUUAAAAUAGAAAAUCAAAUAAAUUUAUAUUUUCAAACUAUUUAAGAUAAACUUAGGGUAUAUGGUUAAUAAUAUUCCUUUAUCUUUUUACGUUAAAUUGAGUUUCAAAGGUAAAAUGAUCAAUUUAUUAUAAUUCUGUUAAUUUUUUAGUGGAAACAAAUGAUAUAAUAGACGAAUGAUAUAAAUUGUAAAAUUAAGGUGCAUGAAUGAUACAACUUUAAAAUAUUGUAGUAAUUUUAAUAAUAGAACAAUUUAAGGGUGGAUUGGCAAUAAUUUAAACUUUAAUGAAGCAGCUAAAAAAAAUUUUUAACAAAGAAAAAUAAUUGAAUGCUUUGUGAAACCAAAAAUAAUUGAAAUGCUUUAAGAAAAAUAAAGGAAAUUAAAUAUCUUUAUAAAACCAUAAUUGAGUAAAAUCAUUUUACAAAAUGCUCUUUCAAAUGCACAUUCCACAAGCCAGGGAGAACGGGUGGCUAACAAAAAUCUCACUUUUUAUGAGUUUAUAAAAUCUCACUUUUGCAGAAUCCAAAAAUAGCCAAUACUAAUCACACAAAAAAUAAAAAUUAUUGCUGUCACGACAUUACACACUUUCUUCGCGGUUUAUAAAGCUAGAACAUUUUGAAGUUCCUCAAUACAAAAUGCGUGCUGCUACUAAAUUGGCCCAAUUAAUGCCCAUCGAAAAGGCCAUCAAUUUAGCCAUCAAUUUUGUCAAAAUUUCAACAAUUAAGAAACAAUGAUCGCAAACGGAACAUGUGAAUUUUGAAGUUGAAGAAAUCUUGAGAUACAUACAACAAAGCCUUGAAACUUUAUUCUUCACAAUUUGAGCACGCACUAAAUAUUAAACAAGUAUAGAACAAAGCUUAUUUUUAGCUUCUUGUGCGAACUGAACACGCUGAAUGAAGCUUUUUUUUUUUUGGAUUUUUGGAAUUUUUUAAAGUCAUUUAUGUUCGCUGCCAUCUUUUUCUUCGCUGGCGUCUUCCUCUCGGGGCUGGCAUCUGCCUCGUCUGUAGUUUGCUGUGCCUAUAUAUCCAACCAAUAAAUUGGGCAUUAAAUACGAAUGAAUGAUGAAUAAAAUGAUUAAAAAAAAACAGAGAAAAUUAUAAUAUAACACAUAUAUAUUGAAAGAGAAAUUUUGAUUUUAGGAUAGAUCAAUUAGCUAUCACAAACGAAAACAUGAACCAACUGUGUAUAGAGUCAAUUAACUAAAGUUCUCAAGAGUUGACCUGUGCUCCUGAAUUCUUGGACUCAUCUAUCUCCUUCUGAAUUUCCACGAAGCUUGGGACAAUUACGAACAACUUUAUGGGAUGCAGAUGGAAAUGGGAUCUGAUAACCCGCAGGCCAAAAGUUGGUGAGGUUUGGUAAGUCUUCCAGUAUCAAGUCCCGAAGUUCAUUCAUAACAAUUUCAUUGUAAUCCGUGACGUCUGCUCCAUCUUUAUGCCAGAAUACUUCUUCUAAUUCAUCAUUAGCUGCUAUACAUAGGUGCUUCAGUUUUUGAAGACUUUGAGCUAUGCUGAUAUGAAAUAGAUGCUUUAGUUUGGGGCAAUCAAGGACAGCGAUAUUUGUGAGUUUUGGGAAACAAACAGGUUGGAGAUGAUCCUCAUCCUCAUCCUCAUCAAUGAUUUGCUCUAAUUCCUGACAAUUCACAAUAGAUAACACCUCCAAUUGCAACAGAUUUCGAGCAAGUGUUGAUGAGAAGAGACGUCUCAGCAUAGUGCACCCGUCCACCCUUAAUCUGGUAAGACUUUGCAGGCUAAAAUUAUGCGUGGGACCUACGUGAUAUAAUACUUGCAGUUCUCGAAUGUUUUCCAACCACAACGACUUCAAACAUGGGAAUAGUUUAUUUUCUUGUCCCUCAGCGAUAAUAGCUUCCACUUGAAAUACCACCUGUACUCCAAUUUCCAAAAUAUUCAAUUCUUCCAAAUUUUUUAAGCCGUGCUUCAACAGUGCUGGAAUCGUGUCACUCAAAUGGGAACAAUUGGCCACAUCUAGAGUAUUUAAGUUCUGAGACAAAUAAAUAAAUAACUUGAUGCAAUUAAAAUCUAUUAGCAGCUAGGAUUAUCACAUGAUAAGUGAUGAACACCGCAAAAAUAUCAUAAUACAUAUGUAAACUAAUAAAAUAAUUAAAAAGUAAUGGAUUUAAAAAAAAAUGAAAUUAGUUAAAAGAGAUCAUGUGAAGUGAUAUAAAUGUGACAUUAUAUUGUUUGAGAAAAAUUAGUAUUCUAUUAAUUUCUAUGGAUUGAUCAACUAAUUAAUUGAAUUUGAGUAAUAUAAUAUACACUUCAGUAGUGUUUGCAUCAAUUCUUUCUAAACCGAAAUGAGAUAUGACUUUCAUUUGAAAAAUGAUUUUAGGCCCUAAAAUAAAGGAAUUUCCUUAAGAUAUUUGAGCAUUAUUAUUAUCAUCAUCACAUCCACGAUCAUCAUCAUCUCCAUAGGACCAAAUAAUUAAUGGCUGAUCAUAAAAUUUAUUGCUAAACUAUCAUUUCGAGUAAAAUUGAAGGAAAAGAAAAAACAUAAACACAAACAAACAUACCUCUUUGAGAUAUUGCAAAUUGGCUUUAAGUUCAGUACUGUUGAUGGUCAAGUUGGGACAGUCAUGAAGCUGUAACUCUUCCAAUGCUGUCCAAAUUGAACAAUAAUUUUCUGAACAAAAGCUCUUGAGUUCUGGGAGUUCUUGAAGUGUUAAUCUUCUCAACAAGGGGAGGGCGAGCAUCGUAUUUCCACCUUCGACACUUAUUUCCCCUUCAUUGUGAUCAAACUUUGCUUCGACAAUACAUUCCAGUCUCUUGCAAAAAGUCACACUGAGACUUUUAAGCUGCUCCAAACUUCUAGCUUGUGACAACGUGAAGAUAUAUGUCAACUUGUUGCACCUUUGCACAUUCAAUUCUGUGAGAGUUUGGAGGCUGAUCACAUGUUGGGCGGGCGCCUUCCAUAUCCACUUCAGUUCUGGUAAUUGGAACAUAUUUAACUCUACUAAUCUUGAGAGACUCUUUCCAUGCAGCGACUUAGAGGCAUCCAUUAUGCAUUCUAAAUCUUCGCAAUCGCGAACAUCAAGACAAGUCAACUCAUUUAAGCCCCUUUCAUCUAUGCUUGGCACAAUAUUAUGACAACCUAUUAACCCCCUCAAACGAAGAAAUUUCAGAUUUUGAUACAAUGCUGAAAAAAUAACGAGCGAGGUCGCCACUUCAUGAGGGUAAUUCUCAAUGAUUAAGCUCCUUGUUUCAUCACCAUGUUCCAUGUCAUGAUCAGAUAAUUGACCAUUACCGAUGACGUACCUUUGCAUUUUCGGGAAUGUAAAGUCUUUUGGAAGACAUAUAACUUGGGAGUUCAACUCAGCAAGCCUAGCAUUACUUUCUUCUGAACUCAUCUCUUCAACCUCCCAAUCUUUUAUCCGACCAUAAAAUUCUUCCAAUUGAGGAAAUUUUUUUAUUGUAAUGGGAGAAACAGAACCAGUAUCAAUAUAUAGAAGUUUCAAUCUACCAAGUUCAUCCGACGACAAUUCUUCAGGAAUUUCAAUGGGAGAUGACUGGAGAUAAAGAAGUUCAAGUCUCUUCAACUUUCCAAGAAAAAACGCGUCACUCACAUCACACCGAAUCAACUGCAGAACCUGGAGGUUGGUGAGGCUCUGAAGCGAUUUAAGUGAAAGAACUCCACCUAUUAUAGUGACAACUUUCAAUGCUGGCAUCCCUUUAAAAAAAUGUUCUGGAACUUGCAAUCGGUGGUCGUAUUCAGGAUUCUCCAAUCGCAAAAUAUGAAGGUUAGGGCAUACCAAACUACUAGGAAGCUCUUCUACUUUAUUUCCCAUUACAGAGAUUCCUCUGUAUUGUUCCAGGCCUUCUUCCAUUGCCCGUUCUGCCAAUCCAAUGCCAACUUUACUAAAAAAUUUCUUCUCCACUAGUACUUCUGAGCCUAUCCAUAUGGCUACAUCACGAACUAUGUCAUGCAUUUUCACAGAUCUGUCAUUACCAGUGUCUAACAGUAGUGAAGCAGCUUUGAGUCCGUCAAUUGUUCCAAGCAGUAGGCUUCUGGUGUUCUCUAUUGACUCAGCUUGAUACCAAGUCAACCCUACUGCAUAUCCAACCAAAUCCUCCAAAUUAAUCUCAUAAUCUUCUGGAAAUAGCGAACACAACAAGAAGCAUAACUUGGAAUUGUCAUCAUUCAAUUCGUCGUAACUAAAUUUGAGACAACCGUAAACGUCUAAGUUCUCCUCAUCAAUACCUUCUAUUGCAUAGAGUUUUGCAGCCUUUAGGUUAUGUAGAGCUAGGUUCCAUUCAUUAAAUCUUUUUCCUCUUAGUGCACUUCCAACAGCUUCAAUAGCUAAAGGCAGCCCCUUACAUUCUCCAGCAACUUCUUUGGAAACAUCAUUCAAGGUGGAGUCAUUUACAUUAAUUUUGGCAUUUUUUCGCAGUAAAGCCAAUCCUUCUUCUGGCGUUAGUGUACUAAGUGGAAUCUGUGUGUCACAACCCAAAGAAUCACAAACUGACUUUUUGCGAGUGGUUAGAAGGAUUUUGCAACAAUUAUCUCUACCACCGACGGUAAUACCUAAUUUUUUCUCCGAGUCGAGUGGUUUCCAAACAUCAUCAAGGAUUACGAGGAUUUUGCUGCUUUUACUCUCAGAAAACAUCAAGCGCAAUCGGUCUGCUCUCUCUUUUUCAUCUUUCUCAUUUAGUGCCCAGCCUAACGACUUUGCCAACUCACCUUGAACCUUUAUUAUAUCUAGAUCCUGAGACAUAGUGGCUAUCCCCACCUUAUCGAAAAGCUUUUGUUGCCGAAGUUGAUUGCCCACAUAUUUUGCCAGGGUUGUCUUUCCUACACCACCGAGACCAUGCAAUCCCACCAUCUUUGUGCUCUCUUUUUUCAGUGCGUCAAUGAUCUGAUUGCAAGCGGAUUCUGUGGUCUUGAAAAUAGAAGUAAAAUGCCUUGGCAAACUUAAUUCUCUUUCUAAUGGUAGAGGUUUAGGAGAGGCAACUGUGUUGAAUUGGCUGCAGCCUUGUAGCAGAUCGGACAACUUGCUAGUCUUCUCUGAUGCUUUUCUGCCCAGACGAUAUCGGCAACACCAAUUAGGACACAAUCCAUGAAGACUACUAUCCUUUUCAUCUAUCUCUGCUUUCAACUUCCAAACAUCGUCCAAUUCUUCGACUCCAUUAUUCAGCCACUCCAUUACAUUUUCAUCGACUACUAUGUCGGGGCAUUUUCGCAGUUCAUCGUCUAUUCUUGUUUUGAUGCCAUCUCGUGCCUUCUUCAACUUAGUUUCUUUAUCCUCAAGUUCUUUAACAAUGCUGUUGAAACAGAACAUAUAGCGAGCUUGGUCAAUGGCUGCAUUCACCAAUAAUUCUUCAACCUUUGAUUUUAAAGCUUCCAUGCUAUUUAUCUGCAAAUAACGAAGUUGAUCUCAGCACACUAUUAGCGAAACAACAAGGCUUGAUCACCAGACAAAAUGAGAACGUUUAAUUACCUCUUUCUGCACUGUGAAUGCACGUCUAUUAACACCAGCUUUGACCAAUAAGAGCAAAAUGCAGAGGUGGGGCCUUAAGAGUUUCGGUGGCCUUUAGCUGCAAAACGGCAGAUGACAAAUAAGGUGAACGUUCCUAGCAAACGUGAUUUACGGUGAAUUAUAUUCAAAUUAGAUUAUUUUAAAAGUUGGUAAAUUAUUUAUCACUCUAUCUUAAUGAUACCUUAUUUGGGAUGAUAAAGAUUGGGGUAAAUUCCCUUUUAUUCUCACAUGUUUAUAGUAUUUAUAUUUUUAUAAAUUACCUAAAACAUCCAUGUAACUUACUUUUAUAGCUAUUGAACAUAUCAUUUCAAAUAUAAAAUACUAUUUCUGUCUAAUAUAAAUUAAAAAUCAAACAAAUCUAUCAUGCAAUAAAUGAAAAGUAAAGAAUAUUAAUUAGGUUUUAAUGGAAACAAAUAUAAAACAUAGAGGUUUUGAGUAACUUUUGUAUUUUUUUUAAUGUUCAAUUUAGAAUUGAAUAAUUUGCAUAAUGAAAUUUUGAGGUUUCUAUAAUUUAUAUGAAGAUAAACUGCGAAAUAAGUUUAUAUGCCGAAAUUAAAAUAGUUAUAUAUUAGCAAUCAUAUAAUAAUAAAAAAUUUUAAUAAAAUUUAUUUAAAAAUUGGCCAAUUGUGUUUCAUGAGUAAAACAGAGAGCAUAAUGGACUUAUGUUGGGUCUUGGGAUUGAAAGACUAAGGGUAAGGGGCCGGGAGGUAGGACGGUAGGAAAAUUAAUUUUUGUUAUUUUUAAAGUAUGGUCAACAUUAGUGACUUGGAGGUGAUUGCCGUUAAUCAAUUACCUUUAACUUAAGAAUUAAUACAAAUAAAUGGAAAAAAUAAUUUAAUGAAAAUUAAUUUAAUAAAAAAUUGCACUAAAAACUUAGAACUCAAAUUCUCGAUCAUUUUAUCCGUACGUUUUAAUCCGACGCUCAGAAUUGGCAUAAAACAAACUAAUAUAGCCAUUGGAAAUAAAACAAACAUCAAAUCAAGAGCCUAUGAAACAAUAUUAUCUCGUACCUUCUUCCUUAUAGAUCCUCAAUUGCUGUUGAAAGCUGCAUAUGACAAUAUAAAUAAACAUGAGAUCAAAACAUCAUAGGAUAUAUCUAGCCAAUUAACAUCAUAUAUAACUCCUUGUUCUCAGUCAAAUCUUUCAUUCUUAGAUUAAAAAAAAAAUGAAAUAAUAACUGUUAAGUGAUAUAGGAAGCAAAAGUAACACACCGAAAUGAAAGCAGCUAGUUCACAGAUGACAGAUGCGGUGACUUCAAGAGCAUGAAAAAUGAUUAAACUUUGGUAGAAGGGUCUGAGCCGUGUUUCACAAGUUGCUAUUGACUUCGUGGCUUCGCUUUUAUUUAUUAUUAUUAUUUUUUUAAAUUCUAUAUCAGUGAGAAUUGAAAUGUGGAAAGUGAAAUGAUACACAUGCCUUAUCAUCUAUCAUGAGGGGUGAUUUGGUAAAACCGAUUUAAAAUAAAAAAAGUUUAAAAAAAUUUAAAAAGAUGCUUUGUGUCUGACUGCUUGUAUUUGGGGUAUUUUUCGGGUUGUUGAGACUUGAGAGUGAGUUUAAUUAAAUAUAAGAUUUUCAUUUUUCUUAUUAUAUUUUUCUCUUUAGAAUGAAUUUAAAUCUCAUUCUUAUUAAAUUCAUUUUUUUAAAUGAAAAUAGAUUUCUCUCCACACAUUUGAGAUAUAUUUUAAAAUUAAUGUUAAGCAUAUCUCUAAAUUAUAUUAUAAAUAUUUUUAUUUAAAAUCUCAACAGAUUUCAUAACACACAGAGAGAAAUACAUAUAUAUGUUGUAAUGUUUUAAUGAUGGAUCUCUAAAGUUAUCAAGUUAAAAAAUAAAUAAAUAAAUAAAAAAUACACACUUCAACUUAUUAUAUGAUAAAAUAUAGUAUAUUAAAGUGAGUAUUUUUUGUGUGAAAUAAAAUUAAAGUGAGUACUAUUACCACCUCACAUCUUAUAAAUUCUAGAAAAUAAUCAAGGCUUGACAUACUUUUAUUUAUGCAAAAGCAUAAGAAAAUAAUUCAAAGUACUAAUUAGUGUACUAUUCCUCAAAAUUCUAGAAUAGAUUUGUUAGUUCUCUUUAGCCAUAGAUUGGUCCGUGAUUGGCACCGCAAUAGCUCAUAAUCACCUCAACAAUUGUUCCACACGGCCCAACAUGACACAUUGUAAACUAGUCUACAAGAAUUUUUUGAGUGGCUUUCUAGCAAUAUUCUUAGAGAAAGUGUUUAGUAGUUUCAAAUCUUCUUUUUUUAACACAAAUGUUGGCAUGAUAUUCUUAAUAUAUUUCUAAAAUCAAAAUAAGAUGCAUAGAGGACGAUAAUUUUAUUUCAUAAUUGAAUUUUUUGCAAAGAAAGUUUGAACAUGAGAGUGAUGAGAGAUGAGAAUAUUGAUGAUGGUGUGUACUUUGAAUGGAAAAAUAGAUUGGAAAUAUAUAUAGACAUAUUAAAAGAAAAAAAUUUGGUCUAUUUCAUAAGAGAAAUAAAAAAUUAUAAACGCGGGUGUUAAAAUGUAUUCAGAAUUUAUAAAUUUUUAUAAAUAUGAUAAUCAUCAGACCCUUAUAAAAGUAUAACAAAAAAGUUUAAAAUUUUUUAAUAAAUGUAGAAGAGAUGAACGAAGAAAUCAUCCACCAGUUCAGAAUUAACAAUCAAAGAUAUGAGGACUUGAUUGAAGAAAUGAUGAAAAAUAAAAGGAAACUGGGUUGGUUAGCGGGACCCUAAUAUUAAUGGUGAAAAAUAAAAGGACACUGGGUUGGUUGGCAGGACCCUAAUAUUAAUGGCAAAAAAUAAAAGGACACUGGGUUGCUAUCAAUUUCGAUCGUGUAGGUUCAUAGCCGGGGAAGUAAUUGGGCACAAAUAUCUCGGAUGAGAAAUAACCAUUUUAUCCCGCAACCAUAUGUUUAUGGCCUCUAAAAAUUUUCACCUCUUUCACUUUCUGGAACCCGUGCUUUCUGGCACAUGCACAAAUACUUGGUUGCUACUUAUAGAGCGUUUUUGGAAUUGCAACAACAUGGUGCUCUUUGAUAAUUCAAAAAUCCAAUAUAAUUUAUAGAGAAUUACAGAAUUGUGGUACGUGAUAAUUUGCUGAUGCAAUGAGGCGCCGAAAUUCUUAUACAUGUGAUUUAAGUUAUAUAUGUAUAAUUAAGUAAUUAGAAUAUACUAGUUGGGGGUAUUUGUGUCCAUGAAAAUUUACAGCUGGUUGUUGACAUUACACUGCGGGUGUGUAAGUGUAAUCAUGGAUCUGACCAUUCAAAUUUAAAAAAUGGGGGUCCCGCUAGCUUACGGAGUUAGUAAUUAUUAGAUAUGCAUAUAUGCUCCCAUACGAUAAUCUUAUCAUAAAUUUGAAGGAUACGAGGACUUGAUUGAAGAAAUGAACGAAUAUUUGAAUUAAAAAAAAUUUUAGAAUAAAGACAAGUAUUAAUUUACUAUGAAUGCAACUUACAUAAGCUGUAAGUUAGCGGGACACUAUUAAAUCACAAGCAAAAAGCAAUCUGACUUCUUCUUGAUUCCGUAAUUUGGCUGUCAAAAUGUAAUCUAUAAAAAUUACGAUACCUCGAUUCAAAAAAAUGUUGUUUCUGAUGAAAUAAAUGAAAAUUGAACGUACAAUCUGCCACGAACACUGUUUAAUUAACCGUUUAUUUCCCCUUAAAUUUUUAAUCUCAAUGAAACAUAGAUCUAAUGGGAACUACAUAUAUAUAAAAAUACUAUAGAUUGAAGAAGUUGAAUUUUUCUUGUGUGUUAAGUAUUUUUAGUUAAUACGAAAGGAUUCUAGCAAGUUAAUACAAAAGUAUCAUAAAUUCAUAGUAGUACAAGAGAUUUUUUUUUUCUUUUGAUAUUAAGAGUUUUCGAGAUAAAAAAAAAAAAAUAGGUGAAAGAAGAAGAUGAGAGAAGAAAAAAUAUUAAGAAUAGUUUUGGCAUUUUGAUGCGUUUUAUAGUGUAAAAUCUAUAUUUUAUAGUAUAAAAAGGUACACCCAUAAUUUAAUGAUAAAAUUUUAGGAAAAAAUUGCACUCGUCAAAAAAAAAAAAGAAAAGGCUCAGCUUAGCCCAAAAAUUUUUUAUUAAUCGUCUAGUCGCUAAUGUAAUCUCUUUUUUAUGAGAUUCUUUGGCGUUUUAGUUUAGUCCAUUGUUAGCAAUCCUAAUAGCUUUUAUGUGCAUCUAUUUUUAUUUGGAAUAUGUUUCAAGCUUGAAUAAAAUCUGCGGGACAACUGGUAAGUAAUAAAGCUCAUCAUUUUUUUAUUUUGAAAAUAAAGGGAAUCACUUACACUUAGCAUGAUAUUAUUUUUGAUAAGUCAUUUUUUUGGUAGAUUAUUUUUUCUAACACGCUCUUAGAUUUAGUGAAAAUAAAUUGUAUACUUUUAAUGAAGAAAAGUAAAGAUCAACAAAAUAUUUUGUUCUUUGCGACAACUUUUGCGUUCUCAAGUGCGCCUGAUACCCUUUUUUUUUUAACAUGGGCCCACGUGCCAUGUUUCCAUUUCAAGUUUCAUAAGUUAACAGUAGAAAUGGGUUCCACAGAUAAUUUAUUUUAUAAUUUUUUUUAAAAAUUACUAAAAUAUAAUAAAUAAGGUAAUAAUAAUUAAUAAAAAAGUAGAUUUUAAGAUGGAAAAAUCUUUUUGUGUACUUAAUAAAAAGAUGAUAAGAAUGGGAUGCUUUUAGUUUACAUUCUCAUAGCUAUUUAUACUGAAAAAUUACAUCAAAAUUUAAUUAAUAAAUCAGUGAACUGCAGACUUAUUAAAUUUAAGCUAUUUUAAUAAGUCAUAAAUAUACUAAAUUAAAAUAGUAAUAAACCCAUUGUUACACAAUACUCUCCAUUGAGUGUUCACCAUUUUAAGAUAAUCAUAAAAUGACACCGGAAGUGCUAUUAUAGCUGUCUCAUGGAAAGCCUUCACCAAUAAAAAGGAGGAUAGAGCACAUACAUCCAGUUUUUAUACCCUUUGAUGCUCAGUCGACACGUGCCAAUGCUAUAGACUAGCUUUUCGAAGGUUGAAGUGGGUAUGCUAUUAGUAAAAAGACCUGCAAAAUUAUAGUGUACCUAUUUGACAUCAACUUUUUUUAUCUGCUGGAGCUUAUGAUUAUAGAAGAUCUUCGGUAAGAUGUGUUUGAUUUUAUCUUCUUUUAUAUAUCCUCCUCUAACUUGUGUAAUAGUAGUAAACCCCUGCCCGUUUUUAUUUCGUUUAGUAUUUUCUAAAUGGCCGAAGGAAAAUUGGUAAAAACUCAUUUAAAAAUUAAAAAAAAAAAUCAAAGAAAUUCAAGAAGAAGCUUUGUAUCUGUCAUUUGUAUUUGGGGUAUUUUUUUGGUUGUUAAGUGAAUGAGCUUAAAUCUAAAACAUUUAUUUAUAUAUUUCUUGUUGGAAAGAAUUUAAAUUUUAUUCUUAUUAGACUUAUUCUCUUUAAACAAAGGUAGAUUUUUCUCUAUGUGUUUAACGUGUAUUUUAAAAUUAAUGUUCAACAUAUCUUUAGAUUCUAUUAUAAAUAUUCAUAUCUAAAAUCUCAACAGAUUUCAUAAUAUAUAAAUGUAUAUAAAGAGAGAGAAUAACGUUUCUAAUAAGAAAUUUAUUAAGUUAAAGAAUAAUUCAAAAGAUAAAUUUGUAUUAAACCCAUUUAUAUGAUUAAUUAAGGUUUUAAACAAAUUUUGGACUUGUUCUAUUGUAGAGCUUAAAUUCAAAAUGGAAGAGUGAAGAAGGGAAAAAGAAGACGAAUAAAGAAGAAAAGAGGAGAACAACUUAUACAAAAUAGGGAGAACGAAAAAGUGAAGGGCAGAAAAAGAAAAAGAAUAAAGAAGAAAUUAAUCAUCGCUGAUAUGAAAAUAAUUCCUUCUUCUUUAUUGUUCUUAGUGGUUCUACUUUUUUUUAUUGGAUUCUAAAUUUUUGUCGUAGAUGGAUUAUAAGAACUAGAAAAUUAUAAAGAUAAUUUUUUAAUUAUUCGAUUAAUUAAUUCCAGCAGAAGACAAGAAAUUGAUUCUGCUUCGUUAGAAAGCCAUCACAUUCUAUACGCAAUUGCAAAAAGUAUAUAUUUUUGUCUGUUUUAGACAAGAAUAAAAGGGAUACCUGGUAUUGCAAAUCUAGACACGUUUUAGUGCUUUAUGUCCGAAUGAAUUCUUUCUUGCAACAAUAAACUUGGCCGAUCAGGAUUUGCCGUUUACAUAUGUAGGUCCUGUUGGUUCUGUAGUAGGACUCAUAAAUUUUUAUUUUUAAUUUACUGAAUCCAUAAAUUUAAAAUAACGGUGCAACUCCUGAGGAUGACAAUGGGGCGGGUGAGGUCUUGGAGUCCUGAAAAAAUUUAUAUCUGCAUAUUAAAAAAUGUGGAUCCGAAUAAGAAAAUCCGCAUGAAUCCGAAUGCAAGUGCAUUUGGAAAAUCGGAUAUCGAGAUCUGGAUAAAAAUUUAUUUCAAAUUAAAAAUUAAAUUAAAUAUAUAUUAAAAAGUAAAUGAAAAAUUAAGAAAGUAAAUUUUAUUUGUAGAUUUAUGAUGUCAUUGUAUAUUAUUCAUGUUGAAUUAUUAAUUGUUGGAUUAUGAUUGAAUUUUAUUUGAUAUUAUUGGGUAAAUUAUUGAAUUUCAUUUUAAAUUAAAAAUAUUUAUUAAAAAUUAAAUUUUAUUUGUAGAUUUAUGAGAUUAUUGUAUGUUAUUCAUUUAAAAUUUUUAAUUAUUGAAUUAUGAUUGAAUUUUAUUUGAUAUUAUUAGGUAAAUUAUUAAACUUUUAAAUUUUAUAUUAAAUUAUAAGCAGUAGGAAAUUAUGGUAUUCAGAACAUGUAUACCUUCGCACAUGAAGCUUGAGUCCAGAACAAGAUGCAGCUAGCCAAUCCUUCAACUUCCAAAACCCCACAAAACCUCUGUCAACAUAUCUGCUCUACUUCAAUAUCAAGCACAUUCAUAGCGGUAUCAACAGCUUACAGCUCCAAAAAUAGUUUGAGAUUUCAUUGAAGCUAAGUUGUGACUUGUGACUGUCCAAAUGUUCUGUCACACGAAAUGAUUAUUCUUGUAACACAAAUCCAAUAGCAUGCAAUAUAAUCUACUCUCUAACACUGUGCAUUAGUAAAAUAAAACAGAGUAAAAAGAGAAACCAUGCCUGUGAAUCUCUUCUCCUCCCCCCACCACCCCUUUUUUUGGUAAAGUCUAUCAAAUGAAAAUGCAGCAUGACCACAUUGGCCACUACCACUGCCAUUACUCCUUCAACUGUGCCCUUUGUUGCAAGAAAUCUUCAAGUGAAAGAUGGAUUAUAUAAUUAAAGAUUCCAAUAGAAGCAGCAAAGGUUGCCUUCCACUAGCCUAUCAGAGAAUAUGCUUUCUAUUUUCCUAGUUUUAAUCAAAAUUUUGCAAGAUUUAUUUAUGGAAAACUUGGACAAAAUUUUAUGUAAGAUACCAUAAAGCCAAACACAAUCUUUUUAAUUCUCAGCAGCAACAUUUAAAGUAAAAAGAUGGAAGCCAUAUAAAUAUAACUAUAUUUGGUACGAGGAACAAUUAUUUCAAGCUUUCAGAAAUGCUAGCAAGAAAUUGUAAGAGAACUUUACCUAGUCACAGAAUAUGUCAAGCAUACUACCACCAACUGUCUUUAGCACAAUUGUUAUGAAGUAGCCUCUGAAUCGGAAGAUUCAAGCUUCCACCAGGCACAAUUAUUUUCAUUCUCCAUACAAUCUGCAGCAGUGGCAUGAGUUAUAUCAUCAACAUUUGCAUCCUCACUCUCAUCACCCCAAUCAAGGCUUCUUCUCCACCUCUGGAUUAUAAGUCCGCUUCGACAUCUUCAAACAUCUCGGUCCUUCCAUUUGCAAACAACCGAUAUGGCUUCUUUCCUUGCCUUCCUCAUCGUUUAUAUCCCCCCAAAAAAGGGUCUUUAGACACCUCAACUUUGCCUUCUGCAAAACCUCCACAAAAUCUGAAUUAUCCAACACAACAGCUAGACGCUUGAUCCUUCUUUUGUCCAUCAUAUCCACCGCAUGAUUCCUCAACAAACAUCUGCAGCUUGUGGCUUAUCUAACACUGUCCUGACCCAAAACCCCACUCUUUUCAACUCAUCUGCCAAACCAUAACCCACUUUUGGAGUCAAAAUUGUCCUUGCAGCCCUUUUAUAUUUUUCCAACUCCAUUGAAUACUUGCCACUCAAAUGCACUCUCCUACCUCUAGCUGAUUCUACUUGAUUCAACCUCUUCUUUUGUUUACACUCAUGAAUUUGGAUAAAAUAAUUAACAAGUUUGUCAUUAUUAUAAAAUCUCCUUUCACAAACACCACAUAAAUAUGGCUCAGCAGGCUUAAUUACACCCUUGCUUUCCAAUUGGUUAAACAAUUUUUCUCUUCUCUUUGCUCUCUUACAACUUGAGGCACAUAACUAAAUGCAUGGCUAUUGGCAUAUGCCACCAUGUAUUUAACAACCCAAGUGAAGAUAUUGAUUUGGGGGUUUGUUGUCCAAAUCCCUAAAAAUUCACACAUUGCGUUGGACAGUUUUUAGUUCUACAAUUAAUGAUACGUUAUGUGAAUUAAGCUCCAAAUGAGAACAUCUAAACAAUGAGACAAAUGGGCUCUAGGUUUCUAAUCAGUAAACAUCGUUCAGUCGCAUAAUUUAUGAAAUUUUUGAAACAUCACUACAGCUACAGGUCUUUAUGUGUCAAUGAACUGCAGAAACUAAUGAUCUACUAGUAGUAGACGUUUGUUGUCCCCACCGUUCCAGGAAGAAAAAUAAGUAGAAGAACUACUUUUAGACCAAAAUUAAAAAAUUGAAACUAUCUUGAAAGACUUUCCCUUCAACUAAGUAAAAAAGAAAAGAAAAAAAAAAGGUAUUAGACAAGCAUUUUCAAAGGAAAAAGAUCAUCCAUUUAUUGUAUGUACUCAGGAAAAAUAAAUGUACUAAUAGGUAGAAACACAGCAAUAAAACUCAAAAACUAACAUCUAUAAAGCUCAAUAACAAUUAUGAAUUAGAUAUUUUGGUCCCUUCAUAAUUCCUCCUCUUGACUUCACAUUUCCCCUCAGCCCGUGAUAAUUUUACCUAUUGAAUUCACAUUUCCCCUCAUCCAUUGAAUUUUCCCAAUAACAAGAUGAGUCUAAAUCUGUUAGGAAAUUGAUGGGUGAAGCAGACACGCAGCUAAAGUAAAAUUGGAAGAAAAUAAAGAACAAGCACAAUAGAGGACACCAGAAAUUACGUGGUUCGGCUUUUAGCCUACGUCCACGGGCGAAGACAGAAGGAAAUAUUUUACUAGUGAAAAUGAGUUACAAGUAUUGUAGUAUUUUAGCUCACUUCCCAAAACCCCAAUACACCCAAACUCUCUAACUCACUAGACACUCAAGAGUUUAUUAAACUCUUAAAACUCUCAACACUCAAGAAAGCAAUGCUUCUCUCUCGAUGGAAAUUGAAUACAAAUGAAUGAGUGAGCACUUCCUUUUAUAGCCAAAAAAUGGCUAUUAAAUUAAUAUAUAUAUGUAUAUAUUUCAAAUGUAGUUACCAACUUCUUCUUUUUCUCCAUUUGGAUGGCACCAUUUUCUUUGGCCGGCUGCACCAUUUUCUUUUUUCAAAUGUCAAACCUGUGUGCUCAUUUUCCUUUCCAACUUGCUGCAAAAUUCCUCUUCUUUGAACAACAUGGAUGUUGACCAUCUAGAUGGCUGCUUUUGACAUUUCUCCCACUUGGAGAUUAGAUUGAGAAGCAAUCAAUCUCCACACCAUCCUUUCUGCUUCGCCAUAAUCAUGUUGCCUACGUUUCUGCUAGACCACAAGAGGAUCUACUCCAGACAAACUUAUCAGUAUUUAUCGGCUUGGUCAAAACAUCUGCUAGGUUCUCUUUGGUAUGGAUUUUCUGCAAAUCCACACUUCCAUCUUCCACUACUUCUCGAACGAAGUGAUACUGAACUCCUAUGUGCUUUGUCCUGGAAUGAAAGGCUGGAUUCCUUGCAAUGUGCAAGGCACUCUGACUGUCACAAAAUACAGGAAUUUUCUGUUGUUUGUGCCCGAGCUCCUCCAAUAACCUUUGUAUCCAAAUAGCUUCCUUGCAAGCUUGUGUAGCUGCCAUGUAUUCUGCUUCUGUUGUAGAUAAAGCCACAACGGUCUGCAGUUUCGAAACCCAGCUUACAGCUGCUCCCGCAAGUGUAAACACAUAACCAGUAGUGGAUUUUCUUUUAUCAAGAUCUCCUGCAAAAUCUGAAUCCACAUAGCCCCUGACAGUAAACUCUGAUCCUCCAUAACAUAACGCAACAUCUGAGGUUCCUCUUAUGUAUCUCAGAAUCCUCUUAACAGUUAUCCAAUGCUCUCUACCAGGAUUCGCCAUGUAUCGACUAAUUGCUCCCACUGCUUGUGCAAUGUCUGGUCUUGUACAUAUCAUAGCGAACAUCAAACUUCCCACUGCUGAUGCAUACGGUACUCGAGACAUCUCCUUCCUCUCUGCUUCAUUACUAGGACACAUACUUGAGGAUAAUUUGAAAUUAACAGGAAGUGGGGUAGAAAUUGACUUACAAUCUUGCAUGUUGAAGCGUCGCAAGAUUUUCUUCAAGUAAUUCUUCUGCGAAAGCCAAAUCUUCCUGUUAUUUCUGUCUCGGUGAAUUUGCAUCCCUAGAAUCUUGUUUGUUGGUCCCAAGUCCUUCAUGUCAAACUCCCUAGCUAACUGUGCCUUCAAUUCUUGGAUUCGAUCUUUGUUGGGACCUGCUACCAACAUGUCAUCCACAUACAAUAGCAAAAUAAUGAAAUCAUUAUCUUCAAACCUCUUGUAAUAUGCACAAUGGUCUGAACUGAGUCUGUUGUAUCCAAGGCUCAUGAUGAAGGAAUCAAAUCUCUUAUACCAACACCUCGGCGCCUGUUUGAGACCGUAUAGAGAUUUGUUCAACCUGCAAACCAAGUUCUCCUUUCCUGUUUCUGCAAAACCUUCUGGUUGGAGCAUAUAUAUUUCUUCUUCAAGUUCUCCAUGAAGAAAUGCAGUUUUCACAUCUAACUGCUCUAGAUGUAAGUCAAAUGUAGCACACAUUGCCAAGACUACUCUGACUGUUGUGAGUCGAACCACGGGCGAAAAUAUCUCGUUGAAGUCAAUGCCUUCUUUCUGAGCAUAUCCUUUCACUACCAAUCUUGCACGAUACCGCUCCACUUGGUCAUUACCAUCACGCUUGAUCUUGUAGACCCAUUUGUUUCCAAUGGCUUUUCUUCCAUGUGGUAGUGGUACAAGUUCCCAUGUCUUGUUCUUGUGUAGAGCUUCAAUUUCUUCCUGCAUUGUUGUCAUCCACAAAGCAAUAUCUGAGCUUUCUAAAGCUUCAUGGAAAGUUGAUGGCUCUCCAUCCUCCGUUAAAAGACAGUAUGCAACGUUGAUCUCUGUGACAUACUCCGAGUGCCACGUUGGCGGUCGUCUCUCACGAGUUGACCGACGAACUCUGGAGCCUCGGACUCGACUGGUUCUUGUUCCUCGUUCUCUGGUGCUGCUUCAGAAGAAUCUGAAUCUUCUGGAUUAUUUUCCACAUAUACUGGUACAAUCUCUGACUUUUCUUUUACAGUGCUUUCAUCCUCAUCUUUCCUUUGCAGUUGAUCUUCUAUAAAGAUAACAUCUCUGCUGAUGACGAUCUUGUGGGCAGUGGGGUCCCACAGACGAUACCCCUUUACUCCAUCAGCAUACCCUAAGAAGAUACAUCUUCUAGAUUUUGGAUCCAGCUUUGUUCUUUCUUGGGCAUUGUACAUCACGUACACAGGACAUCCAAAUGCAUGUAGGUAGGAAUAAUCAGCUGGCUUUCCAGUCCACAUCUCCAUCGCUGUCUUCAACCCAAUAGCUGUAAAUGGCGACCGAUUUACUAUAUAACAGGCGGUUUUGGCUGCUUCUGCCCAGAAUGAAUUGGGUAAACCAGCAGUCCUCAACAUAGCUCUUAUUCUUUCUGUAAGAGUUCUGUUCAUCCGCUCCGCUACUCCGUUUUGUUGAGGAGUGUAUGCCACCGUGAACUGCCUCUGAAUACCUUCUUGCUUACAGAAAGCAAGAAACUCUCCGUCUGUAUAUUCUCCACCAUUGUCUGUCCUUAAGCACUUGAUCUUUUUACUAGAUUCAAGUUCCAACCGCGCUUUGUAUUCUUUAAACACAGGAAAUACAUCUGACUUUUUCUUAAUUGGAUACACCCAACAUCUUCUGGAAUAAUCAUCAAUGAAAGUCACCAUGUACUUUGCACCUCCCAUAGAUAUAUCCGGUGAUUCCCAAACAUCAGAAUGAAUCAAGUCUAGAAUGCAUUUACUCCUAGCAAUAGAUCUACUGAAUUUUAAUCUAUGCUGCUUACUUGUAACACAAUGCUCGCAAAAUGGUAAACUUACCGAUUUGAGCCCCGGAAGCAAUUUUCGCUCAGAGAGAAUCUUCAAACCUUGUUCUGACAUGUGGCCAAGUUUGAGAUGCCACAUCAUCGUUGAUUCUUCUCCAUUUGAUGCGACACACGCAUCAGCCUCCUGUAGUGUUUCUCCUUUAAGCAUGAAUAAAUUAGCACCGAUCUUUUCUGCCUUCAUCAAUACAAGCGCACCUUUAACGAUCUUCAUUAUUCCAUUUUCCACAUGAGUUUUGAACCCAUGACUAUCCAUUUGUCCCAAAGACAAUAGAUUUUUCUUCAGGCCAUUGACAUGUCGUACCUCCCCAAUUGUGCGAAUUGUACCAUCAAACAUUUUUAUUUUGAUAGUACCAAUACCAGCGAUCUCCAAGGCAUGAUCAUCUCCCAUAUAUACAGAUCCUCCUGAGAUAGGUUCAUAUGUGUGGAACCAUUCUCUCUUAGAGGUCAUGUGCCAGGUAGCUCCUGAGUCUAUAAGCCAGACAUCAGAUAGUCGUUUUCUGCCUUCUGAAACAGUUGUUGCCUCGCUGUAGAGAAUUUCACCAUCAUCUGAGGUACUUGCUACACAACCCUGAGCAUUUGAUGACUCAGGUUCUUUGCCCUCUCUUCUCUUCUGGUUACUCCAACACUCUUUCUUGACGUGCCCUUUCUUGCCACAGUUGUAGCAUUUAACAUUCUUCUUACUUCUGGAUUUUGAUCUACCCUGAUUUUGACUCCCACUGGGGCCACGUUCCGUUGAUCUCCCUCUCGUCACUGAUAGCGCUUCUGCUUGCUGCGAACUUGCUUGUCUGUUUUCCUUGUUUUUCCGCCUGCUCUCCUCAUUUAAUACGGAGGCUGCAACAUCGUCGAAAACUAGACCCUCCACUGGAUUGUUGUUCGUCAGGUUGAUGAUGAGUUGAUCAUACGAAUCUGGUAGACUUUGAAGUAGAAGCUCUGCACGUUCAUUUUCCUCUAUAUUAUGACCCAACGUUGUGAGUUGUGAAAAUAGAGUCUUCAAUGUGUUGAUGUGGUCGGUCACCAUUGUAGAUUCCGCCAUUCGAAGAGUAUAGAGUUUUCUCUUCAAGAAGAUUUUGUUGUGUAGUGACUUGGCCUCGUACAAUUUUGUGAGAGUAUCCCAAAUUUCCUUCGCCGUAUUUUUCUCUGCCACACUGGAUAAUACUCCAUCCGCAAGUGCCAAGUGUAGAUCAGAAAUAGCGUUGCCGUCUACCUCGUUCCACUUGUCAUCAGUUAUCUCUAUGGGCCUUUCUCCAAUUGCUGCCAAACAAUUAUUUUUCCUCAAUACAGCUUUCAUCUUCAUUUUCCACAACGAAAAAUUAUUUCCGUUAAACUUCUCAAUUUCAUAUUUUGCCGCCAUUUUGUUGAUAAUACUGCACACAAGCUAGUGUACCACCUUGAAUAGUUGUGAGUAUGUGUGAGAAUGCACACCAGGAAAGUUCCCAGGAAAGACUAGAGGGGUCACAAUGGUCCCACUUAAAACCCAAACUCCUUAAGCUCUUAUCGCCUUUGUGACAGAACUUUCCUAGACAUGUACAGAACCACACAGUUGCUUUACUCACACCACUAUUCCCUGCUUUGCACCGCAAAAUUCUUGGAUGGCUUCCACCGUUUCACGUGAAUAGUACCGUAUACGUGAAUAGUGCCGUAUACGUGAAUAGUGCCGUACACCGUAUACGUGAAUAGUGUCGUACACCGUAUACGUGAAUAGUAUCGUACACCGUAUACGUGAAUAGUGCCGUACGCCGUAUACGUGAAUAGUCCCGUACGCCGUAUACGUGAAUACGUGAACAAUUCCUGACUCCAAAAAUACAACCAAUAGCUCUGAUACCACUGUUAGGAAAUUGAUGGGUGAAGCAGACACGCAGCUAAAGUAAAAUUGGAAGAAAAUAAAGAACAAGCACAAUAGAGGACACCAGAAAUUACGUGGUUCGGCUUUUAGCCUACGUCCACGGGCGAAGACAGAAGGAAAUAUUUUACUAGUGAAAAUGAGUUACAAGUAUUGUAGUAUUUUAGCUCACUUCCCAAAACCCCAAUACACCCAAACUCUCUAACUCACUAGACACUCAAGAGUUUAUUAAACUCUUAAAACUCUCAACACUCAAGAAAGCAAUGCUUCUCUCUCGAUGGAAAUUGAAUACAAAUGAAUGAGUGAGCACUUCCUUUUAUAGCCAAAAAAUGGCUAUUAAAUUAAUAUAUAUAUGUAUAUAUUUCAAAUGUAGUUACCAACUUCUUCUUUUUCUCCAUUUGGAUGGCACCAUUUUCUUUGGCCGGCUGCACCAUUUUCUUUUUUCAAAUGUCAAACCUGUGUGCUCAUUUUCCUUUCCAACUUGCUGCAAAAUUCCUCUUCUUUGAACAACAUGGAUGUUGACCAUCUAGAUGGCUGCUUUUGACAAAAUCAUCAAUCUCAUUAAACACUCACAUCUACUAAAUAAUAUCGCAUGCAGUAACUUUAAGUAAGGAUCUAAAACUUACAAGAAAAAGAAAACUACUGUUUAUUAAUUUCAAAAUUUACACAAAAUUACAAAUGAUUUUAUAAACUGUACCAAAACAUGUUCUCUAAAAGAGAUUCAUUAUCCUGCAUUUUCAAAAACAAUAUAAACUAACACUAGAAUAGCCAUUUGAUAAUGAUGUGAAUUUGGGCAGCACCAAGAAGCAGUGAGCCCCAUUUGGUGAAAGCAAAAAGAAAAAAAAUUAAAAUAAAGCACUAUAAAUUCUAAUCAAAUUAUUAACAUUAGCUACACAUCAAGAAACCAGAAUAAAAUCGUUAUCUAAACCACAUACUGAAAAAGAAAAAACAAUGCAGUUAAAAUUCUAUCAUUUUCACUUACAAACAAAUAAAGAAAAAAUUAAGAACAAAGGUUGAAGCAAAGAAUGAUUGUACCUUGAGGUACUUGAGGUUAAUGUUUCCAUAAACGAGACCGAGCGAAAAAGCCGAAACCAGAGCAACCUAUUCUUACUACUCAAAAACACGCCCAGAUCAGAAAAUAAAUGAUCAUUCAAUAACAAUUCAUAGGAAAAUGAUGUUUGCCCCGGGUCAAACCCCGAAAAUAACUUAAACGGCGUCGUUUUGAUUUUUUUUUUUCUUUUGGAAUACUCCAAAACGACGACGUUUCUGAUGAUAUUUUGAGAAGAAUAAAAUCUAUCUUCCUCUUCGUUUUCGUUUCUUCGUUUCACCUGUGAAAGAACAGAGCAACAGAGCAACAGAGAUCCCAACUUGGUCUUGUUCCGUUUGACCGUAAAUCUCUUCAUUUCUUCGUUUCUUCGUUUCUUCAAAUAACGGCAAUAUCACCCAAAACAAAGUUUCAUGCAAUGUUGUAAAAAAUAAAUUAUGAUUUGAGAACUGAAAAAAUAAUAUGAGAACUAAAAAAAUGAGACAAAUCAAGAAUAUGAGAACUGAAAAAAUUAAUUCAAUGUUACAAUGUUACAAUGUUCUAAAAACGAAGGCCAACUUCCUAAAAUAAAAUUAAAAAACAAAAUGCUACAAUGUUAAUCUUCGAAAAUUAAACUGAAAAAAUGAGACAGUACCGAAAAAAACAAAUCUUCGAAAAUUCAAGCUUGGCACAAUGUUAAUCUUUCGUCCAAACUCAGCUUUCAACCGUCCAAAUUCAGCUUGUCCAAACUCAGCUUUCAACCGUCCAAACUCAGCUUGUCCAAACUCAUCUUUCAACCGUCCAAACUCAGCUUUCAAGGACACAUUUCGCAGCCGAAACUCAGCCGAAACUCAGCUGCUGUUGGUCUUGUUCUUCAAUGGGUACCAAACGAAAAAGAAACGAAAAAGAAACUCAGACGCUUUCAACUCAGCUUCCAAGGACAAAUUUCGCAGCCGAAACUCAGUCGAAACUCAGUUGCUGUUGGUCUUGUUCUUCAAUGGGUGCGAAACGAAAAACAAACUCAGAUGAAGAGGAUGGAGCUUUAAUUAGUAGAUCCCGUUCUGCUGUCGAUGAGUGCUCCGGCUGUGGAUCUCGGUCGAGGAUGGAAGAAACGAAAAAGAAACGAACAAACGAAAAAGAAAAUAAAAGAAAACGACGCAAAUCAUUCAAUAAACAAACGAAAAAGAAAAAAAAAAAAGAAACGACGCAAACGACGCCGUUUAAGUUAUUUUCGGGGUUUGACCCGGGGCAAACAUCAGCACUCUUUCCUUUAUGAAUUGGGAAAAUGCUACUUUCCCCGGGUCAAACCCCGAAUUAUUUCAAAACGGUGUCGUUUUGUUUUUUUUUUUUCUUUUUACUUGCAUGAAACGUGGUCGUUUGAGCUAGUAAAAACAAAACAAACUAAAGCAGAAAAAACUCAAGUGCUUAUCUUCUCUGCCCCUUUCUUAAUUUCCUUUUGACAAACCACGGAAUCACACCCACAAACAACAAUCACCCACAGUCACGCGAACAGCCGGCACAGACGAAGGAUGAGCCCACAGACGACGGACCACCGCAUUGAAAUCUCUGUCCACAUCACCGGCACCAUCAUCGUAGGUCUGUAACAAACUGUCGUAAGUUAAACCCUUCUCACCGUCGAUGAACUCGACGUAAGUACGGAAUACUUCGUCGAGAAUUGCGUUGAUUUGUUCGUCGCUGAAUUUGACUCGAGGGUUUACGGCCACCACUAAAGCCGCCAUUUCUUCUCUAUUACGGCCACCGUCGCGGUUCGUGUCAAAUUGUUGAAAAAUUCUCUUCACUUUCUCUGAUCUGCUUCCUCUCGUAGCCAUUUUUUUUUUCUGUUUUUCUGGGGGUCAGUUUGGUUUCUCAGUGUUUGUUUGAGAAAGCGGAAUUAGUAGAUAAGGGAAUAUAAGGAAAAGUUGAUAAAAAGGCAAAGGGUGGUUACUUUAAUUGUUGGUGAGAAUAAUGAUGAUGAUGGCUUAAUUCUGGGUUUUGUUGGAUCUGAAUGAAUUCUUAACGGCAAAAGUUAAAGAGUAGAAGAAGAGCAAGAGGACGGACUCUCAUUCUUUCCCUUUUUUCUUUUAAUUUUAAAUAUAUCAAAAACGGCAGCGUUUUGGAGAAACAAAAAAGAAAAAAAAAUUAAAACAAAACGACGCCGUUUUUGUUUUCGGGGUUUGACCCGGGGCAAACAUCAGCACUCAUUCAUAAAAACUCCAUCCCAUCGCAUUUAAAACAAAACAAAGAAAAUAUUGAUUAGAAAAAAAAUUACACGCAUGGAAUAAAAGAAUAUAAAAAUGGAAUUACCAGAGGGAGCUAGUGCCGGAGUAGGAACCAGAAGGCAGCGCCAUAUGAUGCUCUUGUUAUGGUUUUCCUUCUUGUGGGUCUGCGCUGAAGUCGAAGAUGAAGAAACAAGAAAGAGCCAGCAAAUUGAGAAAUCGACUACCAUCUUCGAUUCCGACUCGCAUGGCCAUUUUUCUUUGAUGAAUGAAAUAUUGUUUUACUCCCUAAUUCUUAACCAAAUUACAAGUUUUGACUUCUGUUUGUAUGUUCUUUCAUACGGGUUCUUGUUCACAGGAAUAACAAAUGGGCCGGACGUGUGGCUAAGCCCGGGCCUGGUGUCGAUAGCCAGGCCUGGGCUUUUACGAGCCCAGGCAUUUUAUUCUGAGUAUGAUCCUUAUAUCACUUCACUUUUGUAAUCGUAAUUUUAUUGUACUGAAAAUUAUAUGAACGAUUAAUAUGAAUUUAAUUAAACAAACAUGUCUUUACAACUCAUGCAACCUUACUAUUUUCUAAUCCUAAUAUGUGAUAUAAUUAAUUUUACUGAUAAAAUCAAAAUAAUUUUUAAACAAUGAAGAAAUAAAUUAUAAUAACAGUAAAUUUAUUACGAAAAAGUAUGUUUACAAAAUUUAUUUUAAAUGAUAUGAAAUCUAAUUAAAAUUCUAUUCUAAUUUUAUGCCCUUUUUUACAAUUUUAUUAAAAAGUGGGAUCUCUUAAGAUUUUAGGAGUGUUGGAAUUCUAUUUUUCCAGAUUUGAAUUUUAGUGACCUUUACUUCAUUUAAAUUUUUUGUUAUAAACUUGCAAGCAAGUGCAUUUAGGAUAUCUUUGGUGAACUGGAUUGUAACAAUAAUUUUAUUUAUUAAAAUUAUUAAAAGUAUUUAAUUAAUAAAACUUCACGUAUCCUCGGGUCUAACCAAUCAAAUUCUUUCUCUCAAAAGUACACAAAAGUGAGAUUGGCUCUUGCCUAUUAGUUAACAUAUGCAUAUUAAUUAACACUGACAGAUAUAUAGAUAUACAGCACAGCUAGCAGCACAUUCGACUUACAGAUAUACAGAACUUGAACAUAAUUCACAUAUCUGAAGGGAGAGGGAUAUCGAUGUUGCGGCCUGCAAUUCAUAACAUAUCAUCGGUCAUUUAAUCUAGAAUUGAGGAGAGAAAAUGAGUCUAAAUUCGAAAACUUUGGCACUAUUUACAUAUCAUUAUUUGGGUGAAAAUUCAUUUCUCUGCUUUGAUAUGAUUUGGUCUUUCAUUGUUACGGUGCCAAUUUUUUAUUUAAAGAUGUAAGGUAGUGGUACUAUAGCUUAUAUUUUCCGUAAUUACUAUCCGGUAAGUACAAAAAUAAAAUACUAGUUUAAAAUAUAAAAAUGAAAAAUUAUUUUUAUAACCAAUAUUCAAUUAAAUACAUUUAAAACUCUAUUUUUUCUUAAUAAAAAAAAUUCUAAUUUAUUUUCUCAAUUUAUCUAAACAACUUUACCUAAUCAAGCUAAAUCUACAUAUUACCCUAAACCUUAAUUCAUAAACACCCAAUCAAUCUAAUUGUUAAAUCUUAUUUCAUAAUAAAAAAAAAUUAAUUUCUUUUUUAUUAUUUAUGGUGCAAAGGAAAAAAUGAAUUUAAAGGUAAAAUUGAUAUUUUAUUUAAAUUUUGUUAAUAUUCUAAUAAUAUUAAUGUCUUGGUGGUUAAUAAAAGCAUAAAGUUAAACUUUUGUAGUAUUUUUAAUAAUAUGGUAAAGAUAUAUGUUUGAUAAUUUUCUUAUGUCUUUUUACGUUAAAUUGAGUCUCAAGUAUAAUGAAUAAAUAAUACAUAUUAUAAAAUUAGUGUAGAUAAAUAAUACAACUUGAAAAUAUUAUAGUAUUCUUAAUAAUAGAGAAAUUUAAAGGUGGAUAGUUGAUUGUUUAAUGAAACAACUACAGAAUUUUCCUUUCAAAUAUCUUUUUAAAAAACAACAGAAUGACCUUUCAAAUGCCCAUUCGACAAGCCAAGAAGAAAGGGUAGCUAACAAAUUUACAAGUACCAGAGAUCCAGAAACACAUUUAUAGCCAAUCCAUUUAUGAGUUACAUUCAACACUCUCACAAACUUAAAAAAUAAAAAUUAUUACUGCCAAGACGCACACUUUUUGACAUCUAAAAAGCUAAACAUUUGAAGUUCUUUGAUACAAAAUGCAUACUAAAUUGGCACAGUUAAUGCCCAUCGAAAGGGUCAUCAAUUUAGCCAACAAAUUUGCCAAAGUUUUAACAGUGACCACAAACGGAACAGGUAUAGAAUAAAAGCUUGUUCGGUUCUUGCGCGAAGUGAACCCCUCUGAAACGCUAAAAGAGGAAAUACAAAAUAAAGAAGACCAUAUUACGUGGCUAACUAACAGCCAUUCCCAAAGAAAUAGAGUGACGAUAAUGUGCUUCUUUUUUUUUUUUUAGAAAAGAACACAGACCCCUAAUAUUUAAAUAAAAAACAUAAAAUUUCUUAAUAUUUAAAAAAAAACAUUCAGACCUUAUUGUUUAACAGAAACUGUUUUUUUAACAGAAAUUAUAAUUUUAAAAUAUAAUUACCAUUAUAUCCUUAUAACAUAUUAAAACUAAUUAUUCAUUGUCCAAUUUAUCUUUAUAUUAUUAAUAAAAUUACGAAAAUAAAUUUGAUAAAGAAAAUUUCAUGCACAUCUAAAAAUUGAUAAAGAAAAAAAAAUAACAAAAGUAAUUAGUAAGAAAUCUCCAAUAAACCGACAAAUUAAGAACCCUGUUCAUCAAACUACCAUAAACCAAAAAAAAAAAUUCUCGUAAUCAUUUAUUUAUAUUCUUGCACAUACAUCACAUAUGCAUCAAGCAUGCUAGAGAAGUUAAUUUAGUAAAAAAAAAUGAAAAUUAAAGAGAAUUCAACAGGCAAGAUCAGCAACCAAACGCAAGCACAAGCAGCAGCCAAACGCGAGAUUCAACAAGCAAGAUCAGCAACCAAACGCGAGCACAAGCAGCAGCCACAAGCGAGCACAAGAAGCAGCUAAAAGCGAGCACAAGCAGCAGCCAAACGCGAGCAAUUCCAACAGCCAAACGCGAGCGAUUCCAACAGUUCCAACAGCACAAGCAGCAGCCAAACGUCGAUUGCGAGCAGAUCCAGCAACCAGACGCGGUCUCGAUCGACGCACGAGCAGUUCCAGCAGCUUCUGGUAGCGUGAGCAGUUCCAGCAACUUCCGGCAGCCCUAGCAGCUUUCGGCAAAGGCAAACCGUGAGUGUGUGUUAAAAGAUUUGUCUGGAAUCAGCGUGUGAUGUGUGUGUGGGGUUUGUUUGUGCGUGUGAUGUGCGUGUGGGGUUUUAGUCAAUUCACUUGUUUUUAAUUUAUAAUUACGAUAUUAACCUUGUAAUGAUUUAAGGAAACGAUUUCCGUUAAGUAAUGGGUCCGAAUGUUUUUUUUAAAAUAUUAAAACGUUUUGUCUCUUACUCAAACGUGGGUCUCUGUACCCUUUUCCCUUUUAUUUAUUCUUCGCUGGCAUAUUUCUCUUCAUCUUCUUCUUCACUGGCAUCUACAUUGGCGUCUCCCUCUUGGUUGGCAUCUUCCUCGUUUGUUGUUUGCGGUGGCUGUCCAACCAAUAAAUUGGGCAUUAAAGAACAAACAGAUAAAGUUAUAACAAUAAGAAUUAUAAACAUAAAAAGAAAAAAAAAAGAUAUUUGAAGGGAAAUUUUGGUAGAACUCCAUGGCUCAUCUAUGAAAUUAAUUUAAAGUUCUCGAGAGCUUACCUCUGCUCCAGAAUUCUCGGAAUCAUCCAUCUCCUUCUGAAUUUGCAGGAAGCAUGGGACAAUUACGAAUAAUUGCAUUCACUGCAGAUGGAAAUGGGAUCUGAUAUCCCGUAGGCCAAAAGUUGGUGAGGUUUGGUAAAUCUUUCAGCCUCAAGUUCCGAACUUUAUCCAGAACAAUUUCAUCGUAAUCCAUGACGUCUGCUCCAUCUUUAUGCCAGAAUACUUCUUCGAAUUCAUUAUUUUCUUCUAUGCAUAUACGAAUUAGUUUUUGAAGACUUGGAGCUACGCUGAUAUGAAAUAGAUGCUUUAGUUUGGGACAAUAACAGACAGAGAUCUCUAUGAGUUUUGGGAAACAAACAGGUUGGAGAUGAUCCUCAUCCUCAUCAAUGACUUGCUCUAAUUCCAGGCAAUAUAGAAUAUCCAACCUCUCCAAUUGCAACAGAUUUCGAGCAAGUGUUGAUGAGAGGAGACGUCUCAGCUUAGUGCACCCCCUUACGGUUAAAUCAGUAAGAUUUUGCAGGCUAAAAUUAUGCGUGGGACCUUCAUAAUAUAAUACUUGCAGUUCGUCAAGAACUUCCAAUUUCAACUCUUUCAAACAUGGGAAAUGUUUGUUUUCUUGUCCAUCAGCGAUAAUAGCUUCCGACUGAAAUAACACUUGCACUUCAAUUUCUCUUAUAUUCAAUUCUUCCAAAUUUUUUAACCCACGCUUCAACAGUGCGGGAAUUGUGUCACGCAAAUGGGAGCAAUCGUCCACGCUUAGAAUUCGUAAUUUCUGAGAAAAAUAAAUAACUUGAUGCAAUCAAAAUCUAUUAGCAGCUAGGACUAUCUCAUGAUAAUCAAUAAACUAACACCAAAAAAAAAAAAAAUUCCAAAUCCGUACAAAAUAGUUAUAUUUUAUGAAAGUAAUAUAUUUAUUAAAAAAAUAAAAUUAAUUAAAAGAGAUCAUGUGAAGUGAUAUAACGGUGAAAUCUGUUUGUUUAUGAAAAAAUUGUAUUCUAUUUCUAUGGCUUGAUAACUACUUAAUUGAAUUUGUUUAAUAUUAUAUAUGCUUCACAAGUGUUUUCAUCCGACCUUUUUUUUACCCCCUUCAAAACAAAAACGAGAAUUUGACUUUCAUUUGAAGAAUGAAUUUUAGGCCCUAAAAUAAGGAAGUUUUCCUAAGAUAUUGGAUCUUAUUGUGAUCAUCACCGUUAGCACUACCAUCAUCAUCAUCUCUCUACAAAGCCAAAUGCAAGGUGAUAUGAAUGGCGCAUCAUAAAAAUUAUUAAUAAACUAUCACUUUGAGUAAAAUUGAAGAAAAAAAAAAGAAAAAAACAUAAACACAAACGGACAUACCUCUCCAAGAUACUGCAAAUUAGCUUCAAGUUCUGUAUUGUUGGCGGUCAAGUUUGGACAGCAUCUUAGGUCUAACUUUUCCAACGCUGGCCAAGUUGAAUAAUAAUUUUCUGAACAGAAGCUGGUGAGUUCGGGGAGAUCUUCAAGGCUUAAUUUUCUCAACAAAGAUAGCUCGAGUAUUCUAUUUUCAUCUGCUACACUUAUUUCCCCUUCAUUAUGAUCAAACUCCGCUUUAACGAUAAAUUUUAUUCUCUCGCAUCUGAACACUGCAAGACUUUCAAGCUGCUUUAAACUUCGAGCUUGUGACAACGAGAAGACAUACGUCAAAUUGUUGCACGCGUACACAUGCAAUGCUGUAAGAGCUUGGAGGCUCACAUGUUGGGCGGGCGCCUUCCAUAUCUGCUUCAUUUCUGGUAACUCCAGCAUAUAUAACCUUGCUAAUUUUGAGAGCAUCAUAGGAUUCCCACUCUCUCCUUGCGGCGACUGAGAGGCAUCCAUUAUGCAUUCUAAAUCUUCACAAUUGUUGACAGAAAGAUAAGUCAACUCAUUGAAGCCCCUUGGAUCUAUGCUUGGCACAAUAUUAUGACAACCUAUUAUCCUGCUCAAAUCAAGAAAUUCCAGAUUUUGAUACAAUGCUGAAAAAAUACGGAGCGAGGUCGCUUCAAAAGGGUGAUCAAUGAUUAAACUCCUUGUCUUAUCACCAUCUUCCAUUUUAUAGCCAACUCUUUCACCUUUAAUCAUGUACCUUUGCAAUUUUGGGAAUGUAAAAUCUUUUGAAAGAUAUACAACAGGUCUGCCAACUUGGAAGUUAAACUCAGCAAGCCUAGCAUUACUUUCUUCUGAACUCAUCACUUCAACCUCCCAAUCUUUUAUCCGACCAUAAAAUUCUUCUAAUUGAGGAAAUUUUUUUAUCGUAACGGGAGAAACAGAACCAAUAUCAAUAUAUAGAAGUUUCAAUCUACGAAGUUCAUCCGACAAAUCUUCAGGAAUUUCAAUGGGAGAAUCCUCAAGAUAAAGAAGUUCAAGUCUCUUCAACUUUCCAAGAAAAGACGCGUCACUCACAUGACAUCCAAUCAACUGCAGAACUCGGAGGCUAUUGGCAAGGAAUCGAAGCGAUUUUAGUGAAAGGACUCCAUUUAUUAUAGUAACAACUUUCAAUGCUGGCAUCCCUUCAAAAAAAAUUUCUGGAACUUGCAAUUUGUAGACAAAUAGAGUAUUGUGCAGUCGCAAAAUAUGAAGGUUAGGGCAUACCAAACUACUAGGAAGCUCUUCUUUUUUAUUUCCCAAUACAGAGAUUCCUCUGUAUUGCUCCAAGCCUUCUUCCAUUGCCCGUUCUGCCAAUCCAAUGCCAACUUUACUAAAAAAUUUCUUCUCCACUAGUACUUCUGAGCCUAUCCAUAUGGCUACAUCACGAACUAUGUCAUGCAUUUUCACAGAUCUGUCAUUACCAGUGUCUAACAAUAGUGAAACAGCUUUGAGUCCGUCAAUUGUUCCAUGCAGUAGGCUUCUGGUGUUCUCUAUUGACUCAGCUUGAUACCAAGUCAACCCUACUGCAUAUCCAACCAAAUCCUCCAAAUGAAUCUCAUAAUCUUCUGGAAACAACGAACACAACAAGAAGCAUAACUUGGAAUUGUCAUCAUUCAAUUUAUCGUAACUAAAUUUGAGGCAACCGUAAACAUCUAAGUUCUCCUCAUCAAUACCUUCUAUUGCAUAGAGUUUUGCAGCCUUUAGGUUAUGUAGAGCCAAGUUCCAUUCAUUAAAUCCUUUUCCUCUUAGUGCACUUCCAACAGCUUCAAUAGCUAAAGGCAGCCCCUUACAUUCUCCAGCAACUUCUUUGGAAACAUCAUUCAAGGUGGAGUCAUUUACAUUAAUUCUGGCAUUUUUUCGCAGUAAAGCCAAUCCUUCUUCUGGCGUUAGUGUACUAAGUGGAAUCUGUGUGUCACAACCCAAAGAAUCACAAACUGACUUUUUGCGAGUCGUUAGAAGGAUUUUGCAACAAUUAUCUCUACCACCGACGGUAAUACCUAAUUUUUUCUCCGAGUCGAGUGUUUUCCAAACAUCAUCAAGGAUUACGAGGAUUUUGCUGCUUUUACUCUCAGAAAACAUCAAGCGCAAUCGGUCUGCUCUCUCUUUUUCAUCUUUCUCAUUUAGUGCCCAGCCUAACGACUUUGCCAGCUCACCUUGAACCUUGAUUAUAUCUGGAUCCUGAGACACAGUGGCUAUCCCCACCUUAUCGAAAAUCUUUUGUUGCCGAAGUUGAUUGCCCACAGAUUUUGCCAAGGUCGUCUUUCCUACACCGCCGAGACCAUGCAAUCCCACCAUCUUUGUGCUGUCUUUUUUCAGUGCUUCAGUGAUCUGAUUACAAGCCGAUUCUGUAGUCUCGAAAGAAGAAAAAAAUCUUGGAAUAGGCAUUUCUGUGUCUGAUGGUAGAGGUUUAGGAAGGGCAACUGUGCUGAAUUUGCCGCGGUCUUGUAGAUCGGACAACUUGCGAGUCUCUUUUGAUGCUUUUCUACCCAUCCAAUAUCGGAAACCCCAAUUAGGACACCAUCCAUUAAAACAACUCUUCUUUUCAUCUAUCUCUGUUUUCAAAUUUCGGACAUCGGCCAUUUCUUCGACUACAUCCGCCAGCCACUUCUCUACAUCUUUCUCAACUACUAUAGCGCAAUGUUUUUGUCGUUCUUCUUCUACUUUUUCGUUGAUGCCAUCUUGUGCCUCCUUCAAAUUAGUUUCUUUGAAACAGAACAGAUAGCGAGCUUGUUUUACAGUAGCAUCCACCAAUAAUUCUCCAAGCUUUGAUGCAAUAGCCAAUAAAAUUUCCAUGCUAUUUAUCUGCAAUUAACAAAGUUGAUCUCAGUACGCUAUAAGCAAAACAACAAGGCUUGAUCACAAUGUUUAAUAAGUUUUUUACUGAACGUUUAAUUACUUUCUUCUAUUCUGCGAAUGCACGUUUAUUAAUGCCAGCUUUGAUCAAUAAGAGCAAAAUGCAAACGCCAGACUUUAAGUAGCCUUUAGCUGCAAACAGAAGAGAAGAAAUAAGGUAAACGUGAUAGAUGGUGGAUUAUAUUGAAAUUAGAUUACUUUAGAAAUUUUUAAAAUUUGAAGAUAAUUAUCCCAUUCUUACUUCAAUCAAUAUUCUAAUACAAUAAUUCCAUAAAUCUCAAAUAAUAUCUUAAGAUUUUUUGUUUUCCUCAAACACUCAUAUGAUUAGUUUAAUUAUUUAUUACUCUAUUUUACUACAUAAUUGAUGCAAAUAACACUUUGUUUGGGAUGGUAAAGAUUGGGGUAAAUUCCCUUUUAGUCUCUAAAAUUUGGGCCUAUUAUAGCUAUUGAACAUACUUUCAAAUGUAAAAUAGUAUUUUCUGUCUAAGAUAAAUUAAAAAUCAAACAAAUCUAUCAUGCAACAAAUGAAAAAUAAAGAAUAUUAAUUAAGUUUUGAUGGAAACAAAUAUAAAAUAUAGAGGUUUUGAGUAAUUUUUGUAUUUUUUUAAUGGUUGAGUUAGAAUUGAAUAAUUUGCAUAAUGAAAAUUUGAGGUUGUAUAAUUUAUAUGAAGAUAAACUGCAAAAUAAGUUUACGUGCAGAAUUUAAGAUAGUUAUAUAUUAGUAAUUAUGCAAUUAUCAAAUUUUUUUAAUAAAAUUUAUUUAAAAAUUGGCCAAUUGUGUUUCAUGAAGUAAACAAAGAGCAUAAUGGACUUAUGUGGGUGCUUGGGAUUGAAAGACUAAGAGGCCAGAAGAUAGGACGGUACGAAAGUUAAUUUUAAUUAUAAGGUAUGCUCAACAGAAGUGACUUGGAGGUGAUUGUCGUUAAUCUAUUAUCUUUAACUUUAGAAUUAAUACAAAUAAAUGAAUGAAAAUUAAUGUAAUAAAAAAAUCGCACUAAAAACUUGGAACUUAAAUUCUCAAUCAUCUUUUCCGUAUGUUUUAAUCCAACGGUCAGAAUUGGCAUAAAACAAACUAGUAUAGCCAUUGGAAUUAAGUAAAAUAAACAUCAAACUAAGAGGCAAGAGCCUAUGAAAGCAAUAAUAUCUCAUACCUUCUUCCGUUUAUAUCUUCAAUUACUGCUGAAAGCUCUAGCUAGAGAGUCGCACAAGCUCGGAGAAAAUUAAAAGCUGCAUCUAGCAAUAUAAAUAAACAUCAGAUCAAACCAACAUAGGAUAUAUCUAGAUAAUUAACAUCAUAUAUAACUGCUUAUUCUCAGUCAAAUCUUUCAUUCUUAGAAAAAAAAAAUUGAAAUAAUAACUGUAAGUGAUAUAGGAAGCAAAAGUAACAUACCAAAACGAGAGCAGCUAGCUCACAGAUCUGGUGACUUCCAAGAGCAUGAAAAAUGAUUGAGGUUUAAUAGCAAGGUCCGAGUCAUGUUUCAUAAGUUGCUAUUGACUUCGUGGCUUCGCUUUUCUUUGUUUUUUUUCGUUUUUUGUGUUUGUUUAUAUAUAUAUAUGAUGAGGGGGUAAUAAUUUUUUUGGGUUCGGCUAUAUUGUAGUUUAUCUACGGUGGAGCGCAAAUCACAGCCACACACAUAAAGUGAUAAUUAAUAAAUAAUGAAUUAUAAUGAGAUUUUUACUAUUUAUCAUUUUGCGUGUGUGAUUGAGAUUCGUGCUCACUGUAGGUGAAAUUCAACAUAGCCAUACCCUUUUAAAAACCUUUCGUGAGGUUUAAGGUCACUCGGAUAGACUAUAUUUCGGAACUACCAAAUAUCCCCCUGCCCAUUGUACUCUGUUUAGCAUCUUUUGGAUGGUUGAGGGUAAUUUGGUAAAACUCAUUUAAAAAUAAAAAAUUUCAAAGAAAUUCUAAAAGAAGCUUUGUAUCUGGCCAUCUGGGGUAUAUCCUUGGAGUUGUCGUGGGAAUGAGUUUGAAUCUAAAGAUUUUCAUUCUCUUAUUUUAUUUAUUUCUCCUAGGAAUGAAUUUGAGCCUUAUUUUCAUGAGACUCAUUCUUUUUAAAUAAAGAUAGAUAUCUCCCUACAUAUUUGAGGUAUAUUUUUAAAAUUAAUGUUCAACAUAUCUGUGGAGUGUAUUAUAAAUAUUUAUGUCUAAAAUCUCAACAGAUUUCACUAUAUAUAUAUAUAUAUAUAUAUAUAUAUAUAUAUAUAAGCGGGAUUAGCUAAACAAUAAAAAGAACACAUUAUGAUUGGAAAUACGGAAUUAGAAUUGUGAUUAUAAUAUGAAUUUUAAUUGAAAUUGAAAUUGUAAUUGCAACUAGAAUUGUAAUUGCGAUCGGAUAUGUAAUUAUCAAUGUAAUAGAAGUUGUAAUUAUUACGGCUAUUGUAAUUGUUCUUGUGUAAUUGCAACUGUGUUUUUAAUUUUAAUUACACUUAAUAAUACAAUUAUAAUUGUGAUCAUAAUUGCAAUUGUAAUUACAAUUGUAUCUUUAAAAAAAAAUUAAUUACAGUUGUUAUUCUAUUUAUUGUUACAAUUACAAUUUUAUUAUCGUUAUUCUUAUUGUAAUUGUUGUUAAAUAUUAUUAGAAUAAAAAUAUUAUUAGAAUAGCCAUUGUAACUGUCAAUGGAAUUACGAGUACAAUUGUUAUUGUAAUUAUUAUUGUAAUUGGGAUUAAAAUUGAAAUUGUAACAAAGUAAAUGGAAUUACAAUUGAAAUUAAAUUUGUAACGGUUGUUUAAAUUAAUAAUAAAAAAAUGAAAUUGAAAUUAUUGAUGUAGUUAUUAUAAUUGCAAUUGUAAUUUUAGUUGUAAGAAAGUUCAACUGAAAUUAUCAAUCGUAAAUAUAAUUAAAAUUGCAAUUAGAAUUGUUCAACAAACAUUUACAGAAAAAAGUGUCAAUGCUAUUUUUUAUUUUUGAAAAAGAAAGAGAAGCAACAGUAACCAAAUUCUUAGAGCAGUAUAAAUGCUGCGUUUAAUUGUCAGUAAUCUAAAUGGGUUGGAAUGAGUAUGAGCUGUAAUGGAAAUGGGGAAUGAAAAUCAAAAUAAGUUGUUUACUUGAGCUAUAGGAAUCAAAAUCGAAAUAGACUGAAAUUCUAUUGAUGUGUUUAUUUUAUUUUGAAAUAAGAACCGAAAUAAGUUAAAUAAUUCUAAAUUACUAAAAUGUUGUUAGUUAAUUAUAAUAUAAUUAUUUUAUUAUCGUCGCCAUCAGGGGCGGAUUCACCUUAGGACCAGUGGGGACUUAAGCCCCCACUGGAAAAUUUUUUUUUUAAUAAUUAAUUUAGUUUUCUUAAAAUUCUCAAUAAUUUUUUCUAAAGCCCCCACUAAUUUAUAGUCAAGCCUAUAAUUUUUUCUAAAGCCCCCAGUGAAUCACUAUGAUUUUUUCUAAAGCCCCCAGUAAAUCACUAUGCUGUCUCCGCCCCUGGUCGCCAUCAUCAUCAUUAUCAUUACCAUUAUCAUAUUUUUUAAUUUUUAUUAUUAUAAAAAUAAUUGUUAAUAAUAAUAAUAUUAAAAAUAAUAUCAUUAAUAAUUUAUUAAAAUGCCUUUUGUUAAUUAUUGUCUAAUGAUGGUGGUGGUGGUGGUGGUGAUAAUAAUGGUGAUAAAUAAUAAUUAAUAAAUUAAUAACAAUAAUGACGACACCAAUAAUAAUAGUAAAAUUUGUAAUAUAAAUAAAAUAAUUAAUAAUAAUUAUUAUUAUUACAAUAAUAAAUAAAUAAUAGAAAUAAUUAAUAAAUUAAUAACAAUAACAACAAUAAUAAUAAAUUUUAUAAUAAUAUAAAUAAUAAAAUAACAACAACAACCAAUUAUAACAACAAUAAUAACUAAAUUCCAUAAUAAUAAUAAUAAUAAUUUUCAGUUUUUUUCAAUUUAUAUUUUUAAUUUCUAAAGAGGGUGUAUUUAAAACGUAUUAGAAAUAAUUUUGUUAUUCUAGGGAAUGGAGUUUCCAUUCCCAACUCUUCUUAAGAAAUCACAACUCUAACAAUCAAUCUAAAAUUUAUGAGGAGUCAUGAAACUCAUUCUGAUUCCGAAACUUAAUUUAACAAAUAAACAAAUUAUUCAUUUCAAUUCAUUUUCUCCGAUUCCCGAGUUGUAAAACACAGUAUAACUUUUUUUUUUUUUUGUUGUUGUUUCAGCUGGGCGACCACAAGUUGUUGCUGUCAGUUGCCCGCAAAUUCUCGACUAUUUCAAAAUAACUUCCAGUCGCUGAUUGUACAAGGCAUCAAAUCCAGUGCUCUAUAUUUGUUUAAAAACAUUUUAUUACAUGGGAUCUUUUAAUAGAUCCAGUGCAUGCAGCCGUAGCCGUUGUGGGGUUUCGACAACUUUUGUCUUAUAUGGCGACUUUUUGUUGUUGUUUUAUUUGUAUGAUGACUAUCAUGGACCUACGUGCCCGCAUUUAAAACUUCAUAAUAAUUUAAAAAAACAAAAGAAAUUGGUCUCACAUUAUAAUUUGUUCAAACAAUAUUAUUUUAACACAAACGAUCAAAAUAAAUUUUAUAUUCACUAAAAACUUAAUAUAUAUAUAUAUAUAUAUAUAUUAUAACAUAAAUAUGAAAACAACAUUUGAAAAAAAAAUACAUAGGCACCUUUAAAUUUGAUGUAUAGCACUAGAAUAUUCUUUGUUGUAGGUCGCUUCUUUUGUAUUUAAAAUUUUCUAAUAAUUUAAAUAAAAUAAUAGAAGUGCGUCUCACAUAUAGUUUAUUGUAUAAUUUUUUCAAACAAUAGUAUUUUAAUACAAACGACCAAAGCAAACUUCAUAUUUACUAAAAAUUAACCAUAUAUAUUAUAACAUAAAUAUGAAAACAACGUUUGACAAAAAUAUAAAGGCACCUUUAAAUUUAUUGUACAGCACUCUAUCAAUAUUUGUCGUAGGUCUUUCUUUUGCAUUUAAAAUUUCGUAAUGACUUAAAUAAGACAAAAGUAGUGGGUUUCACAUACGAUUUAUUAUAUAAUUUUUUAAACAAUAUUAUUUUAAUACAAAUGACGAAAAAAAAACUGUAUAUUCACUAAAAAUUAUAUAUAUACACACACACACAUAUACAUAUUAUUACAUAAAUAUGAAAACAACAUUUGAAAAAAAUACAAAGACACCUUUAAAUUUAUUGUAGAACACUCGAUCAAUUCUUAUCUUAGGUCCCUUCUUUUUCAUUUAAAAUUUUGUAAUAAUUUAUAUAAGACAAAAGAAAUGGACUUGACACAUAAUUUAUUGUAUUUUUUUUAAGGUUGUAUAUUUUUUUCAAAUAAUAUUAUUUUAAAAUUUCAUAAUAAUUUAAAUGAGACAAAAGAAAUGGGUCUCACAUAUAAUUUAUUGUAAAUUUUUUUUUCAAACAAUAUUAUUUUAAUACAAACGACCAAGAGAAAUUUCAUAUUCACUAAAAAUUAAUCAUAUUUACAUUAUAACAUAAGGCAAUUCCUAAGUUACGAUUUGUGUAACUUACGGCCUGGCAAAUUUUAAGUGUUAAAUGUGCUUGUAUCCAAUCCAACGGACGACAUCAAAUUUAUCACAAAGUAGUAACGAGUGGUAACUCGACUGAACUGAUUGUUUCAAGUGAUGGGCUACCUGUCCUUGCCUCUCUCUUAAGAAUCUAAGCAGCGAAGAACUUGACUUGGAAAUUGGCGAGGAAGGACUGUUUAUCGGAGAUGAGUAUAGAGGUGGUGACCUCCCAAGUAGCGUCGGCUUGUUGAAACUGAAUGAGCCACUAAUUCGCUGCCACGCGGUUGCAUAAUUAGUUCUUGUGAUUCAACCCAUGAAAAAUUGCUCCACCUGAAUUUGCAAGUCCAUCUGCAUCACAUGACAAAUUCGGUUGCGGAUUUUGAGGAGGAUGGUCUUGGAGGAUAUGAAACUCCUCUUGCUUAACAUUUUGGGUCUUCCUAAUUUUUGUUUCUUCAUACAAUAGCAAACAUUUGAGGUUAAAGCCUAUUUAAUCUAUUUAUUUUUUAAAAUAUCUUAAAACAUCCUUAUCGUUAAAGUAUUAAUACACCUGCCGUUAUUUUUAUUUAUUUUGGCUUAUUUGUACAAUAUCACCCUUUUAUAAUAAUUUUUUUAUUUAGACAUUAAUAAAAAGAAAAUAAUUAAAUUACCAAUUUAAUUAUAGAAAAUAAAAAAAAUUAUAAUAAUUUUUUUACAAGCACCAUUUGCACACUUGGUAGUUUGCAUACAAUUUUUGACAAUUAAAAAUAAUAUAAUUUUUUAUUUUAUUUUUAGGGUUAAAUUGGUAAUUUAAUUAUUUUUUUAUUAAUGUUCAAAAAAUAUUAUAAAAGGGUAAUAUUAUAAAAGUAAGCCAAAAGAAAUAAAAAGUAACGGUAGGGGUAUCAAUACUUUAACGGCAGGGAUAUUUCGAGACAUUUUAAAAAAUAUAGAAACUAAAUAAAUACUAAUCUUAAAAUAAAAGGACUAAUAAACUUUUACGUUUGGGAUUUAUUUCAGUGAAAUCCACCAUAAAGCCCUCAAAUCUCUAAUACUCGCUUCUUUGGGAAGAUCUUUCACUUAACCAAUCACAAAAAAAGAUGUCUCUCUUUAAAGUUAAGGAAAAGGCACAAAGAAACAUUAAACAUAACCGACCACAGAAAAAAUCCAAUUUUCAGUUUAAUGUUUAAAAUUCAAUAAAGUUAAGAAAGCAUGUUUCACUCUUUCAGGGAUUGCAUCCCUUGUCAAUCAAUCGUUUCUUCGUGCAUGGUCCAACCUGAAUAUGUCAUUCAACCCGUAAAAGCUUCCCUGAAGUUUUGGCAUCAAAUGGAACAUCUGCUGAACCCACAAGUUGGAGAUUAUCGGAGACAAAAAUAAGCACGCUGCCAGCGGGACUACAGAGCUGGCAAUUGAUGGUGGUGAUGGAGUGUUGGCACUGCAGGAAGGGAUGGCUAGUGAACUCAGCAACGAUAUUUUGCGAGUCUACGCCUCCCUCUCUUUUUUAAUUUCGCAUUUACUGUUUCCGCUAGAGACUCACGUGACCGAGAGAGAGAGAGAGAGGGGUCUUCUUAAUUUAAUGUUUAGAAUUUAAUCGUGAAACGACCUCGUUUUUAUUUAUCGCCAUGGAUUAUAGAAGGUAAUCUUUUACGCUACGUUUGAAAGAUAUAAUUGGAUUAAAUUAGAGUUGAUUAUAUAAUACUAUCUUUUGUUUGGUACAAUAUUAGACAAGACUAUGCUAAUUUAAUUUAAUAAAGCUAAAUACUAUUUAAAUAAUAUAAUAUUUUUAAAUUAUAUUGAUAAUUGUUUACUUUAAUAUUUAAUAUCCAAUAUUAGUUUAAGUAAAUUAAUGAAUAAAAUUUUGAUGUUCUAUAUAAAAUAAAAUUACAUGUUGAAAAAAUUAUGAAAUUAACUUCUAUGUUUAAUUUUUUUUUCUAAAUAUUAGGUUAAAUGAAAAAUAAAAUAGUGAAAAAAAUACACAAAUUCUUCAUUUAAUUUUAUCCCACCUAAACCCAUAUAAAUAUGAGGACUAAUAAUCCCAAUUUUUUUGACUAAAUCUUAAUCUAUCCUAUUAGUUCAUGACACCUAAACAUAUUUUAGGAUUAAAUUAUUUUAUUAAUCUUAAAAUAUAAUCCAAUCGCACAAUUUAUCCAACCUUCCAAACAUAACCUUAAUUGACUCUUUUACCAUCGCUCUCCAACCGUUUCAACCAAUUACAAUUUCCUUACUGUUACGUACAUGUGGCAUAUUUUUACUGGUUGACUAAUUAAAUCACGGGCUGUAACAUACAGUAAAACGUAACUUAGGGUGACCCCAUAACAUAAAUAUGAAAACGGGAAAAUUCUAUAAUGUCGUAAUUAAAUUUACGGCAUUGAUGCCGUAAUAGACGUGGACCGUUAGAUUAAAUCAACGAUUCACAAUAAUAAUAAAAUAAUAAAAAAAUUUAAUUAAAUUAUAUAUAACCGGUUUAUAACCGGUUAAGUACUUUUUAAAAUAAAAUUCCGGUGAUAUAAAUUUAAAGGAAAAAAGGAUUUACUUUUUAAAAGAAUAAAAAAAAAUACAAAGGGAAAACUUGAUCCCUAAUUAACGAAUUGCAAAAGAUAUAGUCACACCCACUGCUGCGUUAACUUCCGUUCGGGUGCACCGGCGAUACGUCUGCAGAUUGCAACCAUUCUUUGAGUUGAUUUUCUGUCUUGUUCGAAUUGUUGAGUCUCUGUCGUUGCUGCCUCUGUCUUGGUUUUGGCAGUCGUCACCUGUGCAAGGUAAGUUUAAUCCUCUUUCUCGUUCGAAUUGCUAAGCAAUUUCGUUUUCUUUGCUGAAUUUGCUAAGUAAUUUAAUUCCAGAUUUCUCAUUCAAUUUUAUAUUAACUGACAUAGUAUCAUCGUCAUAAUUUGUUCACGGAAUUCUUAGAUUCAAUUCCGCUGGAAUUAACAAGUCUCUGCACGCCGGAUUUGUUCACGGAAUUAAGAAGGUCUGUGCAAAGUGUUUGGGUUUGCUGGACCACAUAGACAUUGCCCACUUGCCUGGCAAUCUGUCACUAUACCGGCUGGACCACAUAGACAUCUUUCUCAAAGUCUUUGAGUGAAUAGUAAGUUCAUACUCUCCAUUUUCUAGUGUAUAUAUAUCUCAAUUGUGGGAAAGAAAUCUGUAAUAAUUCACUGCUACUAACAGAUCAUAAUUUAGUACAAGUUCACGCUCAUGAUAAUUUGUAAUAAGAUGUCUGUUUUCCAGCAAUUGUUAAACUUGCAAUCAUUGUUCACAAUUGCAGCCUGCAUCUUUGCCGUAUUUCUCAUUUUCAAAUGGUUUCUUAUCCAACCACUUAGCACCAAAAAAACUUCAAAGUAGGUUGAUGAUUUUCUUGAGGUAGUCAUUCAAGAACAUGAGAAUAAGAUGAGUGACAAUUCUCAAGUUGAAGAUCAUAAGGACUUUAUAGAUGUCUUGUUUUGGCUUGAGAAAGAAAAUAAUUAGCUGCUGUUUUUAGGUUAAAUUUUCUGUUGUUUCUGGGUAAAUUGGCUGGUGUUUUUCAGUUAUUUUUCUGCUGUUUUUGGGUUAUAUUUUUUGCUGUUUCCAGGUAAAAUGUUCUGGUGUUUUGGGCUUCAUUUGCUGCUGGUUCUAGGUUAAAUAUUUUGCUGUUUUUGGGUAAAUAUACUGCUAUUUUUCAGUUAAAUUUUCUGCUGUUUUUGGAUAAAAUUUUUGCUGUAUUUGGGAUGAUUUGCUACUGUUUGUGGUUAAAAUUUUCUGGUGUUUUGGGCUUCAUUUGCUGCUGUUUUUAGGUUAAAUUUUCUGCUGUUUUUGGGUAAAUUGGCUGCUGUUUUUCAGUUAAAUUGUUUGCUAUUUUUGGAUAAAUUUACUGCUGUUUUUGGGUUAUAUUUUAUGCUGUUUCCAGGUAAGUCUUUUUGGUGUUAUGGGCUUCAUUUACUGCUAUUUUUUGGUUAAAUAUUUUGCUGUUUUUGGAUAAAUUUACUGCUUUUUUGGAUAAAUUUACUGCUGUUUUUGGGUUAUAUUUUUUGCUGUUUUCCUGGCAGUCUGUCACUAUGUCGGCUGGACCACAUAGACAUCUUUCUCAAAGUCUUUGAGUGAAUUGUAAGUUCAUACUCUCCAUUUUCUAGUGUAUAUAUAUCUCAAUUGUGGGGAAGAAAUUUGUAAUAAUUCACUGCUACUAAUAGAUCAUAAUUUAGUACAAGUUCACGCAUAUGAUAAUUUGUAAUAAGAUGUCUGUUUUCCAGCAAUUGUUAAACUUGCAAUCCUUUAUCACAAUUGCAGCCUGCAUCUUUGUCGUAUUUGUCCUUUUCAAAUGGUUUCUUAUCCAACCACUUAGCACCAAAAAAUCACUACCACCUUCUCCCCCACAGCUCCCAAUCAUUGGAAACCUUCACCAACUGGGCUUGUUCCCUCAUUGCUCACUCGGUGCUUUGGCACAAUGCUAUGGCCCCCUGAUGUUGCUUCACUUAGGCAAAGUGCCAGUGCUUGUUGUCUCUUCUGCUGAUGUUGCCUGUGAGAUCGUUAGAAAUGUAAUCUUUGCAAUCAACCAAAAUUAACCCCAUUUGUAAAACUUUUAAACGGUUGUAUAGAUGUCUCUAUGACACCUUAUGGUGAGUACUUAAGAAAAGUUAAAAGCUUAUUUGUUGUACAACUUUUAAGUAACAAAAGGAUUCAUUAUUCUUUUCGUGAUGUUAGAAUAGAAAAAUAUAAUGAUCAAGGAGAAGUUGGUAGUAAGUUUAGGAAGCAGUUUAAGGACUUUAUUGAGUUGAUGGCUACUUUUCAUGUGGGAGAUUAUAUUCCAUGGCAAGGUUGGUUGUGCUAUUUUAAUAGCUUGAAUGCCAAGCUUAAGAAAACUUCAAAGGAGGUUGAUGAUUUUCUUGAGGUAGUCAUUCAAGAACAUGAGAAUAGGAUGAGUAACAAUUCUCAAGUUGAAGAUCACAAGGACUUUAUAGAUAUCUUGCUUUGGCUUCAGAAAGAAAAUAUUUUAAACUUUCCUAUUGAUAAAGCUUCAUUUGCUGCUAUUUUUAGGUUUAAUUAUCUGCUGUUUCUGGGUAAGGUGGCUGCUGUUUUUCAGUUUAUUUUUCUGCUGUUUUUGGAUAAAUUUACUGCUGUUUUUGGGUUAUAUUUUUUGCUGUUUUAAGGUAAUUUUUUUGGUGUUUUGGAUCCUCUUCUUUCUCCAAUUGCAGGGCCUGAAGAUAUAAACAUCAGCUAUCAGGAAGCCCAAAGUAACAAUGAUGAGAGUAAAACUACCAAGAAUUUCAAUAAUUCCAUAUUUAAAGUUUAUAGAAUUUGUUACUAGAAUACUCUGAAUGGCUAAGUAAUUUCUCAAAAGAUUUGGAAACAAUGAAACAUAUGUUUGACUUACAAUUGAUCAAAAAAUAGGUCCAUCAACAUUGUUUUCCCGGUCCCUACUCCCCCAUAAAGGUACAAUCCUUUGACAGGUGAGUAUGAAGAUUGU